rnacentral:lncRNA from 1 species
CGGAUGGGCUUAUACCCCCCAGAAUGCAUCAAGAGGUUCUUAUCACUAGCAACCAAGUGUUGCCAGGAUGAAACUGAUGACAGGCCUUCCAUGUGGGAGAUUGUCAGAGAACUUGAGCUCAUCUUGAGGAUGAUGCCUGAAGAGGACCUGAUUCUGCUGGAAACCUCAGAAACAGACUCGACCGAUGUCAGUAAGUCGUUGUCAUCUUCAGCGACCAGGACCCUCUUCGUCUCGUCACAGGCCUCUGGGAGUCUUGAUGCGAGCAGCGGCAUGAUCUCUGGAAGAGUAACUCCCCGGUAGGCAUGGUGUAAUACUUGUGAAUAUGCAAGUUUGUUCUGUAACAUUAUAGGCUUACCACUCCUAGGACCUGUCUUUUAUGAAUUAUUCAUAUUCAGCCGAACGUACAGUAGAUAAUAGCUUAUGAUACACUGGAACAUAGCUGGCAUUGCAUUCUUUACCUUUCUAAUAUGUUAAUCUGCUUUCUGUAAGGUAGCGUUUGGUUCCAGACCCAGUUUGGGAUGGAACAGCUCCAUAGCUCCAUCUCCGGGAGUGGCUCCAUACUAAAGAUUUUGGAGAGCCAAAUGGUUCAACAUUUGAGCAUAAUUUUCCAUUUUUAGAACUGCUCUGUCCUAUAUGGAACUGAUCUAAACAACAACAAAUUAGGAGCGGAGUGACUCUGUCCCACGUUAGCAUUUGGUUUCAGAGCUAAUUGGGAUGGAACGGUUCUGUUCCCGGGAGCAGCUCCGUCCGGAAUAUUCUGGAGAGCUAAAUGGUUCAACAUUUUAGCAUAAUUUUCUGUUUUUAGAACUACUCCAUCCUAUAUGGAACCAAUCCAAACAACAACAAAUUAGGAACGAAGCGGCUCCGUACUUCGGCAACUUUGAGUGCUGACAUGUUUAAGGUCAAUUCUUUGUUUAGAAGUAACAAGGUUUUUUUUAUAGAAUCUAGAAUCUAAAACGGCUAGGUUUCUGAUAGGCCUAUACUAAGAGACACAUAGGAACCAUAAUUGUCGGCGUUUCGAGACAGGGGGGUCCCAAAGCCGACGAGUGAGUGUGCUGCGUGCCCCAGCCCAGAUGGGUCGAGCGCGUGGGCGAGCGUGAAGGGGGGAGAGGCGAGGUGGCCGGAGUCGAGCGUGAGAGAGGUGGAAGUCCCGCGGCCUUCGUGUUCGUCCCGCGCCCAGGUCGGGUGCGCUUGUAGUAGGGGGGUUACAAGCGUCCACGCGGGUGAGGGAAGCGAGCGGCCCCAAGAGAGCGCCUGUCCCGUCCUCGGUCCCGCGCGGCCAACCUUCUCUAAGAAGGCCCUGGUCCUCCCUUUUAUAGUCGUAAGGAGAGGAUCCAGGUGUACAAUGGGGGGUGUAGCAGAGUGCUACGUGUCUAGCGGAGAGAGAGCUAGCGCCCUAGGUACAUGCCAAUGUGGCAGCCGGAGAGGUCUUGGCACCUUGCUGGCGUGAUGUCGUGGCUGUCGGAGGUGCGACGGAGCCUGGCGGAGGGACAGCUGUUGGAGCGGUCGAGUCCUUGCUGACGUCGCCCUGCUUCCGUAAGAGAGCUGGGGGCCGCCGUCGUCACAGAGCUUGUGGAGCGCCAUCAUUGCCCAUCCGGCGGAGCUGGCCGGAUGGGACGCCGGUCUUGUUCUCCGUGACCCGAGUCGAUUCGGGGUAGGACGAUGAUGGCGCUUCCUGUUGACGUGGCGGGUCUGUGCCCUAGGCAGGGUGACGUGGGGGCUCCUCCGAAGCCGAGGUUGAGUCUGUCUUCUGUUGCCGAGGCCGAGUCCGAGCCAUGGGGUCGGGCGAGGCGGAGGUCGUUCGGCCAAGGCCAGGGCGGAGUCCGAGCCCUGGGGUCGGGCGAGGCGGAGUUUCGUCGUCUUCCGGGUCUUAGCCCGAGUCCGAGCCCUGGGGUCGGGUGGAGCGGAGUUCGCCGUCUUCCGGGUCUUAGCCCGAGUCCGAGCCCUGGGGUCGGGCGGAGCGGAGUUCGCCGUCUUCCGGGUCUUAGCCCGAGUCCGAGCCCUGGGGUCGGGCGGAGCGGAGUUCGCCGUCUUCCGGGUCUUAGCCCGAGUCCGAGCCCUGGGGUCGGGCGGAGCGGAGUUCGCCGUCUUCCGGGUCUUAGCCCGAGUCCGAGCCCUGGGGUCGGGCGGAGCGGAGUUCACCGUCUUCCGGGUCUUAGCCCGAGUCCGAGCCCUGGGGUCGGGCGGAGCGGAGUUCGCCGUGGUGCCUUUGGCAAGGCCUGACUGUCUGUCAGACUCACUCUGUCGAGUGGCACCGCAGUCGGAGUGGCGCAGGCGGCGCUGUCCUUCUGUCAGACUGGUCAGUGGAGCGGUGGAGUGACGGCGGUCACGUCGGCUCUGCCGGGGGGGGGGGCGUGUCAGGAUAAAGGUGUCAGGCCACCUUUGCGUUAAAUGCUCCUGCAACUCGGUCAGUCGGUGUGGCGAUUUAGUCAGGGUUGCUUCUGAGCGAAGCCAAGGCCUCGGGCGAGCCGGCGAUGUGUCCGCCGUAAAAAAGGGGGGGCCUCGGGCGAGACGGAAGUCUCUCGAGGUCGGCUGCCCUUGGCCGAGGCUAGGCUCGGGUGAAGCGUGAUCGAGUCACUCGUGCGGACUGAUCCCUGACUUAAUCGUACCCAUCAGGCCUUUGCAGCUUUAUGCUGAUGGGGGUUACCAGCUGAGAAUUAGGCGUCUUGAGGGUACCCCUAAUUAUGGUCCCCGACAGUAGCCCCCGAGCCUCGAAGGGAGUGUUAGCACUCGCUUGGAGGCUUUCGUCGCACUUUUUUGCAAGGGGACCAGCCUUUCUCGGUUGCAUUUUGUUCCGGUGGGUGCGCGCGAGCGCACCCGCCGGGUGUAGCCCCCGAGGCCUCGGAGGAGUGGUUACACUUCUUCGAGGUCUUAAUACCUUGCGUAAUGCUUCGGCUGGUCUGGUCGUUCCCUCAUGCGAACUGGCCGUAGCCCAGGUGCACGGUCGGGGCCCAAGCUCUCGGGCUGGUAUGUUGACGCUGUCAACGGUUUGGCCGGAGCCGGUUUUUGCGAGAGCAGCCCCCGAGCCUCUGCACAGGGCGAGAGGACGAUCAGGGACAGACUCGGCUUUUUACAUACGCCCCUACGUCGCCUUUCCGCAAGGAGGAGGGGGGGAGUGCGCCAUGUUACCCUCGAUGGGCACCGAACAUGGUGUCUCCGGUGAGCUGCAAGCGGGUAAUCCGAGUGGACGUCCGUGCCCCGUUCGUUGGGGGUCGGCUAGGGGCCCAGAGGCACGCCCAAAAGUACCUGCGGGUGAUUUGCCGGACCCGGUCCCCUGGCGACGGGGUCCGAGGGCUCGAUGCCUCCCUCCGAUGGGAUUCCAUUACAAGAUCGUUCCCGCUGGUCUCGGAAAUGUCCUAGGGUACCUCGGGAGCGCAGCCCGAGCCUCGGUUAUGUAUCGAACGUACCCCUGGUCAUCCCUCGCUCGGUGUCUGAGGCGACUGUGAACCCUUCGGGGGCCAGCCUUCGAACCCCUGAUCAGUAAUGGGCGCGGAGCCCGAGUAGCCUGAGGCGGCCAUGGAACCCUUCGGGGGGCUGGCCUUCGAACCCCUGACCAGUAGUUGGUGUCGGGCCCACGCGAUCUGAGGCGACUGUUGAACCCUUCGGAGGGCCAGUCUUCGAACCCCUGAUCAGUAGGGGGGGCUCGGAGCCCGGUUCCUUCGCGGAGAAGGAUCCUUUUCGGGGUAUCCCCCUUUCCCGGUCCCUGUUGCAAGAGAUAGAGAAAGAGAAAAAAGGAAAGGGAUACAAAAUCGAACGACGUGGCGUACCUCUUUUUGACGCGGUUAUUACGGCGAAGGCGAAGCGUCGCGCGCUUCUCCCGCCAGAGGCGCCGCGUGUCCCGCCGUGGAGUUAAUGCGACGGGGCGAGUGGUUGGCGAGGCGGCCGUUGCGCGUGCGCGAUCCGUUCGAGGAACGGGUCACGGGUGCACCGUCUUCACGCCGUGGGAGGAGGCUCUCUUGCUAUCCCAGGAUGAGACGUGAGCCUGGCUAACGACGUGUCUGCUGCGCCCGCCCGCCUGCCACCGCCAUUACUGCCGGCCCACUUUCGGUCGCUUUGACCAACGCGCCAGGCUGGCGCUGCUGGGUCGCGCGCCGGGUCGCCUCGAGUCGCGGCAUAGGCUCCGCAACCGAAGAGGCGCGACGGUGGCACAAGUGGCGGUGCGGUCGCUUGCAUGCAGCAACUGGCGCGCCGGUUGCUUGACGCGUGGGCCUGGGCUUCCAAGCUGGCGUGUCAGAAGUCGGAGAAGCGCGUCCACCUGGCGCGGUUGCAUGCCGCCUGCAUGGCUGCCCGCCCCUUCCGCCCGUUGGUCUGGGCAAAAGUGGGGGGUCACUCGUAACCGCUGGGCGGUCGUGCGCACCACGCGCGGCGGUUUGGCUUCUUCUGCCCUGAGCCGGUUUGCAUGACAUGCGGGACCCAGCCCCCGAGUCGCUGGGGAGGGCCUUGGAGCGCGUUGGAGAGGACUCAGUCCGUGGCGUCUGGGGGCGCACGUAGGGAGAGUUGCCUUUAAAAGGAGGGAGACUCCUUCCAGAAGGCAACCAUGUCUUCUUCCUCCCUUAUGCGUCGUGUCUUUCCAUCUUCCAAGCCCCCGGAUGGGGGGUAUCCGCCGCCUUUCUGCCUCCUCGUUGGAGGAACGCAACUUCAUGGGAGUUGGUACCUCUCAGCCAUCGUUCGGCUUCAAGGAUUUUCAUCAUGCAGCCCGGUUGCUCCCCUCCACCGGCGGUCACCCGAGAUGGUGACCUCCGGCUUGAUGGUGGGGGAAAGCGAGCCGGGCUGCGGCCUCUGCCCCUCCCUCAGCCUCAAGGAUUUUCAUCACCAGGGCUGGGGAGGGGAGUGCGCCGAGUUGAGGUCGGCCUUCCGUUGCUCCGCAGGCCUUCCCCCUCGGAGUGGGGUUGUUCGUACCUGCGGAGGGGGAACCGGAGUUCCGUUUGUAAUGGCAUCUCGAAUGCCGGUGUGUUUGUUCAUUGCGGCUGUCGGGGCCUGAACAUGUAUGUAAUUUCGGCACGGAGUCGUGUUUUUUCGUCAUUUUCGAGCACUAAGUCUCGCCUGUUGAUUAUCUGAACCGCUUUACCAAGCAUGAGUCGCCCCGUGUCAAGGUGACGAGUGAGGUAUCCGUAUCCCGGAGGCGUAGGAAUCCCUCGGCCCGUUCGGCCUUGUUGUCUGAGGCUCCUCUAGCUUAGUUAAAGAGGCCCCUCGGCCGCCCUUCGAUGAGCCGAGGCCAGGGGUAGCGAUAUCAGUAUGAACAGAGGCGGAGUUGGCUCGAGAAUGGGAACCUGGUUGGCCGGAGCCUAGCCGUGUUGUCCGUCAGCGGAGCCGACACCAAAGUCGAUCCGCCGAGGCCUCGGGUCGGGCUGGCGCCCUUGGAAGCCGGUUGGCCGGAGGCCCCAGGGGUAACCGGCCGAGCCGCCUGCUCGGGCCGGAUUCCCGGAGGGGUCCCUGGACCGCGUCGCCGUCCGAGGCUGGGUCGGACUUAGCUGAAGACGUCGUCGAUGCCGAGGGUGCUACGGCUCCCUUCAGCGUGAAGACCCGAGUCUGCAGGAUCAGAUCGUCUUGUAGCGUGUGCCUUCUGCGGCCGCCGAGGCCAGAAAACACACCCUCGCCGUGCUUGCGAAGCUGCGUCUUUUUUCCUCUUGUUUCGAGCAUCUGGACUCUGUCGGUAACAGGGAUGUUUGUGUGAGCGAGAGUUGCUUCUCGCGGAAGGGACGAGUGAGGUAUCCGUAUCCCAGAGGCGUGGGAAUCCCUCGGCUCGGUCGGCCUUGCCGCUUACGCGUACUUUCACCCGUCCAUGAGGCCCUGUCCCCGACUUAGUCGAGAAAGCUUGAAGGACUGCUUCGGCAGGAGAGCUUCCGAACGUGAAGACUUGUUCGGUCCACGGAGUCGCUUUAUCCGAGCGCGAGUUACUUAUCGCAGAAGGUGAUGAGUGAGGUAUCCGUAUCCUGGAGGCGUAGGAGUCCCUCGGCUCGGUCAGCCUUGGCUGCUUACGUGUACUCCGUCGUUUCCAGGAUCCGCUUUCCGAAGUAGUCAAGAAGCACGAAAGUAAUCCUGCUAAAAAGAGAUCCUUUUUCGAGGAAAAAUUCGACGCAGAGGGGGUUUCUCCCCUUUUAGCCCCCGAGGGAGGGUCGGGCUUUGCCGGGGCUAGGCCGACCCUUCCUUGACGACUAAACUUUGCGUAGGUGCGAGGUAUAUGAACAACUUGGAAACAUCUUAAGGGUAGAAGCGACGUAGCUGUUUGAUGUUCCAGGCGUUGCCGUAGAUCUCGCCUUGAUUGUUGGCCAGCUUGUAUGUUCCGGGCUUCAGAAUUUUGGCGAUGACGAAUGGCCCUUCCCAGGGGGGCGUGAGCUUGUGCCUCCCUCGGGCGUCUUGCCGCAGCCGAAGCACCAGAUCGCCCACCUGGAGGUCUCGGGACCGGACCCCUCGGGCGUGGUAGCGUCGCAGGGACUGCUGGUACCGCGCCGAGUGUAGUAAGGCCCUGUCCCGAGCCUCCUCCAGCUGGUCCAGUGAUUCUUCUCGGCUAGCUUGGUUGCUUUGAUCGGUGUAGGCCCUCAUCCUCGGGGAGCCGUAUUCUAGGUCAGUGGGCAAGAUAGCUUCAGCCCCGUAGACCAGGAAAAACGGCGUGAAACCCGUGGCACGACUCGGCGUCGUCCUUAGGCUCCAUACCACCGAGGGGAGUUCCUUCAUCCACCGCUUGCCGAACUUGUUGAGGUCGUUGUAGAUCCGAGGCUUGAGCCCUUGUAGAAUCAUGCCGUUGGCACGCUCUACUUGCCCAUUCGACAUGGGAUGAGCCACGGCGGCCCAGUCCACCCGGAUAUGGUGAUCCUUGCAAAAAUCCAAGAAUUUUUUGCCGGUGAACUGGGUGCCGUUGUCGGUGAUGAUAGAGUUCGGGACCCCGAAGCGAUGGAUGAUGUUGGUGAAGAAUGCCACCGCCUGCUCGGACCUGAUGCUGUUCAGAGGUCGGACCUCGAUCCACUUGGAGAAUUUGUCGAUGGCGACCAGCAGGUGCGUGUAGCCCCCGGGCGCCUUCUGCAAGGGACCGACGAGGUCCAGACCCCAUACGGCGAGGGGCCAGGUGAUGGGUAUCGUCUGCAGAGCCUGAGCGGGCAGGUGGGUCUGCUUCGCAUAGAAUUGGCACCCUUCGCAGGUGCGGACAAUUCUAGUGGCGUCAGCCACCGCCGUUGGCCAGUAGAAGCCUUGCCGGAAAGCAUUCCCGACAAGGGCUCGGGGCGCCGCGUGGUGGCCGCAAGCCCCCGAGUGUAUUUCUUGCAGCAGUUCCCGACCUUCGGCGAUGGAGAUGCAUCGCUGGAGGAUGCCCGAGGGGCUGCGAUGGUAGAGCUCCUCUUCAUCGCCCAGCAAGACGAACGACUUGGCGCGUCGCGCUACCCGCCGAGCCUCGACUUGGUCGGGGGGUAGCUCUCCUCGAUGGAGAUAUUGCAGGUACGGGGCCUGCCAAUCUCGAUCAGGUGUGGCCCCGCUCUGCUCUUCCUCGACGUCCAGUGCCUCGCCCUCGGGGGCCGAGGGUACCUUGGGCUGAGCCGAGGGUACCUCGGGCUGAGCCGAGGGUGCCUCGGGCCGUGCUGAGGGCGCCUCGGCUUGAGCCGAGGGUGCCUCGGGCUCGGGCGCGUCGUCGAUCUUGACAGAGGGUCGAUGCAGAUCCCGGGAGAAGACGUCCGGGGGGACCGUCGUUCGCCCCGAGGCUAUUUUAGCCAGCUCGUCUGCGGUUUCGUUGUAGCGCCGAGCGAUGUGGUUGAGCUCGAGCCCGAAGAACUUGUCUUCCAGGCGCCGAACCUCGUCGCAGUAGGCCUCCAUCUUCGGGUCACGGCAGUGGGAGUUCUUCAUGACUUGGUCGAUGACGAGCUGCGAAUCGCCGCGGGCGUCGAGGCGUCUGACCCCUAGCUCGAUGGCGAUCCGCAACCCGUUGACCAGAGCUUCGUACUCGGCCACAUUGUUGGACGCCGGGAAAUGGAAGCGCAGCACGUAGCGCAGGUGCUUUCCAAGGGGCGAGAUGAAGAGCAGGCCCGCGCCGGCUCCUGUCUUCAUCAGCGACCCGUCGAAAAACAUGGUCCAGAGCUCCGGUUGGAUCGGAGCCGUCGGCAACUGGGUGUCAACCCAUUCGGCUACGAAGUCCGCCAACACCUGGGACUUGAUGGCCUUCCGAGGGGCGAACGAGAUCGUUUCGCCCAUGAUUUCCACCGCCCACUUUGCGAUCCUGCCCGAGGCCUCUCGGCAUUGGAUGAUCUCCCCCAGGGGGAAGGAUGACACCACAGUUACCGGAUGAGACUCGAAGUAGUGUCGCAGCUUCCGCCUUGUCAGGAUCACAGCAUAUAGCAGCUUUUGAACUUGUGGGUAGCGGAUCUUGGUCUCGGACAGCACUUCGCUGACGAAGUAGACCGGCCUCUGAACGGGCAAUGCAUGCCCUUCCUCUUGCCUCUCGACCACAAUCGCGGCGCUAACCACCUGAGUGGUCGCGGCGACGUAGACCAAGAGGGCUUCUCCAUCCGCCGGGGCACCAAGACAGGCGCCUUCGUAAGGAGCGCCUUUAGGUUGCCGAGGGCUUCCUCGGCCUCAGGGGUCCAAGCGAAACACUCGGCCUUCCUUAAGAGGCGGUACAGAGGCAGACCUCUUUCGCCGAGGCGUGAGAUGAAGCGGCUCAGGGCCGCGAGGCAUCCCAUGACCCUCUGUACACCUUUUAAGUCCUUGAUGGGCCCCAUGCUGGUGAUGGCCGCGAUCUUCUCCGGGUUGGCUUCGAUGCCUCGCUCAGAGACGAUGAACCCUAGGAGCAUGCCUCGGGGCACCCCGAAGACACACUUCUCAGGAUUGAGCUUGACUCCUUUCGCCUUGAGACAUCGGAAUGUCACUUCAAGGUCGGAGAGGAGGUCGGAAGCCUUCCUUGUCUUGACUACGAUGUCAUCGACGUAGGCCUCGACUGUGCGACCGAUGUGUUCGCCGAACACAUGGUUCAUGCACCGCUGGUACGUCGCGCCCGCAUUCCUCAAACCGAACGGCAUGGUGACAUAGCAGUACAUGCCGAACGGCGUGAUGAAAGAAGUCGCGAGCUGGUCGGACUCUUUCAUCCGGAUCUGGUGAUACCCUGAGUAGGCAUCGAGGAAGGACAGGGUUUCGCACCCAGCGGUGGAAUCCACGAUUUGAUCGAUGCGAGGCAGAGGGUAGGGAACCUUCGGACAUGCUUUGUUGAGACCAGUGUAGUCUACACACAUCCGCCAUUUCCCCCCUUUCUUCCUCACAAGCACAGGGUUGGCAAGCCAUUCGGGAUGGAAUACCUCUUUGAUGAACCCUGCUGCCAUUAGCUUGUGGAUCUCUUCGCCAAUCACUCUGCGGUUCUCCUCGUCGAAUCGGCGCAGAGACUGCCUGACGGGUCGGGCUUCGGACCGAAUAUCCAGCGAGUGCUCGGCGACAUCCCUCGGUAUGCAGGGCAUGUCCGAGGGACUCCACGCAAAGACGUCGGCGUUUGCGCGGAGAAAGUCGACGAGCACUGCUUCCUAUUUGGGGUCGAGCCCGGAACCGAUCCGGACCUGCUUGGUGGUGUCGCCGCUGGGGUCAAGAGGGACGGCCUUAACCGUCUCUGCUGGCUCGAAGUCAUGGCGCUUCACGUCUGGCACCUCCUUGGAGAGGUUCUCCAGGUCGGCGAUGAGGGCCUCGGACUCGGCGAGGGCCUCGGCGUACUCCACGCACUCCACGUCGCAUUCGAACGCGUGUUUGUACGUGGGGCCGGCGGUGAUGACCCCGUUGGGGCCCGGCAUCUUGAGCUUCAGGUAGGUGUAGUUGGGGACAGCCAUGAACUUCGCGUAGCAUGGCCUCCCUAGUACGGCGUGGUAGGUUCCUCGGUACCCGACCACCUCGAACGUCAGGGUCUCCCUUCAGAAGUUGGAGGGCGUCCCGAAGCAGACGGGGAGGUCGAGUCGCCCGAGGGGCUGGACGCGCUUCCCAGGGAUGAUCCCGUGGAAGGGCGCAACGCCUGCUCGGACGGAGGACAGAUCGAUGCGCAGGAGCUUGAGGGUCUCGGCGUAGACGAUGUUGAGGCAGCUGCCCCAUCCAUCAGGACCUUGGUGAGCCUGACAUUGCCGACAACGGGGUCGACGACGAGCGGGUAUUUCCCCGGGCUCGGCACAUGGUCGGGGUGGUCGGCCUGGUCGAAGGUGAUGGGCUUGUCGGACCAGUCUAGGUAGACUGGCGCCGCCACCUUCACCGAGCAGACCUCCCGGCGCUCUUGCUUGCGAUGCCGAGCCGAGGCAUUCGCCGCAUGCCCUCCAUAGAUCAUGAAGCAGUCGUGGACCUCGGGGAACUCUCCUGCUUGGUGAUCUUCGUUCUUGUCGUCGUCGCGGGCCCUGCCACCCUCGGCGGGUGGCCCGGCCCUGUGGAAGUGACGCCGAAGCAUAACGCACUCCUCGAGGGUGUGCUUGACGGGCCCCUGAUGGUAGGGGCACGGCUCCUUGAGCAUCUUGUCGAAGAGGUUUGCACCUCCGGGGGGCUUCCGAGGGUUCUUGUACUCGGCGGCGGCGACAAGGUCCGCGUCAGCGGCGUCGCGUUUCGAUUCUUCUUGCCUUUCUUCUUGGCGCCGCGCGGAGCAGACGCCUCGGGAGCCUCUUCCGAUGGGCGGCCCUGGGGCUGCUUGUCCUUUCGGAAGAUAGCCUCGACCGCCUCCUGGCCAGAGGCGAACUUGGUGGCGAUGUCCAUCAGCUUGCUCGCCCUGGUGGGGGUCUUGCGACCCAGCUUGCUCACCAGGUCGCGGCAAGUGGUGCCGGCGAGGAACGCGCCGAUGACAUCCGAGUCGGUGAUGUUGGGCAGCUCGGUGCGCUGCUUCGAGAAUCGCCGGAUGUAGUCCCGGAGCGACUCCCCCGGCUGUUGCCGGCAGCUUCGAAGGUCCCAGGAAUUCCCGGGGCGCACGUAUGUGCCCUGGAAAUUGCCAGCGAAGGCUUGGACCAAGUCGUCCCAGUUGGAGAUCUGCCCCGGAGGCAGGUGCUCCAACCAGGCGCGAGCAGUGUCGGAGAGGAACAGGGGGAGGUUACGGAUGAUGAGGUUGUCGUCGUCCGUCCCACCCAGUUGGCAGGCAAGGCGGUAGUCCGCGAGCCACAGUUCCGGUCUCGUUUCCCCCGAGUACUUCGUGAUAGUAGUCAGGGGUCGGAACCGGGUCGGGAAUGGCGCCCGUCGGAUGGCCCGACUGAAGGCCUGCGGACCGGGUGGUUCGGGCGAGGGACUCCGAUCCUCCCCGCUGUCGUAGCGCCCCCCACGCCUGGGGUGGUAGCCUCGGCGCACCCUUUCGUCGAGGUGGGCCCGACGGUCGCGUCGAUGGUGCUCGUUGCCGAGGUGGCCCGGGGCCGCAGGCGCGGUGUUGCGCGUGCGCCCGGUGUAGACCGAGGCUUCCCGCAUGAAUCGGGAAGCCGCGGCAUGAGGUUCCGAGGGAUAUCCUUGCCUCCGGGAGGCAGUGCUCUCGGCCCGUCGGGCCGCAGCGCCUUCCAGGAGAUUCUUGAGCUCUCCCUGGAUUCGCCGACCCUCGGUGGUUGAUGGCUCCGGCAUCGCGCGGAGGAGCAUCGCUGCGGCUGCCAGGUUCUGACCAACCCCGCUGGAUGCGGGCGGCGGCCUGACCCUGACAUCGUUGGUGACGCGGUGCUGGAGACCUUGGGGCAGGUGACGUAUUUCUCCGGCCAGGGGUUGGCCCGCCCAUACCUGCCCGACGUCCCGACGGAUCGGCUCAAGCGCUCCUGUUCCCUCGUUGAGCCUGGCCUGCGCCUCGCGGACUUGCUCGAGUUGUGGGUCGUAACCCCCCACCGGAGCGGGGACCACAGCUAGCUCCCGUGGGAUGUCGGCGCGAGGCACCGGCCUAGGAAGAUCACCGUCCUCCGGCAUGCCGAGAUGGUUGCCUUCGGAGGGAUCCCCUAGCUCGAUGUGGAAACAUUCGCGGCUUGGGCCGCAGCUCUUGUCGCCAAGGCUGCGGCUUCCGUCGGAACAAUCGGAUAGGCAGUAGUCACAUGCGGUCAUGAAGUCCCGCAUGGCACUGGGGUUGCCAAGUCCGGAGAAAUCCCAACAGACGCUGGGGUCGUCAUCUUCCUCGGACCCAGAGGGCCCGUAGGUCGAGACGUCCGUCAGCCGGUCCCAAGGCGACCGUAUACGAAACCCCAGUGGGGUUGCACUCGCCUCAAUGAGAGCGCCCGCCAAAGCGAGGUCGUUUGGCGGGUUGAGGCCGAGUCGAAAUGACGUAAGAUGGGAGUUAGUCGGUACCUUUUGGUCGACGAGGAGCGACGUAGUCACAUCGGGGACUGGUUGCACCGUCAUCUCAGGUACGAGGGCGACGUCCUGCAGGCUUUCCGCGAGCGCGCCGGCGUCGUCUUCUUGCUCGGGGUCAGCGUGUCGCGGGGGGACGACGCUUGCCUUCGUCUUGAACGCGAGGUCGACGUCCGGCGUGCCUUCCGUCGGGGCGUCGGGGGCGUCGAUUCGCUCGACGGCCAACGAAGCGUGGCCUCCCGCUUGGCCUUGAUGGCCCCGCCUCCUCCUCCGUUGGCGGGGGAGAGAACGGAGCGAGCUCGAAUGUUGCUCUUCCACCACGCGGGGAAGAUGUCGUCGAUUCCGCCGCCGGCGAGCGGGUUGUCGGCCGCCAUUGUCGUUGUCGCGCGGCGGUGGAAGAAGUAUCAUGUCGUAGCUGCCGUCGAAGGACAUGAACUCAAGAGUCCCGAAACGAAGCACCGCUCCGGGCCGGAGAGGUUGCUGGAGACUGCCCAUCUGGAGCUUGACGGGGAGCUGUUCGUCAGCACGCAGCAGGCCCCUACCUGGCGCGCCAACUGUCGGCGUUUCGAGACAGGGGGGUCCCAAAGCCGACGAGUGAGUGUGCUGCGUGCCCCAGCCCAGAUGGGUCGAGCGCGUGGGCGAGCGCGAAGGGGGGAGAGGCGAGGUGGCCGGAGUCGAGCGUGAGAGAGGUGGAAGUCCCGCGGCCUUCGUGUUCGUCCCGCGCCCAGGUCGGGUGCGCUUGUAGUAGGGGGGUUACAAGCGUCCACGCGGGUGAGGGAAGCGAGCGGCCCCAAGAGAGCGCCUGUCCCGUCCUCGGUCCCGCGCGGCCAACCUUCUCUAAGAAGGCCCUGGUCCUCCCUUUUAUAGUCGUAAGGAGAGGAUCCAGGUGUACAAUGGGGGGUGUAGCAGAGUGCUACGUGUCUAGCGGAGAGAGAGCUAGUGCCCUAGGUACAUGCCAAUGUGGCAGCCGGAGAGGUCUUGGCACCUUGCUGGCGUGAUGUCGUGGCUGUCGGAGGUGCGACGGAGCCUGGCGGAGGGACAGCUGUUGGAGCGGUCGAGUCCUUGCUGACGUCGCCCUGCUUCCGUAAGAGAGCUGGGGGCCGCCGUCGUCAUAGAGCUUGUGGAGCGCCAUCAUUGCCCAUCCGGCGGAGCUGGCCGGAUGGGACGCCGAUCUUGUUCUCCGUGACCCGAGUCGAUUCGGGGUAGGACGAUGAUGGCGCUUCCUGUUGACGUGGCGGGUCUGUGCCCUAGGCAGGGUGACGUGGGGGCUCCUCCGAAGCCGAGGUUGAGUCUGUCUUCUGUUGCCGAGGCCGAGUCCGAGCCAUGGGGUCGGGCGAGGCGGAGGUCGUUCGGCCGAGGCCAGGCGGAGUCCGAGCCCUGGGGUCGGGCGAGGCGGAGUUUCGUCGUCUUCCGGGUCUUAGCCCGAGUCCGAGCCCUGGGGUCGGGUGGAGCGGAGUUCGCCGUCUUCCGGGUCUUAGCCCGAGUCCGAGCCCUGGGGUCGGGCGGAGCGGAGUUCGCCGUCUUCCGGGUCUUAGCCCGAGUCCGAGCCCUGGGGUCGGGCGGAGCGGAGUUCGCCGUCUUCCGGGUCUUAGCCCGAGUCCGAGCCCUGGGGUCGGGUGGAGCGGAGUUCGCCGUCUUCCGGGUCUUAGCCCGAGUCCGAGCCCUGGGUCGGGCGGAGCGGAGUUCGCCGUGGCGUCUUUGGCAAGGCCUGACUGUCUGUCAGACUCACUCUGUCGAGUGGCACCGCAGUCGGAGUGGCGCAGGCGGCGCUGUCCUUCUGUCAGACUGGUCAGUGGAGCGGUGGAGUGACGGCGGUCACGUCGGCUCUACCGGGGGGGGGGCGCGUGUCAGGAUAAAGGUGUCAGGCCACCUUUGCGUUAAAUGCUCCUGCAACUCGGUCAGUCGGUGUGGCGAUUUAGUCAGGGUUGCUUCUGAGCGAAGCCAAGGCCUCGGGCGAGCCGGUGAUGUGUCCGCCGUAAAAAAGGGGGGGCCUCGGGCGAGACGGAAGUCUCUCGAGGUCGGCUGCCCUUGGCCGAGGCUAGGCUCGGGUGAAGCGUGAUCGAGUCACUCGUGCGGACUGAUCCCUGACUUAAUCGUACCCAUCAGGCCUUUGCAGCUUUAUGCUGAUGGGGGUUACCAGCUGAGAAUUAGGCGUCUUGAGGGUACCCCUAAUUAUGGUCCCCGACAAUAAUCAUAUAGGGAUGAAAACGGACAGAAACAGACGGAAAACCUCUCUGCCGUUUCUGUAUCGCAUUUUAUCAUCGGAAACGGGAUUAGGUCAGGAAUAGUCGGGAACUGAAACAGGAACGGGAUAAACGGAAUUUAGGAAAUCUCCGGCUGGGUGGCGGAAUGCACCCGCCCUAAAUCCUAAGAUGAGGAGGGGCCUAAGCGUUUUGCUUGUUAGUUGGAAAAUAGGGAGAACACAAGAACACACAAGGAUUUAGAGUGGUUCGGGCCGCCGGAGCAUAACACCCUACUCCACUGUGUGAUGUAUUGAGCUUGUAUGAACUUGUGAGUGUCUAAGUGUGCUUGAGUCUGUCCGUGUGAGCCUUUUUUCUCCUUGUGUAACGGUGCAUGCCUCUCCUUUUAUAGCUAAGGGGAGCACGUACAAGGGUACUGAGCCCCGACAUGUGGGCCCAGGAACAUAACGGAUGUAAUACUUGGAGCAACUAAUGUUCGUUGCUGGAGCAAUCUUCUUACGUCCUGACAUCCGUGAUCUGCGUAGUAUUGACGUGCAGGAGAAGCUUCCCUGGUAACGUAUAAGUGAUGAUGGACACAGUGCACCUCGCAGUACGGGCGUACUGUUUGACAAUGGACUAGACAGGUAUGCCGCUUGCAGGAUGGUCUAGACGCCGCGUGCCAGCGGAGUGGACAGAACACAUUAAAUGCUGAGGGGGCACAUCGUCUGUCAGCGGGAUAGACAGCGGCGUGUCUUCUCCGCAAUAAAUGUAGUUAUAGAUUUCUACAAGAACCUGGGGUUCCAAGUUGAUCCUCAAGGCAUCAAGAGCAUGUUCUGGUACCCCAGAUUUUAGCACCAGCAGCCAGAUAUAUCGUUCGAGGGGUUGUUGUACUUGAAGCAUCUCCACGUUCUGAAAGGGUAAUUGCAGGUCAGAUUGACAGGUCAGGGCUCCACGCCCUGAUGGAUCUCGCACUUAAUAUUUCAUCCUUGGUGAGAAGCUGUAAUUUUCUUCAAUGCUAAAACGACCAUGUGAUCGGUUCAACUCGCCGCACCCCUGUUGUAACCAUAACCCCAACAAAACACGCUAUUUGUAAUACCCGUGUUUCAUACAUGCGCUCUGGACUCUUGUCAUCUGUAUGUAACGUACGUUUUCAAAUUUCUACACUCGAAAUGGGAAAAAAACUGUAUCCAUCAGUUAUCCACUAGGAGAGUGUCAGUGCGUUGCAACAGGAACAUAUAAAACUAUGAUAAUCUAUGUAUAAAUGUGUGUUAUACUUUUAUAGGAGAGUGCUCGUGCGUUGCAACGGGAACAUAUAAAACCACGAUAAUCUAUGUACAAAUGUGUGGUAUACUUUUAUAAGAAAAGGUUCCGUAAUCUACUUGUGAUCCUACUAUACAUAAAUUUUGUUAUUUUAAUCUACCUAUUUCACUACUACAUUGCUACAAUCAGCACCAUACCGACUUCUAUAUAUAAUAGGUCAGUGCCCGUGCGUUGCAACUGAGACAUAUAAUAUCUCGAUAACUUAUAUAUGCACAUGUGUUAUAUAUAGAAAAUUUGUCUUAUAUUGUUAUAGUAAGAUGCCCGUCCUAACGAUACUACGAACCUAAAAGGCAAUAAAAUUAAUUAGGAUAAUAAGAUGUGCAAAAAACAUGAAUCUUUGUUUAUUAUUAUUAUUAUUAUUAAUAAGCGUUGAAAUCUUGGUAAGGUGACAAAUUAAAAUGAAGUGAAUAUACAUUAAGGAUAAUAAUUUUCUGUAAAAGUUGAGUAUCAUUACAAAUAAAAUCACAUCUAUUUGAUGUGCCUAAUAAUUUCUUGUAUUUCUUCUGGAAUGUUGUCUUUGGAUUCAUUGUCCUUGUACUUCAAUAAUUCUACUAAGAAUUUGGUCCUCAGGACAUUCCCAUUCUGCGCAUUCAUUAUUAAAUAUCAUUAAACUCGAUUAAUAAUCAAUUAUAGAAGAACAAUAUUGACAAAAUAUUAGAACAAAUAGGGUACUCACGGUGCAAAUGCAGGGUAACCUUAUACCAUUCUGAAAGGGAAUUAGGCUUACACCUAUUUCCUAAUUGAUUUUGGUGGUUGAAUUGCCCAACACAAAUAAUUGGACUAACUAGUUUGCUCUAGUCUAUAAGUUAUACAGGUGCCAAAGGUUCACAAUAAGCCAAUAAAAAGACCAAGAAAAGGGUUCAAACAAAAGAGCAAAAGACAACCCGGAAGGCACCCUGGUCUGGCGCACCGGACUGUUCGGUGUGCCACCGGACAGUGUCCGGUGCACCAGGGAACUCGACGCCAAACUCUUCACCUUCGGGAAUUUUCAGAGGAGAUCCGCUAUAAUUCACCGGACUGUCCAGUGCACCACCGGACAGUGUCCGGUGCCCCAAGGGAGAGCAACUCUAAACUCGCCAGCUUCGGGAAUCCGCUCCGCUAUAAUUCACCGGACUGUCCGGUGAGUCACCGGACAGUGUCCGGUGCACACCAGACUAUCCGGUGUGACAGCGGAGCAACGCUACUUCACGCGCAACGGUCGACUGCAACGCAUUAAAUGCGUGCCUGCGCGCGCAGAGGAGCAGAGCACGCGCGGGUGGCACACCGGACAGCCUACGGGGCCUGUCCGGUGCACCACCGGAUAGUCCAGAGGCCCCACAAGUCAGAGCUCCAACGGUCGGAACCCAACGGCCAGGUGACGUGGCUGGCGCACCGGACAGUGUCCGAUGGCGCACCGGACUGUCCGGUGCGCCCGUCGACAGCAGCCUCCACCAACGGUCAAGUUUGGUGGUUGGGGCUAUAAAUACCCCAACCACCCCCACAUUAAAGUCAUCCAAGUUUUCCCACUUCUACACCUUACAAGAGCUAGCAUUCAAUACAAGACACACCAAAGUGAUCAAAUCCUCUCCCAAUUCCACACAAAGUUUUAGUGAUUAGUGAGAGAGAUUUGUUGUGUUCAUUUGAGCUCUUGCGCUUGGAUUGCUUCUUUUUCUCAUUCUUUCUUGUGAUCAUCUCAAUUGUAAUCAAGGCAAGAGACACCAAUUGUGUGGUGGUCCUUGCGGGAAGUUUGGUUCCCGUUUGAUUGAGAAGAGAAGCUCACUCGGUCCGAGGGACCGUUUGAGAGAGGGAAAGGGUUGAAAGAGACCCGGUCUUUGUGACCACCUCAACGGGGAGUAGGUUUGCGAGAACCGAACCUCGGUAAAACAAAUCCUUGUGUCUCACUCUUUAUUCACUUGCGAUUUGUUUUCACGCCCUCUCUCGGACUCAUUUACAUUUCUAACGCUAACCCGGCUUGUAGUUGUGAUUAAGUUUGUAAAUUUCAGAUUCGCCCUAUUCACCCCCUCUAGGCGACUUUCAAUUGGUAUCAGAGGCCGGUGCUUCAUUAAAGCCUAACCGCUCGAAGUGAUGUCGGGAGAUCACGCCAAGAAGGAGAUGGUGACCGGUGAGAAGCCCGCUACAAGCCACGGGAAGGCUCCAUCGGGAGAGUCCUACAACAAAGGGAAAGGGAAGGAAAAAGAAUCCCCUUCACACAAGUCGCGUCGGAGCGGUGACAAGAAGAAGAUGAGGAAGGUGGUCUACUACGAGAUCGACUCCUCGUCGCCAUCCACCUCCGGCUCCAACACGCCGUCCGUAACUUAUAAGCGCCAUGAGCGCAAGAAGUUUAGUAAGAUCCCCCUACGCUAUCCUCGCAUUCCUAAACAUACGCCUUUACUUUCCGUCCUAUUAGGCAAACCACCAAUGUUUGAUGGUGAAGAUUAUGCUAGGUGGAGUGAUUUGAUGCGAUAUCACCUAACCUCACUCCACAAAAGUAUAUGGGAUGUUAUUGAGUUUGGUGUACAGGUACAAUCCGUAGGGGAUGAAGAUUAUGAUAAGGAUGAAGUGGCCCAAAUCCAACACUUCAACUCCCAAGCCACAACUAUACUCCUCGCCUCUCUAAGUCGAGAGGAGUAUAACAAGGUGCAAGGGUUGAAAAGUGCUAAGGAGAUUUGGGACACGCUAAAAACCGCGCACGAAGGAGACGAGGUGACCAAGAUCACCAAGCGGGAGACGAUCGAAGGGGAGCUCGGUCGCUUCCGACGCCAAGGGGAAGAGCCACAAGACAUGUACAACCGGCUCAAAACCUUGGUGAACCAAGUGCGCAACCUCGGGAGCAAAAAAUGGGAUGACCACGAAAUGGUUAAGGUUAUUCUAAGAUCACUUGUUUUCCUUAACCCUACUCAAGUUCAAUUAAUUCGUGGCAAUCCUAGAUAUACACUAAUGACUCCCGAGGAAGUAAUCGGGAAUUUUGUGAGCUUUGAAUUGAUGAUCAAAGGCUCAAAGAAGAUCAACGAGCUUGAUGGCCCCUCCACUCCGAAGCACAACCGGUCGCAUUCAAAGCGACGGAGGAAAAGAAGGAGGAGUCUACAUCAAUUAGACAACCAAUCGACGCCUCAAAGCUCGACAAUGAGGAGAUGGCGCUCAUCAUCAAGAGCUUCCGCCAAAUCCUCAAACAAAGGAGGGGGAAAGAUUACAAGCCCCGCUCCAAGAAAGUUUGCUACAAAUGUGGUAAGCCCAGUCAUUUCAUUGUUAAAUGUCCAUUAUCUAGUGAUAGUGACAGGGGCGACGACAAGAAGGGGAGAAGAAAGGAGAAGAAAAGAUACUACAAGAAGAAGGGCGACGAUGCCCAUGUUUGCCGGGAAUGGGACUCCGACGAGAGCUCCACCGACUCCUCCUCCGACGAGGACGCCGCAAACAUCGCCGUCACCAAGGGUCUUCUCUUCCCCAACGUCGGCCACAAGUGCCUCAUGGCAAAGGACGGCAAAAAGAAGAAGGUUAAAUCCAAAUCCUCCACUAAAUAUGAGUCUCUAGUGAUGAUAAUGCUAGUGAUGAGGAGGAUAAUUUGUGUACCCUUUUUGCCAACCUAAACAUGCAACAAAAAGAAAAAUUAAAUGAAUUAAUUAGUGCCAUCCAUGAAAAGGAUGAACUCUUGGACACCCAAGAGGACUUCCUAAUCAAGGAAAACAAAAAGCAUGUUAAGGUUAAAAAUGCUUACGCUCUAGAAGUUGAAAAAUGUGAAAAAUUAACUAGUGAGCUAAGCACUUGCCAUGAUGUCAUUGCCAACCUUAGAAAUGAGAAUGCAAAUUUAAUUGCUAAGGUUGAUUCAAAUGCUUGUGAUGUUUCAAUUCCCUAUCUUAGAAAUGAUAAUGUUGAUUUGCUUGCUAAGAUUGAAGAAUUGAACAUUUCUCUUGCUAGCCUUAGAAUUGAAAAUGAAAAAUUACUUGCUAAGGCUAAAGAAUUAGAUAUUUGCAAUGCUUCCAUUUCCAACCUUAGAAGUAAAAAUGAUAUAUUGCAUGCUAAGGUUGUAGAAUUAAAAUCUUGCAAACCCUCUACAUCUACCGUUGAACAUACUUCCAUUUGUACUAGAUGUAGAGACAUUAACAUUGAUGCUAUUCAUGAUCACAUGGCUUUAAUUAAACAACAAAAUGAUCAUAUAGCAAAAUUAGAUGCUAAAAUUGUCGAGCAUGACUUAGAAAAUGAAAAAUUUAAAUUUGCUAGAAGCAUGCUCUAUAGUGGGAGACGCCCUGGCAUCAAGGAUGGCAUUGGCUUCCAAAAGGGAGACAAUGCCAAACUUAAUGCCCCUCCUAAAAGACUGUCUAAUUUUGUUAAGGGUAAGGCUCCCAUGCCUCAGGAUAACGAGGGUUACAUUUUAUACCCUGCCGGUUAUCCCGAGAGCAAGAUUAGGAGAAUUCACUCUAGGAAGUCUCACUCUGGCCCUAAUCAUGCUUUUAUGUAUAAGGGUGAGACAUCUAGCUCUAGGCAAUCAACCCGUGCUAAAUUGCCUAAGAAGAAAACUCCUAGUGCAUCAAAUGAUCAUGACAUUUCAUUUAAAACUUUUGAUGCAUCUUAUGUUCUGACUAACAAAUCUGGCAAGGUAGUUGCCAAGUUUGUUGGGGGCAAACACAAGAGAUCAAAAACUUGUGUUUGGGUGCCCAAAGUUCUUGUAUCUAAUGCCAAAGGACCCAAAACAGUUUGGGUACCUAAAACAAAGAACUAAACUUGUUUUGUAGGUUUAUGCAUUCGGGGGCUCAAGUUGGAUAAUAGACAUCGGAUGCACAAACCACAUGACAGGGGAGAAGAAGAUGUUCUCCUCCUAUGAGAAAAACCAAGAUCCCCAACGAGCUAUUACAUUCGGGAUAGAAAUCAAGGUUUGGUCAAAGGUUUGGGUAAAAUUGCUAUAUCACCUGACCAUUCCAUUUCCAAUGUUUUUCUUGUAGAUUCUUUAGAUUACAAUUUGCUUUCCGUAUCUCAAUUAUGCAAAAUUGGCUACAACUGUCUUUUCACAGAUGUAGGUGUUACUGUCUUUAGAAGGAGUGAUGAUUCAAUAGCAUUUAAGGGAGUGUUAGAGGGUCAGCUAUACACUAGUACAGAGAAGUUCUAUAGUGGCGGUUGUAAACCUAUUUAUAGUGGCGUUUUUCGUAACCGCCAGUGCUAGGGGCCAGUGAAAAUCGAUUUUCACUGGCGGUCGGCUUAAUAAAACCGCCAGUGAAAAUCGAUUUUCACUGGCGGUCGACGUAAUAAAACCGCCAGUGCAAAUCGUUUCCAGGAAACAUAAAACAUAUUUUACAAAUAGUUAAAAAAUUUAUUUUUAUUAGGCCCACCCCACCCGCAUUUUUCGCGCAAAAUUCACGCGCUACGCGGUUGUUAGUAUUCGAACCGUCGACCUCACCCUCGCGCGUACCCUCCCCUACCACUCCGUCUAUGACAUGUCUUGUGUCUAGUUUGUAGUUGUUUUCUCCACAUAUUACAACCAUUUGAGUGUAAAAUGCUUAUUUGAGACACUAAACGAAUUCAAAUAAAAAAGUUGUCAACUACAAAGAUAAAUAACUUUUGAAGUUCUACAACUUUUAUUUUGACACUUUUUUCAUCCGAGGUAGUUUGCAAAAUUUGAAUUUUAAAUUUGACAUACUUAGAUUCAAUUUUUGAGAACCGAAAUGAGUUCAAACAAAAAAGUUGUCAACUACAAAGUUUCAUAACUUUUAGAGAUCUACAACUUUUAUUUUGGUGGUUUUGUCAUACGAGGCCGUUUGAAAAACUCAAAAAAUUAAGGAUAAAAAUGAUUUCUAGUGGCGGUUCCUUAAGAAAACCGCCACUAGAAAUCGUAUUUCUAGUGGCGGUUCCUUAAGAAAACCGCCACUACAAAUCAUGGAUUUCUACUGGCGGUUUUCUUAAGGAACCGCCAGUAGAAAUACGAUUUCUAGUGGCGGUUUUCUUAAGAAACCGCCACUAGAAAUAACACAGUCGGUGGAUAACCGAAACCGCCUGUAAAAAUAUAUCGUCCCCGCAGGCUUUGAGCCUUUUUGUACUAGUGAUACUUAGUAGAUUUUGAUAGAGCUGAACUCGACACUUGCUUAAUUGCUAAGACUAACAUGGGCUGGCUCUGGCAUCGCCGACUAGCACAUGUUGGAAUGAAGAAUCUUCACAAACUUCUAAAGGGAGAACACAUUUUGGGACUAACAAAUGUUCAUUUUGAGAAAGACAAGAUUUGUAGCGCAUGUCAGGCAGGAAAGCAAGUUGGUGUUCAUCAUCCACACAAGAACAUCAUGACGACUGAUAGGCCACUCGAGCUCCUACAUAUGACCUAUUCGGCCCGAUAGCUUACAUAAGCAUCGACGGGAGUAAGUACUGUCUAGUUAUUGUGGAUGAUUAUUCUCGCUUCACUUGGGUGUUCUUUUUGCAGGAAAAAUCUCAUACCCAAGAGACCUUAAAAGGAUUCUUGAGACGGGCUCAAAACGAGUUCGGCUUAAGGAUCAAGAAAAUUAGAAGCGACAACGGGACGGAGUUCAAGAACUCACAAAUCGAAGGCUUCCUUGAGGAGGAGGGCAUCAAGCAUGAGUUCUCUUCUCCCUACAUGCCACAACAAAAUGGUGUAGUGGAGAGGAAGAAUCGAACUCUAUUGGACAUGGCAAGAACCAUGCUUGAUGAGUACAAGACUUCGGAUCGGUUUUGGGCCAAGGCAGUCAACACCGCCUGCUACGCCAUCAACCGGUUGUAUCUACACCGAAUCCUCAAGAAGACAUCAUAUGAACUCCUUACUGGUAAAAAGCCCAAUAUUUCAUAUUUUAGAGUCUUUGGUAGCAAAUGCUUUAUUCUUGUUAAAAGAGGUAGAAAAUCUAAAUUUGCUCCUAAGACUGUAGAAGGCUUUUUACUAGGAUAUGAUUCAAACACAAGGGCAUAUAGAGUCUUUAACAAGUCUUCAGGACUAGUUGAAGUUUCUUGUGACAUUGUGUUUGAUGAGACUAACGGCUCUCAAGUAGAGCAAGUUGAUCUUGAUGAGAUAGGUGAUGAAGAGGCUCCGUGCAUCGCGCUAAGGAACAUGUCCAUUGGGGAUGUGUGUCCUAAGGAAUUCGAAGAGCCUCCAAAUGGACAAGAUCAACCAUCCUCCUCCACGUAAGCAUCUCCACCAACUCAAAAUGAGGAUGAGGCUCAAGUUGAUGAAGGAGAAAAUCAAAGAGAUGAGCCACCUCAAGAUGACGGCAAUGAUCAAGGGGGAGAUGCAAAUGAUCAUGAUAAGGAGGAUGAAGAACCAAGACCACCACACCCAAGAGUCCACCAAGCAAUCCAACGAGAUCACCUCGUCGACACCAUCCUCGGCGACAUUCAUAAGGGGGUAACCACUAGAUCUCGUAUUGCACAUUUUUGUGAGCAUUACUAUUUUGUUUCCUCUAUUGAGCCACACAGGGUAGAGAAAGCACUACAAGAUUCGGAUUGGGUGGUGGCGAUGCAAGAGGAACUCAACAAUUUCACUAGGAACGAGGUAUGGCAUUUGGUUCCACGUCCUAAUCAAAAUGUUGUAGGAACCAAGUGGGUCUUCCGCAACAAGCAAGACGAGCAUGGUGUGGUGACAAGGAACAAAGCCUGACUUGUGGCCAAGGGAUACUCACAAGUCGAAGGUUUGGAUUUUGGUGAAACCUAUGCACCCGUAGCUAGGCUUGAGUCAAUUCGUAUAUUACUUGCCUAUGCUACUUACCAUGGCUUUAAGCUUUAUCAAAUGGACGUGAAAAGUGCCUUCCUCAAUGGACCAAUCAAGGAGGAGGUCUAUGUUGAGCAACCUCCUGGCUUUGAAGAUAGUGAGUACCCUAAUCACGUAUACAAACUCUCUAAGGCGCUUUAUGGGCUCAAGCAAGCCCCAAGAGCAUGGUAUGAAUGCCUAAGAGAUUUUCUUAUCACUAAUGGCUUCAAAGUCGGAAAGGCCGAUCCUACUUUAUUUACUAAAACUCUUGAUAAUGAUUUGUUUGUAUGCCAAAUUUAUGUUGAUGAUAUCAUAUUUGGGUCUACUAAUGAAUCUACAUGUGAGGAAUUUAGUAGGAUCAUGACACAAAAAUUUGAGAUGUCCAUGAUGGGGGAGUUGAAGUACUUCUUGGGAUUUCAAGUGAAGCAACUCCAAGAGGGCACCUUCAUUAGCCAAACGAAGUAUAUUCAAGACAUUCUAAACAAGUUUGGGAUGAAGGAUGCCAAACCCAUCAAGACACCCAUGGGAACCAAUGGGCAUCUCGACCUCGACACGGGAGGUAAAUUCGUAGAUCAAAAGGUAUACCAGUCGAUGAUAGGUUCUUUACUAUAUUUAUGUGCAUCUCGACCGGAUAUUAUGCUUUUCGUAUGCAUGUGUGCAAGAUUCCAAGCCGACCCUAAGGAAGCUCACCUUACGGCCGUAAAACGAAUCUUGAGAUAUUUAGUUCAUACUCCUAAGUUUGGGCUUUGGUAUCCUAGGGGAUCCAUAUUUGAUUUAAUUGGUUAUUCGGAUGCCGAUUGGGCGGGGUGUAAAAUUAAUAGAAAGAGCACAUCGGGGACUUGCCAGUUCUUGGGAAGAUCCUUGGUGUCUUGGGCUUCAAAGAAGCAAAAUUCCGUAGCUCUUUCUACCGCCGAAGCCGAGUACAUUGCCGCAGGUCAUUGUUGCGCGCAACUACUUUGGAUGAGGCAAACCCUUAGGGACUACAGUUACAAAUUAACCAAAGUUCCUCUUCUAUGUGAUAAUGAGAGUGCAAUCCACAUGGCGGAUAAUCCCGUUGAGCAUAGCCGCACUAAACACAUAGCCAUUCGGUAUCAUUUCUUAAGGGAUCACCAACAAAAGGGAGAUAUCGAGAUUGCAUAUAUCAACACUAAGGAACAAUUAGCCGAUAUCUUUACCAAGCCACUUGAUGAACAAACUUUUAACAAACUUAGGCAUGAGCUAAAUAUUCUUGAUUCUAGGAAUUUCUUUUAAUGUCUUGCACACAAGCUCAUAAGUAUACCUUUGAUCAUGUCUCUUUUAUAUGCUAUGACUAAUGUGUUCUCUAGUAUAUUUCAAACCAAGUCAUAGUUGAAAGGGAAUUGGAGUCUUCGGCGAAGACAAAGGCUUCCACUCCAUAACUCAUCCUUCGCCGUCGCUCCGAGCAACUCUCCGUCUUUGGUAUAAUCUUCACUCAUGUCUUAUGUGCCAAAGGGGAUAAAGUAGUUAGCAAAGGGCUUAUAUUUUACUCAAGUAUCCGUUUUUGGCGAUUCAUGCCAAAGGGGGAGAAAGUAUUAGCCCAAAGCAAAAGGACCGCACCACCACCUUAUUUUUAAAAGAGUUUUUCAAAUUGGUAUCUCUUUGUGUUCAAAAGGGGGAGAAAGUAGCACAUUCAAAAAUUGAUAUCUUAAAACCCUCUUGAACACUAAGAGGAGGAUUUUAUCAAGGGGGAGUUUUGUUUUAGUCAAAGGAAAAGCAUUUCAAACAGGGGGAGAAAAUUUCAAAUCUUGAAAAUGCUUCUCAAAAUCUUAUUUAUUUACCUUUGACUAUUUGCAAAAAAAACUUUGAAAAGAAUUUACAAAAGAAUUUGCAAAACAAAACUUGUGGUGCAAGCGUGGUCCAAAAUGAUGAAAAUAAAGAAACAAUCCAUGCAUAUCUUAUGAGUAUUUAUAUUGGCUCAAUUCUAAGUAACCUUUGCACUUACAAAUAUGCAAACUAGUUCAAUUAUGCACUUCUAUACUUGCUUUGGUUUGUGUUGGCAUCAAUCACCAAAAAUGGGGAGAUUGAAAGGGAAUUAGGCUUACACCUAUUUCCUAAUUGAUUUUGGUGGUUGAAUUGCCCAACACAAAUAAUUGGACUAACUAGUUUGCUCUAGUCUAUAAGUUCUACAGGUGCCAAAGGUUCACAAUAAGCCAAUGAAAAGACCAAGAAAAGGGUUCAAACAAAAGAGCAAAAGACAACCCGGAAGGCACCCUGGUCUGGCGCACCGGACUGUCCGGUGCACCACCAGACAGUGUCCGGUGCACCACCGAACAGUGUCCGGUGCACCAGGGAACUCGACGCCAAACUCUUCACCUUCGGGAAUUUUCAGAGAAGCUCCGCUAUAAUUCACCGGACUGUCCGGUGCCCCAAGGGAGAGCAACUCUGAACUCGCCAGCUUCGGGAAUCCGCUCCGCUAUAAUUCACCGGACUGUCCGAUGAGUCACCGGACAGUGUCCGGUACACACCGGACUGUCCGGUGUGACAGCGGAGCAACGACUACUUCACACACAACGGUCGACUGCAACGCAUUAAAUGCGCGCCUGCGCGCGCAGAGGAGCAGAGCACGCGCGGGUGGCACACCGGACAGCCUACAGGGCCUGUCCGGUGCACCACCGGACAGUCCAAAGGCCCCACAAGUCAGAGCUCCAACGGUCGGAACCCAACGGCCAGGUGACGUGGCUGGCGCACCAGACAGUGUCCGGUGGCGCACCGGACUGUCCGGUGCGCCCGUCGACAGCAGCCUCCACCAACGGUCAAGUUUGGUGGUUGGGGCUAUAAAUACCCCAACCACCCCCACAUUCAAGUCAUCCAAGUUUUCCCACUUCUACACCUUACAAGAGCUAGCAUUCAAUACAAGACACACCAAAGUGAUCAAAUCCUCUCCCAAUUCUACACAAAGUUUUAGUGAUUAGUGAGAGAGAUUUGUUGUGUUCAUUUGAGCUCUUGCGCUUGGAUUGCUUCUUUUUCUCAUUCUUUCUUGUGAUCAUCUCAAUUGUAAUCAAGGCAAGAGACACCAAUUGUGUGGUGGUCCUUGCGGGAAGUUUGGUUCCCGUUUGAUUGAGAAGAGAAGCUCACUCGGUUCGAGGGACCGUUUGAGAGAGGGAAAGGGUUGAAAGAGACCCGGUCUUUGUGACCACCUCAACGGGGAGUAGGUUUGCGAGAACCGAACCUCGGUAAAACAAAUCCUUGUGUCUCACUCUUUAUUCGCUUGCGAUUUGUUUUCACACCCUCUCUCGGACUCGUUUACAUUUCUAACGCUAACCCGGCUUGUAGUUGUGAUUAAGUUUGUAAAUUUCAGAUUCGCCCUAUUCACCCCCCCUCUAGGCAACUUUCACAUUCCAAUCAUGCAUAAAGUUGAUAACAAGAAAGCCAGAUAAAUUCCUACAAAUUAAAAUAAUACGUUGUUACAUAUAUGUAGACAAAAUUAGUAAGUGGUUCGGGUUAAAAAAAUUACCAGUUUAAUGUUCUUGGAACCCAUGUUGGUACUAUACGACGCCACAUAUAAAUAUCGUCUUUCCAUGUAGGAUUGGCCAAUUCCAUGACAACAUUCAUAUUAUUGGCAAUAUAAUGUAUAUUAUGGAUAUUAUGCAUGCUAGGAUGAUCACCCUUAAACCAUGAUGGUAUAUGCAUGGAGUCCAUUAUAUAGAUGCUUCUAGUGUCCAUGUUAAGUACAUAUAAGGUGAAGUGACCCAAGAAAGAAUCGGGCAAUAGAAUCUGCAAGUUAAAAAAAUAGUUCAAGUAAGAGAAAAAACAAGAUUACAAAAAUGAUGAAGAGUAUAGCUUACUUGUUUGCAAUCUGAAACAUCGUACUCCAUGGCAGGCCAACAUUCUAAUAAUUUUGCCAACAUGUUGAUAUCUGGCUUUGCACGAAGGCGAGGGUCUCGAUCAAAUUUAGUUAUGGACUACUUUUUGUUAGUAAAAUAAUGAUAUAAUGAACACACUUAUAUGAAUAAAGACUAAUUACUUCAACUUACACAGAACUGUAGAUCCAUGUAGUGGUAUUUGUCUUCCAACAAGAACAAGGCAUCAUUGCAUGCGGUCAUCCGAACAGCCAUAUUAAAACAAUCUAUAUCCAUCGACUUAUUUACAUCCAAUAUAUCUUUAAGUUUUUGAAGACUUAAAGAAAUUGGAUAAGGUUUAGUGCUCUGAAUCCAAUGUUUCCUAUUAAAUGAACAUUUGUUUUUAUAGUUAAAGCAAUAACAUAUGUGUUGAAUAUUUACCAUGCAUAUACUAUAUUAAAUGAGAAUUAACUUACUUUAAAUAUUUGGCGUUGUCUAUCUCCAUGAUAUAUGUGCAUAAUACAAACAUCAGUUCUUGUGUGUUUGUUGAUGUUACUUUAGCAGGCAGAACAUAUGGAGAUAUAUAUGGUUCAAUCUGAUGUGAUGUAUUUGACGAUUUACAUAACUCACAUGGAGUAUCGAUUAUUUGAACAUCACUUGAACUCUCUCCAUCUUCAUCCACAUUGUGAUCAAGAUUUUGAUGGCUUUUCUUUGUGUUUAAUCUCGAAUCCCAUAAUAUUGUAGGUAGCUUAAACCUAAACAUUGUUAUAUCAUCCUGCAAGUAUAUAAAUUAGAACAAAAGAAACAUUGUUCCUAUAAAUAUACGUCCUCUACAUGAGUUACGUUAUCAGAUAGGGAGGAUUCUGCCCAGUAUUCCAUAUAGUUUAUCAUCCAUAGCCCGCAAGAUACCCUAAUAUGAAAUUUAACAGAUCAGGUGAGUUUCUAUGUAUAUAUGAAAAUAAAUACAACCAAUUUUGUAGAGUUGUGGUCACAUGAAUUUUAUCCAUCGGUUUGCAUUUGUGUUGUGAUCUUCUCUAUAACUGGCCAUGAUGCAACAUCAAGGUUCGACCACUUGCCUUGGUAAAGCUCUUUAUGUUCUGCUGCAAGUUUAAUCUGUCUUUCUAGACCUUUUAACUAUGUGUUUAUAUAAAACAUAUCACGAUUUAUAGAUAACAAAUAAUGUAAUGAUGAAAUAAUCAUAAUAUAAAAGAAAUAAUUACUCACUGUAGUAUAAAGGUCUCGACGAUCCGUUAUUUGUUGUCCCAUAGAAUCAAGUACAUGUACCUCACUUUUUUUUUGCAUUCAGAACUGCCAGGUACUAGUGAAAAUUUUCUAUAUUCAUUUGUCGGCGUUUCGAACCCGGGGGGUCCCUGGACCGACGAGUAAAUUGUCGCCGUGUUUCCCAGCCCAGAUGGGUCGGCACGAGACGGAGCGCAAAGGGGGGAAAAAGCCGGAGGGAGACAGGCGUAAAAGGGGAAACCCGCGGCCUUCGUGUUUGUCCCGCGCCCAGGUCGGGUGCGCUUGCAGUAGGGGGUUACAAACGUCCACGCGGAAGGGAGCGAGAGGCUUACGCGAGCGCCGUCCCGUCCUUCCCCGCGCGGCCAACCCCCUGUAAGAGGGCCCUGGACCUUCCUUUUAUAGGCGUAAGGAGAGGAUCCAGGUGUACAAUGGAGGUGUAGCAGUGUGCUAACGUGUCUAGCAGAGAAGAGCUAGUGCCCUGAGUACAUGCCAUCGUGGCAGCCGGAGAGGUUUUGGCACCCGGUUCGUGUGGUGUCGUGGCCGUCGGAGGAGCGCUGGAGCCUGGCGGAAGGACAGCUAUCGGGGCUGUCGAGUCCUUGCUGACGUCUCCUUGCUUCCGUAAGGGGCUGAGAGCCGCCGUCGUCAUAGAGCAUGCGGGGCGCCAUCAUUACUUGUUUACCGGGGCGAGCCAGAUGGGACGCCGGUCUUGUUCCCCGUAGCCUGAGUUAGCUUGGGGUAGGGUAAUGAUGGCGCCUCCUGUGACGUGGUCGGUCCGAGCCCUGGGUUAGGCGAGGUGGAGGCUCCUCCGAGGUCGAGGUCGAGUCUGUCUUUCGAGGCCGAGGUCGAGUCCGAGCCCCUGGGUCGGGCGAGGCGGAGAUCGUCGGCUGAGGCCAGGGCUGAGUCCAAGCCCUGAGGUCGGGCGAUGCGGAGUUCGUCGUCUUCCGGGGCUGAGCCCGAGUCCGAGGCUUGGGGUCGGGCGAAGCGGAGUUCGUCGUCUUCCAGGGCUGAGCCCAAGUCCGAGCCCUGGGGUCGGGCGAAGCGGAGUUCGUCGUCUUCCGGGGCUGAGCCCGAGUCCGAGCCCUGGGGUCGGGCGAAGCGAAGUUCGUCGUCUUCCGGGGCCGAGCCCGAGUUCGAGCGCUUCGGGCGAUGCAGAGUUUCCUAUGGCGCCUGAGGGCGGACUUGGCUGCUGUCAGCCUCACUCUGUCGAGUGGCAUAGCAGUCGGAGCGGCGCAGGCGGCGCUGUCCUCUUGUCAGACCGGUCAGUGGAGCGGCGAAGUGACUGCGGUCACUUCGGCUCUGUCGACUGAAGGGCGCGCGUCAGGAUAAGGUGCUAGGCCACCUUUGCAUUAAAUGCUCCUGCGAUACGGUCGGUCGGCGUGGUGACUUGGCCAAGGUUGCUUCUUGGCAAAGACUGGGCCUCGGGCGAGCCGAAGGUGUCCNNNNNNNNNNNNNNNNNNNNNNNNNNNNNNNNNNNNNNNNNNNNNNNNNNNNNNNNNNNNNNNNNNNNNNNNNNNNNNNNNNNNNNNNNNNNNNNNNNNNGAAUAUCCACCGGCGACGUACGACUAUAAUUCACCGGACUGUCCGGUGUGCACCGGACUGUCCGGUGAGCCAACGGUCGGCCGGGCCAACGGUCGGCCGCGCAAUCUGCGCGGGACACGUGGCCGAGCCAACGGCUAGAAGAAGGCACCGGACUGUCCGGUGUGCACCGGACAUGUCCGGUGCGCCAACAGCUCUCUGGCUGUCAACGGUCGACUGCGCUAGUUAUGGAAAGAAAUCGGGCACCGGACAUGUCCGGUGUGCACCGGACUGUCCGGUGCGCCAGUCGACAGAAGGCAAGAUCAGCCUUCCUAGAUUGCUCUCAACGGCUCCUAGCUGCCUUGGGGCUAUAAAAGGGACCCCUAGGCGCAUGGAGGAGAACACCAAGCAUACUUACAACAUUCCUAAGCACCAAGUCAUCGAUUCUGUGCAUUUGUUUCUUUGUGAUAGCAUAUAGAGCUCUUGUGGAGUUGUGAACUCAUUGGGUUGUGUUGCGAGCUCUUGUUGCGACUUGUGUGCGUGUUGUUGCUCUGAUCUGUGAGUCUUGUGUGAGUUGCUCAUCCCUCCCUUACUCCGUGAUUCUUUGUGAACAUCAAAAGUGUAAGGGCGAGAGGCUCCAAGUUGUGGAGAUUCCUCACGAACGGGAUAAGAAAAGAAAAGCAAAACACUGUGGUACUCAAGUUGAUCAUUGGAUCACUUGAGAGGAGUUGAGUGCAACUCUCGUCCGUUGGGACGCCACAACGUGGAGUAGGCAAGCGUUGGUCUUGGCCGAACCACGGGAUAAACCACUGUGUCAUCUCUGUGAUUGUUCUCUUGUGGUUAUUGUGUUUUGCUAAGACAUCUCUUUAGCCACUUGGAAAUUAUUGUGCUAACGAUUAACCGUGUUUUGUGGCUUAAGUUUUCAAGUUUCACAGGAUCACCUAUUCACCCCCCUCUAGGUGCUCUCAGCAGGCACUGGGUCUGCCAGUUUCGAUUAGGCGUGACCCCGCUUCGCUCCUCCUCGACGCGCAGUGCCUCACCCUCGGGGGCCGAGGGUACCUCGGGCUGAGCCGAGGGUGCCUCGGGCUGGGCCGAGGCCUUCUCGGGCUCGGGCGUGUCGUCGGUCUUGACGGAGGGUUGAUGCAGGUCUCGGAGAAGACGUCCGGGGGAACCGUUGUUCGCCCCGAGGCUAUUUUAGCCAGCUCGUCCGCAGCCUCAUUGUAGCGUCGGGCGAUGUGGUUGAGCUCGAGCCCGUAGAACUUGUCUUCCAGGCGCCGAACCUCAUCGUAGUAGGCUUCCAUCUUCGGGUCACGACAGUGGGAGUUCUUCAUGACUUGGUCAAUGACGAGCUGCGAGUCACCGCGAGCGUCGAGGCGUCGGACCCCUAGCUCGAUGGCGAUGCGCAACCCGUUGACCAGAGCCUCGUACUCGGCCACAUUAUUGGACGCCGGGAAAUGGAGGCGUAGCACGUAGCGUAGGUGCUUCCCGAGGGGCGAGAUGAAGAGCAGGCCCGCGCCUACUCCUGUCUUCAUCAGCGACACGUCGAAAAACAUGGUCUAGAGUUCCGGUUGGAUUGGAACUGUCGGGAGCUGGGUAUCGACCCAUUCAGCCACAAAGUCCGCCAAGACUUGGGACUUGAUGGCCUUCCAAGGGGCGAACGAGAUUGUCUCGCCCAUGAUUUCCACCGCCCACUUCGCAAUCCUACCCGAGGCCUCUCGGCAUUGGAUGAUCUCCCCCAGGGGGAAGGAUGACACCACAGUCACCGGAUGAGACUCGAAGUAGUGUCGCAACUUCCGUCGCGUCAGGAUCACCGCGUACAACAGCUUCUGAAUUUGUGGGUAGCGGAUCUUGGUCUCUGACAGUACCUCACUGAUGAAGUAGACUGGUCUCUGGACGGGCAAUACAUGCCCCUCUUCUCGUCUCUCAACCACGAUCGCGGCGCUAACCACCUGAGUGGUAGCGGCGACGUAGAUCAAGAGGGCUUCUUCGGCAGCGGGGGGGGGGGGCACCAAGAUGGGCGCGUUCGUGAGGAGCGCCUUCAGGUUCACGAGGGCUUCCUCGGCCUCAGGGGUCCAAGUGAAGCACUCGGCCUUUCUUAAGAGGCGGUAUAGAGGCAAGCCUCUUUCGCCGAGGCGCGAGAUGAAACGGCUCAGAGCCGUAAGGCAUCCCGUGACCCUCUGUACGCCUUUCAAGUCCUUGAUGGGCCCCAUGCUGGUGAUGGCCGCGAUUUUCUCCGGGUUGGCCUCGAUGCCCCACUCGGAGACGAUGAACCCCAAGAGCAUGCCUCGGGGGACCCCAAAGACACACUUCUCGGGAUUGAGCUUUACGCCUUUUGCCUUGAGACACCGGAAUGUCGUUUCAAGGUCAGAAAGGAGGUCGGAGCUUUCCUCGUCUUGACUACGAUGUCGUCGACAUAGGCCUCGACCGUUCGACCAAUGUGUUCGCCGAACACGUGGUUCAUGCACCUUUGGUAUGUCGCACCCGCAUUCCUCAAACCGAACGGCAUGGUAACAUAGUAGUACAUGCCGAAGGGUGUGAUGAAAGAAGUCGCGAGCUGGUCGGACUCUUUCAUCCUGAUUUGGUGAUACCCUGAGUAGGCAUCGAGGAAAGACAUGGUUUCACACCCAACAGUGGAAUCCACGAUUUGAUCGAUGCGAGGCAGAGGGUAGGGAACUUUUGGACAUGCUUUGUUUAGACCAGUGUAGUCUACACACAUCUGCCAUUUCCCUCCUUUCUUUCUCACAAGCACAGGGUUGGCAAGCCAUUCGGGAUGGAAUACCUCUUUGAUGAACCCUGCCGCCAUUAGCUUGUGGAUCUCCUCGCCUAUGGCUCUGCGCUUUUCUUUGUCGAAUCGGCGCAGAGGCUGCUUCAUGGGUCGGGCUCUAGCUCGGAUAUCCAGCGAGUGCUCGACGACAUCCCUCGGUAUGCCGGGCAUGUCCGAGGGACUCCACGCGAAAACGUCGGCGUUUGCGCGGAGGAAGUCGACGAGCACUGCUUCCUAUUUGGGGUCGAGCUCGGAGCCGAUCCGUAUCUGCUUGGAGGCGUCGUUGCUGGGGUUGAGAGGGACAGACUUAACUGUCUCCGCUGGCUCGAAGUUGCCGACGUGGCACUUCACGUCUGGCGCCUCCUUAGAGAGGCUCUCCAGGUCGGCGAUGAGGGCCUCGGAUUCGGCGAGGGCCUCGGCGUACUCCACGCACUCCACAUCGCAUUCGUACGCGUGUCGGUAUGUGGGGCCGACGGUGAUGACCCCAUUGGGGCUCGACAUCUUGAGCUUGAGGUAGGUGUAGUUGGGGACGACCAUGAACUUGGCGUAGCAUGGCCUCCCCAACACCGCGUGGUAGGUUCCUCGGAACCCGACCACCUCGAACGUGAGGGUCUCCCUUCAGAAGUUGGAGGGUGUCCCAAAGCAGACGGGUAGAUCGAGUUGUCCGAGGGGCUGGACACGUUUCCCGGGGAUGAUCCCGUGAAAAGGCGCAGCGCCUGCCCGGACCGAGGACAGAUUGAUCCGCAGGAGCCCGAGGGUCUCGGCGUAGAUGAUGUUGAGGCUGCUGCCUCUAUCCAUGAGGACCUUGGUGAGCCUGACGUUGCCGAUGACAGGGUCGACAAUGAGCGGAUAUUUCCCCGGGCUUGGCACGCGGUCGGGAUGGUCGCCCUGGUCGAAGGUGAUGGGCUUGUCAGACCAGUCUAGGUAGACUGGCGCCGCCACCUUUACCGAGCAGACCUCCCGACGCUCUUGCUUGCGGUGCCGAGCCGAGGCGUUCACCACUUGCCCACCGUAGAUCAUGAAGCAGUCGUGGACCUCGGGGAACUCUCCUGCCUUGUGAUCCUCCUUCUUAUCAUCGUCGCGGGCCCUGCCACCUUCCGCAGGUGGCCCGGCCUUGUGAAAGUGGCGCCAAAGCAUGGCGCACUCCUCAAGGGUGUGCUUGACGGGCCCCUGAUGAUAGGGGCACGACUCCUUGAGCAUCUUGUCGAAGAGGUUGGCACCUCCAGGAGAUUUCCGAGGGUUCUUGUACUCAGCGGUGGCGACAAGGUCCGCAUCGGCGGCGUCGCGUUUCGCUUGCGACUUCUUCUUGCCUUUCUUCUUGGUGCCGCGCUGAGUGGACGCCUCGGGAACAUCUUUCGGCUGGCGGCCCUAGGGCUGCUUGUCCUUCCGGAAGAUGGCCUCAACCGCCUCCUGGCCAGAGGCGAACUUGGUGGCGAUGUCCAUCAGCUCGCUUGCCCUGGUGGGGGUCUUGCGACCCAGCUUGCUCACCAGGUCGCGGCAGGUGGUGCCGGCGAGGAACGCGCCGAUGACAUCUGAGUCGGUGACGUUGGGCAGCUCGGUGCGCUGCUUCGAGAAUCGCCGGAUGUAGUCCCGGAGAGACUCCCCUAGCUGCUGGCGGCAGCUUCGGAGAUCCCAGGAGUUCCCAGGGCGCACGUACGUGCCCUGGAAAUUGCCAGCGAAGGCUUGGACCAGGUCGUCCCAGUUGGAGAUCUGCCCCGGAGGCAGGUGCUCCAGCCAGGCCCGAGCGGUAUCGGAGAGGAACAGGGGGAGGUUGCGGAUGAUGAGGUUGUCAUCAUCCGUUCCACCCAGGUGGCAGGCCAGCCAGUAGUCCGCAAGCCACAGUUCCGGCCUUGUCUCCCUCGAGUACUUUGUGAUAGUAGUCGGGACUCGGAACCGGGUCGGGAACGGCGCCCGUCGUAUGGCCCGGCUGAAAGCCUGCGGACUGGGUGGUUCGGGCGAGGGGCUCCGAUCCUCCCCGCUGUCGUAGCGUCCCCCACGCCUGGGGUGGUAGCCACGGCGCACCUUCUCGUCGAGGUGGGCUCGACGGUUGCGGUGAUGGUGCUCGUUGCCGAGGCGACCCGGGGCCGCAGGCGCUGUGUUGCGCGUGCGCCCGGUGUGGACCGAGGCUUCCCGCAUGAAUCGGGAAGUCGCGGCGCGAUGUUCCGAGGGGUACCCCUACCUUCGGGAGGCAGAGCUUUCGGCCCGUCGGACCGCGGUAUCCUCCAGGAGAUUCUUGAGCUCUCCCUGGAUACGCCGCCCCUCGAUGGUAGAUGGCUCUGGCAUCGCGCGGAGAAGUAUUGCCGCUGCAGCCAGGUUCUAGCCGACCCCACUGGAGGCCGGUGGUGGCCUUGCCCUGGCAUCGUCGGCGAUGCGGUGCUGGGUGCCCUGGGGUAGAUGAUGCGCUUCUCCGGCUGGAGGUUGGCCCGCCCAUUCCUGCCCGAUGUCUCGGCGGAACGGCUCAAGUGUUCCUGCUCCCUCGUCGAGCCUGGCCUGCAUCUCGCGGAUUUGCUCGAGCUGUGGGUCAUGACCCCCCGUCGGGACAGGGACCACAGCUAGCUCCCGAAGGAUGUCAACGCGAGGCACAUGCCUAGGGGGAUCACCGUUCUCCGGUAUACCAAGAUGGUUGCCUUCGUCGGGACCCCCUAGAUCGACGUGGAAACAUUCACGACUUGGGCCGCAGUCCUCGUCGCCGAGGCUGUGGCUACCGUCGGAAUAGUCGGAAAGGCAGUAGUCGCAUGCGGUCAUGAAGUCCCGCAUGGCACUGGGGUUACCAAGUCCGGAGAAAUCCCAACAGAAGUCGGGCUCGUCAUCUUCCUCGGAACCCGAGGGCCCAUAGGUUGAGACGGCCGUCAGCCGUUCCCAGGGUGACCGCAUACGAUACCCCAGAGGGUUUGGACUCGCCUCUAUGAGAGCGUCCACCAAAGCGAAGUCGCUUGGUGGGUCGAGGCUGAAUCCAAAAGGCACGAGAUGGGAAUCGAUCGGUACCUCUUGGUCGACGGGCGAUGACGAAGUCACGUCAGGGACAGACUGCACCGUCGUCUCAGGUACGAGGGUGACGCCCAGCAAGUCCUUUGCGAGCGUGCUGGCGUCAUCCGUUUGCUUGGAGUUGGCGUGUCGCGGGGAGACGGCGCUCGUCUUCGUCUCAGACGCGAGGUUGAUGCCCGACGUGCCCCCCGUUGGGGCGCCGGCGCCGUCGACUCGCUCGACAGCCGACGAGGUGCCGCCUCCUGCUUGGCCUUGGUUGCCCCGCCUCCUCCUCCGUCGGCGGGGGAGGGGACGGGACAAGCCCGAAUGUUGUUCUUCCACCACGUGGGGAAGACGUCGUCGAUUCCGCCGCCGGCGGGCGGGUUGUCGGCCGCCAUUGUCGCUGUCGCGCGACGGGGGAAGGAGUAUCAUAUUGUAGCUGCCGUCGAGGGACAUGAACUCAAGACUCCGGAAACGGAGCACCGUCCCGGGCUGGAAAGGUUGCUGGAGACUGCCCAUCUGGAGCUUGACGGGAAGCUGUUCGUCAACACGCAGCAGGCCCCUACCUGGCGCGCCAACUGUCGGCGUUUCGAACCCGGGGGUCCCUGGACCGACGAGUAAAUUGUCGCCGCGUGCCCCAGCUCAGAUGGGUCGGCGCGAGACGGAGCGCGAAGGGUGGAAAAACCGGAGGGAGACAGGCGUAAAAGGGGAAACCCGCGGCCUUCGUGUUUGUCCCGCGCCCAGGUCGGGUGCGCUUGCAGUAGGGGGUUACAAGCGUCCACGCGGGAGGGAGCGAGAGGCUUACGCGAGCGCCGUCCCGUCCUUCCCCGCGCGGCCAACCCCCUGUAAGAGGGCCCUGGACCUUCCUUUUAUAGGCGUAAGGAGAGGAUCCAGGUGUACAAUGGGAGGUGUAGUAGUGUGCUAACGUGUCUAGCAGAGAAGAGCUAGUGCCCUAAGUACAUGCCAUCGUGGCAACUGGAGAGGUUUUGGCACCCGGUUCGUGUGGUGUCGUGGCCGUCGAAGGAGCGCUGGAGCCUGGCGGAAGGACAGCUGUCGGGGCUGUCGAGUCCUUGCUGACAUCUCCUUGCUUCCGUAAGGGGGCUGAGAGCCGCCGUCGUCAUAGAGCAUGCGGGGCGCCAUCAUUACUUGUUUACCAGGGCGAGCCAGAUGGGACGCCGGUCUUGUUCCCUGUAGCAUGAGUUAGCUUGGGGUAGGGUAAUGAUGGCGCCUCCUGUGACGUGGUCGGUCCGAGCCCUGGGUUGGGCGAGGUGGAGGCUCCUUCGAGGUCGAGGUCGAGUCUGUCUUCCGAGGCCGAGGUCGAGUUCGAGCCCCUGGGUCGGGCGAGGCGGAGACCGUCGGCUGAGGCCAGGGCUGAGUCCGAGCCCUAGGGUCGGGCGAUGCGGAGUUCGUCGUCUUCCGGGGCUGAGCCCGAGUCCGAGCCCUGGGGUCGGGCGAAGCGGAGUUCGUCGUCUUCCGGGGCUGAGCCCGAGUCCAAGCCCUGGGGUCGGGCGAAGCAGAGUUCGUCGUCUUCCGGGGCCGAGCCCGAGUCCGAGCCCUUCGGGCGAUGCGGAGUUUCCUAUGGCGCCUGAGGCCGGACUUGGCUGCUGUCAGCCUCACUCUGUCGAGUGGCACAACAGUCAGAGCGGCGCAGGCGGCGCUGUCCUCUUGUCAGACCGGUCAGUGGAGCGGCGAAGUGACUGCGGUCACUUCGGCUCUGUCGACUGAAGGGCACGCGUCAGGAUAAGGUGUCAGGCCACCUUUGCAUUAAAUGCUCCUGCGAUACGGUCGGUCGGCGUGGCGACUUGGCCAAGGUUGCUUCUUGGCGAAGACUGGGCCUCGGGCGAGCCGAAGGUGUGUCCGUUGCUUGAGGGGGUCCUCGGGCGAGACGUGAACCCUCCGGGGUCGGCUGCCCUUGCCCGAGGCUGGGCUCGGGCGAGGCGAGAUCGUGUCCCUUGAGUGGACCGAGCCUUGACUCAAUUGUACCCAUCAGGCCUUUGCAGCUUUGUGCUGAUGGGGGUUACCAGCUGAGAUUAGGAGUCUUGAGGGUACCCCUAAUUAUGGUCCCCGACAUCAUUGGAAUGAACACCUUCAUAGAACAUACAUUAACAUUAAUUUGUAAGUAUUAUGCACCAAUAUAUUACAUAUUACAUAUAUUAAAAAUGAGCUGAGUUUUAGGUCAACCAUGUCAGACUGUAAAUAGUUGUCCACCCUUUUUUCAAUUGUGUCUUCCUUACAAUUUAAGAGCACCUUAGGGUCGCCAUCAUGCUUAAGUGGACUGGAAAUAAAUAUGUUCUCUAAGAAGACCUUUCCACCUUCUCUUUGAAGUAAAUGCUCUUCAUCCCUCAUAUAGUGUAUAUAUGCACUGAGGACCUGUACACCAAAAGAAUACAAUUAGCAGAUCAAAUAUACAUGCUAGCUUUAAAUAUGUAUACCAUACUGUAUAAUAGGAUAAUUAUAAAUAUAUAUACUUUAUUACUGUAUAUAAUAUGUACAUACAGAUGUACUUACUUCACCAGACAAUUGAAUGUCACCAUGAAAAAGACAUUCCAUAUCAUUUUUGUUUAACCAUGCGUUGUCGAUGUUCACCACAACUUGUUUCCCCAGUAAUGUUUUAAUGUAUUCAAUAAGCUGAACAUCUUCUGGGGUGCACUUAUAAUCUAUACAAUGAAAAAUAUUAUACUUAAUAAGCAAAUGAUAUAUGCGAAAACCAAUAAGAUACAAUAAGGCAAGAACAAAAAAUUACCUUCAGAGACAACUCGAGCUACAUUCAAUUUCUUUGGUUUUUUAUGUUGUGAUAUUCUAAUAAGUGUGUCCAAAGCAUCUUGUUUGUUCUGCUCUACCAUAUUCACAUCAAAACUUAUUUGACUUGUUUCAUUUGGAACAUCCAAAGAUGUCAGGUGUAUCACAUCUGUAUGAGGAGUGAAUGAAACAUAAGUCUCUUGACAAAAGCAUUUUUAGGAGUACUCAUAAGACAAUAUUUACAUUUAGGAGUGUAGAUAAGAGAGCCUACCCGGUUGUGGUCCAAGAUCGGCUUCAGUUGACACUUUAAUAGGAUUGAAAAUACAGUCAAUGCCUACUCCCACAACAUCGUGUGAUUGUUUUGCAGCAUUACCAACACUGACCUUACUAUCCUCGCUCUCUAUAUCUAUGGCGCACAAGAGAAAAAUUAAGUGUCAAACAAAUAUUUAUUAUUACAGACUUAGUUUUUUUGUAAUUGAUAAUAGCACUUACCCAGUUCAUGUUCAUCAGUGUCAUUAGUUGACAAUUGUGCUGAACAACCACCGCUAGCCACAACCUCAUACGAUGGUUCAGCAGUAUUGCCAACAUCGACAUUUCCUUCCUCCACCUCUAUAUCCAUUGUGAUUUGGUCUGUACCCAUCAGAUUGAAAGUGUCAAACAUAAUUUUAUUGACAAAAGUAUUUUAGGUAUAUAAAGUACAAGACUAAUGGUCAGACAUCGUAUUUCAUGGAUUGUUGUUCAUAGAUCAGAAAAUCAGCAGGGGCCUCUGCGCGAAAAACUCUAAGACUCAGAGUGCUACUGCGUGGACUGCGGGUUCUAUUUCGCAAUUUUAGGUAACAAAAGUGAUCAAGGGCACAACUUGCCUGACACUUGAGAUUCCAGUUACCAGGGUGAUUCUUCGGAUCCUCGUGACCGCACUGCUAGUCGUAGCAAUACAAGCAAACAUGGUAUAGACAAAAUUAACAUCACACCAAACAUAAGUACAAACUGAAUAAUAAUAAUAUACGCGUUGCUACGAGAUCGCGGGAUCGAGAACUACUAAGAUGGGAGUCAUGGUUAAGGAGUUAUGAUCUGUAAAAGCUCUACGUGACUUAAAUAUUAAACUAUAUUAUAAAUUGGUUAGUAUAGAUCAUAUAAGAGAUUAUUCUAUAAAUAAUUAUCUCAACUUUAAUCUAAGUCAUUAUUUGAUUUAAAUUAUAUAACCAUAAAGUUAGAAUACUAUUAAAUAAAUUAAUCCAAUAGACAUAGAUUAACCCAAUUAACAUAGGAUAAAUAAAUAUCUAAUUAUAAAAGUAUGAAACAUGGUAUAAUCAAUGUUGUUAUUACGUAUUAAAUAUUCAUACGAGACUAACGCAACAGGAACGAUUCAAUUUGGAAUUAAAAUGGGGAAGUUACGAAUUUCCAAAGUUUCUAUGUAUUUUGUAACACCCCUGGUGUUUAUAUUCCGCUCGACAACAAGUACGGAUUUAAGCACGUGAUAUCAGUGGAUAAAACAGACACUAAGUUUUAAUCAUCUUCGUCUAGCUCGAUUUUUAUAUCGCAUCUGUUUCGUCUGUCGCGAGUGCGACGUCGUUUUUAUUUUCAUCUGUUUGGGCUCUUCCAAAAUUUUCGUGAUGUUCGAGACAUCGUCGUUCUGAAAAUCGGUGCGUCCGAUGAUUAAUUAAAAUUCAUCGCCGCGCGAAUCCGAAUUCAGAAGCUCGACCUCCUUUUACGCCUUUUUAUUUCGGACAGAUUAAUUUGAACUCGACAGCUAAAAUACUCUGUGCAAAAUAAUCCGAAUCGUGCGUCGUUUGAGUGAAAUCGUGCGCGAGGUUAGAAUCCAAUUUCUCCGUCCGCACGCUGUUUUGACGACGAAAUCGCGUAUACAAUAGCGGAUUUAUUUUCGGCUAAUUUUAGUUGAAUUCCACAGAGCAAAUUACCGAAGGCGAAAUCAGUCUUGUUCGGGCCAUCGUUUCUUGCCCGGAUUCGAAUCUUCGGAUAUAAGUAAUUAGCGAUUAGAUUGGUUCGCUAAAUCCGAAGCAUAUCAUAUGUAUUCGUGUAACGUGUCGGCCUGUGCACAGCGCUAAAAAUCGGAAUUUAGAAAUAUCUACGCUUUCCUUUUAAAAAUAGAAAUAUCUGGAAAUAUUUAAAAAUAAAUCUUUUCGUUUCUAUCCAGUAGCCGCCCUCCCUCUGAUUUUUUUGGCUGCCGCUCUUCUGAUAUUUUGCAUCGUCGUGCUCAGGUUGUCUUCUCCAGUGCGUUGUCUCCCUCGUGCUCCUCUCUCCCUUAUCUCCCUCGGGUCCGGCCGGCUCAUCCCAGUCCCAGCCAGCCAAGGUUCUCUCCAUGGUGGCUCCUCUAAGCCGCGCGCUCCUCCAUGCCUGCGCGCCCUUCGGGUCUCUGCGUCGCGCGCUCCGCUGCUGCGCGCCGUGGUCUUCUUCCUCCUCGUGCUUCUUCAGCUCGGCGCCUCCUCUGCUCCCUCCAGCUUGCAGAAGCUCCCAGCCAUGGCGCCUGCUGGUCGGAUGUGGAUUCCUCUGCCGCGUCGCUCCCUCACGUCUCCUCUCUUCUUCACCGAGGCCGACCACCGAGCGGACGUCGCGACUGGACACCACGGCACGCGCGCGCCCCUGCUCGCCCUUUUGCCUCCUCCCAUGGCGGCUCCCCUGCCGAGCCCCAAACCCAGCCAACCGAGCUCGUCUCCUCCUCUCCAUCUCCCUCGGUCGCGGUUCCCAGAUCUCCUGUUCGCCUGGCUGGCCGCGCGCUCGUCUUCCUUCUCUGCGCGGCGGCCUUUCCCGCCGGUGGCCGUGCCCAGCGCCCGCUCGGUUCUUCCUGGCACGCGCUCCUAUGCUCCGAUCGCGCGUCUCGCCCAUGGCCACCGUCCGUCGUCAAGCCCCUGCGUGCGCGGUCCUCUGCCGGAGCUCCCUGCUCGCCUUCUGCGCUCUGCUGGCGGCCAGUCCCUGCUCCUCGCGGCCCGCGCGUUUCUCUGUUCAGCCAUGGCCGCGCGCCGGCGCUCUUCCUUUGCCGCGUCCCGCUUCCUGCCCGCCGGCCACAGCUCGAAGUCCCUCCCAUUGUGAGUUCGCCGUUCCUCCCACGCCGCGGUCACCCUGGUAUUCCAGCUCGUCGUCGCGUUGUUUGAGGUCAACCUCACUAAAUCGCCUCUUGCUCGACGCCGGUGAUGGCCGUUGUGGAGCACCGCUGCGAACUCCCAGCGUUCUUGCUCUGCUCCAAGAAAUAUCAAGCGCUGAACAGUCAUCGUUUUGUUGCGACGUGCGUGUGCGCUACUCGCCCCACGUCGUCGUCUUUGUGUGUCUUUGUGUCUGGCCAGUCCCGUCGAGGCAUCUGCAAAUCUUGCCUCUUGUCGUCAUGUUUUCUUGAUCUGCCAAAUCAUCGCGCCCGUGCUGAGUUCUCUGGCCAUCACGUUUUUCUUACAGACGCUCAGCCUCGCCGCGCGUCCUGUUUUCUGCUCGCCAGCGCGCUCUCUCGGCUCGCUCGACUUUAAUUCCCAAUCGCGUCGUCGAUUCCGCCAGUUAGCGUCGUUCGUCGUCGCGUCGCGUGUGUAGCUCUAUAUACGUCACCCUCCCGUGUCGUCGUCGUUCCGCGUGUCAGCAAGAAAUCGCAAGAAUCGGGUGAAGACAAAGCCAGCAGCGUGGUAUUCACCAAGUGCGCAAUAAAAGCUCGGACAUCCUGCGCGACUCAAGUUCGGUUCGUCAAAAUUAUUCAGUCGAGGAAAAGAUCUGCAGCAAUUGAUUACCGAAGAAAAGAAGGCCCCUCAAUUACAUCAACCGGAACCCGUAGUCGUGCUUGUGACUAUCGCGUCGAAUUAGUCAGGGUAAGUUGAUUCGUAUUCCCGUUAACUAGGUCUAGAUGAUCGAUUUAGAUAAAUCGGUAAUCAAGUAAUUAAGAUACAUAGUUUAAAGAGUUAAUAAAAAGCUAGGAAUAAAAAUAUAUUUUCUAGUGUAAUAUGUCAAUUUGGUUAAUGGAUGUAGUCGAUGCCCUAUUGUGAUAUCCAUGAUGCUUAAUGUUUGGUUUUAAGUGUUUCAUCCUUUUUAGGUAGAUUAUUUAUAUUAUACUCGUUAUACUCGUGCUCAUACAUGUGCAUCAUGCAUCUCAUGAGGUACGAUAAAUAAUCGCGUGAAGCGGAAGAUGAGUCAAGUCGACCCCAAGUGUGGACUAAUUCGCAAGGUGAUUAACCUGAAGAUGGAUAAUCGGAACAAUGCGAAGACAAGGAUGAUCGUCAAGUGGACAUCGUCUAACAACACUAACCUAGUGUUAUUCAGGCAAGCCCCGGUGCAUGCAACCCUUUCCUUGUGUUUUUAAAUUAUUUUUAUACACUUUAAGUCUAGUGAAUGUGCAUUAGGUUUAGAGAUGUCCAAUAAGCACGAGGCCCGCGAGCCCGGCACGAAGCCCGCUUUUUGGGCCCGGUCCGAGCCCGGCACGGCCCGGUUAUAUGCGGGCCCGGGCCGGCCCGGCACGAAUAAGCGGGCCGGGCUCGGACAGGAAAUUAGGUACGGUGGGCUAGCCCGGCACGGCCCGUUUAGCUCUAAGCCCGUUAAGCCCGCUUUUUUUACACUAAAACGUACUUUUCGGCCCGCAUAGCCCGCUUUUCGGCCCGCUUUUUUCGUGCUAAACGGGCCGGCCCGACCCGUUUAGGCCCGUUGCGGGCCGGGCUCGGACAAGAAAUUGAGCCCGCGUGCUUAGUCGGCCCGGCCCGGUUUUUUAAUCGUGCUUGGCGGGCCGGGCCCAAAACGGGCCGGGCUCCACCGGGCCCGGGCCGGACCGGGCCGGGCGGCCCGUUUGGACAUCUCUAAUUAGGUUUAUAGGAGUUGCUUGGAAACCCUUGGAUGCAUUGCCUUCCUUGAAAUCCAUACCUUUAUAGAUACUUCUGGUGAAGUAUCAAAAUUAUGAUUUACAAAAAUGCUUAGCCCUGCUCAGAUCUUGUGGAUAGAGGUUGUCUUUUGCAUUAAGGCCUAGCUCAGGGGUUAUCCUGAGGAAAGAUGACUUCUACCUGCAAGAAUAUUUUCAUUGAGAGCGUGGUGGGAUCUUACUGCAAAGUUCCCUUUGAUGCUCUUUUCAUCCUAAGGAAUACAAACAAUCCUAAGGAUGGAAGUACUUAAAUCGGGACUUGGGCUAGGAACAGGUGAUGUUCUACCCAGGUUGAUUAAGGAUUGGAUGCGUAUGUAGGCCUGCUGACCGAGGACCCUUUAACUGGUCACAUGCCUCGUCAUGGGUAAGCUUUGCCUCGGGCAGACUAAGGCCAGAAUAAGAUAACACGGAAUGGGCGUGGAGCGGUGGCGAGAGUAGCGUGUACCCUUCGUGGCAAGAGGCUGGACGGUGGUGUAUCUGUGCUCUCGGUUGGCGUGAACCUGAUCUGGUCUUAAGAACCCCAGUGGCGGGUUGACAUAUGCAAGGGUUAAGUGCUACAUUUGUCGUGUGAUUGGAGAUCCUCAGCUGAGUAUAAUCGAUUCGGAUCGCCGUAACUUCGCGGACAUGAAGACUUGGUCACUGCCCUACAACCUAAGUCAGGAUGUGAACCUCAUGAAUAAAAAUGAUGUUGUAUUGAUGAGAUGGUGAAAUUAGACCAGAUGCAAACAGAGUCUAUUAAUAUUUAAUCUGGCGUUAAAAUAUUGAAAGUAAGGACUCACUUUAGUAAGCUAUUUCUGCAAAAGUAUCUAAGUUGAUUCUUGCUAAAGCCUCUCCUUGAUUCCCAAAUCCAGCAUAUCCUUGAGAGUCUUUUCUUUAGUCGGGUAAGUCUUGCUGAGUAAUUCCAUACUCAGGGUUUUAUUCCCUGUUGUUUUUCAGGUUAUAGUUUUGUGCUGCUGUUGAUGGUGUUAAGUGCCGGUGGGCUCGGCCUUCUUAUAUAAGUAUACCCCGUCUUUAUCUUCUUAUUGAGGAUGGUCACUUGAGCUAACAUAUAUUUCAAACUUAUACUUUUGUAAUCACUCCGAUAAAAUAAUGUAAAACUUUUGUAACUUGUAAAAUUUGGUAAUAAGAUUUCCGCUACAAAAAUAUUGGUGUGUGAUUUGUGUUACGUAAUCCCGCGAUUCUGGUUGUAAGUGGUUUAUCCGAUGUCCUUGGGCAAUCGGACGGAUCCUGUUAAGUUAUCUGGUGCACAUGCAUAGCCGUCUGAGGUCUUUGAGACAAGGAAAGGUGCAUGUGGGCCCAAUAACUUGGGAGGUUCUGCCACAUAUUUGAUAUAUGAUUAAUUAGGAAAUCAAUUUUAUUGUUGUUUUCAUGACAAAACAGAGAUAUUAUGUGAUAAAAAAUAAUAUUAUAGAAUUAUAGAAAUUGGAAUGAACUCAUUUGGAUUUAAUAUGAAAUUUCCAUGAAUUAAAUGGGUUUCUGCAAUUAUUUUUAAACCAAAAAUCAAUUUCUAAACUCCUUUUCCCUAUUUUCUUUUUUUUUCUGGACUGUGUCCCAAAUUCCAGAAAGAUUAGGGUCCAAGCUAUAAAUGUUUUUCUAGACUCAGUGAGCAUAUAGAGUGGACGGCGGAUUAAAUCCGAUAAAGCCUAGGGGCUCUUUACAAAGAAUGCCACGCGGCUAAGGACUUGGAUGCGUUUAGACCAUAGGAUCUAUGAUGUACGGUCAGAUCUAAGGGACCGAACCGGUACGCGACGUCAGACGUCUGAUCCCCCAUCCACGGAUGAGAGUCUAACAACUUGAGGUUUAAUCGCAUGCAUAGAUUGCAGGACUAACGGCCACGAUCUAAUAAUCCCAAUCGGUAACUUGUAGCAAAUCUCGGCCAUCAGAAAGAAAUCGGACGACACAGGGGUUUCUCCCCACAAGCCGGCCGACCGAGAAUGGCGGCGUGAGGUCUCACGGCGGGCUCUGGCCGGAGGAAAAGCGAAUCGUGCACCCGAGCCCCGAUUACCCUCCCAAAAGGUCCUACGUGUAGAGGAGAUCAUUGCGAGCAAGGUGGAUGAUGUCUUACCGAAAGUGGGACGGCGAGGUUUUCAGUCCACAGAGCAGGCGGGUCCACGGCGGAGCAGCAGGUGCAGUGAGGAAUUCCGGUCUACGGUUUGGGUAAUCACAAGCUCUACUUGACGGAACACAACCACGAGAAGGAGAGGAGCACAAAGAACCUGAAUCUCACCGGCAGCUGUCGCGCAGAGUGUCGGGCCCCGGUGAGCGGCGGAUCUGCGGGGUACCUUCACCACGGCGAACGGCGCAAGGCGUGGCGGUGACGCUCCAUUGCACGACAACAUGUACGCAGGGCGGCGACUUCGAUGUGGCUUGCUAUGAGGCGAGAUCGGCGCGGGGUCUGCGUCUACCGCACCAGCAGCAAGCACGUCCAAGAAGAUCACCAAGGCUCCGCUGACGAGUGGACGACCGACGGCUGGGUCCCACCAGCAGUGGUUGAUAGGGUCUGCGCAGAUGGGUUAGUGGGUCCUGGCAGGCCGCCCAGUUGUUACGGGUCCGGAGGAUUCGCAGCCACGAGCUCCGAGCAUGCAGGCAUCGGAACCGGUCUUCAGUUGAAGGGGAGGAGGAGAGGGAUGACAGAUGAGCCCUACCAGGCAGUGAGCGCGCGGUCGGCUGUCAGGUGGUCCCAAGUGGUCAGGGCGCGAGCUGAUUUGCGGACGCGGGCUUGCGCGGCUACACGUGAGGAUGGGCCGCGCGGUUGUAUCUAGAGACCAACCUUCCAGCUGCCACGGAGUUACAUCAAACUCUUGCCACCAGACCUUCUCGCCAUCUGAUGGAAGCUUGACUUUGAGAAACUUCGCAGCGAGGAAGAUUGCACCACCCGCAAUAUGGUGUGGUUUAAAUUGUAGGCAAAGUGAAGUGCGGAGCCUGUACACCCCUUUUAAGGCGUAGUAAAUAGGGAUGUUUGUGGAUUACUAUUUGUAAUGAGGAAGAGUAAUGUUAGCAUACCCAUCAUUGACAAAAUUCCAGGCAACUUGAGCAAGUGCAUUUUGAGCAACCUUGAAUAUUUUUAUUGCUUCAACCAAGGGCUUGUAAGGAUGGUUCACAUUCAAAUCAAAACCAAGUGUCACAAGCACAACACGUUCUCCGAGUAAAAUAAGUUCCUUUUGCUGUUCAUAUACUUCCUGAAGAAACAAAACAAACAACCUCAGUUUUUUUGCGUGCCACAGUAAACAGGACGUAAAAUUGCAUAAAAAGAGUCAUCCUAGCCUUGCCUUUUAAAAAGGUACUAUUAUAUGAUAAAUGAAAAGGAAGAGCCAUCAAUAGAAUAAUAAUAGGAGAAAAGGAUAAUAACAUCAUAGGUCAUGAAGUUCGGAACUUCGGAUUACCUAGAACAGCAAUAUCAAGAUAUUAAAUGCUCUAAAUCAAAUCACCUUCAGUUUUAUUCGUUGAACUGCAGCAGGAUCCUUUUUGUGGAUGAUCUCAUAUGAAAGAAGUAUGACAUCCUUCAGAGGUCUGGGUGUUUCUUCAACUUUUCCCGCCAAGAACAUGCAUACUGUUGCAAUUGUCUGCAUGUUGUAAUGAACUUAUAUAUUAAAACUUCCAUUAGCAGAUAAUGAAUAACUAUCAAGUAGAAAUAAGAAAGCAGCGCCAGUAUGCUAAAAAGAAAUGCAUGUAUUGAGAACAAACUUAAAUUUUUAUGAUGACUUCAUGAGGAUUUUAUUUUUUGUCUUCCACGUGUAGGUGGUACCAGAACUGUGACUGUGAGCACCAGAGGUUUACCAGUUACUACCAACUGAGAUUGCGCUGACUAUAGAAGAGGGUUUCUCUGGAAGAGCAGGAAUGAUGUCAAAGGAGGACAUUGCAUGAUAGCUUAGCCCAAUGUGACUCGGCCACUACAAUUGGGAGGACUUGGUUCAUCUCAUUUGCAAAAAAUGGGGUGGGCCUUGAGAAUGUGCUGAUUAUGGUUACAGAAAACAGUACCAAAUAAACCUUAGCCUUUCAUCCCCACCCAAGCACAUAAAGUAGUUAAUUCCCUUUCUCUAUUGCUUUGAAAUCAGAGAUUGGUAAUGGGAGGAAUAUCAAUUUCUGGACUGAUAGAUGGAUGAAAGGACAAAGGACAGAUCAUCUAGCACCAAAUAUGUUUGGAGCAAUCUCUAACAGAGCCAGAAAAAGAACAGUCCACGAUGCCCUCACUAAUCAACAAUGGAUUUCUGAUAUCCACGGUGCUCUUACAUUGGAAGUACUAAUGGAAUAUUUGUUACUUUGGGAUCUCUUAUCAGAAGUUGUUUUGCAUCCAGAUGUUGAAGACAUUCACAUUUGGCAAUUCUCACCCUCUGGGAUAUACUCAGCCAAGUCUGCCUAUGAAGUCUUGUUCAAUGGAUCCAUCCCCUUCUAGCCUGGGGAAAGGAUUUGGCAAAGUUGGGCACCUGGUAAGCAUACAUUUUUAUGUGGUUGGUGGCACAUAAGAAAUGCUAGACAACUGAUUGACUUGCAAAAAGAAAUUUGGAGCACCCUGAGAGUUGUCCUCUGUGUGAUCAGGAACCUAAAACAAUUUUUUGAAAAGGCAGGAGGUCUGCCAAGAUAUAUUGAUAAGAAGAAUAACAAGAGGUUUAAGUCAAUACAGUGACCGAAGCACUAGGCAAAGGUCCAACCUGAAGAGAAGUAAACAGAAAUAAAAAACAGACCCCACUAAAUAGUUGUUAAGGGGUAACUAGGUGCUUGGCCCCUGCCAAAUUCCAGGCUGCUGCCUCACUCUUGAUUUUGGCAAUGAUUUGUUGGCAGCUCGAGAAUCUGCGAUCAAAGAUUCUCGCAUUUCGUUCUCGCCAAAUCUCCCAGUUUACAAGGAUCAAUAGUGAUCUGAUGCCUUUUCUAUUGCAUCCCGGCAAAAAAGCCAGCUUUUCCCACCAAUGCCCCAGCGAGGGGGGUCGCUCCCAGUUAGACGGCUUCAGGCCCUCAACAGCUACCCAAACAGCAACUUCCUCCCAAAUUCUUUUGAUGAAACGACAUUCCACAAAAAGGUGAAGCCCCGAUUCCUGGGCAGCAUGACACAGGACACAAGUUGGUUCAUGGGGCCAAUUCCUGGCGGCUAAUCGAUCUGCUGUCCAAAUGCGAUUUUGAAUUGCUAACCAGCUGAAAAACUUGCAUUUUGGAGGCGCCCAAUUCUUCCAGAUGAUGAGGUCAUAAUUUGUGUGAACAGAGCCCAAAAAUUGUGCCUGAUAUGCCGAUUUGACUGUGUAGCGGUGAUCCGCAGUGAAAUUCCAGGUGAUGGCAUCAUCACGCUCUGGGUGAAGCUGGAUCUUUUGGACUUCAGACCAAAGAAUGCAGAACUCAUGAAUGUGGUGGGGAGUAAUCGGUCUAUCGAACAGCGCAAGAUCCAUGAUCCAGGCAUUGUUUGUGACCGCCUCCGCCAAAGAUUUCCUCUUAUUUCUUGAUAUAGAAAAGAGACGAGGCACCAAGUCCUUUGGCCUUUGCCCCCUUACCCAAGCGUUGCCCCAGAAGGAGAUUUUAGAACCAUCACCAAUCUCUAUGGUCGUUGAUGCCGCAAAAAGCAGUCUAUCAACAUCAGAGCAAGGAAUCUCUAAGUUGUCCCAAAUAUUCCGUGAUGAUGUGCAAUUAUGCCAGAGCCAUCGCGCGCGCAAGGCACGCGCAAAAGCGCCCAAAUCAAGAACUCCCAAGCCCCCAAGGGCUUUUGGCCUCGCCACCCGUUUCCAGUUGACUUUGCACUUUCCGCCCGUCAGUCGUUCAGAACCAGCCCAAAGGAAUUGUCUUCUUUUGGAGUCUAGUAGGCUAAUCGUUGCCUUGGGAGCAUUAAGGGUGGUUAAUAGGUAAAUUGGUUGUGAGGUAAGCACUGUUUUCACCAGAGUUAAGCGCCCUGCCACUGAGAAGUUUCUCCCAUUCCAGCUACUCAGUUUGUUCAAUACUUUGUCCACCAAAAACUGGAAGUGCCCCUUCCUGAGUCUAGUUGGGGUGAGAGGGAGGCCCAGGUACCGGAUCGGGAAGGUUGCUCUUUUGGCUGGGAAGCAACUAAGGAUGUCAUCAAGGGGUAGCCCCUGGCAACGGAUUGGGACAAUCAUGGACUUCUGAAAAUUGGUCAUCAGACCAGAGGCCUCGCCAAAUGAGGUGAGCAACUUGACAAUUGUCUCAAUAUCCUCUUUUUUCGGCUUAACAAACAAAGCUGCAUCAUCAGCAUAUAGCGAGAUCCUAAUGCUGGGCGAGUUGUUUCCCAACUUGUUCAAUGCUCCACUGUCCGCGGCGAUCUUUAGAAUUUUUUGCAAAGGGUCUAUCGCCAAGACGAACAGAAGAGGGGAGAGAGGAUCGCCUUGCCUGAGACCUCUCUCAUGAUGAAUAGGAGGGUUAGGGACCCCGUUAACGAGCACUCUUGAUGUUGAGGUGGAGAGGAUAGAAGCGAUCCAGUCAGUCCACCUCACAGGGAAUCCCAAAUUGCGGAGUAAGGCAAUCAAGUAAUCCCAACGGACGGAGUCAAAAGCUUUUUCAAUGUCUAGCUUGAGGAAUAGCGUGGGCGAAUUGAUACGCUGGAAGCGUCUAACAGUGCUUCUAACUGCAAGGAAGUUUUCAUGAAUGCUCCUUUUUUGAAUGAAGGCACUUAGGCAAGGUGAAACUAACUCAUUCAUUCUUGGUGCCAGACGAAGAGCCAGGGUUUUGGUGAUAAUCUUAAUGAAAGAAUGGAUGAGGCUUAUAGGUCUGAAGUCCCCAGCUACCUCCGCGCCUUCCUUUUUGGGGAUUAGAAUGAUGUUUGCUGAAUUGAUUAAUUGGAGGUUGAGGCAUCGAUUAUUAUAGAAAGCAUUCACUGCAGCCAUGAGAUCAUGCCUUACAAUGGUCCAACAAGAUUUAAGGAAAACACCAGUGAAGCCGUCCGGCCCUGGAGCCUUAUCUCCUGGUAAAAGAUCAAUACUUCUCUUAAUUUCCUCCUCGGAGAACGGCGCGUCGAGGCUUGAUAGAUCAAACUGCUGGUCAGAGAUAAUGUCCCAGUUAAGGUCGACAGAUCUAGGGGUUGGCCGCUUUAAAGCAUUAUGGAAGAAAUUUUGUAGCUCUUGUGCUUUUUCAUUGUGAGAGAAGACCCACCCAUUACCGGUCCGCAACCGUUGAAUGAAAUUUUUUCGCCUCCUGGAGCCAGCUUUCCGGUGGAAAAAUUUAGUGUUGGCAUCUCCGAAUUUAAGCCAAAGCAUGCGUGAGUUUUGCCUGUUUCGUGCCCUUUCAAUUACCGCAUAGCCAAGGAUGUGCAUCUUCAAUCUAUUUCGGAGGUUCACUUCCAUGUCGGACAGUCCCCUAUUUUCUUGUGCCAUGUCCAGUCUUAGAAUAACUUCUAGGGCCAUAUACAUAAAGAGUCUAGCAUCAGGUAUUAACUUGGAGCUCCAAUCCUUAAGCGCCUUGGCCGUGAACUGCAGUUUGUAGUACAGCCUAUGAAAAGGCUCACGAUGUUGGGUCGGUGCCAGCCAGGCUUGCUCAACUAUAUGCUGGAAACCUGGUAAUUUGGUCCAAAAAUUCUCAAAUCUAAAGGAACGUGGAUGCCUCGGCAUAGUAGUAUUGGAUAGGAGCAGCGGGCAGUGGUCAGAGACCGAGGAUGAUAGUGCAUGCAGACCAAAUAUUCCGAACAUCUCCUCCCAUUCAGAGUUGCAGAAGAAUCUGUCUAGUCUUACGAGAGUGGGAUGUCGUCUCUCAUUGCUCCAAGUGAACUUCCUGUUUUGCAAAGGAAUUUCUUUCAAGUCGCAAAUGUCAAGAGCUUGCCUGAACAGAAGCAUUAGGCGAGGGUUGACUCUAGAAUUGUUUUUGUCGCUUGCUUUGUAUGUGCAGUUGAAAUCCCCAAGGACCAACCAGGGGGAAGGUGAAGGAGGCCUCUGUGCACUCAUCUCUCUUAGAAAAUCAGGCUUGCGGCCUCUACAAGAUGGUCCAUAGACGACUGUCAGGUAGAAAGAAGCACGACGAUCCUUAAGAGAGACAAUUGCGGAUAUGUGGAAUUCUCCGAUAGUAAAAUUGGACAAUUCGAGUAGGUCGCUAUCCCAAAGCAAAAGAAUACCACCCCGGGUUCCACUAUUUCCUUCCGCAGGUUUAAAACUGAAUUUAUUAAGCUUUGGUCCUCCAAGCGCCGUCACAAUGGACCUGUCGACCGUUGAUAAUUUAGUCUCUUGCAAACAGGCAAGAUGGCAAGUGGUGGUGGAGAUCAUCGCGCGCACUGCAUCUCGGCGCGCUUGCAAAUUUAAACCCCUUACAUUCCAGCACAGGAUGCUAAAGUCAGACAUGGAGGAGAAAAGGACCCCGAUUAAUUACCGACAGCUGGAUGAAAUUGCAGCACUGCACAAUAAUGACAGUGAAACUUAAAGGGGCCACCAGGGCCAACACAAGCAUGGCUGUUAAAGGUCUGAAGCAAAACAGCAACCCAAUACAGUCCAGGGUGCUCACAAAAGUAGUAGAAACUGAACUGAGACUCAUUGACAUAACAAAAGUAGACCCACAUCAUCUAACAUGGAGCUAAAACAACCAUCAAUCAAGCCGCAGCAACUGCUCUGGCCUCUGCAUGCAUGGCGUCCACCUCCUCUUGGAUCUCAGCUAUAGCAUCUCCAGCAAUUCCCAUCAAGGCCUUGUCGAGGCGAACUGUGUCUGGCGUAUCAAGAUUGAACAGAGCAUCUAGGGCCGUCCCCAUCUCCACAGUCAGUGGCUUCUUGAACCAAUCCUGAAAUUCCUGCAAAGCAGUAUUAAAAUCAGCAGCGUCAUCUUUUGCCAAGAGACCAAGCUUGCGGCAGAGGACGCGCUGGGCCCGUUGCAUGACAUUCGUUCGAGGGCCGUUGGCAAGUCUGGCGCUAUGACGUACCGUCGAAAGGUUGAAGCCGUGUUGCUGCUUGAUUCUUCUAGCAGGUGCUGCAGGAAUAGUAGACAGAGUGGUCGCUGGUGUUGUUACCCCCUCCGAAGGAUGUAGCACUGGUCGCUCAAGUAUGGCAGGCGAGGGCUUGGUGAAUAUGGUGUUGAGUAGAUGGCUUUGCGCGGUGGUUGACACCGCUGCAACAUCUGUUGAAGGUUCAUGUACCGCAGCUAUCAUCCGAGAGGAAGCGUCGACAUUGGAGUCCGUCACAGCUUCGGCGUUGUAGCCCGCAGCAACCGUGCUGCAGGGAGAGCCUAACAGCACAUGGUCCUCCACAGACUGCACCAAAGGCAGUAGCUGCAUAGCAGGGCAUGUUGGAAUGGAAUCGAGAAUAGUUGUGAAUGCUCGCUGCACUGGGAUGAGACUUACGUUGUCUGCGAAGUUCAUCCUGCUGCCAUCCCAGACAGCAAGGUUGCUGUCGCCAGCAGCAGCCCCUGGGACCGAAUCGACUUGGCCCUUAGGCACCAAGCGCGGUCGCCUUCGGUACACGCAGCCAACGCGAUAACGACCUUUAGGGAGAGCUGCAGCCUUCACAGCAGGGCGCGGAGAACCGUCGUUGCCACCACCGCGUGAGCUGCGGAUGCCGGGACUGCAGGCGCUUGGUGGAAAUCUGGGGCGAGCAGGAUGCCGUGGGGGGGGGGGGGUCGCUGAACGGCCACGCCGGACAGCAACACGGGUGGAACGGCGCACACGGCUGCGUCCACGUCUCGCCGGGUCACGACCAAUCGCCGGGUCACGACCAACAUGUGGCGUAACCAACGACGCGCCUCCGGCAUGACGAGGCUGCUGAUCGCCGUGAAGGUGGUGACGAAGCUGCUGAUCGCCGUCGAGGUGGUGACGCCGCCCGGAUGAGUCAUGGCGCAGGCCAUGGCGCGACCCCGAGCGCUCCCGCUCGCGGUCCCUGGGAGCCCGCGAGAUGCUACGAAAGAGCCGGGAGCUCCAACUGUCGUCGCGUCCUGGGCGGCGACCACGACGGUCACUAUCACCAUCCUCAUCCCUGCGACGGUUGCUGCGAGGUGGUGGAGGGUCGUGACGGUCACGUGGUUCGCACUCGCCGUCAACAACACCAAGCCGCCAAUCAUACGCACGUGGAUGCCCAUGGCCAUCCCUGGUAGGGGGGUCUUCCACCAUAUCAAGAUGGACGAUGACCCUGAAGGUUAAGCCGCUACGCCCCGCCGGUGUCGCGUCGUGGGCAGUGUUGUUCCUGUCAACAAUGGUCAGCCACGUUACCUUAGGUAUGUCAGACGGGUUUCGCGCCCACGCCCACAGAUUGAGCGUCGUAGCAUCCUCCAUUCGCAGCGACUGGGCUUCAACGUAGUCCAGCACACAGGACUUAGCCACCGCACGCUUGGCGAUGCCAUCGUUCCAUGCGUGCAGAGGGAUGCCUUCCAGGCACAGGCGCACGUGGGAGCCGAAGACGCUGUGGUCACCGUGGACGGGGAGCUGCCACGGCCUGACGCGGAUGUCGAUGUUGUUGUAGGUGAAGUCGCGUUGCGCCACAGCCGUGUCCCGGUGAUGCUGGUGUUCAAAGGUGACGAGGAAGUCCUCUGGAUAGUGUCUCACCACCUUGAUGUCUUCUUCGCGCAUCCUGAACCUAGAGCAGAAAGCUCUUCUAACUGUGUUAGUGCUUGUUGCCGGUCGAACGCCGCCGAGCCAGGCCCAUGCCGCGUGGGUGCUCAACCGCGCCAGCUCGCUGUCCAUGUCCCGAGAGGACGCGGCAACAACGAAAGUCUCCUGCGGGCGCUCCAUGGGGUUGCCAGGCUUCACCAUGUUGACUUGGCGCAGAGGAGGGAAGUUGACGUUGUCGAAGCAGGGAGGUGGUGGGAAGGCAGAGGGGGUAGAAGCAGCAGCACUAAUCUUCUUGGGACAUUGCCAGGCUCUGUGUCCAGGGCCGCCGCAGUUGAAGCAUUUCAACGGAUCCCUGCAAUCAAUGGCGUAGUGCCCUCUGGCCAGACAUCGGAAGCAUUUACCUCUCAGACUUACCUUAAGAUUUUUGUUGUCCAGAUGGCGGAACCUUGAAUGCUCGGUUGUUGGCUUCAAUGAAGUCGCAGGCGAAUUGAAUCUCCUGCGGAGUCGCCGAUGGACCGUUGUCCAGCCGGGCAAAUCUUCAGUGCCGGAUUCAGCGGAUUUGCUGCGUUGAGGAGUGAUGGGACGCAGGCCUGGGUAUUGAAGUUGGUGGGUAGCAGUCCCAUCCCGGCCGUGCGGAGUGAUUUUUGUUGGAGCAGCAGACGCGUCAAAGCAGGAACGAUGAGAUUGGUCGGCGGACAGAGCUGAUUCGGCGAACCUAACUCUCCUGGUGCAGGCGGCCUUAGCUGUCGACGAACCGGCGGCAGGCUUGAGGCAGGACCGCGUCGAAGAAGAAGUUCCGGACUCAGAUCUAGGAAUGCGGGCGUCCGCGUCGAAUGCUGGAAUCCCCACUGAGGCAGGGUGGAUCUGGAGGAUGGAGGCCUGAUCAAUGGGUUGAUGGAGGGGUUGGGGUUGGUUUUCCGGCGAGUCGGCGGGGGGAGCGGCAGCGGCGGCAAGUGCGGUGCUAGCCGCCGCGAGGACAGGGAGAGCGUCCAUCCCCAAGAUUCGUAUCAGCUAUUGAACCUAAAACAAUUGAUCAUUUGCUAGGCAGUUGUAACACAUUUAGUAAAUUUGGCCUGCAAGCAUUGGCCCCUCAAGGGCUUGUUCGGUUCUACCCCAAUCCAUAUGGAUUGAGGGAGAUUGAGGGGGUUUCAAUCUCCAGUAAGUCAAAAUUCCCUCCAAUCCAUAUCAAUCCCCUCCAAUCCAUAUGGAUUGAAAAUAACCAAACAAGCCCCAAGUGGGCAGGCUUUCCUUUGAUGACUGGUGGGAAACAGUAAAUAGCCGAGUGGAGGGUCAGAUUAGAAAAGAGUUGAACUCUGUCAUCAUCCUCUGUGCUUGGUCAAUUUGGACUCACCGAAAUAAGUGUGUUUGAUGGAGUGUCCCCAAAUUUAAAUGUUGUUUCGGCAGUGGUGGAUGAGGAAUUACAGAGGUGGAGUAUGGUUGGAGCAAAAGGGAUAUCCUACCUGCUUGCUAUGGCUCCUGGGUCGGAGCAGAUGAAUGCUAUGUGUGGGUUAAGGUCGUGUAUCCCUCUGUUUCUAGUGGUGUAAAUAGGUAGUUUGAGGCUAGGUUUUUAGGCUUCUUAGUUGCCUAAAACCUGGCUGUUUCUUUCGGGUUUUCUGUAACCUUUGGUCCCUUUCUUCUUAAUAUAAUUAUUUUCUUUUCUUUUCUUUUUCUAUUUUCCUAUUUAUUUCCUUUCCAUUUCAAAUCCAAAAUUACAUGGUAUAACAACUUAAACUACUAUAAGCAUUACAUGGUCAGAUAUGUAUAGCUUAACUCGGAUAAUCUCAAUAUAAAAAUGAGGGUUCCCUUCUAAUUGUCCUUACUCCUUACAAAACAACAUCAGAAACAACUAACCCUUCCUGUUACAUCAGUUUGAAAACUGGGACAAUAACUUUUUUUGUCAAGUAAACAAACCGGAAGGGAACAACCUAUGAUAUAUGGUUAAGCUGUACACAGUUUCACCGGCAUUGAGCUGUUGGUAGCUUCACCGCUGGCUCCUCUUGCCCCCUUUGCUAGAGCUAUCAUCAUGUGCUUCUGCACUCCUCUUCCUGCCUUUGCUGGGGCUAUCUACCUGUGCCCCAGCGCUACUUUUCCUGCCUUUGAUGGGGCUAUUUUCCUGUGCCCCAACAAUCCUCUGCUCACUCUUUGGAGGCUGACCCACACCCCUCUUCUUGGCUGGCUCAUAUGUCUUUGUAGUCUUUUGAUUAGCCAGCUCAUCACUGCAAGGUCUUUUGCCAUCCCCUUCCUUGGCAGCAGCAUCCCUUGAAGAAACCUUGCUUGCCCUUGCAUCCCCAGAGUGCAAGCUUGUUCUUGAAAAAUGCAGGGAUCGAGCAUUCUUCUUUAUUACAGGGGCACCAGCUGUUCUGGUCUCUCGAUGGCUUUUCAAGAACAAGCUUGCACUCCGCUUCACAGUUUUGCAUGCAAAGUCACGAAGCUCAACCGCAGCCAUGUGCUCUAAUGUAGUCUUCGGAUAGAAGGUUAUUACAUUAUUGAUGAAAAAAUAAGUAUAUCUCUCAAAAGCUCCUUGGUGCCAGAGAUUACAUGUUGAAUAAUUAGACAAAUUCCAAAUUAAAUUCCGAAUAUAAAUCAUGACCAAAUCAGAAGAACUGAAAUAAAAGCCAAAUCAGAUGAUGCGUACUGAUUAGACUUACUGAUUGUUGGCGCGCGCCAGAAUCAGCUGGGUCGACGAUGUCAGAAGAUCACGAGCAGUCGCGUGAAGACGCUUCCCAACUCACAUUUUUAUAUUCAGAAUGAUAUCACGACCAAAUCACAUUUUUUACUGGUAUGCAACAGCUGCUCCACAACUUCAUAUGGGAGAAUGAUAUCACAAUGUUGGAUCAGUAGGUGAACUGUUCUUUUAUUGUCCACUAUCAUAAGAUUGAUAAUCUGAAGAAUAUUAAAAAAAGUGUUUAAGUCAAGGAUAUGGAAUGCUUUUUCUAAAACGUACCACUGUAGAAUGUAACUUUGUAUUAGCAGCUAGAUUGGACUCCUCCAUUUUGAUACCUUAUCAUGAAUAGCAUCAUGCAAGUUGUAUUUCUCAAUAAACUCGAAUACUUCUGGCUUCAGGAGCUGAACCAAAUGGGUUUAAUUAGAAAUAAUUUGACAAUAAAAAUGUAUAUUUUGAUAUGUGCCUACAAAUACAGCUUUAGGAUGUACUUAUUUUAGCAUAAAGAGAAAGUGCCUUUUCGUAUUGACCAUUGAUCACAUAUAAUUCAGCUAAUGACUACAUGGCACAUAAGGCAGAUAUCAACCAAAUAGGGAAAGAAUAUGAAGUGUAAAUAUAUGUUUUACAAUCAUUAAAUAAUGUCCCUCCCCACCUCUUUCAAUGAAUCAGCCAUCGAUGAGGAGUUUAGUUGUGGCUCAACGGCAGAUAUGACCGGUGAGGCUGAGUAUAAUGUCGGUGGCCAAUUUUUUAUAGUAGUCAAGAGAAGUUCAUGGAAAGAAGGAUUGAUAGUUAGAGCAACAAGGGCAACCUACACAAGAAAAUCAGAAUAGUAUUACAACAGAUAGGUGUUAAAAUUAGUAAUGGAACUUACAAGUUAGCACCACACCUCAUAUGCAGUAUCACUCAGCUGAGGAUUUUCUGUAGGAAUAUAAGGGACCAAAAUAGGAAGUUGGCGGAGAUGAGCAAAGUGGAAGACCCAUGUGUCGCAUAAAAGUUUUGAUUAAAAAAUGAAUCAAUUAACACGUAGGGUGAGAUCCAUCAAAAUCUCACAACUCAUCGGUGUUAUGCUAGAUCAUUCAACAAAAGGUGAUAUCUGUGUAUCCACAUAUUUUCUAACCUCUCCCAUGCUGAAGGGGAUCCUCGCAACAACUUUGGGCAGCGCUGAGCAACUUCAGCGUAUUUUCUUUCAAUUAUCGAGUGAUCAAGGUAUCUUGAGCCCACCUGGAUUACCAUGAAUGAACCGACUUAAAUGCAUAAAGUACAAGUACUAACAGUCGCAAUAUCAACAUGAUGACCCUAAAAAAAGCUGGAAGUUGGCUUACCCCCUUGCGGUGGGACCGACACACAUAUUACAAAAAUAAAUCUAGCAUUAUUACAAAAAUGAGAGAUAUCCUACCGAAUUAAGCAUCUCUAGUGUAUAUCAUAAGCAACAUUACAAUUUUAGCAUCUUAAUUAGCAGUAGUAAAAAACUAACCUGGAGUCGUGAUGUCCCUCCAUUAUUACAAAAAUGAGAGAUAUCCUACCGAAUUAAGCAUCUUUAGUGUAUAUCAUAAGCAGCAUUACAAUUUUAGUAUCUUAAUUAGCAGUAGUAAAAAACUAACCUAGAGUCGUGAAGUCCCUCCACAUCUUCAGAACGUGCGGGGGUAAGGUGUCACAUCCGGUUUUAAGGAACAAAGCCGGGUGCAUCUCAUACAUGCGCCAAAGAAGACAACAUAUAUAAUAACAGAGUGUAUAGAGAUAAAUGUCACAAUAUAAUCAGAGUACUUUAUUACAUAGCGGAAGUCUUACAAAAUAAGAGAUAAAUAUCACAGGAUCUAAAAUCUAUCCUUGGCGCCAGAAAGCUGACUGGGAAACGCCACCUAGAUCAAGUCGAAUGCCUCAGUGUUAGGCGGCUCCUCUUCGACCACCUGUUCUUCUCCUGUGGGGGGUGUGAGACAGCAAGAGUGAGCUCACAUACGUUCAUAGCUCAACAAGUCGUAGGGAAUAAUGUGGCAUGAACUCACCAAAGGUGGGAGUUCAUAUGAAGUGUAAGGCUGAUCAACAAAGUAAGGGCUGAGGCUGAGCAUUGCUUUUAUAAGUUGGUCAAAUUUUUAUUAGCAAUUACUAAAUGUAAGUAAAUACCAAACCUUAAUAAUAAUAAAGAAAAGUAAUAGUAAAAUAAUCCCAAAUGCGAUGCAAAUGUCAAAUUAAAUUUAAGUUCCAUAAUUAAUCAUGUGAGGGUUCGAGCUGCUCAUGACCGUGAGCACGGCUAGUAUACCAGUUUUACACUCUGCAGAGGUUGCGCAUCUUUACCCACAAGUCACGUUACCCAUCUGCCAAGAGAUGGCCAAUCCCAUACACCUCUACCGAGGAGGCGAGGCUGGGUAACACUACGAGGCCUUUACAAAGUUCCACUAGCUUCAGAAAUCCCGCUACAGUUUAUAGGAAGCUCCAGUGCAGGAAUCCCUCGCCUGACCGCCAUCGUAGCAAAAUCAACCCAAGGACCUCCCUACACUGACCACUCCCCUACUGCCCUUGCCCCUUUCGGGUAAGGAAGACAUCCACUAGCUUUCCUAGUUAAUCGGCCAAGGACGUCCCAUUAUACCCUUGUGGUAGCACUGUUUUCCCGGGUGGUCGCUCCAUGUUCCCAUUAGCAUAAUGAUCUUAACAUGAACAUUAAUAAUAAAAAGAUAAUAAAAGUGUAGUAAUUAAUAGUGUAUCCACAUACCCAAAACCACAAUAAGCGAUAGCAAGUACUAUCCAAAAAUAUUCAGUGGCAAAGCAAGGUAUAAAGAUAGCAAAACUGGGGUAACAUAUUGGGUCCCAUCAAAAUUAACCUAUGCAGAUCAUUAUAAUUAAUAAGAACAUGGCUGGGAAAAAGUAAGUGAUCAAGGGCACAACUUGCCUUCGAUGAGCUCCUGCUCAGCUACUUCUACUUGCUGAACCUCAGAAUCCACAAGGCUUGCUCGUCUACUCGCAUCAACACAAUAUAUACAUAGUAUAUCAUAAAUUAACAUCACAUCAAACAUGUAAAUAAAAUAUACAGUAAAAGUCUACACAUUAAAAUGAGAUCCUUGGAACCGGAAUCAUUAAAUUUGGAGCUAUAGAUUUCAAGUUAUGAAUUUCCUAAGAUUUAAUGUGCUUGAACUAGGAUUAAAUGAUAAAUUAAUUUUCUUACCGUUUUAUGUCAAAACAGAGACACUAAAUGAUAGACAAUAUUAUUAUAAAAUUUUAGAAAUUGAAAUGGGUCAAUUUGGAUUUAAAGUGAAUUAGAUAUGAAUUUUCCAAGUUCUAGCAAUUAUUCUUGUAUUAAAAAUACAUUUACUAAUUCAUUUGCACAUUUUAAACGGGCUCUGAACUGGGCGUCAAUUUCUGGUAAGCACAGGGUUCUCAGUGUAAGUUUUCUAAGACACAGAGCACAGUAUGAGUGGAUGGCGGGUUGUUUUCUGAUAAGCGCAGGGGCUCUUUAGCAAUGUUGACCCGCGAAGGGGUACAGUCAGAUCUCGGCUAUUGGAUCACAAGCUGACGGUGCGGAUUAGAUCGGUUUUAUCCCGAACCGGUACGCAAACGGGGCCCUUGGAUCCAUGAUCAAGGGUCCAGGUUCAACGUACACGCGACUAGAUCCUAACUAUCCAAUACCGGAUCGACGCCACAGAUUACGCGGCGCGAAUCGGUACACAGAGUAUUGAUCCCAAUCGUCCGUUAUGAGAUCGACGCUCCAUAAUCUACCCCCUUCUCCCCACCCAGAGCACGGCGGCAACGCCGCCGGCUACGACGGCGGACAUGGCCGGAGCCAGGUCGUCGACGAUCCUACACGCUAAAUUAACGGAAAAUUGACCCUAUACGUAGCUAGCUCUCUACUGAGUUCGUCUGGGUCGACAUUACUCGAAGUUAGGGCACUGAAACGCUAUGACCUCACCAUCGACGGCCCGAAGGUAGCACGACCACUCCGGCGACGCAUUACCUUGGCUAAUCAAACCCGUGAGCUAUGAUUCUUGGUUCUACGUGUUCUAGGGAAUAAGGGUAAUAUCGGGGUGGUUUCUUACCUGCACCCGGGUCGUGGCGCGACCGGUUCACGAGGCGGCGGAUUCCGCGGCGGAGCUGGGUGUCGACGAGCAAUUGGUCGUACCCGAGGCGAUGGUAGCGGCCCGCGGUACUCCAAUUGACUUCAACGUCCCCCGACGACGGCCAUGCAAGCAACAACGGAGCUGCUUCACUGAGGAGCCGAGGAAGGAUCGACGUGACACUCACUCUCCCUCACGACGGCGACUUUGAUUUGCGCUACGCGGCUAGGGCAGACGAGCGAGUACAUGGCAAGUCAAGGGAAUACUAGCGACGAGUCAUGGUACUUGUAGGGCGGUUCAAACGGGUCCCAGUCAAUCCCCCACGCCACGCUGAGCCGAUGCGAGUGCCGGCGUUCUCGGCAGAGUCGUUACGGGACGAAGCUGACGCUGUGGCCCCGCAUGUAGGUGACUGGCGCGAGGGAGAGGAUGGCCAGUGGCCCCGCGAAGCAGCCGGUCGAGCGCGCGUGCAGCGGUUGGUCUUGGGCCGCGCAGAGGGAAAAUGCACCUUGGGCCAGAAGGGAGGCAGUCGGCCUAGGUAAGGUUUUCUUUUUCUUUUUCUUUUUCUGAUUCCCUCUUUCUCUAUUUUCAAAUCCAAUUUGAAUUCAAGUUUAAAUUCAAACUUUAUGGCUCCUCAUUCACACUAUAUUUGUGCAGUUAAAAGUAAUAAGUUUAAGGAUAUUUAUAUUAUUUAUAUUUUUGUAUCAUUCCUCUUCUUAUUUUCAAAACCCUAUUUUCAAAUGUAGGGUUUUAAUUCCACUUCUAGUAAUUAUUAUAUUAUUAUUAUUAUUAACAUCAUUAUUUUAUUUAAUGCACAAACAUAUAAAACUCCAACAUGAUGCAUUUUUUUAUCAUUUGUUUGAAUUAACCUCUAAAUUUUGUGUAUGCUCUUUUUAUGAGGCAAAUGAGGCACAUAAAGUUGAGGAGAUCUCUCUAUUAUUCCUUGUAUACAACUUUGAGUAUUACAAAUCCUACCCCCCUUAAAAAUAAUCUCGUCCUCGAGAUUUAAGAAGAUGUAAGGAAAAGGUGGGGAAAAUCUAUGCGAAGCUCUUCUUCUCUUUCCCAAGUAGUUUUUAUCUUCUCUAUGAUGACUCCACUGCACUUUGCACAUCUUUAUCACCUUAUUUCUCGUAACUCGAGUCAAUGUAUCAAAAAUCUUGACAGGAUACUCCAUGUAAGUCAAAUCACUCCAAACACUGAGCUCAUCCAUUGGUAACUGUUCCUCAGGAACACGGAGACACUUCUUUAGCUGAGACACAUGAAACACAUCAUGUACAUCUGAAAGAUGAUCGGGUAACUCCAGUUGAUAUGCAACUUCUCCCACUCGCUUUAAGAUCAAGAAAGGUCCAAUGAAGCGAGGGGACAACUUUCCUUUAACUUUAAAUCUCCUCAUACCCUGGAGUGGUGACACCUUCAAAUAGACAUAAUCACCUUCUUUAAACUCUAGCUGUCUUCUUCGGGUAUCAGCAUAGCUUUUCUGCCUUGACUGUGCAGUUCUCAAAUUUUCCCUUAUUUGCUGGACUUGUUCUUCUGCUUCUUGUAUAAUCUCAGGCCCAACAACUGCCUUUCACCAGUUUGAUCCCAAUAUAGUGGAGUCCUGCACUUUCUGCCAUACAAAGCCUCAAACGGUGACAUCUUCAAACUGGCCUGAUAGCUAUUAUUAUAAGAGAACUGCGCAUAAGGUAAACUCUUAUCCCAACCUCCACCAUGUUUAAGAGCACAAGCUCUUAACAUAUCCUCUAGCACUUGGUUGGUCCUCUCAGUCUGCCCAUCAGUCUGUGGAUGGUAAGCCGAACUAAAAUUCAAUCUGGUAUCCAAGGACUCGUGCAACUUCUUCCAAUACCGCGAAGUAAACUGUGAUCCCCGGUCUGACACAAUCUUCUUUGGCACACCAUGUAAGCAGACAAUCCGUGCCAUGUACAACUCUGCCAAUUUGGCUCCUGAAUAUGUGGUCUUUACUGGAAUAAAGUGGGCUACUUUUGUUAGCCUGUCCACAAUCACCCAUAUAGAAUCAUAUCCAGCAGACGUGCGGGGUAAUCCAACAAUGAAGUCCAUGCCAAUUCUUCCCAUUUCCACUCAGGUAUCUUCAGUGGAUGCAGUAGUCCGGCUGGCCUCUGGUGUUCAGCCUUAACUCUUUGGCACACAUCGCACAUAGCCACAUGUGCAGCCACAUCUCUCUUCAAUCCAUACCACCAAUAUUUUUGCUUCAAAUCCUGAUACAUCUUAGUGCUCCCAGGGUGGAUAGAAUAAACUGAAUCAUGUGCCUCCUUCAAUAUGGUUUCCCAAAGACUAUCGAUAUCAGGAACACAAAUCCGAUUCUUGAACCAUAUCAUGCCUUGCUCAUCCUCUGUGAAUUCCGGGCCUCUACCCUCUGUUAUCAGAUCUUUGAUCUCCUGAAUCUUAGCAUCACCAACCUAACCUUUACGAAUUUCUUGCUCCAAGGUAGGUUCCAAUUCAAUGGUAACUCCUUCUGUAUGUGUAACAAUUCCCAGGUUGAGCCUCUCAAAAUCUUUUGCUAAUUCAUCAGGUAGCUGGACAACGAAAGCGGAGUGAACAUGAUCCUUCCGACUCAAGGCAUCUGCAACAAAAUUUGCCUUGCCUGGGUGAUAGUGAAUCUCCAAAUCAUAAUCCUUAAUAAGCUCCAACCAACGGUGUUGCCUAAGGUUGAGAUCCUUCUGAGUGAAUAUGUACUUCAAGUUCUUAUGAUCCGUGUAUACUUGGCGCUUAGUUCCCAUAAUGUAGUGUCUCCAAAUCUUAAGUGCAUGCACAACUGCUGCCAGCUCUAAGUCAUGAGUGGGGUAGUUCAAUUCAUGUUUCCGUAGCUGACGAGACGCAUAGGCGAUGACAUGUCCUUCUUGCAUGAGCACACAUCCCAAAUUCCCAAUCCUUGGCCACAUGCAUCACAAUAAAUGUCAAACCCCUUCUGUAGGUCUGGCAUAAUCAACACUGGUGGCGACAUCAAUCUCUUCUUCUAUUGAUCAAAGCUUUCUUGGCAUUUCUCAUCCCACUUGAAUUCUCUUCCUUUCUCCAAAAGCGAGGUCAUAGGCUUGGCAAUCUUAGAGAACCCUUCAAUAAAUCUCCGAUAAUAUCAUGCGAGUCCCAAGAAACUCCGAAUCUCAGUAACUGUAGUGGGCACUCUCCACUCCAUUAUCUCCUUCACUUUAGCAGGAUCCACUGCUAUUCCUCCAUUGGAAAUAAUAUGUCCAAGGAAUGGCACCUUGUCAAUCCAAACCUCGCACUUGCUAAACUUGACAUAGAGUUGAUUAUCUCGUAACUUCUGUAACACCAACCUUAGAUGUUCUUCAUGAUCGCUUUCACUCUUAGAAUAAAUAAGAAUAUCGUCGAUGAACACCACGACGAAUCUGUCCAAAUACUCCAUAAACACCUUAUUCAUCAAAUUCAUGAAAUAAGCUGGUGCAUUGGUUAAUCCAAAUGACAUAACAGUAAACUCAUAUAAUCCAUAUCGGGUUGAGAAAGCCAUCUUAGGAAUAUCUAAUGGUCUAAUCUUCAUCUGAUGGUAUCCCGAUCGGAGAUCAAUCUUCGAGAAUACCCUGGCUCCUCUCAUCUGAUCAAACAAAUCCUCAAUACGGGGUAAUGGAUACUUGUUCUUCACAGUAACAUCAUUAAGUGAUCUAUAGUCCACACACAUCCGCUGUGAUCCAUCCUUCUUCUGUACAAAUAACACCGGUGCUCCCCAAGGUGAGGAACUCGGACGAAUAUACCCCGCCUCCUGUAACUCAGUUAACUACUUCUUAAGCUCCUUCAGUUCUUCUACAACCAUCCUGUAUGGUCGCUCAGAUAUAGGGGCAGUUCCAGGUAAAAGAUCAAUCACAAACUCAACUUCCCUAUCUGAUGGCAUCCCUGGUAACUCCUCUGGAAAGACAUCCGGAAAAUCUCUAACCACCCGGAUGUUGUCACCAACAAACUCCUCAGGUAUAAAGAACAUUGCACGCUUGGAUGAGGUGGUUACUACAAUAUUAACUUGAAAUGUUUCUCCUUUAGGACUAGUGAGUUCUAUAGUUCCUCUACCACAUGCUAUAAUGGCCUUUGCCUUCCUUAACCAUGACAUACCAAGAAUCAGAUCUAUACUGCUGGCCUCUAAUAUUAUAGCAGUAGCUCCAAAUUUUCUUCCCAUAAUUGAUAAUGUCAAUCUACGUGUCAUUUGAUUUGCCUCAAUAGGCCCUUUAGGUGUGAUUACUAUCAUUGGUUUUCUCAUAUUUAGCAGGGGUAUCUCAUUAGUGUUGGCAUAUCGAGCAGACAUGAAUGAAUGUGUAGCACCAGAAUCAAAUAGUAUGGUUGCAGGAAUGGCAUUAAUGUAAAACAUACCGAGUACGAUGUCAGCACCAUCAGGAGUAUCAUCAACACUGACUUGAUUCACCCUGGCUAUAGAAUAUCCCUUGCCAGGAGCCUGUUGCUUGUUCUUAGCUGGUGUACCAGAAUUCCCCAUAGGACAAGCAUUAGCAUAGUGCCCAAUCUGACUGCACUUGAAGCAUGUAGGGCCAGUCUUCUGUCCUGUAGACCUCGUCGGGGUGCCAGUGGGAGUAGCCUGACGAGUAGGAGGUGUCCGUGGAGAUCCCUGUGGAGCAUACUGAACUGGGCGUGGUCCUCCUGGUCGAGUCGGUGUACUCUGUGGCGAAACGUAGCGGGGACGAACACUGCUGCUACCGUGUCCCUGUGAGAUAGCCUUCCUCUUCAAAUCACCCAGUUGAACACGCUUGUGUUCAAUAGCAAGAGCCUUAUCCAGUAGCCUCUGAAAUGAUGGAAAUGUGUGUGCAACCAGCGCAUACUGUAGGGAUCCAUUAAGUCCUUCAAUAAAGUGCUCCUGCUUUCUUUCAUCCUCAACAACUUCCUCCGGAGCAUAUAUCGACAGCUGAAUAAAUUUGUCUCUAUACUCGCUGACCGACAUGUUGCCUUGCUUCAAUGAUAGAAACUCCUUCUUCUUGAUCUUUAUCAAUCCAGCUGGAAUAUGGUAGUUCUUGAACUGCGUACUGAACUCUGCCCAAGUAAUAGUAUCAGCAGCAUCAUGGGCAGCAGUAUAAGAAUCCCACCAGUCAACAGCAGGACCUGUCAGACGACCCGAGGCAUAAAGAACUUUCUCCCAGUCUGAGCAUUGGGCGAUGUUAAGCAUCUUCUCAAUUGACUUCAACCAAUCAUCUGCAUCAAGUGGAUCUGGCGAACUGGCGAAGGUCGAUGGCUUAUGGCUCAUAAAUUCCCGGUGCUUAUCACGAGGUGGAACUGGUGGUGGUGGAGGAGGCAAUGGUACUUGCUGCUGUUGCUGUUGCUGUUGAAAUUGUUGUUGCAGCUGCUGUUGCGCCCUUCUCUCCUGGCGUAUCUCUUCUCUCUCCUGGCGCAACUCUUGGCGUAUCUCUUCUCUUUCCUAACGCAUCUCCUGGCGUUCCUGCUGCAUCUGAGCACGCAUAUCUGCCAUAGUGUCCGCCAUUUGCUGCAUCAUUCUCAUCUGAGCUGCAAUCAGUGGGUAAACUCCGCCUGGUGGAGGAUUAGGAGGAUUCAUCUCUGCUGGCUGUGGCUGAGGUUGUCUAUAUAUCCACCGAGUGUGUCGAUUAGGAGGCAAAUCAAUUCCACCACCCCUCCUGGUAUUGACCAUCUGAGUUAGAUACAUAUGGUAAGAGAGAGUAGUAGACAAGGCGGUAAUUACGAAUCAUGUUACUUUGGGGGAUUUAUUAGCUAAGCAGAUUAAUGUUUUACCUACCAUAGCUAAUUUAUUACCUUAUGGUGGAACAUACUAAGAUGUCCAUAUAUAAUAUUUCAAUCAAUCAAAGAAGCAAAUCAGACAUUUAUCAUCAGAACAAUCAAACAACAUUUUUAAAUAUAGAAAAUAGUUUUGGUUGGGUUUUAGGCCUCCUAUCUCUUAAAAAUGUCAUAGGGGUAGGGAUUCCAAGGUGUGAAAUCCGUCUUGUCUUGGAGUAGAAAAGGUAAGAAUCAUCAGAGUAGAACAGUAGAAGGUGAGUCAGGAUCAAGAUAAGUAUAGAGAGAAUCAGAGUAAGGUAAGUAUAGAAUGAAUCAGAAUAAGGUAAGUAGGUAAGGGUUUUAUCCAUUUCUAUCUAGGUUUCGUCCUACAGUCAACAUUUCCUCUGAUACCACUUUUGUCACACCCGGUUUUAAGGAACAAAGCCGGGUGCAUCUCAUACAUGCGCCAAAGAAGACAACAUAUAUAAUAACAGAGUGUAUAGAGAUAAAUGUCACAAUAUAAUCAGAGUACUUUAUUACAUAGCGGAAGUCUUACAAAAUAAGAGAUAAAUAUCGCAGGAUCUAAAAUCUAUCCUUGGCGCCAGAAAGCUGACUGGGAAACGCCACCUAGAUCAAGUCGAAUGCCUCAGUGUUAGGCGGCUCCUCUUCGACCACCUGUUCUUCUCCUGUGGGGGUGGGAGACAGCAAGAGUGAGCUCACAUACGUUCAUAGCUCAACAAGUCGUAGGGAAUAAUGUGGCAUGAACUCACCAAAGGUGAGAGUUCAUAUGAAGUGUAAGGCUGAUCAACAAAGUAAGGGCUGAGGCUGAGCAUUGCUUUUAUAAGUUGGUCAAAAUUUUAUUAGCAAUUACUAAAUGUAAGUAAAUACCAAACCUUAAUAAUAAUAAAGAAAAGUAAUAGUAAAAUAAUCCCAAAUGCGAUGCAAAUGUCAAAUUAAAUUUAAGUUCCAUAAUUAAUCAUGUGAGGGUCCGAGCUGCUCAUGACUGUGAGCACGGCUAGUAUACCAGUUUUACACUCUGCAGAGGUUGCACAUCUUUACCCACAAGUCACGUUACCCAUCUGCCAAGAGAUGGCCAAUCCCAUACACCUCUACCGAGGAGGCGAGGCUGGGUAACACUACGAGGCCUUUACAAAGUUCCACUAGCUUCAGAAAUCCCGCUACAGUUUAUAGGAAGCUCCAGUGCAGGAAUCCCUCGCCUGACCGCCAUCGUAGCAAAAUCAACCCAAGGACCUCCCUACACUGACCACUCCCCUACUGCCCUUGCCCCUUUCGGGUAAGGAAGACAUCCACUAGCUUUCCUAGUUAAUCGGCCAAGGGCGUCCCAUUAUACCCUUGUGGUAGCACUGUUUUCCCGGGUGGUCGCUCCAUGUUCCCAUUAACAUAAUGAUCUUAACAUGAACAUUAAUAAUAAAAAGAUAAUAAAAGUGUAGUAAUUAAUAGUGUAUCCACAUACCCAAAACCACAAUAAGCGAUAGCAAGUACUACCCAAAAAUAUUCAGUGGCAAAACAAGGUAUAAAGAUAGCCAAAACUGGGGUAACCUAUUGGGUCCCAUCAAAAUUAACCUAUGCAGAUCAUUAUAAUUAAUAAGAACAUGGCUGGGAAAAAGUAAGUGAUCAAGGGCACAACUUGCCUUUGAUGAGCUCCUGCUCAGCUACUUCUACUUGCUGAACCUCAGAAUCCACAGUGGCUUGCUCGUCUACUCGCAUCAACACAAUAUAUACAUAGUAUAGCAUAAAUUAACAUCACAUCAAACAUGUAAAUAAAAUAUACAGUAAAAAUCUACACAUUAAAAUGAGAUCCUUGGAACUGGAAUCAUUAAAUUUGGAGCUAUAGAUUUCAAGUUAUGAAUUUCCUAAGAUUUAAUGUGCUUGAACUAGGAUUAAAUGAUAAAUUAAUUUUCUUACCUUUUUAUGUCAAAACAGAGACACUAAAUGAUAGACAAUAUUAUUAUAAAAUUUUAGAAAUUGAAAUGGGUCAAUUUGGAUUUAAAGUGAAUUAGAUAUGAAUUUUCCAAGUUCUAGCAAUUAUUCUUGUAUUAAAAAUACAUUUACUAAUUCAUUUGCACAUUUUAAACGGGCUCUGAACUGGGCGUCAAUUUCUGGUAAGCACAGGGUUCUCAGUGUAAGUUUUCUAAGACACAGAGCACAGUAUGAGUGGAUGGCGGGUUGUUUUCUGAUAAGCGUAGGGGCUCUUUAGCAAUGUUGACCCGCGAAGGGGUACAGUCAGAUCUCGGCCGUUGGAUCACAAGCUGACGGUGCGGAUUAGAUCGGUUUUAUCCCGAAUCGGUACGCAAACGGGGCCUUCGGAUCCGUGAUCAAGGGUCCAGGUUCAACGUACACGCGACUAGAUCCUAACUGUCCAAUACCGGAUCGACGCCACAGAUUACGCGGCGCGAAUCGGUACACAGAGUAUUGAUCCCGAUCGUCCGUUAUGAGAUCGACGCUCCAUAAUCUACCCCCUUCUCCCCACCCAGAGCACGGCGGCAACGCCGCCGGCUACGACGGCGGACAUGGCCGGAGCCAGGUCAUCGGCGAUCCUGCACGCUAAAUUAAUGGAAAAUUGACCCUAUACGUAGCUAGCUCUCUACUGAGUUUGUCCGGGUCGACAUUACUCGGAGUUAGGGCACUGAAACGCCAUGACCUCACCAUCGGCGGCCCGAAGGUAGCACGGCCACUCCGGCGACGCAUUACCUUGGCUAAUCAAACCCGUGAGCUAUGAUUCUUGGUUCUACGCGUUCUAGGGAAUAAGGGUAAUAUCGGGGUGGUUUCUUACCUGCACCCGGGUCGUGGCGCGGCCGGUUCACGAGGCGGCGGAUUCCGCGGCGGAGCUAGGUGCCGACGAGCAAUUGGUCGUACCCGAGGCGAUGGUAGCGGCCCGCGGUACUCCAAUUGACUUCAACGUCCCCCGACGACGGCCAUGCAAGCAACAACGGAGCUGCUUCACCGAGGAGCCGAGGAAGGAUCGACGUGACACUCACUCUCCCUCACGGCAGCGACUUUGGUUUGCGCUACGCGGCUAGGGCGGACGAGCGAGUACAGGGCGAGUCAAGGGAAUACUAGCGACGAGUCAUGGUACUUGUAGGGCGGUUCAAACGGGUCCCAGUCAAUCCCCCACGCCACGCUGAGCCGAUGCGAGUGCCGGCGUUCUCGGUAGAGUCGUUACGGGGACGAAGCUGACGUCGUGGCCCCGCAUGUAGGUGACUGGCGCGAGGGAGAGGCUGGCCAGUGGCCCCGCGAAGCAGCCGGUCGAGCGCGCGUGCAGCGGUUGGUCUUGGGCCGCGCAGAGGGAAAAUGCACCUUGGGCCAGAAGGGAGGCAGUCGGCCCAGGUAAGGUUUUCUUUUUCUUUUUCUGAUUCCCUCUUUCUCUAUUUUCAAAUCCAAUUUGAAUUCAAGUUUAAAUUCAAACUUUAUGGCUCCUCAUUUACACUAUAUUUGUGCAGUUAAAAGUAAUAAGUUUAAGGAUAUUUAUAUUAUUUAUAUUUUUGUAUCAUUCCUCUUCUUAUUUUCAAAACCCUAUUUUCAAAUUUAGGGUUUUAAUUCCACUUCUAGUAAUUAUUAUAUUAUUAUUAACAUCAUUAUUUUAUUUAAUGCACAAACAUAUAAAACUCCAACAUGAUGCAUUUUUUAUCAUUUGUUUGAAUUAACCUCUAAAUUUUGUGUAUGCUCUUUUUAUGAGGCAAAUGAGGCACAUAAAGUUGAGGAGAUCUCUCUAUUAUUCCUUGUAUACAACUUUGAGUAUUACAUAAGGACCUCCUUAUAAACGAGAUUUGCAUACUGAACAGUGUUCUUCUAUUUAAGUGAGAUGCAGUUAUCUAUAUCUAGUUUAGUUGGGUCCAAAGACCCAAGACUAUUUACUAAACAAUACAUGAAACAUAAUGAAAAGAGACCAAUAACAUCUAUUCAAUGCUCAUCUGCUUUAUUUGUUGUAUCAACCAAAUGACCACUAAACAAUAGGAAGCUAAAAAGGAGCCAAAAUAGAUAAAUAAAAGGCAAAAAUACAUAUUCACCUAAAAACCAAACUAAUUAAGUGCAUUACAAGUUGUUAAUUGACAUGCAUUCAUCAAUGUCAGCUACAGCGUAAGGACCUCCUUAUAAACGAUAUUCUUUGUGUAUGUUGUGCCAUUUAUCACUGAGUUCCUUUCAACCCCCUUCUUCUUCUUCUUCUCAUUAGUGACUGGAAUAGCAAGUAUCUUCACUUUCGAUCGAGCGGUGGCCCUUGAUAGAGCAACAUAAAGCUAGCCAUGAGAGAACACUGGUUCCAGCAAGUACACACCAACAUUAGGAAUCGUCUAGCCCUGGGCCUUGUUAACCGUCAUGGCAAAACUUAGUCUUAUCGGAAACUGCUUCCUUUUAAACUGGAAAGGGAACAUCUCAUCAUCAGAGGGGCACAGGGGUAUACGAGGCAAGAAAAUUCGCAUUCCAGCAUGUUGGCCAAGGACAAUUUCAGCAUCAAUACUGUUUUUUGGAAACCACGAACCACCAACCUCGUGCCAUUGCAAAGUCCAUUAGCAGGGUCUAUAUUCCUAAGCAACAUGAUUGGGCAUCCAACUUUGAGCUUCAGAAUGUGCGGGGGUAGUCCAUUAGGAGUCAGCGUGUUUAGAAACUCUGAUGGGUAAUAGUUAUUAGGAUCAUCCACCGCAGUGUCAAAACUAUGGUACAUCAUCUGCUUCCCUUGGAAACGAUCGAUCAUCCUCAUAUUUAUCAUAUCCACCCAGUCAUUCCGUGUAGACAAUAUUGCUCUUGAAGUGAUGUAGCUUGUGUUAGACAUGUUUUCAUUUAGAUUGGGGUAAAUGUCAUCUAUCAGUCUAUCAAGGUCGCGGUCAUUACCAGUAUAUGGCACACAUACCUCAUUUGGAAGAUGAACAUCACCAUCGUUGUUCGCUUCCUCAGUUCCACCACCGGCGUGCAACAAAUAUUCUGCAAACCAUGGGUCGCUCUGUGCCCUCAUGUUUUGAACAAGCUUUAGGUGGCACAUGGAUUCCCAGAGGUAAGAACUCCGUAGAGAGGCAGCAACUAUCUGAGCCCUUGACCACUUGCGUACAACAGGGAGUACUUGUCUGAAAUCACCCCCGAACACAACAGUCCUCCCACCAAAGGGCAGCCUAGGUCGUCCCAUUAUAUUGCGCAUGCUAUUGUCUAGCGCCUCAAUUGCUUGUCUCUUAGUCAUCGAUGCCUCGUCCCAGAUAAUGAGCGAUGCUUUUUGUAGCAACUUUGCUGUCCUGCUUUGUUUCGUGAAGCUACAUACAACACCAUCAUUAAUAGUAAGUGGUAUCUUGAAGCGCGAAUGGGCAGUCCUCCCCCCAGGCAAUAUGGAAGCCGCAACACCAGAUGUAGCUGUGGCAACUGCAAUCUUGUCCUGACUGCGUAGUGCCGCAAACAGUGCCUUAUACAGAUAGGUCUUGCCAGUCCCACCAGGCCCAUCCACAAAGAACACUCCACCGUUAUUGGUGUCAACGGCAGAUAGGAUCUUAUCAUAGGCAGACCUCUGCUCCUCAUUUAGGGUUUCUUUCAUAGCAACGUCUUCUGCUGUCGGCUCGAUACUUUCCUCCUCGUAAAUCUCUCUAUCAGUACCAUGUGAAUCGUCAUAUUUGUCGAUGAUAGUAGGGAGAGGGAAUGUCUUUAUGUCUUUACCCAUUGACUGCAAAAUGUUUCUAAUGUCAAUCAAGACCAUCUGUUGCACAUGGGUUUUGCUUUGAGUACUACGGUGAUAGUCCUCUGACAUUGAAUCAAGGUGUCUCUGCCAUAAUUCUGCCACAUCGUUCGGCUUGCAGUAUACCAGUAUUGUUGCAAACAACCUUCGUAGUGCUGACGGCAUUUGGUAAAUAGCGGCUUCGUUGAGACACUCAUCUAUUGUGUCGUCUGCUUCAAGCAGUCCACUCCUUUGUGCUGCCUCACGAAAAGAUGGUAGUGUGUCACCAUCUACUAUCCUUAGAUCCGCAUAGGAGGUAGCACCCAUCACAUGGUUUAAGAGAAGUCGAAGAUAAAAGCGCUCCCCCUCAGCUGGAUGAGCAGAGACUAUUCUACCAACCUGUCCACCCGUGUUUCGUUUCCUCCUUUGCCACACUUUGCCUUGCUGCAAAGUGUACCACUCAGGAAAAUCACAGUAAAGGAUGCUCCGAGCCUCCUCGUGUAGCCUAUUUGCCUCAAAAUAUGUCGUAAGCAUUGACCUAUCGACACCUGGACGUUGGACAAUAUGAUUUACUUUAGCACGCUCGUGAAAUGACACCAUAUGCAUGUUUUCAAGAUGGAGCUACAGUUGCAUCACUGGUGGAAAGUUUUGACUUAGAUCAAAGCUGAAUAUCCUCCAAAGGGCUUCUGGAGGGGUCACCCACCUAGCAUCUCUAUACUGCUUGAUCUCAUCAACGUCACCAUCAACCUUGUUUGCAUCUGUCACAGCCACAGACGCACGAUCGUGGCCUUUGUAUAUGUAUUUGAACAAGUAUUUGAUAGCCUUGAUGCUCCCGCAUGCCUCAACAUUGAUGUGACAGUUGAAGAGCCGGAGGAGGUAAGGGUUGUAAGGGACGACCCGUCUGUUGUCCAAUUCACAACCUCGAACCGUUUCCUUACGCCCAUCAUCACGACGCCUAUAAAUAGGAUAUGAAUCCUUUCCUUGAGACGUUGCAUUGCUAAAAGCUCUAGGAUAAUGGUUUUUGCAUGAAGCAGGACCCUUAGUGCAUGGGCAUUUAGGAUUUAGCAACCCGCAUGGUCCAUGCAUCAUAUGCUUGAUAACCAUCUUGUAUAGUUCAGGGUACUUCUUCUUGUCAGGGAUCUCAGCGGAGAUAAGGAGAUCAUACUGAUCGGGGCAAGUUAGCUUGUACUUUCUCUGCAUGAUGAGUAGGAAAUGGACAUGAGGCAAACCUCGCUUCUGGAACUCCACGACGUAGACAUAAGCCCGGAUUUUUCGAAGAAUAUGGUGCUUAGUCAAUCUCUUCUUCAGUUCCUCUAGUUUUGCACGGAAUAUGCAAACAACAAGGUCCGAACGAUCCUGUGGUGACUACAUAGGGAGAAGCUCUCUGGUUAUUUCAUCCCAAUUGGGGUUGCACGUCAUAGUGAGGAAUAUGUCUGGCUUCCCAAACUUCCGCACAAGGACCAUAGCAUCCAUAUACCGGCGUCUCAUGUCACGAGGACCACCAAUAAAUGAUGUAGACAGCACGGUUCGCUUUCCAAUUUUGUCUACUCUGUUCUCGCCUUCAUGCAAGCUAUCUACCAAACCCUUGUAUAGAUCCGCCCUUAAUUGUCUUGGUUUUUAUGUAUGAAAUCCAAACGAGAGCUCUCAAUCUUGAUGUAGGUGUCAACCGCGAACUGUUGGAAAAGCCGCUUCCCAUGAAGUACUGGAUUGAAUAUACCUGGUCGAAUUUGGAAUCUAUAGCAGUAAUAAUCACGUACAGACACACAUAGAUGGCUGGGUCGUUCUGCAGCCAGAAGGUUUAUUAAUUAGUGUUGCUAAAACAUAUUUAACAAAGGAUUAUAUAAAAAUCACAAAGAAGCAACUAACUGUAUCGUCAUCGUUUGCAUCCCUUAUCCUAUGUUGCUCACGGUACGCGUCUACUUCGUCCAUGGAAACAUUGGACUUAGGAAUAUUUGCAUGCCAUCCAAGUUCACCUUUAGGAAAGAACAUUGGAUAUGAUAGUGCAUCAUAACAUCCAUGAUAGGAAUGGAUACUAUGGCUUGACCUAUCCUUCCCAUGCAACAUAACACUAUUACUGAAUUGACCUCGUCGUUCACUCCCCUCAAUCCAAACUGCAGCAACCUCUGAAGUGAUGGGUGCAUUAUAUAAAUUAUGGUUCAGCAUUUGGUCAAGGUUCAAGGCGAUAUGGUAGUCUUCAAUGUUAUCAACGUGUCCCAUACUCCUAAGGUGCUCAGAGUAUGGGUUUCCCUUAAGUAUUUCAACCAACUGUUUAAUAACUACCUUGUCUUUCUCAAGUUGAUCUUGACGACAUUUACGAUAUCUAUGCUCGAGGCUAGGAUCAUCAUCGUAGAAGUAAAGUUCAAGGUGUUUAUGUUCUGCCCCAGCUUCCCUACCGAACGACCUUACAUUGUGGUACAUCAUGCCAUGUGCACGGAACGUGUAAAUACCACAAUUCAUGUUUGUAGUCAUACUAUCAAGGCAACAGUACAGAGAAGUGAAAGAGAAAUGGCCGUUAAAAAAUCGAAUGUUAUCACGGAAGUGUCUCGCAUCAGCAUCUGAGCACUCCCACAGCCUCCUAAGUUGGGGUGGUGUCUCGAAUGGGGCUAGAUCAAUCUGUCCAUUACGACAACAAAAUCUAGGUGGUUCAUACUGAAACUUCUUUGCUUUGCAGUAAACGCGGUCAGCAACAAUGUCCAACGAAUGUGUUUCUUCAGGUAUGUUACUAUACACCUUAUCGUAUGGGUCAGGUACGUCUGGGGUAACAGUAAAUGCAUCUUGAGUUUCAUCAAUCUCGAUAUCCUCAAUAGAUUCACAAUCUAAAUUUGUUUUCGAGGAACAAUGGGUAAGACGAAUAACUUUAGAAACUUUCAAAUCCUAUAUCCUAUAUAUAUACUAUUACAAACAUUAUGUAAGUACCUUGCCCAGCGAAUAGGUAUCCAUCUUCUUCGUCAUCAUCUUCUUCAAAAAGUACAUCCUCGUCAUGAUUCUCUACAAAGAGCACACCUUCAUCGGCAUCUAUUGAUUCACAUGGUUUUAACCACUAAGAAUAAUUAGGGAACUAAUUGUGGAAGGAGCUUGUAAUUACCAUUGGUGGUGACAUUCGGGGUUAUCUGUUGUUGCAUCCCAACGUCUGCUCCUUCAGUCAUUUUGCACUAUGUGGACCAGUGACUGGACAUGGGCUUGUACUUUCUAUUGACGGAAAGUUGUGUUAAAUCAAUUGGCCACUAUAAGUUAAGUAUCAUAUCAAUUAAGGAUGAAUUAGUAAUUACUGUUGUUUUCGAUCUCUGAAGCAAUCGCGUGAUCAAUUUCAUUGUGCUCACCGCCUUCCAUUUCGUGAUCCCUAGUUGCAGUAGCAAAGUUUCUUCUAAUGGCAGAUUGAAAUUUCUGGUUUUGACGAGAUAUCAGGCUCUGUCUUUCGCCAGACGACACAUGAUGCUUAUAUCGUUGUCUUCUACGAGACUGUGUCAUUUUGUCCAUGUCAACAUACUUAGUCUGCAAUGAAGCAUAAACAAAAGGUGUUGCACUCAACUCAGAGAUAACCAUAUCCUUGGAGCUAGAUAGAGACCCAGUAGGAGGUUGAGAAUCUGCUAAACUCCACACAAGCUCCGGCGUAAACUUCGGAUUCUCAAUGGCGAUCGAGUCUUGAGCUAGCAUUUCUUGUUGUCUUCUACUAUAGUUUUCCCUUGCACUAUUUUGACAUGGUUUAGUAUUACACAAUGCCCUUUGUUCCCUUGUUAGAGUUGCAAAUCGAAUCUGUUCUCGAAUUCUCUUACGUUCCCUUGCAUCUAAAACUUCUGAACUUGGAUUGGAAUCAUGUUGAUGACCCGUCUGAGCUGAUGCGCCUUAAAGUUGAAAGUAACAAAGCUCUUAGGUGUAUAUAUUAUAGGUUUAAUGAUGAGAGCUCAACUCACUAUUGGGGCACAUUUGUUAUAAUUUUCGUCUUUCAAUAACAUAACACAGAAACAUAAUAACCUAGAGUGUCAAUGCUUUGAUGAUUAUUAUUCUCUUUGUGUGCAGGUAUGCUGCAAUCUACAAACUAACCCAAGAGCACAUAAGAAAAGCAUUACUUUAAAGAUGAGUGACACACGAGCAUAGUUAACAUACCUUUUGAACGCUCAUGGUGCACAACAUUUUCAUUUUUGCUUGACUGACGACGCCUCUUCAAUUCAUUUUUCUUUUCAGCACUCAUCGUGGCAUAUCGUGCUCUUUCUCUUUCCCUCUUACGUUGUCUCGCAUCAUCACAUCAACCUAACCAGUUAUAUCAUUUUCCAUUAUUAAUCGUUGUUGUUCAUUAACAUAACAAAGAAAAGUAAUUACCUAAAGUGAUACCACACGGUAUAGUACAAUCAAUGAUGCUUCCGUCGCCUAUAGCCACAUCUGGACAAUCAUCUACACAAAGUAACCCGAUAACACAUAAGAAAAGCAUUAUUUUAAAGAUGAGUGAUGCACAAGCAGCCUUAAUUUACCUUUUGAAUACUCACGGUGAACAACAUUCUCUUUUUUGCGUGACUGACAACGGUUCUUCAAUUCGUUUUUUUUCAACACUCAUCGCCGCAUAUCGUGCUCUUUCUCUUUCUCUCUUACAUUAUCUCGCAUCAGUUCGACCUCCUGAACCAUCAUAUAUUACCCAUCAAUAAUCUCCAUUGUCAGUACAUGGUAAACAAACAUAUUCACCUUGAGUGUUAUCACAUGAUUUAGUUAAAUCAAUUAUGCUUCCAUCGCUGACAGGUACCUUUGGACAUUCAUCUACACAAUAUGAACAUCGUUUUAGUUAACAUUUGCAUCAAUAAAGUAACCCGACAACACAUAUGUGUUACCCUUAUUGAUGAAUGAUUCAUGGAAAUAGGUAACAUACCUUUUGAGUACUCAAUGUUUUCGUUUUUGCGUGACUCACGAUGCUUCUUCAGUUCAUUCUUUUUUUUCAUCACUCAUCGCUGCAUAUCGUCCUCUUUCUCUUUCCCGCUUACGUUGCCUUGCAUCAACAUGUCCUCCUAAACCAUUUAAUAUUUUCCUUUUUAAAACCUUGGUGAGAGAUCAAAUAUUGCAUUUUAUUAGUAGAUAUACCUUCAAGGGUGUUGCUAGACAAUUCUCUUAAUGGAGGUCGAACAUCGUUAUUGUUGAACGGAUCCACCUACGUCUUUUAGUCUACCAACAAACCUGUGUAGAAAAAGAUUAGUCAUAUUCAUACUUAGAUUAUUGCAAUUCUGGAUAGGAAACACAUCUACUACAUCUCUCCCAAGCCCACCUGCUACCCUUGAACAAUGUGUAGUAGUAGACCUUUGUUUGCAAUUUUAUUUUGUUUGAAUGAUGUUUUAUACUUAAAUUCCCUUUUUUGCAUGCGUGACAUUAUUCUUCGUAAUAUUGUUUUCAUAAAUCAAUGCCAAGCAUGAAUCCAUGUUUUUUACUUGGAAACCCCGAAAACACACCAUUAGCAAGAGGCACUCGUGUUGGCGUCACUCAUCGACGACUACUAUAUCGAGGACUGUGGCCAGUGGCGGAAAGCAAGGUAAAAAUGAGCUAUGGCCGUGGAGAACAAAAAAUGGAGGAAGAAGUAUUGUGAUACGGAAGAUUCAAAUAUGGAACCUGUUGCACACACAUGUUACACAAUAAUCACCACACUACACAUCGAAUUUAGGUAUGGCGGCCGCCAUAUUACGCCAUAAUGGGUGCUCCACCACUAACUGUGGCGUCAUAUUGGUGCCGGAGUAAUUUUGUAACAAAUCAGUGACCUUUACUUCAUAGCAACAAAAAAAGUCUAAAAAUGUUGCUCGUAACGUUUCCAAUGUGGCACCCAAUUGCAACCUGAACCCAAGGCUCUUAGUUACGACGCUACUAAAACGUAAGUAAGCUAUGAAGAAAGAAGGCAUUCACAAAGUGAAACCUGAUGCAAGGGCGCGCUCAAGUAUAUCUACUAUAACAAGUACGAAGGAGGCCAGAAUAUGGUACUCGGUGGGUACUGGUGGGCUUAAGGAUAUUUGGUCGGUGAGAUUAACCAUGGAUGUGAACGUCUUCGAGUCGUGAUGGAUUCAUUCGUGUAUUCCGAUUUUUGGGGACCAUAAGAUAGAGCAUGUUUGCUGUGUUUGGACGUGUUCCAAUACCUCAUUUUAAUAUAAUGAUACACAUUUCUCAUGCACGUACAAGAAAAAAGAAACAUGGCGCAAGGAUAAGAGGCUCAUAUAACAGGAAACCAGAAAACGCCCCACUGUAAAGGAAGUAGUUACUAAUAAGAACACUGACAAACAAACUAAUGAUGAUGAACUUAUUUAUUAGAUAAUAGAGAGGUCACAUAGUUCUAUACAAAGCGGUUAACAUUGAGAUCAAACACACGACCAAUAAAAACAGAACAAAAAUCAUUAUUAAUAAGUUUCAUCUGAUACAUGACUAACAAAGUAUUCUACUAUAACAAGCUAGAACACAUGUCUCAAUUCGAUGUCACAGUCGCCAAAUGUGCCCGUCUGUUCUCUAGAAAUUUGUCGAUGAAACGACUCCUUGGAUUGUCAAUCAACGAACAACAAAUUGCUGCAAUUUAGAACAUGAUUUGUAAGAACAUGAUUAUUUUAAAUUAUUGUCAUUCUAAUUGUAUCUAUAUCUAUAAUCUAUAAAUCUAUAAAUAUAUUAUAAGAACCACUCACUCUUCAAGCGGUAUAUAGUGUGAUGAUCCGGGUUGAAAUGAAUAGUGCUGUGGUCCGAGGUUUCCAAGCACCCUAUUGUUAUAAUAGUAUAUAAUUAUUAAUAAGAGUAAGAAUUAAGAAUAUAUUGAAAGAUGUUAGGCACAGAAGAAAUUACUGUGAUUAUGGUUACAACAUAGCAAAGUUCCAAUAAUUAUGUUCUUGUCAACUCUAGCUAACGACCAUCGUAGAGCAUUUCUUUGCAAGAGGUCAGUCCAUACCCCCACGAUGAUUAGAUCCCACCUAUUAAAAACCUUAAUCGUCUGAAUAAGACCUAACAAAUGCAUAAUGCUUUUAAAAAAGAAUGUAUAUAUGAAAAUUAGUGCCACCUAGAAUCCAUUAGUACAGCUUCUCUAUACGGUCUUCCACUGAUAUGCUUUAAUGGUUCCAAAUGAAGAACUAUGCCAAUAACAUCUGAACAAUUCACAUAUGAUUAGUUACCUUUGAAUCAUUUAGACUUCAGGCGUUAGUGAUAUAUAUAUAAACUAUAUGGAAAGAAGGGUUAUUACCUAACGUCUUAUGCGGUUGUUGGUAAACCUCAUGAAAUGGCAUAAGAUACUUUGGAAAUGGAGGAAAUUGGAUUGGAUUCGUGAAUGGAUCCACAAUAGUAUGUGUUAUCAAUCCCAACUCUAGCCCAUGACCAAUAUUGCGAAAUUGAAGUUCCUCCCGGUUUAGACAGAAUGCCACUCUAUACAAUGUAUAUGCGCAUCCUUGUGUGAGUAAGUCAUCAAACUGUUGGACAUUAUUGCCGUUAGAAAUUGCUUUGAUUUUGGAUCCCUAGAUAUUUGGGAAUACAUGUUGUAUGAGUCAAAGAAUUUAAUUAUAAUAACAUGAAUAUAUUGGCUCUAUUUCAAUGCUUGUUGAAGUGACUCACAGUGAUGUCCUAUAGGAUGUAGUGUUGACUAUUACGACGCCUAGGGAACUUAACAACUACCCUCGCAAAGACACUUUUUACUUGUGGUAAACUAUUGACAUCUUGAAUAUCGUCAAAUAGCACGAAACUACAUAAAACACGAACUUUAGUUUAAAUUCUUCAUACAUAUAGAUGUAACAAGUAAAUAAACUUAUAUAAACUUACGGAGGAAAGGGAGACAGGCCUGCCACCGUCCUAUUUUGAGUACGUCUACCUAAUGCCAUUGUUCUUAUAGGAUCUAUCAUGGCAUUAUUGCAAAGAUACAAAAAAACAUUAAAAAGACUAAAUGACAUAUAAUCUCUUGUCUAUUAAAAUGCUAAAAUAAUACGUACAAUAUAUCGUUGUAUUAAUAUGACUGAAUUUAGAGGUAUCAGAAUUUAGCAAUAAACAAAGUCACUCUGUCAAUUUAUAGGUCUCAAAAUUUAGCAGCAAACAUGUAACUUGGAGUCUUGUCUAGUCCUCGCUAUCAGAAUAUUGUAUUGUACAAAAAGAAGUGGGUGAGAAAGAGAAAAAUAGGGACAGGUACAAGUGUAUUGUACAAAAAGUCCUCCCAUGCAACAUACAACACCAGAAAUUAUAUAAUGCACCCAUCAUGAAUUAUGUCGGUUUCUCCAACACACUGCAGGCUGCAUUUUUCAAUCUCGUCUUAUUUCUUUUUGGAUUAGGUUCAGAAUUUCAGUAUUCAUGCAUUCAUUCAUGUUCCAGGCAGUUUUAUAUCCUGAAUCCUGAAAAGAAUUAAAGGCUUACUCUUCCUUCCUCCUUUUUGUAGUGUCAUUACAACUUCCAGUGAUUAUACUGUUAAGGUGCUGAUCUUAUUGUCUCAUAUUUACAGUUCAACUGUUCAAGUUGCAAUUGUUCAACAAUUCACAGACAUUUUCAUCAAUAUUCGUCAGGACUUUACAAGGACAGGUUAUUUGAAUUCACAUCCUAUUUUUUAUUUGGCCUAUUUUUUCUGCCUGCAAAAUGCCUAGAUCAAAAUCCUCAGCUGACUAAUAAAUAAACAUGCCUUCUCAUACUCCAGAAAUUGUUGUCAAAUAGAAGAUGGCCAGUGACUGAACAAUAAGCUGAACUUCUUUGUGUUGUAAUGCUCCUGUGCAUCAUUGUUGGGCCUAUCGCCGGGUACUUAAUGUUUUAUCCGUACCUGAUUUUUAUUCAUAUUCGUAUAUUCGUAUUCUCAAAGUUAGAUAUUUAAGAUGUCAAUCUAUACAUAUAAAUUAUAAUAUUAUAUCUGACACUACUUAAUAAAAGUCGUAUCUGAUCCGAAUUCGAAUAAUAAGAUUACGAGACGUACUCGUAAUAAGAUUAUGGGGCGUACUCGUUGAUUCGCACAUUCUUCUAAAUGCCUAGAAGUCAUGUAACACGCAAUGAUUUGCACAUUACAAUGUUUGAUAGUGACGUUUUAAGAGGAAGUUGUUGAUGGAUAGGAAGUUGUUGAUGGAGAUUAGUUUCCUGAACAUGAGCUGGCGCAUAGUUUACUCAUCUUGUGUGGUUGAACAAGCAAGACUCAAACUAAAAGGAAAGCACUAAAGAAGUUUAGAAAAAAGAGAUAUAAGCAACAAUACUUUCCCUUAAGGGUGUUCGCUUGCGCUAAAUGGUAGAUCCAAAAAAGAAGCAUGAAGAGAAGCGGGUGAGAGAGAAUUGUGGACGGGUACAAGUGUAUCGUUCAAAAAGAAGAGGGUGAGAGAAAGAAUUGUGGGCGAGUGCAAGUGCAACAUACAAAAAGCAUGCUACCAGCUAAGCCUCCCAACUAUCAUUUUUUAUCUAAGAUUUAGCAUCGACCUCUAUAUACCGGAAGCAUGCUAUAAACUUUAUACAGCCCAAAGAAUACCCCAAAUACACACAAGUCUGGUAUUUUAUUUAAUGUCCUUAAUUAUCAACCAUUUACUGAUUAGUGAUAAAUAAUGAACAACCACUAAGAUUAUGUCAAAUUACAAUUUAGAGGACUCAGAAUUUAGCAGCUAACAAAUACAAAGUGUUAUGUAUUGCAGAAUUUAAUUAUCACUCAUUGUAGCAUAUUAGUGCUAGAACAAUAUAUGUUGCCUAAGUGUCCUAACCAUAAGAUGUAUGAAUUCUAUUAAUUGAUAUUAUUAAAAGUAGUUCAGAUUAGAUGGCUUUAGAGAGAGGAAAUCACAUUUGUGGCAAUGAAAUUUGUACAUAAGUAAUUUAAAGAGAUGGAAUGGGACAAGAAAACAGUUCCCUAUUAAAAAAAGUUCAGAUUUAUGUUAACAAGUUAUAAUUUGUGUGUAUGUUACUCCAAGGCAGACAAUUACACAACGGAUCAUACAACCAUUGCAGAUUAAACGAGUAGAGGGGAAACAUACCUUUUCCAACGGGGCAGAAAAUUGUACAGCGUCCUUUGCAGGCAAACAGGAUCGUUCAGAAGCAAAGUGCAGCUCGUGCAGCCAGAUAUAAACAAAAUAAAAAAGAACAACAUUUUAAUUACUAAAGCUAUGAUCAAGCACCACACAAGGAAUUUAAUCAAGAUAAUCUUAACAGUUACAGUGAAUUAUUUUGCAACUAAAGUAAAACUGGCUAUAAGUAGUUUCAGCUGCAAAUUUGUUCUCUAGGUGGUCUUCUUUUCAAGUUUUUUGUUUUUGAACAUUUGAACCUAUAGUUGUCCCUGUAUAUGCAUUUUACCAUAAAUCAUGCAUGCCAUAGAGCUAUAACGAAAAGAGAGAUAUCCUAUUGAAUCAAGCAUCUAUAACCAAUUCUAGGAUACCAUAGUAAGUCAAAAUGCAAUAGAUGGUGAACAUUAGAGUUUUAUUAGAGAAAGAAGGCGCUGAUGUUUCAGUGGUUACCUAAAAAUCCAGUAAUGUCCAGCAAGCACCACUCAGCAACACAAUUCAAGUUCAAACGUCUGUUCAAAGUAAUAGAGAAAACAUUAAUAUUUAGCAACCAUGCAGCAGCCAGCAACGAUUAGAAGGCAGGAAAUUCAAAAAUACCAGCUAUGAUGUACUCAAGAUGCUGGCCAAGUGUGCCAAGACAUAAGAUCGCCAAUUUUCAAGGUUUAGCCUUCUAUGACAAAGAAAUCUGAAAAGUUAUGAAUAGCGCUUUAAUGUUUGGAGUUUAAACUGCAAGCAUAUGUUUCAUGAUUUAAGCUUGCUUGGCUUAGUGUAGUUCUCCAAAGCUAACUUUAAAAAAAAUACCAUGUUGUUCACAACAAUAAAAUCAUGAUAAUAGUAAAGUACUUUGAAAUAUGAAUGCAACAGUAACCAUUAUUAUAACACUAUCUACAUAACAUUAGAGUAAUAAUCAGUCAAAUGUCACCAACUUUAAAAUGUAACUGUGUUUGUCCCAAAAGAAAGGGAGGUUGUACUCUAGUGAUGACGGUGUUUCUACCAUCAAACAUCGUCCAACCUAGAGCCGCUUGGGUCAUUGUGACAUAGUUGGGAGCUCUUAGGCUCAGAAGCACAAUUUCAUACAAACAAGUGAAUCAUAAAACACGAUGAGAUGAAAAUGCAAUGUGGAAUAGACAAGACAAAAGAAGUGAAUUGUAAAGGUUAUAAAACUUGAUAGUUUCUUAUUUUUUUACCAACACACGUAUAUAAACACUGACUGACUGUUAUUUCAAGACCAAGAGAACUGCAAUUUAUGAAAUCAUGGACUCAUAACUCAUGUAUUUCAAAGCAAAAUUAAAAGUAUUGAAUUCUAUCAUCUCUACAUUAACAUUAGAUUAACAAAACGUUCAUGGUUGUGGACUCAUGUCUGCAGUGUUUAUUUAGUCCGAUGAAUCACAAAACAGAAAGAUUAAAAUGACCUUACAUAGAAGACAAACAAGUCAAUUCCAGAGUGAAGAAAAACUAUGCUAUAAACAGAUUGCUUUUUAUUAAAACAUGAGGCGAAAUUCAUAUAAUCUUGUAGCUAUUAUUGCAAAGAUACAAAAAAAUCAUGCUGUCAGACUGACCAGUACUCCUCUUAUACCAGUGAUGGGGACAUAGCGAUGUGUCAACAACAUUUUAAGAAAACACGAAUUCAACAAACUGUGAAGGAAGGUCAGACUGGUAUAGUUGAGCAUGAGACAAUGAUGGCAUCUAAAGAAGGGAAUAAGCUAGUCUGUUCUGUAAACAACAAUCAGAUACUUAUCGACAUUAUUUCGGAAGGUAUUGUUAACAAUUGGUUCAUCCUUUUCACUUUUUAUUGACAAAAUGUCAACAUGGAUUAAAUCCAAUGAAAAGGAAGCCUUUGCUCCACCUAGUUUAUUUAAAUCCAUGUUUUAUAAUUCAUUACAGAACAGUUUAGCAGUUACACUACAAGUAUGAAAGGCAACCAUUAUACUGGAUGUUGUCACUGUAAUGUUCAAAUAAAACAAAGCAUGCGCUCUUCGGUACUAUAAGGCUAUCUAAUUAGUUCUCAACAUAAUAAUAUAUUUCAUACAUAAACAGACAUACAAAUAAAGCUACAAAGAGUAUUACCUCUAUGUGAUUUCAGUCGUCCUCGCUCUCCGGCACGCGCGCAGUCUUCUUCUCCCUUCGGGGUCGUUCACGGUUUCAGGGGAACUCUUCCGGCUAUGGCGUCCACACGUGCUCGAGCUCGAACAUAGAGGACAGAGCGAGAUGGGAACUGAGUAGAUUGUCCUCGCUCUCCAGGGAACUCCUCGGACUCUAGCGUCCGCGCAUGCUCAAGGUUUAUAUUCAUCUGGCAUCCGCGCAUGACACAGGCAAAGUAGAGGUCGUGCAGAGGGAGCAUGCGGGUGUGGAGGUCGUGGGUAGAGGGAGAGUCCGCUGACCGGGGGGUUGUGGGAUUGGGGACGGUUGUGCCGUGCAUGAAGAUGAGGGUUGGGUGAAGGCAGCCGAUGGGGGAGGAGUUGGAGGACGGCAGUGGGCUGGAGGCCGCCAUUGGGGAGGUGGAGUCCGAUGGUGCGGUGGGGGAGGAGGUGGAGUCCGAUGGUGGGGUGGAGGAGAGGGAGGGGAGGCCGCCGGAGUUGAGCGCAGUGGAGGAAGCUGCGCGAGCCCGUGGCUGGAGCCGCCCACGGUGAUUAGGUCGCACGGUGGGCUGCACGCUGGGACGGUGGGCUGCACGAUGGGACGAUGGGCCUCAGGUCCACACGAAAAUCAUUGGGCCGCAUGAACCGCUGCCACAGGCGCGCAGGUAUGCCAUCUAUUUUAUUAGUGCCACAUCGGCCAUUGAGAGUGACGGAACAUGACUUAUAAGCGCAGCUGUGGAUUUUAUGUUGCUCACUGAGAGAGAUGGAACAGAACGUGGCUCAUAAACCUGUUUAUUUUGUUGCGCGGGACUGCAUGGUGCGUACGGCUGGUGGGGGCCCACAUGUAGGAGACCUGCAUGGUGCGUACGGCUGGUGGGGGCCCACAUGUAGGAGACGUGUAUACGUCGUUGGAGGCAGAACAGCUGUUAGCAGAACGCGUCGGAGGCAGAACACGUCAGAGGUCUUGCAGUCUUAAUAAGUAGUAGAGAUAUGCGCACACCAUCAGUUUUUACUGUCUCUCGGAAAGAAUUUGCUUUCCACGAACAUCCGCUUGCUGCUCCUGGAACUGUAACUUAAGUUGCGUCGACGCUUGCUUCAACCACCUAGAAGUUCCUACACAUACUAGAGGUAAACUGGAGCCUCAAAUCAGUUACCCAUGCUAAAGUGGCCUGAUUUUAGCUGAGUUGUUGCUGUUAGUGUCAGUUGCCUGUGAAAAUAUUUUCGAGCAGCAAAGCAUCGAAGUGAACUCAUGGAGCUCAUGUCAUUGGCCGUCCGUUGAGCUGGUCACGGAUGCUUAACUUUCUCGUGGACUCGUGGGUUUGGCAAAGCCAUCGAAUGAUGAUGUCGACGUGGAGUCGCCAGUUGUAUCAACAUCAUCGUUGUAUUGUAUCGUCGACUGCAAGCUGCUGGUCCAGCAGCAGCUCAGCGCACGCGUUCUUGACCACAUCCCAAACUGUUCAUCAGGUUGUGGCUAUAUCCAUCGAUAAGUGCUUCGAGGCGGAUUUACUAGUCGUCAGUUUCAUGCACGUUUGCAGCCCACAGAAAUAUAUAUAAAAAACUAUAUUCAGUUUAAACUGAUACUACCUCCGUUUCUUUUUACUUGUCGCUGGAUUGUUCAAUUUUGCAUUAUCCAGCGACAACUAAAACGAAACGGAGAAAGUAUGAUGCAGUUAAUUGGAGGACAUGCUUCUAAGUAAAAACAAUAGGUUUUGUUGUCUUCUACUUUGCACCUUUGACCAUAAUUUUCUAAUAAAAAUGUUUCUAUAAAAUCUAAUAUGAAUCACGUUGAAAGCCCGCACGAGCAGGGUCCCGAGGGCUUGAACAAACGAAUGCUUUGAUAACGAAUCGGUUUGUUGGGAUAUUAUGUGUCAUGCUCCAAUAUUCUCGGUUGGUUGUUUUGCUACUCAAGGCAAUUUGUUGCAGCUCCCACGGCAGACUCAUGAUAAGACGGGAGUAAGGGCACACUUGUAAGGAUGAGCGUCAAAAUAACAUAGUGGAGGAAUCUAAGGUAACGGAGAAAUGAGCGGAUGCAUAUACCCAGUGGCGGAGACAGGCAUGGGGCCACUAGGGUCUAGGGCUCGAGCCCUACUCUUGGGCCAAAAAAUUAUUAGAGACUUAAGUAUGUUCUAAAGGAAUAAGAGAAUUCGUAUAAUCUAUUCAUGGUCAUAUGUGCUAUCAACUAUUAAGAUUUUCUAGCUAAUAUAAAUAUUUGUUAGUGCCCACACUUAGAGAAAUCCUGGCUCCGCCACUGCAUAUACCCUCUCUCCCACUAAUGUAAGUCCGCUCCUCACGACUCCAUUGGAGAAAGAGAUAGAGUAGAGAAGAGAGAAAAAACCCUCUUACCGAGGUGUGUUGUCUCCCGCACUGAUCACUAAUGAGGUGUUUGGUUUGAUGAAUCACUCUAUCCAAAAUAAAAUGGUGCAUGUCGGGUACCGUAAUUAGGGGUACCCCAAUACUCCUUAACAUGGCUGGAAAAUAUCUUCAGAACAAACCGCAAAGACUGAUAAGCACGGUUCAAGUCAAGGCCUCGUCUACCAAGGGACGCGAUCUCGCCUCGCCCGAGCCCGGCCUCGGGCGGGAACAGUAGUCCCGGACGGAUUCACGCCUCGCCCGAGGGCCUCCUCAGGCAGUGGGCGCACCCUCAGCUCGCCCGAAGCCUAGCUCGGGCAAACUUUAUCGUGCAGCAACCUCGGCCAAAUCGCCUUACCAACCGACCGUAUCGCAUGCACAUUUAAUGCGGGGAUCGCCUGACACCUUAUUCUGACACGCGCGCCUCAGUCGGCAAGGUCGAAGUGACCGCAGUCACUUCGCCCCUUUAUUGACCGUUCUGACAGGAAAACAGCACUGUUCGCCCCGCUCUGGCUACUGUGCCAACCACCAGGGUAAGACUAACAACAGUAAGUCACGGCCCCUCCCGAGUUCAGCCUCGGGCGCAACAGGGAGCUCCGCCUCGCCCGACCCCAGGCCUCAGCCUCGGCCUCGGAAGAAGGUCUCCGCCUCGCCCGACCACGGGCCUCGGCCUCAGCCUCGGCCUCGGGAAUAGUCACAACCUCGCCUGACCUCAGCCUCGGCCUCGGGAGAAGUCUCCGCCUCGCCCGACCUUGGGCUCGGACCGACCGCGCCAUAGGGGAUACAUCAUUACCCUACCCCUAGCUAGCUGCCUCAGGCUACGAAGGAACAAGACCGGUGUCCCAUCUAGAUUACUCCGGUAACAGGUAAUGAUGGUUCCCCGCGUGCGUCCAUGACGUCGGCAAAGAAACGUCAGCCGGACCCCGGGCCGCACCAUCAGCUACGCUUCUACAGGGCUCAAGCACUUCUCCGACGGCCACGUUAGCACAUAUACAGGGCUCAGGCACUUCUCCGCCGGCCACGUUAGCACAUAGCUACACCCCCAUUGUACAGCUGAACCAUCUCCUUGUAUCUAUAAAAGGGGAUGUCCAAGGCCUUCCUAGAGGGCACGCACACAAGCAGAGAAGGCAGAGUGGGAGAGACGCGGAGGAGGCUAACUCAGACAAUCACCUCAAGGCCGAACUCUCUCUCUCUCUCCCGCGACACUUGUAACCCCUACUACGAGCACCCCGGUGCAAGAUAACAUAAGCCUCAUCCUCCCUCUUGUGUUCCAUCUUGCAUCAACCCAUCUGGGCAGGGACACACAGCAUCAAAUUCACUGGUCGGUUGAGGGUCCUCACGGGUCCAAAACGCCGACAGUUGGCGUGCCAGGUAGGGGCUCGCUGCGUGUUGACAAAUACUGUCCCGUUGAGUUCCAGAUGGGUAGUCUUCAGCAGCCUCUUCAGCCCGGGACGGUGCUCCGCUUCGGGAGUCUCGAGUUCAUGUCCCACGACGGCGGCUAUGACAUGGUACUUCUCUCCCCGCAGCACGACAACAAUGACGGUCGUCGGCUCGCCCAGCGAAGGCGAACUUGACGACGGCAUCUCCCCGCGACAGAAGAGGAACAUCCGGGUUUGCCCCGCCACCCUCCUCAUCGGAGAAGGAGGAGACGGGGCAACCGUGGCCAGGCAGGAGGCGGCUCCUCGUCGGCUGUCGGGCUAGAGCGAGCUGACAACGCCGGCACCCCUGCGGGGGACAUGUCUGGUGUUGUCCUCGCACCUGAGACAACGACGGGUGUCGCUUCCCAGCAACGUGCCAACCCCAAGCAGACUGAUGGCGCCGGCACCCUUGCGAGGGACUUGUUGGGCGUUAGCCUCGUACCUGAGAUAACGGUGCAUUCCGUCCCCGAUGCGACUUCACCACCGUCCAUCAACCAAGAGGUACCAUCCAUUUUCCACCCUGUUCCCUUUAGAUUCAGCUUCGAUCCACCAAGCGACCCCGCUUCGGUGAGCGCUUUCGCAAGGGCAUAUCCUGACCUUCCAAGGUAUCAUAUGUGGUCAACUUGGGACUGACUGACGGUCGUCUCAACCUCCGGACCCGCGGGUUCCGAGGAAGAGGACGACCCCGACUUCGGUUGGGAUUUAUCCGGACUCCGUGAUCCCAGUGUCGUGCGAGACUUCAUGCUUGCAUGUGACCACUGCCUCUCCGGCUGCUCCGACGAUGACCACAGCCUUGACGACGAGGGUUAUGGCCCAAGUCGCGAGUGCUUCCACAUCGAUCAGGGGGAUCACGACGAAGACAACCACCUCGGCAUGCUAGAAGAUGACGACGCCCUGUGCCUGCGUCUCGCGUUGAGAUCCCGAGGGAGCUAGCUGUGGUCCAAGUCCCUGCGGGGGGUCAGGACACACAGCUCGAGCAACUCCGCGAGAUGCAGGCCAAGCUCGAUGAAGAAGCGGGGCGGCUUGUACAGCUUCGACAAAACAUCGAGCAGGAGUGGGCAAGCCGAGCACUCGCCGGAGGAGUGCGCAUCAGGCCCGAGACGUCCAGCGUCGUAUCGUCGAUGAUGCUAGGGCAGGGCUGCCCCCGGCCUUCAGCGGGGCCGACCAGAAUCUAGCUGCAGCAGCAAUGUUACUUCGGGCAAAGCCGGAGCCAUCCACCACCGAGGGGCGACGUAUCCAGGGCGAGCUCAAGGGCCUCCUGGAAGACGCCGCUGUCCGACAAGCCGAGAGCUCUGCCUCCCAGAGGCGAGGAGACCCCUCGGAGCAUCGCGCAGCGUCCUCCUGACGCAUGUGCGAGGCCUCGGUCUGCACCGAGCACGCAGGAGACAGGACACCCACUGCCCGGGAUCACCUCGGCGACGAGCAACAUCGCCGCGACCGCCGAGCCCGCCUCGAGGAGAAGGUGCGCCGAGGCUACCACCCCAGGCGCGGGGGACGCUGCGACAGUGAGGAGGAUCGGAGUCCCUCGCCCGAGCCACCAGGUCCCUCGCCCAAGCCACAAAACAUCGAGCAGGAGUGGGCAGGCCGAGCACUCGCCGGAGGAGCGCGUCAUCAGGCCCGAGACGUCCAGCGCCGUAUCAUCGACGAUGCCAGUGCUGGGCUGCCCCCAGCCUUCAGCGGGGCCGGCCAGAACCUAGCUAUAGCAGCAAUGUUACUUCAAUAAAUGCUGGAGCCAUCCACCACCGAGGGGCGACGUAUCCAGGGCGAGCUCAAGGGCCUCUUGGAAGACUUCGCUGUCCGACAAGCCGAGAGCUCUGCCUCCCGGAGGCGAGGAGACCCCUCGGAGCAUCGCGCAGCGUCCUCCCGACGCAUGUGCGAGGCCUCGGUCUGCACCGAGCACGCAGGAGACAGGACACCCGCCGCCCGGGAUUGCCUCGGCGACGAGCAACACCGCCGCGAUCGCCGAGCCCGCCUCGAGGAGAAGGUGCGCCGAGGCUACCACCCCAGGCGCGGGGGACGCUGCGAUAGUGAGGAGGAUUGGAGUCCCUCGCCCGAGCCACAAAACAUCGAGCAGGAGUGGGCAGGCUGAGCACUCAUCGGAGGAGCGCGUCAUCAGGCCCGAGGCGUCCAGCGCCGUAUCGUCGAUGAUGCCAGGGCAGGGCUGCCCCCGGCCUUCAGCGGGGCCGGCCAGAACCUAGCUGUAGCAGCAAUGUUACUUCGGACAAUGCCGGAGCCAUCCACCACCGAGGGGCGACGUAUCCAAGGCGAGCUCAAGGGCCUCCUGGAAGACGUCGCUGUCCGACAAGUCGAGAGCUCUGCCUCCCGGAGGCGAGGAGACCCCUCGGAGCAUCGCUCAGCGUCCUCCCGAUGCAUGUGUGAGGCCUCGGUCCGCAUCGAGCACGCAGGAGACUGGACACCCGUCGCCCGGGAUCGCCUCGGCGACGAGCAACACCGCCGCGACUACCGAGCCCGCCUCGAGGAGAAGGUGCACCGAGGCUACCACCCCAGGCACGGGGGACGCUGCGACCGUGAGGAGGAUCGGAGUCCCUCGCCCGAGCCACCAGGUCUGCGAGUCUUCAGCCGGGCCAUACGACAGGCGCCGUUCCCGGCCCGGUUCCGAGCCCCGACUACCAUUACCAAGUACUCAGGGGAGACGAGGACGGAGUUGUGGCUCGCGGAUUACCGGCUGACAUGCCAGUUGGGAGGAACGGACGACGACAACCUCAUUAUCUGCAACCUUCCCCUCUUCCUCUCCGACGCUGCCCGGGCCUGGCUGGAGCAUCUGCCUCCUGCGCAGAUCUUCGGCUGGGCCAACCUAGUGAAGGCCUUCGCGGGAAAUUUCCAAGGUACGUGCGUACGCCCUGGGAACUCAUGGGAUCUCUGAAGCUGCCGCCAGCAGCCAGGGGAAUCCCUACGAGAGUACAUCCGACGGUUUUCAAAGCAGCGCACCGAGUUGCCCAACAUAACCGACUCGGACGUCAUCGGGGCUUUCCUCGCUGGCACCACUUGCCGGGACCUGGUGAGCAAACUGGGACGUAAGACUCCCACCAAGGCGAGCGAAUUGAUGGACAUAGCCACCAAGUUCGCCUCUGGUUAGGAGGCGGUCGAAGCCAUCUUCCGGAAGGACAAGUAGCCUCAGGAAAGGCAGAAGGAAGACGUCCCUGAGGCGUCCGCCCAGCGCGGCACGAAGUGGAAAACCAGGAAGAAGGCGCAAGCAAAACGCGACGCCGUUGACGCGGAUCUCGUCGUUGUUGCCGAGCACAGGAAUCCUCGGAAGCCUCCCGGAGGGGCCAACGUGUUCGACAAGAUGCUCAAGGAGUCGUGCCCCUAUCAUAGGGGUCCCGUCAAGCACACCCUUGAAGAGUGUGACAUGCUCCGGCGCUACUUCAAUAAGGCAGGACCCUCGGCAGAAGGUGGCAGGGACCAAGGCAACAACAAGAAGGGGGCGACAAGGAAGAGGAGUUCCCGGAGGUCCACAACUGCUUCAUGAUCUACGACGGACAAGUGGCGAAUGCCUCGACUCGGCACCGCAAGCAAGAGCGCUGGGAGGUCUGCUCGGUGAAGGUAGCGGCACCAGUCUACCUAGACUGGUCCGACAAGCCCAUUACCUUCGACCAAGGCGACCACCCCGACUGCGUACCGAGCCCAGGAAGGUACCCGCUCGUCGUCGAUCCUGUCAUCGGCAACGCUAGGCUCUCCAAGAACCUCAUGGACGGAGGCAGCAGCCUCAACAUCAUCUACGUUGAGACCCUAGGGCUCUUGGGGAUCGAUCUAUCCGCAAUCCGGGCCGGUGCAGCACCUUUCCACGGGAUUGUCCCCAGCAAGCGUGUCCUGCCCCUUGGGCAACUCGAUUUGCCCGUCUGUUUCGGAACUCCCUCCAACUUCCGAAAGGAAACCCUCACUUUCGAGGUAGUCGGGUUCCGAGGGACCUAACACGCGGUGUUGGGAAGACCGUGCUACGCCAAGUUCAUGGCCGUCCCCAACUACACGGACCUCAAGCUCAAGAUGCCAGGCCCCAACGGAACCAUCACCGUCGGAUCCUCAUACCGCCAUGCUUACGAGUGCGACGUGGAAUGCGUGGAGUACGCCGAAGCCCUCGCCGAGUCCGAAGACCUCAUCGCCGACCUGGAUUGCCUCUCGAAGGAGGCGCCCGACACGAAGCGGCAUGCCGGCAACUUCGAACCAGCUGAGGCGGUUAAGUCCGUCUCUCUCGACCCCAACAACGACGCCGGCAGGAAAGUCAGGAUCGGCUCCGAUCUCGUCCCCAAAUAGGAAGUAGUGCUCGUCGACUUUCUCCGCGCAAACGCCGAAAUUCACUGGACCAGCUGAAAGAGGCUCGGGACAUAGCCUUACUACACUCGGCACGGUAUCAGUAGUCUCUGCGACGCUACCACGCCCGAAGGAUUCGGCCCCGAGGCUUCCAAGUGGGAGAUUUGGUGCUUUGGCUACGGCAAGACGCCCGAGGGCGCCAAAAGCUUACUCCUCCCUGGGAAGGGUCGUUCAUCAUCACCAAAGUUUUGAAGCCCGGGACAUACAAGCUGGCCAACAAUCAAGGCGAGGUCUACAGCAACGCUUGGAACAUCGAACAACUACGUUGCUUUUACCCUUAAAGUGUUUCAAGUCGUUCAUGUACCUCGAUCCCUUUACAUGCAUAAAUAAAAAGUCUAACCGUCAAGGGAGAAUCGGCCUUGCCUCAGCAAAAACCGAACCUCCCUCGGGGGCUAGAAGGGGGGAACCCCCUCUGCGUCAAAAUUUUCCUCGGAAAAGUUUUCUACCAAAAUGACUUUCGUGCUUUUCGACUACAUCGAUAACGAAUUCCUAAAAACGACGAGAGGAACACUUAAACGGCAAGGUCGACCGAGCCGAGGGACUCCUACGCCUCCGGGAUACGGAUACCUCACUCAUCACCUUCCGCGAAAAGUAACUCACACUCGGAUAAGCGAUUCUGCUACCGAACAAGUCCUAACGCACGAAACAAGAGGAAAGAAAACAUAGCUUUAUAAUCUGACGCUAAAAAUGUUUAGGCCUCAGCAGCCGCAAAAAACAUACGCAUACUUAAAACAAACUGUUCCUGCAGGCUCAAACAUCGGCAGGGGGAGGAACAGCACCCUCAACGUCGUUUCCACCCUCGGCAGAAUCUGGCCCGGCCUCAGACGGCGACACGGGCGGAAGGACCUCCACCUCGAAGGAGGAAGCCAGCACCGCGCUUGGGCCCUCGACAGCCGUGUCAAGCCUCUGGACCUCGGCUAAGGCGGCCUCCUCUUCAUCGGGUAAGCAGUACCCCUCGCUGACCUGCUCCAGAUCCACAUCGUAGUGGGAAGCGAGGACGGCGAAGGCCCGCCUAACGCCGUGGUGCAGCGCCCCGUGGAGUCUGCUGCGCACAUGGCCGCCCAAGGCCCACAGGUGACUCUGGGGGGAGCUACCCGAGGGGACGUCGUCGAGGCCAAAGGCCCGGCAAAAGGCCGAGAUAGCCUCGGACAUGGCCACGCGGUCGGCCUCCUUCUGCUUAGCUGCCUGGGAAAGCGCAUUGCAGUUCUUGAUAGACUCGUCAAGAGCUGUCUCAAACCCUGCAGACAGCCGGACAGUGUUCUUCAGACACGAGGUGAAGAAUGGAGACAAAAACAGUCACAAAGCGGGGAAUACCUUCGGCCCGGGCACGCUGCUGCGAGGCCACGGCUUGGGCGGACUGGGCAGACCCGAUGGCCAUGGCCAGGCCCUUCGCAAGGGUCCUGACCCGAGCGGAUGCCUCGGCUAGCCACUCCGUAGCCUCAGCCAGCUGACCCCUAAGGGCCUCAGCUCGGCUCACGGCCUCGGCAGCUUGGCUCCGAGAUUGGUCCCGCUCGCCGAUGACCUGGCCAAGCUCCAGCUGCCGCUGCCGCAUCUUCUCGGCCUGGGAAGCCACCUGCUCCCGGGCCGACGAAGCCUCCGCUCGUGCCGACACCGCCUCUGUCCGUGUCGCCGCUGCCUCCGACUUCAGCUCAUCGCAGAGCAACCGAAGGUCCGCCACCUCGGCGCUCUGUUGGGAAAGGCGCUCAUUGGCCUCGGUAAGCGCAGCCCACUGGGACCACAGCGAAUCCCAGACGUCGCUCUCGCGACGGUGCUCACAUCCACAAGUUCCUGAGGAAGGGAAACAGGAUAUUACAAAGAAUGCCCUGGUCACGCAAGGUGUACAUCUAAAUCCUUACCUGGAAGACCCUAGGAACGUCCCUGGAAAGGAUCUCCAUGGUCGACCGAAGCGACCUCAUCGCCGCCUCGGUAUACUCACAGAAAUUAUCCCGGGACCUCUCCUCCAGCUCAUCGUUGAGGGAGAGGAGGGGCUCCGAGUCCGAGGUGUCACGGCUCUAGAACAGGAGCGGCUGCCCACACCACUCAUUGGGGUUGAGCUGCGCGGGGAUAAGGUCGCUGCUCCCCAAGACGGGCCACGGUUCUAUGCGCCCCUCCGCCGAGGUGUCGGGUCCCCCUGCAGUCGAUGCAUCGGGUACCACCGCCGUCGACGUACUGGGCCUCUCCUCGGCUAAGGUGGCAGGCCUCCGAUCACCGACCUCAGCAAUGACAGCCGCCCUCUCCUCAUGGCCGAGAACGGGGAGGUCGGGGAUGACCACGGGCGGCGGCGCCUCAACCAUCCCGACGUCGGUGGCGACGGGCGGCUCCGCGGGCGAAUCAACAACGGCCCCGGCAGGAGUCGAUGCCGGCGCUGGCAACAAGUCAGGCGGGCUCAGGGCCGCGGCCGCGCCAGCGGCCUCCCCCAGCAUGAUGGCCGCUCCAACAGGGGGUCAGCCUGGGAGGCUUGCCCCAUGGCAACUCAUGCCGCCUGGGCCCCCGCCGGAGGCCGCCUUGUGCAGAGGCCAACCAACCGGCAUGGCGCGCCGCAGCACCGGCUGCAGAGGCCGGCCCCGUCUUAAGGGCCUUCAUGGGGGCCAGACCAGCCGAGCCCUGCCUCCGCUUGCUGAAAGAAAGAGAGGGAGCAAGUUCAAGGCACACAGAGAAAAAACCAAAACAGAGGUAUCCUCAGAUACUUACCCGCUCCGGGGCAAGGCCAAUCGUGCCCACGGGGAGGCCCCUCGGGCCCCGGUCUCCGCAGGCGCUGCCGAGGGUUGCCCCGCUGCCGGCUUCGGUGCCGCUUCCACCUCAGGCGCCCGAGGCGCCGAGGGGGCAGCCCGCCCAGGCGUCAUCUCGACGGUCGAGGGACCAACCUCCUGUACAACCGGCACGGGCACUUGCUCUUGGGGGACAGGUGGAUCGGCCUGACCUCCCGGAGUCACCCCAAUUAUCUCGGCCAAGGGGUCAAGUACCCCCUCGGCCUGCCUCCGCUCCUCGGACCGGGACCUUGGUGUCCCGACCCCAGGCAUUGAUGGUGCCAGCCCACUUGGGGGCUGGCUCGGUGACCCAUGGCCCAGCCUCGGGUCCGGGCUAAGGCCAAGUCGGGCCGCCAUGUCCUCGUCUUUGUCAUCAUCAUCAUCAUCAUCAUCAUCAUCAUCAUCAUCAUCAUCAUCAUCGUCGUCGUCAGGCGUCUUCGGCGACGGCUCCAACAGGAGCCCAUCCCUCGCCUGCCUCCGAUGACGCUUCUCCAAGGCUUCCUGAGCUUGCAUCCUCUCGCGAGCUUGGGCCUUUUCCGCGUCCUUCUUCUCCUUUUCCUUCUCUGCGGGAGCCUACGCGUGGCUCGGUCCGCCGCGUCCUCGGGACCGGUGACCGGGAGAGUUUAAAACCCCUCAACCCCUAGGGACGAACAAAAAUCCCAACAGUAAGAAUCAAAGACGUAAAAAACUCGGCGCAAAACAGAAGGAGGAUCAGACACUUACUAGGGACACGUACCCAUGGUCGGGGCGCAUCGAGGGCUGGCUAAGGACGCCAGCAUCCAGCCUCCCUACCGUACCCGCUACCCGCCUGAGGAGGUCAUCGGCGGAGAGGGAGGUCGAGGACAUCCGCGAGCCCUCCAAAUCGACCCCUGGCUUCAUCUUCGAGAGCCGCAACCACCGCUCUGCCAAAGGGAGCACCCUCCGGCGAUGGAUAGCGGCGACGACCCCCGCAGUGGUAAGGCCCUCAUCUCGUAACUUCUGCAAGGCACACAGAAUAGGCUGGAGCUUCUCCUGGUUCUCGCGUGUGGCCCCCCCAGCGCCAGUUAUUGCCAGCGUCGGUCACCACUCGUUGAGAAAACGGCGGAAGCAUCCCAUCGUCGUUCUGGAGAUAAAACCACCGAUUAUGCCACCCCUUGUUCGAAGAUACAAGGGAGGCAGGGAUGUACUGAUGCGCCCGCCCCGACCUCAGCUGGAGGGUGCAGCCACCGGCCCGCACCGCCGUGCGGACCUUCUUCAUGUCCGUCGACGCGGCGAAGAACUCCAUGGAGAAGAGAUGGGUCCACAGGUCCCAGUGAGGGUCAAUCCCCAAAAAACCCUCGCAAACCGCCGCGAAGAUGGUCGCUUGCGCAAUGGAGUUGGGGUUGAAGUUAUACAGCUCCACCCCGUAGUAGUGCGGGAGCGCCCGCAUGAAGCGGCUUGCUGGCAUCCCAAACCCCCGCUCAUGGAAGGGGAUGAAACUGACCACGUACCCCGGCGGCGGAGUCGGGUCGGCCUCGCUCCCAGGGGCCAUCCACUCAGGCUGCGGCCCGCCGGAGAGAGGACGGAGCAAACCGUCGGAAACAAGGGCCUCCAGCUCCUCCACGGUAACGGUGGAGAAAGGCCACGGGUCGCGCGACGGAACGACGGUCGCCUUAUCAGCCAUUGCCGAGCGAAAGCGGUGGAGGCAGAGGGGAUGAGGUACGCGAUUUUCUCUUCUCUAGCUAUUCUCUUAGGUUACGGAAACCAAAGCAUAAGGCAAGCGCAAAUGGCAGGGUAAAGAACCACCACCGGCCCCUCUUCCGGGUAUAUAAAGGUCCGGGCGAGAUCCACCCAAAACUUCGCCCGAACCCAUCGUGAAAUUCAAACUCGAAGGUGAAACAGUUUUUCUGUUCCUCGAACGACUCGCGCACGCGCAACAGACGUCCCGCGAAUCGCCCGUCCCAUCGCAUUAACUCCCUAGCAGGGCAAGCGACACCUCUGGCAGGCGAAGCGGGCGCCGUUUCACCUCCGUCAUGAUGACCGCGUCAAAAAAGGUGUGCCACAUUAUUUAAAUUCAUAUCCUUUUUCUUUUCCUCUAUCCCUCUCUCUUGCCACAGGGAUCAGGAAAGGGGAUAUUUCGAAAAAGGAUCCUUCUCAAUGAAGGAAACGGGCCCCGAGCCCUCCUACUGAUCAGAGGUUCGAAGGUUGCGCCCUGCGGGAUUCGGCAACCGCCCAGAGCACUCAGGCUCUGAGCCCUUUACUAAUCAGGGGUUCGAAGGCUGGCCCCUCAGAAGGGUUCGACAGCCGCCCCAGAGCACGCAGAGUCAGGGAUGACCCUAGGUACGUCCGUUACAUGGUCGAGGCUCGAGCUACGCUCCUGAGGUACCCUAGGACAUUUCCAAGACCAGCGGGAACGAUUUGUAAUGGAAUCCCACCAGAGAGAGGCACCAAGCCCUCGGACCCUAUCAAAUGGGCCCAGGUCCAGCAAAUCACCUGCAGGUACUUUUGGAGCGCGCCUCUGGGCCACUAGCCGACCCUUAUCGAACGGGGCUCGAGCGUCCACUCGGAUCACCCGUUAGCAACUCACUGGAAACACCGUGUUCGGUGCCCUUUGAGGGUAACAUGGCGCUUUCCCCCCUUCCUCCUUGCGGAAAGGCGACAAAGGGGCGUACAAUAAAAGUCGAGACGAUCCUUGAUCGUCCUCUCGCUCCGUGUAGAGGCUCGGGGGCUGCUCUCGCACCAGGCUACGGCCAAAUUGUCGACCACGUCGACAAAACAGCUUGAAAACUCAGAGCCUGACCAUGCACCCGGGCUACGGCCUGGUCGCAUAAGGGAACAACAAGGCCAAGGCCUCGGGGGCUACACCACUCCUCCGAGGCCUCGGGGGCUACACCCGACGGGUGCGCUCGCGCGCACCCAUCGGAACAAAAUAUGACCGAGAAAGGUUGGUCCCCUUGCAAAAACUCCGGUAGAACCUCCAAGUGAGUACCUACACUCCCUUCGAGGCUCGGGGGCUACUGUCGGGUACCGUAAUUAGGGGUACCCCCAAUACUCCUUAACAUGGCUGGAAAACAUCUUUAGAACAAACCGCAAAGACUGAUAAGCACGGUUCAAGUCAAGGCCUCGUCUACCAAGGGACACGAUCUCGCCUCGCCCGAGCCCGGCCUCGGGCGGGAACAGUAGUCCCGGAUGGAUUCACGCCUCGCCCGAAGCCCUGCUCGGGCAAAAUUUGUCGUGCAGCAACCUCGACCAAAUCGCCUUACCAACCGACCGUAUCGCAUGCGCAUUUAAUGCGGGGAUCGCCUGACACCUUAUCCUGACACGUGCGCCUCAGUUGGCAAGGUCAAAGUGACCGCAGUCAAUUUGCCCCUUUAGUGACCGUUCUGACAGGAAAACAGCACUGUUCGCCCCGCUCUGGCUACUGUGCCAACCACCAGGGUAAGACUAACAACAGUAAGUCACGCCUCUCCCGAGUUCAGCCUCGGGCACAACAGGGAGCUCCGCCUCGCCCGACCCUAGGCCUCGGCCUCAGUCUCAGCCUCAGCCUCGGAAGAAGGUCUCCGCCUUGCCCGACCAUGGGCCUCGGCCUCAGCCUUGGCCUCGGGAGGAGUCACAACCUCGCCCAACCUCAGCCUCAGCCUUGGGAGAAGUCUCCGCCUCGCCCGACCUCGGGCUUGGACCGACCGUGCCACAGGGGAUACAUCAUUACCCUACCCCUAGCUAGUUGCCUCAGGCUACGAAGGAACAAGACCGGUGUCCCAUCUAGAUUACUCCGGUAAUAGGUAAUGAUGGUUCCCCGCGUGCGUCCAUGACAUCGGCAAAGAAACGUCAGCAGGACCCCGGGCCGCACCGUCAGCUACGCUUCUAUAGGGCUCAAGCACUUCUCUGAUGGCCACGUUAGCACAUAUACAGGGCUCAGGCACUUCUCUGCUGGUCACGUUAGCACAUAGCUACACCCCCAUUGUACAGCUGGACCAUCUCCUUGUAUCUAUAAAAGGGGAUAUCUAGGGCCUUCCUAGAGGGCACACACACAAGCAGAGAAGGCAGAGUGGGAGAGACGCGGAGGAGGCUAACUCAGACAACUCACCUCAAGGCCGAACCCUCUCUCUCUCUCCCGCGACGCUUGUAACCCCUACUACGAGCACCCCGGUGCAAGAUAACAUAAGCCUCAUCCUCCCUCUUGUGUUCCAUCUUGCAUCAACCCAUCUGGGCAGGGACACGCAGCAUCAAAUUCACUGGUCGGUUGAGGGUCCUCGCGGGUCCGAAACACCGACAGUGCAUCAUGAGUCCAUUCCUCAAAUUUGGUGGGAUGACUCCAUUCCACAUAUUAGUACUAAACAACUAACUAUGAGGAAUGAAUUGGUGAUGGAUUAACUCUCUCCAUUCCACAAUCCAAACAAAAAAGUGAGAAGUGAGAAGAUGAUGGACUACAUCAUUCCUCAAACCAAACACUCCAUAAGAAAUCGAUCUAUGUUUUAGUCCAUUGCUGGAUCUGCCGCUGUAAAAAGGGAUAUACGGGUAUAUAACCCUGCUGAAAAUAACGAGCCAAAGCUAUUGUUUUGAAAGAAGAGGUAGCGAUGACUCGAAUUCUCCUUUGAAAUUUGCAUGCCCGAGUCGUUGAGCGAGUCGGUUUCCCAUCUUUUUGGAUGCGGUAUGUAGCGUCGUCAAGCUUCCUUGCCCAGGCAAGACAGUGAUGCAGCUGAAAAACCCAAAGAUGGAUGUUACGCUGGAGACGACCAAAGACCGUCCAGACACGAGGCCGAAAGUCCUGCCCAUCGAUUCGAUUUGUAGUACAAGACUAAACGUGUGUGGCUGAGAACCUACAAAUGAGGACAUACACCACAUCUCUAAUAUUAAUUAUGUGCCUAAUGUAGACGUCCACACCCCCGGAUGAUGCACGUUCUGCCGCUGGCGCACCCCGCCCCGCAUCGCGCCCGCAUCCCGCCCGCGACCGCACCCACCCGGCAUCCCGGCCGCAUCCCGCCGCCUCUGCCUCUCCCCUAUUCCCUCCCUCGCACAUCCGCCCCCCUCGCCCCCAUCUCCCUGCAUGCUGGAUCCCCGCCGUCCCCACCAUCGCCCGUGUUGGGUCCAACCCAGGCCGCUCAUGCCUCGUCGCGCAGUCCUCCCGUAGCAUCGCCACACCGCACGCGUCCGCGGCGGCGUCCGCCUCGGCGCCAGUCUCGCACACCGUUCCGCAGUGGAUCCAAUCACGCCUCCUCACCCUCCGCUGCCUCCUCCCAUCCCCUCUCCCAUCGAAUCCGCGAUUCUGCGUCCCGGUGUCCACCCAGUUCCCCGCUCGCUGUCGAUGAAGGGCGGCCGCCUGCACCGUCCGGAGCCGCCGCAGACCCACCUCGCCAUGGCGGCGGCGGCCGCGGCGCCUCCCAUCCCCGCCCCUAACCCCACCGAUGACUGGGUGGACGGCUCGUGGACGCUUGACUAUUCCUGCUGCGUCACGUUCGAUGACGUCGAGGAGAUGGUCAGCUGGCCGCGCGCCUCCCGGCCCCCAUCACUGGCGGCUCUAGCUCCCACGACGGCGACAUUCCGCCGUGCACCUCCUGGCCCCCCUCACUGGUGACCCCGGCCCCAACGACACACGGAGAGCAAAGAGGAUGGGUCUUUGACACACCGCCCGAUUCCUGGGGCUCCGCCUACCUUUGUCGCCACCAUUCUCGUCCUUAUCCCUCCGCCUACUCAAGUACGUACGCACCCCUCCUCCCUCUGCAGCUCCCGUUCAUUUCCCCUCUUCCCUGCUACCCUGCAUCGUGACGUGACCCCUUCCGUUCAUCCAUGUCGUGCCGCUUUUCAAAGUCCAUAGGAAGCGAGGCAGGGAGGAGGACGAUGACAACCCUCGCCGCUGCUUUUGUUAGGCUCGUCACAGAUGAAUGUUGUCCCUGGCAUGAAGCCUGCAACUUUGAAAGGGAAAUAGGGUUUAACCUUUUCCUAUAAAUAAUUUUGGUGGUUGAAUGUCCAACACAAAUAAUGGACUAACUAGUUUGCUCUAGAAUAUAUGUUCUACAGGUGCAUAAAGGUUCAACACAAACCAAUAAAAGAUUGAAGAAAGGGUUCAAAAACAAAGGAACAAAGAAACCGAGUGUGCCCUGGUCUGGCGCACCGGACUGUCCGGUGUGCCACCGGACAGUGUCCGGUGCACCAGGACCGUAGAGCGCCCAACUCUCCACUCUCGGGUUUCUCAGGGCGCGCUUCGCUAUAAUUCACCGGACUGUCCGGUGCACCAGCGGAGCAACGGCUACUCGUGCAAUGGUCGACUGCAAAAGCCGCGCUGACCGCUGAACAGUGAAGAACAGUGCGCACAGAGUCAGAGCGCAGAAGUCAGAGGCGCACCGGACCAUGAACAGUACCUGUCCGGUGCCACUAGAAGACAAAGCCUCCAACGGUCACAAGCUCCCAAACCAUAACGGUUGGGUGACGUGGCUGGCGCACCGGACUGUCGGUGCGCCCAUCAAUAACAGCCUGCUCCAACGGUUGUUUGGUGGUUGAGGGCUAUAAAUACCCCCAACCACUACCACUCCAACCACCCAAGCAUUCCACACAUUGCAUUCAAUACAAGAGCAAUAGAUUUCACUCCAAGACACAAAUCAAAGCGAUCGAUCCACUCAAAGUCCCAAAUUCCACUCUAGCACAUUAGGGAUUGUGAGAGGAUCACUUGUGUUUCUUGUUGCUCUUGUUUUGCUUGGUUGGCUUUCUUUUCUUUUCCUUGUUACUCUCAAGUGCUUUGUAAGCAAGGCAAGAGACACCAAUUGUGUGGUGGUCCUUGCGUGGUCUAAGUGACCCGUGAGAAGUAAAGAAGAAAGCUCACUCGGUCUAGGUGACCGUUUGAGAGAGGGAAAGGGUUGAAAGAGACCCGAUCUUUGUGACCACCUCAAUGGGCACUAGGUUCUUUAGAACCAAACCUCGGUAAAACAAAUCACCGUGUUCAUCCGCUUUACUUCUUGGUUGAUUUUUUCCCCACUCUCUUGGACUCAAAUUCAUUUCUAACGCUAACCCCGGCUUGUAGUGUGUGCUUAAGUUUAUAAUUUUCAGAUUCCGCCUAUUCACCCCCCUAGGUGAUUUUCAAUUGGUAUCAAGCCCGGUGCUUCAUUAGAGUCUAACAACUCGAAAUGAUGUCGGGAGGAUCCGCCAAGAGGGAGAUGGAAAUCGGCGAGAAGGCCCCAAGCCACGGGAAGGCUCCAUCAAGGGAGUCCGGCGCCAAAGGCAAGGAGGAAUCACCUCCUUGUGUCAAGUCGCAUCAGAGUGGUGACAAGAAGAAGAAGAUGAAGAAAGUGGUCUACUACGAGACCGAUUCUUUGUCGCCCUCCACAUACGGCUCCGACGCCGCAUCCGUCACUUCUAAGCGCCACGAGCGCAAGAAGUAUAGUAAGAUGGCACUUCAUUAUCCCUGUAUUUCUAAGCACUCCUUUACUUUCCGUUCCAUUAGGCAAACACCGUAUUUUGAUGGUGAGGAUUAUUGCAUGUGGAGUGAUAAAAUGAGGCAUCACCUAACCUCACUCCACGCAAGCAUAUGGGACAUUGUUGAAUUUGGAGCACAGGUACCUACCGUGGGGGACGAGGGCUACGACUCGGACGAGGUCGCCCAAAUCUGGCACUUUAACUCCGAAGCAACUACUAUACUCCUUGCCUCUUUAUGUCUUGAGGAGUAUAAUAAGGUCCAAGGGUUAAAAAGCGCCAAGGAGAUUUGGGACGUCCUAAAGACCGCACACGAAGGAGAUGAGGUGACCAAGAUCACCAAGCGGGAGACGAUCGAGGGGGAGCUCGAUCGAUUCGUCCUUCACCAAGGAGAGGAGCCACAAGCAAUGUACAACCGGAUCAAAACCUUGGUGAAUCAAGUGCGCAACCUCGGGAGCACUAAAUGGGAUGACCAUGAGAUGGUCAAGGUUAUUCUAAGAUCCCUUGUUUUUCGCAAUCCUAUUCAAGUACAACUAAUUCGUGGGGAUCCUAGAUACAAAUUAAUGUCUCUCAAGGAAGUGAUAGGAAAGUUUGUGAGCUUUGAACUAAUGAUCAAAGGCUCCAAACACAUCGUUGACUUGGAGCAAGGUGGCACCUCCACACCCGGGAGCAACCCGUCGCAUUCAAAGCGAUAGAAGAGAAGAAGGAAGAGUCUACAUCAAGUGGGCUCCCCAUCGACGCCUCCAAGCUCGACAAUGAGGAGAUGGCGCUCAUCAUCAAGAGCUUCUGUCAAAUCCUCAAGCAAAGGAGUGGGAAGGAUUACAAACCCCGCUCCAAGAGGGUGUGCUACAAGUGUGGUAAGCCCGGUCAUUUUAUUGCAAAAUGUCCAAUGUCUUGUGAUAGUGAUAGGGGCGAUGACAAGAGGGGGAAGAAGAUGGAAAAGAAGAGGUACUACAAGAAGAAGGGCGGCGAUGCCCACGUGUGUCGGGAAUGGGACUCCGAUGAGAGCUCCACCGACUCCUCCUCCGAUGAGGACGCCACCAACAUCGCCAUCAACAAGGGCCUCCACUUUCCCAACGUCGGUCACAAGUGCUUCAUGGCAAAGGACUACAAAAAGAAGAAGGUACAAACUAGAACCGCCCCCAAGUAUACUACAUCUAGUGAUGAGGGUAGUUCUAGUGAAGAUGAAGAUGAUUUGCUUACACUUUUUGCCAACCUUAACAUGCAACAAAAAGAAAAAUUAAAUGAAUUGAUAGCAGCCAUUCAUGAGAAGGAUGAACUCUUGGAUAGCCAAGAGGAAUUCCUUAUUAAAGAAAACAAAAGGCAUGUUAAAGUAAAAAAUGCUUAUGCUCAGGAAGUUGAGAAAUGUGAAAAAUUGUCUAAAGAGCUUAGCAUUUGCCAUGACACUAUUUCAAACCUUAGAACCGAGAAUGCUAGUUUAAUUGCUAAGGUUGAAAAAUUAAAUGCUUGUAAUGAUUCAAUUGCUAGUUUUAGAACUGAAAAUGACAAUUUAGUUUCUAUGAUUGAAGAGCUAAAUGUUUGCAAUAAUUCUAUUUCCUGUCUUAGAGAUGAAAAUGCCAUGCUAAAAUCUAAGAUAGAUGAAUUAAAUGUUUGCAAACCCUCUACAUCUACUGUUGAUCAUGUUACUAUUUGUACUAGAUGUAGAGAUGUUAAUAUUGAUGCUAUAAAUGAUCACCUUGCUUUAAUUAAACAACAAAAAUGAUCAUAUAGCUCAAUUAACUGCUAAAAUCAAUGAGCAUGAAAUUGAAAAUGAAAAGUUUAAAUUUGCUAGAAGCAUGCUCUAUAUGGAAGACUGAAAGUCGCCUAGGGGGGUGAAUAGGCAAAUCUAAAAUUUAUAAACUUUAAGCACAACUACAAGCCAGGGUUAGCGUUAGAAAUAAAACCGAGUCCGAAAGAGAGGGCGAAAACAAAUCAACCAAAGAAAUAGAGCGGAUGACACGGUGAUUUGUUUUACUGAGGUUCGGUUCUUGCAAACCUAUUCCCCAUUGAGGUGGUCACAAAGACCGGGUCUCUUUCAACCAUUUCCCUCUCUCAAACGAUCACCUAGACCGAGUGAGCUUUUCUCCUCAAUCAAAUGGGUCACUUAGACCCCACAAGGACCACCACACAAUUGGUGUCUCUUGCUUUGAUUACAAGUGUCUUGAGAACAAGAAUGGGGAAGAAGAAAAGCGAUCCAAGCGACAAGAACUCAAAUGAACACGAAAAUCUCUCUCUCACUAGUCACUAAGUGUUUGGAGUGAAUUUGGACUUGGAGAGGAUUUGAUCUCUUGAUUUGUGUCUUGGAGUGAAGUCUAGAGCUCUUGUAUUGAAUGCAAUGGCUGAAAACUUGGAUUCCUUGAAGUGGUGAUGGUUGGGGGUAUUUAUAGCCCCAACCACCAAACCAACCGUUGGGGUUGGGCUGCUGUCGAUGGGCGCACCGGACAGUCCGGUGCGCCAGCCACGUCACCCAACCGUUAGGGUUCGACCGUUGGAGCUCUGUCAGCCUGGGCCACCGGACAGUCCGGUGGUGCACCGGACAGUCACUAUUCACUGUCCGGUGCGCCUUCUGGCGCCUGCUCUGAUUCUGCACGCACUGUCCGCGCACUGUACCGCUUUUCAGGUUUCCAUUGGAGUCGACCGUUGUGCUAUAGCCAUUGCUCUGCUGGCACACCAGACAGUCCGGUGAAUUAUAGCGGAGUGGCUUUUCCAGAAACCCGAAGGUGGCGAGUUCGAGUUGAUCCACCCUGGUGCACCGGACACUGUCCGGUGCGCCAGACCAGGGUUCACUUUGGUUUAUUUUGCUCCUUUCUUUUGAACCCUAUCUUGGACCUUUUUAUUGGUUUGUGUUGAACCUUUUGCACCUGUAGAACUUAUAAUCUAGAGCAAACUAGUUAGUCCAAAUAUUUGUGUUGUGCAAUUCAACCACCAAAAUCAUUUAGGAAAAGGUUUAACCCUAUUUCCCUUUCAAUCUCCCCCUUUUUGGUGAUUGAUGCCAACACAAACCAAAGCAAAUAUAUAAGUGCAUAAUUGAACUAGUUUGCAUAAGGUAAGUGCAAAGGUUACUUGGAAUUAAACCAAUUUAAACUUCUAUAAGAUAUGCAUGGAUUGCUUUCUUCCUUUUAACAUUUUGGACCUCGCUUGCACCACUUGUUUUGUUUUUGCAAAUGUUUUUGGAAAUUAUUUUUCAAAGACUUUUUGCAAAUAGUCAAAGGUAUAUGAAUAAGAUUUCGAGAAGCAUUUUUAAGAUUUGAAAUUUUCUCCCCCUGUUUCAAAUGCUUUUCCAUUGACUAAACAAAACUCCCCCUUAAUGAAAUUCUCCUCUUAGUGUUCAAGAGGGUUUUUACAAAUUGAAAGAAGAUCAAAUAUUUUAGAUACCAAUUUUUGAAAAACUCCUCCUUAAAAAAUAAAUACCAAUUGAGAUAGAAUUUCUUAGAGGAAUACUAAUUUCAAAGAUACCAAUUGAAAACAACUUAAGCUUUGUUUCGAAAAUUUUUGAAAUUGGCGUGGUGGUGCGGUCCUUUUGCUUUGGGCUAAUACUCUCUCCCCCUUUGGCAUUAAUCGCCAAAAACGGAGUCUUUAGAGCCCUUUUACUUUCUCCCCAAUGGUAUGAGUAAUAAGAGUCAAGAUUAUACCAAAGUGGAGAGCGAUGCGGAGUGACAACGAAGGGUAAAUAAUACCGGUAGAGUGGAGUGGAAGCCUUGUCUUCACCGAAGACUCCAUUUCCCUUUCAAUCUAUGACUUAGCAUGAAAUGCACUUGAACAUACAUUAGUCAUAACAAAUGAAGGAAAUAUGAUCGAAGGUACAUAAAUGAGCUAUGUGUGCAAAGUAUCAAUCAAAGUUCCUAGAAUCAAGAAUGUUUAGCUCAUUCCUAAGUUUGGUAAAGGUUUUCUCAUCUAGUAGUUUGGUAAAGAUUUCGGCUAAUUGUUCUUUGGUGCUAACAUAAGCAAUCUCGAUAUCCCCCCUUUGUUGGUGAUCCCUCAAAAAGUGAUACCGAAUGGCUAUGUGCUUAGUGCGGCUGUGCUCAAUGGGAUUAUCCGCCAUGCGGAUUGCACUCUUAUUAUCACAUAGGAGAGGGACUUUGGUUAAUUUAUAGCCAUAGUCUAUAAGAGUUUGCCUCAUCCAAAUCAAUUGCGUGCAACAAUGGCCUGUGGCAAUGCACUUGGCUUCGGCGGUAGAAAGAGCUACUGAAUUUUGUUUCUUUGAAGCCCAAGACACCAGGGAUCUUCCCAAGAACUGACAAGUCCCUGAUGUGCUCUUUCUAUCAAUUUUACACCCUGCCCAAUCAGCAUCCGAAUAACCUAUUAAAUCAAAAGUGGAUCCCUUGGGGUACCAAAGACCAAACUUAGGUGUAUGAACUAAAUAUCUCAAGAUUCUUUUCACGACCCUAAGGUGAACUUCCUUAGGAUCGGCUUGGGAUCUUGCACACAUGCAUACGGAAAGCAUAAUAUCCGGUCGAGAUGCACAUAAAUAGAGUAAAGAUCCUACCAUCGACAGGUAUACCUUUUGAUCUACGGAUUUACCUCCUGUGUCGAGGUCAAGAUGCCCAUUGGUUCCCAUGGGUGUCUUGAUGGGCUUGGCAUCCUUCAUUCCAAACUUGGUGAGUAUGUCUUGAAUGUACUUAGUUUGGCUGAUGAAGGUGCCCUCUUGGAGUUGCUUCACUUGAAAUCCUAAGAAAUACUUCAACUCCCCCAUCAUAGACAUCUCGAAUUUUUGAAUCAUAAUCUUACUAAACUCUUCACAAGUAGAUUUGUUAGUAGACCCAAAUAUGAUAUCAUCAACAUAAAUUUGGCAUACAAACAAAUCAUUUGCAAUAGUUUUAGUAAAGAGAGUAGGAUCGGCUUUGCCGACUUGGAAGCCAUUAGUGAUAAGGAAAUCUCUUUGGCAUUCAUACCAUGCUCUUGGGGCUUGCUUGAGCCUAUAAUGCGCCUUAGAGAGUUUGUAAACAUGAUUAGGGUACUCACUAUCUUCAAAGCCGGGAGGUUGCUCAACAUAGACCUCUUCCUUGAUUGGUCCAUUGAGGAAGGCACUUUUCACGUCCAUUUGAUAAAGCUUAAAGCCAUGGUAAGUAGCAUAGGCAAGUAAUAUGCGGAUUGACUCAAGCCUAGCUACGGGUGCAUAGGUUUCACCGAAAUCCAAACCUUCGACUUGUGAAUAUCCCUUGGCUACAAGUCGGGCUUUGUUCCUUAUCACCACACCAUGCUCAUCUUGCUUGUUGUGGAAGACCCACUUGGUUCCUACAACAUUUUGGUUAGGAUGUGGAACAAGAUGCCAUACCUCAUUCCUCGUGAAGUUGUUGAGUUCCUCUUGCGUUGCCAACACCCAAUCCGAAUCUCUUAAUGCAUCUUCCACCCUGUAUGGCUCAAUAGAAGACACAAAAGAGUAAUGUUCACAAAAAUGAGCGACACGAGAUUGAGUGGUUACCCCCAUAUGAAUGUCGCCGAGGAUGGAGUUCACGGGGUGAUCCCGUUGUAUCGCUUGGUGGACUCUUGGGUGAGGCGGUCUUGGACCCUAAUCAUCUUCCUUGUCUUGAUCAUUGGCAUCUCCCCCUUGAUCAUUGUCCUCUUCUUGAGGUGGCUCAUCCUCUUGAUCUUCAUUUUCAUCAUCUUGAGCUUGAUCCUCAUCUUGGGUUGGUGGAGAUGCUUGUAUGGAAGAUGAUGGUUGAUCUUGUGCUUGUGGAGGCUCCUCGAGUUCCUUAGGGCACACAUCCCCAAUGGACAUGUUCCUUAGCGCGACGCACGGGGCCUCUUCAUCAUCUAGCUCAUCAAGAUCAACUUGCUCUACUUGAGAGCCAUUAGUCUCAUCAAACACAAUGUCACAAGAAACUUCAACUAGUCCAGUGAACUUUUUAAAGACUCUAUAUGCCCUUGUGUUUGAGUUAUAACCAAGUAAAAAGCCUUCUACAACCAUAGGAGCAAAUUUAGAUUUUCUACCUCUUUUAACAAGAAUAAAACAUUUGCUACCAAAGACUCUAAAAUAUGAAACAUUUGGCUUUUUACCGGUUAGGAGUUCAUAGGAUGUCUUCUUGAGGAUUCGGUGAAGGUAGAGACGAUUGAUGGCGUAGCAAGCGGUGUUGAUUGCUUCGGCCCAAAACCGGUCUGAUGUCUUGUACUCAUCAAGCAUGGUCCUCGCCAUGUCAAGUAGAGUUCUAUUCUUCCUCUCCACUACACCAUUUUGUUGUGGUGUGUAGGGAGAAGAGAACUCAUGAUUGAUGCCUCCUCCUCAAGAAAGCCUUCUAUUUGAGAGUUCUUGAACUCCGUUCCAUUAUCGCUUCUAAUCUUUUUGAUCCUUAAGCCGAACUCAUUUUGAGCCCGUCUCAAGAAUCCCUUUAAGGUCUCUUGGGUUUGAGAUUUAUCCUGCAAAAAGAACACCCAAGUGAAGCGAGAAUAAUCAUCCACAAUUACAAGACAAUACUUACUCCCGCCGAUGCUUAUGUAAGCUAUCGGGCCAAAUAAAUCCAUGUGGAGUAGCUCAAGCGGCCUGUCGGUCGUCAUGAUGUUCUUGUGUGGAUGAUGAACACCAACUUGCUUUCCUGCUUGGCAUGCGCUACAAACCCUGUCUUUCUCAAAAUGAACAUUUGUUAGUCCUAAAAUGUGUUCUCCCUUUAGAAGCUUGUGAAGAUUCUUCAUCCCAACAUGGGCUAGUCGGCGAUGCCAGAGCCAACCCAUAUUAGUCUUAGCAAUUAAGCAAGUGUCGAGUUCAGCUCUAUUGAAAUCAACUAAGUAUAGCUGACCCUCUAAGACUCCCUUAAAUGCUAUUGAAUCAUCACUUCUUCUAAAGACAGUAACACCUACAUCAGUAAACAGACAGUUGUAGCCCAUAUUGCAUAAUUGAGAAACAGAAAGCAAAUUGUAAUCUAAGGAAUCUACAAGAAAAAUAUUGGAAAUAGAAUGGUCAGGUGAUAUAGCAAUUUUACCAAGUCCUUUGACCAAACCUUGAUUUCCAUCCCCGAAUGUGAUAGCUCUUUGGGGAUCAUCAUUUUUCUCGUAGGAGGAGAACAUCCUUUUCUCCCCAGUCAUAUAGUUUGUGCACCCGCUAUCAAUGAUCCAACUUGAGCCCCUGGAUGCAUAAACCUACAAGACAAUUUAGGCCUUGUUCUUAGGUACCCAAAUGGUCUUGGGUCCUUUCACAUUAGAAACAAGCACCUUGGGUACCCAAACACAAGUCUUUGAGCCCUUGUGUUUGGCCCCAACAUAUUUGGCAACUACUUUGCCUGAUUUGUUAGUUAAAACAUAUGAAGCAUCAACAGUCUUAAAUGAAAUAAUAGACUCAUUUGAUGUAGUAGGAGUUUUUUAGGCAAUUUAACAUGAGUGGAUUGCCUAGAACUAGAUGCCUCACUCUUAUACAUAAAAGCAUGAUGAGAGCCAGAGUGAGACUUCCUAGAAUGAAUUCUCCAAAUCUUGUGUUCGGGAUAAUCAGCAGGAUAUAAAAUAUAGCCCUCGUUAUCCUGAACCAUGGGAGCUUUGCCCUUAACAAAGUUAGACAAUUUCUUAGGGGCAUUAAGCUUGACAUUGUCUCCCUGUUGGAAGCCAAUGCCAUCCUUAAUGCCAGGGCGUCUCCCACUAUAGAGCAUACUUCUAGCAAAUUUAAAAUUUUCAUUUUCUAAGUCAUGCUCAUUAAUUUUAGCACUAAGUUGAGCUAUGUGAUCAUUUUGUUGUUUAAUUAAAGCUAGGUGAUCAUGGAUAGCAUCAACAUUAAUGUCUCUACAUCUAGUACAAAUGGAAAUAUGGCUAAUAGUAGAUGUAGAGGGUUUGCAAGCAUUUAAUUCAUCAAUCUUAGCAUGUAACAUGGCAUUCUCAUUUCUAAGAUUGGAAAUAGAAUCAUUGCAAACAUUUAAAUCCUUAGCCUUAGCAAUUAAAUUAUCAUUCUUAAUCUUAAGGCUAGAAAGUGAUUCAUUCAACUUGUCAAUUUUAGAAAUCAAACUAGCAUUAUCAUUUUUAAGUUUGACAAGAGAAUCAUCACAAGCAUUUAUUUUUUCUACCUUAGCAAUUAAUUUGACAUUUUUAAUUCUAAGGUUAGAGAUAGUGUCAUGGCAAAUGCUAAGCUCACUAGUUAAUUUUUCACAUUUUUCUACUUCCUGAGCAUAAACAUUUUUUACCUUAACAUGCUUUUUAUUUUUUAUAAUAAGGAAGUCCUCUUGGCUAUCCAAGAGUUCAUCCUUCUCAUGGAUAGAACCUAUCAAUUCAUUUAAUUUUUCCUUUUGUUGCAUGUUUAGGUUGGCAAAAAGAGCAAGCAAACUAUCUUCAUCAUCACUAGAGUUAUCCUCAUCACUAGAUAUUGCAUAUUUAGUGGAGGCUCUAGAUUUUACCUUCUUUUUGCCAUCCUUUGCCAUGAGGCACUUGUGGCCGGCAUUUGGGAACAGGAGGCUUUGGUGACGACGAUGUUGGCGGCGUCCUCGUCGGAGGAUCGAUGGAGCUCUCAUCGGAGUCCCAUUCCCGACAUACGUGGGCAUCGCCGCCCUUCUUAUUGUAGUAUCUCUUCUUUUCCUUCCUCUUUCCUUUCUUGUCGUCGCCCCUGUCACUAUCACUUGAUAAUGGACAUUUUGUAAUGAAAUGACCGGGCUUACCACAUUUGUAGCAAACUUUCUUGGAGCGGGGCUUGUAAUCCUUCCCCCUCCUUUGCUUGAGGAUUUGGCGGAAACUCUUGAUGAUGAGCGCCAUCUCCUCAUUGUCGAGCUUGGAGGCGUCGAUGGGGAGCCUACUCGACGUAGACUCUUCUUUCUUCUCCUCCGUCGCUUUGAAUGCGACGGGUUGCACCUCGGGUGUGGAGGUGGCGCCUCGCUCGAUGAUUUGUUUGGAGCCUUUGAUCAUCAAUUCAAAGCUCACAAAUUUUCCUAUAACCUCCUCGGGAGACAUUAGCUCAUAUCUAGGAUCACCACAAAUUAAUUGAACUUGUGUAGGGUUAAGAAAGAUAAGUGAUCUUAGAAUAACCUUGACCAUUUCAUGGUCAUCCCAUUUUGUGCUCCCGAGGUUGCGCACUUGAUUCACCAAGGUCUUGAGCCGGUUGUACAUGGCUUGUGGCUCCUCCCCUUGGUUGAGCAUGAAUCGACCGAGCUCCCCCUCGAUCGUUUCCCGCUUGGUGAUCUUGGUCACCUCAUCUCCUUCGUGCGCGGACUUGAGCACGUCCCAAAUCUCUUUGGCACUCUUCAACCCUUGCACUUUAUUAUACUCCUCUCGACUUAGAGAGGCGAGGAGUAUAGUAGUGGCUUGGGAGUUGAAGUGCCGAAUUUGAUCAACCUCCUCCGAAUCAUAGUCCUUGUCCCCUUCCUUCGGUACCUGCGCUCCAUACUCAACAAUAUCCCAUAUGCUUUUGUGGAGUGAGGUUAGGUGAUGCAUCAUUUUAUCACUCCACAUAGAAUAAUCUUCAUCGUCAAAAACCGGUGGUUUGCCUAAUGGGACGGAAAGUAAUGGAGUGCGUUUGGAAAUGCGAGAAUAGCGGAGGGGCAUCUUACUAUACUUCUUGCGCUCAUGGCGCUUAGAAGUGACGGAUGCCGAUUCAGAGCCGGAGGUGGAAGGUGACGAAGAGUCGGUCUCGUAGUAGACCACUUUCUUCAUCUUCUUCUUCUUGUCACCUUUCCGUCGUGUCUUGAUGGAGGAAGAGGAUUCCUCCUUAUGCUUAUGGUCGGACUCCCUUGAGUGGGUUCUCCCCGAGCUUGCGGACUUGUCGCCGCCGGUCCCAAUCUCCCUCUUGGCGGAUGCUUCUGUCAUCACUUCGAGUGGUUAGACUCUAAUGAAGUACCGGGCUCUGAUACCAAUUGAAAGUCGCCUAGAAGGGGGGUGAAUAGGCAAAUCUGAAAUUUAUAAACUUUAAGCACAACUACAAGCCGGGGUUAGCGUUAGAAAUAAAACUGAGUCCGAAAGACAGGGCGAAAACAAAUCAACCAAAGAAAUAGAGCGGAUGACACGGUGAUUUGUUUUACCGAGGUUCGGUUCUUGCAAACCUAUUCCCCGUUGAGGUGGUCACAAAGACCGGGUCUCUUUCAACCCUUUCCCUCUCUCAAACGGUCACCUAGACCGAGUGAGCUUUUCUCCUCAAUCAAAUGGGUCACUUAGACCCCACAAGGACCACCACACAAUUGGUGUCUCUUGCUUUGAUUACAAGUGUCUUGAGAACAAGAAUGGGGAAGAAGAAAAGCGAUCCAAGCGACAAGAACUCAAAUGAACACGAAAAUCUCUCUCUCACUAGUCACUAAGUGUUUGGAGUGAAUUUGGACUUGGAGAGGAUUUGAUCUCUUGAUUUGUGUCUUGGAGUGAAGUCUAGAGCUCUUGUAUUGAAUGCAAUGGCUGAAAACUUGGAUUCCUUGAAGUGGUGAUGGUUGGGGGUAUUUAUAGCCCCAACCACCAAACCAACCGUUGGGGUUGGGCUGCUGUCGAUGGGCGCACCGGACACUGUCUGGUGCACUAGCCACGUCACCCAACUGUUAGGGUUCGACCGUUUGAGCCCUAUCAGCCUGGGCCACCAGACAGUCCGAUGGUGCACCGGACAGUCACAACACAGUCUGGUGCGCCUUCUGGCGCCUGCUCUGAUUCUACACGCACUGUAGCGCUUUUUAGGUUUCCGUUGGAGUCCACCGUUGCGCUGUAGCCGUUGCUCCACUGGCACACCGGACAGUCCGGUGCUACACCGGAUAGUCCGGUGAAUUAUAGCGGGGUGGCUUUUCCAGAAACCCGAAGGUGGCGAGUUCGAGUUGAUCCACCCUGGUGCACCGGACACUGUCCGGUGGCAUACCGGACAGUCCGGUGCGCCAGACCAGGGUUCACUUCGGUUUCUUUUGCUCCUUUCUUUUGAACCCUAUCUUGGACCUUUUUAUUGGUUUGUGUUGAACCUUUUGCAUCUGUAGAACUUAUAAUCUAGAGCAAACUAGUUAGUCCAAAUAUUUGUGUUGGGCAAUUCAACCACCAAAAUCAUUUAGGAAAAGGUUUUACCCUAUUUCCCUUUCAGAGAUGCCCUGGCAUUAAGGAUGGCAUUGGUUUCCAAUAGGGAAGCAACGUCAAGAUUAAUGACCCUAAGAAACUGUCUAACUUUGUUAAGGGCAAAGCUCCCAUGGUUCAGGAUAAUGAGGGCUAUAUUUUAUAUCCUGCUAAUUAUCCUGAGCACAAAAUUAGGAGAAUUCAUGCUAGGAAACCUCAUACUGUAGAAAAUCCAAAUUUGCUCCUAAGGCUGUAGAAGGCUUUUUACUUGGUUAUGACUCAAACACAAGAGCAUAUAGAGUUUUCAACAAAUCCACUGGAUUAGUUGAGGUUUCUUGUGACAUUGUGUUUGAUGAGACUAAUGGCUCCCAAGUGGAGCAAGUUGAUCUUGAUGAAUUAGAUGAUGAAGAGGCUCCGUGCGUCGCACUAAGGAACAUGUCCAUUGGGGAUGUGUGUCCUAAGGAAUCCGAAGAGCUUCCACAAGCACAAGAUCAACCGUCAUCAUCCAUGCAAGUAUCUCCACCAACUCAAGAUGAGGAUCAGGCUCAAGAUGAUGAAGAUCAGGAGGAUGAGCCACCUCAAGAGGAGGACAAUGAUCAAGGGGGAGAUGAAGACAAGGAAGAUGAUCAGGAAAUUCAGGGUCAAAGACCACCACACCCAAGAGUCCACCAAGCGAUUCAAAGAGAUCACCCCGUCAACUCCAUUCUUGGUGAUAUUCAUAAGGGGGUAACUACUCGAUCUCGAGUCGCUCAUUUUUGUGAACAUUACUCUUUUUGUCCUCUAUUGAGCCAUACAGGGUGGAGGACGCACUAAGAGAUUUGGAUUGUGUGCUGGCAAUGCAAGAGGAACUCAACAACUUCACGAGGAAUGAGGUAUAGCAUUUGGUUCCACGUCCUAAUCAAAAUGUUGUAGGUACCAAAUGGGUAUUCCACAACAAGCAAGACGAGCAUGGUGUGGUGACAAGAAACAAAGCCCGACUUGUGGCCAAAGGGUAUUCACAAGUCGAAGGUUUGGAUUUCGAUGAAACUUAUGCACCCGUAGCUAGGCUUGAAUCAAUUCGUAUAUUACUUGCCUAUGCUACUUAUCAUGGCUUUAAGCUUUAUCAAAUAGACGUGAAAAGUGCCUUCCUCAAUGGACCAAUCAAGGAAGAGGUCUAUGUUGAGCAAUCUCCCGGCUUUGAAUAUAGUGAGUACCUGUAACACCCUGAAUUUGGGGGUAGAAUUUUUCUUCUUUUUACUCACCAAAUUCAGGUGUUACUCUCUUUUCUCUUCCCGUUUCGCUCCUUCUUCCCAAAUUCAAAGCAGUAUAGCGACUGACGUCCAUAUCGUGUGUAAACAAAACCUAAGUUGACAUGGGUGUUGCAUCAUGCCGAAUCAUAUUUCUUUUGUUUGAUGUCGUGUUUCAUCGCGUGUGUUGCUUAGUCUCGUUUCGUAUUUUGUUUCACGAAUUGGAUUCCGAUCUGUCAUUGUGCGUGCCACGGGAUUUUGACCCGCGGUGCGGCCCAGCCCAGCUCGGCUCGGCCUGCGCGCCCCUGGCGCCCUGCCCCUCCCCCCAUGCAUGCGCCCUCCCCCUCCCCUUGUCUCUCUUUUCCUCAUUCAAUUCUCUCGCGCAGCAACCUCCUCUCCUCCACCUCUCUCUCUCCCCGUGGCGCCCUAGGUUUUGGAGACGGUGAUCACUGGAUUUGGACCCCGAGGUGAGCUCCCCUCCCCUCUCCCUCUCUCUCUUCCCCUCCCCCUCCCCUUUCUUCUUCCCUACGCGUCCUUGUAGCCCCGCCGCGCGCCCCCCUGCGGCCUAGUCACGUGCCCCCUACGGCCUCGUCGCGCGGCCCCGCGCCCGCUCCCCGCCGGCGCCCCCCUCGCCGCGGCCCGCGCCCGGUGGCCCCGCUCGCCCGCGUUUAACUUUCAGUUUAAUCCAUUUUUAAUUUUAGUUUAGUCGAUGUGCUGCGUCGCACGCUUCGUCGUGCGACGAUUCAUUUUAAAUUCAUCUUUAUUAGUGAGCUAUGUCGCGUGCUUGGUCGCGCGACGUUUCAUUUUAAAUUCAGUUCAGAUGACGUAUGUUGUCGUGUGUUUCGUCGCGCGACGCUUAACGUUUAUUUAUAAUUAAUGCAAGAGUCUCGUUGCGCGCCCCGUCGCGCGACGGGUCGUUUAUUUCUUAAUUCAAUUUAAGUGCUGUGUCGCGCGUCUCGCCGCGCGACAAUCCUUUUAAUUUACCUUAAUCUGUUCAUAAUGAUUAAACAUGGAACAUGACUUUACCCUAUGCUAAACGCGAUGGCUAAAUUAACACCAUUCUGUUAGACGAGUAUUUUAAUUUAUAAUCGUGUGACGUGAUCGCUCUUCAACCGUAGCCUCGACCGUUACUUUCUUUUUCUCGCUUAGUCAUAGGUGUGAACCCUGCGUCGAACGUCUGUCUAUUUAUUGCAUUCUAUUGUUUGGUGUACUAUUCUUUUGUAUUAAAACUUGUGGAAUAUAUGUUUGAACUCGUAUAGAUAACGGUCAGUUGGCGGAGUUUGAAGGAGUUGCAGGUGAAGACCUUGAGCAGCAGUCGGUUGGUGAAGGCAAGUGUCCCUUGACCCAUCUAUGUCCUAAUCAUUCUUAUUAUCCAUUCGCCGCAUUUACACAGUUUAUACCUAAGGAUUGACUAGGUUUUGUCUAUCUAGUCCUUGUUUACCUAUUCUGGUUGGGUUAUUAUGGUUUAGCUUUAUGCUAGUGCUUCACAUUAAUCAAUGAACAUGAUGAGAUUAUCUAUGAUACGCUAUUUUCCCUUUUGAUUAUGAUGAUGGUACUGUGACAAUUAAGGGGGCUCGAGCUAUUUCUCGAGUGCCUCUCCGUAAGGACUGGUUUGUUGGAUGACCGCCCGGGAAAACAGUGCAACCAUGAGGGUGGAGUGGGACGCCCUUAGCUGAGUAAUUAGAGGAACUAGGGUGUAGUUCGCUUCGCCGUCGUGCCGUUAAUGGGGCUCGGUGUAUGCGGCUCGCUCUGCCAAGGUUGGUUCGCCCCUUAGGGAGGAGUGCGGUGCAUUUAGGAAACCUAAUGGGCGGCUAUAGCCCCAGGGAAUCUUUGUAAAGGCUACAUAGUGAGACCCUGCCUAUUCACCUUGGUAGUGAUUAAGGGUUUGAUCGACCCAAGGCAAGAGGGAAUCAUGGCUUGUGGGUAAAGUGUGCAACCUCUGCAGAGUGUUAUGAAACUGAUAUAUCAGUUGUGCUCGUGGUUAUGAGCGGCCAAGGGAGCUCCAACGAUUAGAGAUACUUGAUUAGAGAUACUUGAUCAGAGAUGUAUGGUUUACAGGUGGUGACGAGGAUGAUGGUUUUGGUUAUGCCUAUGGUAAUGGUAAGUGGUAUUCUUUCUGUUUGGAAAGGGUACAUUGGGUUAAUAACUUGGGUUGAUACUAAAACCUGGCUUUCUACUAGUAAUAAUAACCUGACCAACUAAAAGCAACUGUUUGACUUAACUCCACAUAAAGCUAGUCCACUACAGCCAAACGGGACAUUUUGCUGAGUAUGUUGAUGUGUAGUCACCCUUGCUUUACACACCAAACCCCCUAGGUUGUCUGCAUUGCAACCACUGCUCAGGUGAAGAUGAAGCCGUGGAGGAGGACUUCCAGGAGUUUCAAGAGUACGAUGAGUUCUAGGCGUGGGUUAGCGGCAAACCCCUAGUCGGCUGCCUGUGUAGGCCGUGUGUAUCUAUGUUUCUUUUCCGCACUUUGAUUAUGGUUAAAGACUAUGUGGAUGUCUCAGAUAUCAUGAUGUAAUCGACUAUUAUACCCUCUUUUAUGUCAUUAUUUUAGCAUUGUGUAAUGAUGUCCAGUUAUGUAACUGUUGUGUACGUGAAUUGCUGAUCCUGGCAUGUACAUGGUUCGCAUUCGGUUUGCCUUCUAAAACCGGGUGUGACAGUACCCUAACCAUGUUUAUAAACUCUCAAAGGCGCUUUAUGGGCUUAAGCAAGCCCCAAGAGCAUGGUAUGAAUGCCUGCGAGAUUUUCUUAUCACUAAUGGAUUCAAAGUCGGCAAAGCCGAUCCUACUCUCUUUACUAAAACUAUUGCAAAAGAUUUGUUUGUAUGCCAAAUUUAUGUUGAUGAUAUCAUAUUUGGGUCUAUUGACAAAUCUACUUGUAAAGAGUUUAGUAGGAUCAUGAUUCAGAAAUUCGAGAUGUCUAUGAUGGGGGAGUUGAAGUAUUUCCUAGGAUUUCAAGUCAAGCAACUCCAAGAGGGCACCUUCAUCAGCCAAACAAAGUACAUUCAAGACAUAAUUACCAAGUUUGGAAUGAAGGAUGCCAAGCCCAUCAAGACACCCAUGGGAACAAAUAGGCAUCUCGACCUCGACACGGGAGGUAAAUCCGUAGAUCAAAAGGUAUACCGGUCGAUGAUAGGAUCUUUACUCUAUUUAUGUGCAUCUCGACCGGAUAUUAUGCUUUCCGUAUGCAUGUGUGCUAGGUUCCAAGCCGAUCCUAAGGAAAAUCACCUUAGGGCCGUGAAAAGAAUCAUGAGAUAUUUAAUUUACACUCCUAAGUUUGGUCUUUGGUACCCCAAGGGAUCCACAUUUGAUUUAAUAGGAUAUUCCGAUGCCGAUUGGGCAGGGUGUAAGAUUGAUAGGAAGAGCACAUCAGGGACUUGUCAGUUUCUGGGAAGAUCCCUGGUGUCUUGGGCUUCAAAGAAACAAAACUCAGUAGCUCUUUCCACUGCCGAAGCCGAGUAUAUUGCCACAGGCCAUUGUUGUGCGCAAUUACUUUGGAUGAGGCAAACCCUCACGGACUAUGGCUACAAAUUGAGCAAAGUCCCUCUCCAUGUGACAAUGAGAGUGCAAUCCACAUGGCGGAUAAUCCCGUUGAACACAGCCGCACUAAGCACAUAGACAUUCGGUAUCACUUUUUGAGGGAUCACCAACAAAGGGGGAUAUCGAGGUUGCUUAUGUUAGCACAAAGAACAAUUAAUCGAUAUCUUUACCAAGCCAUUAGAUGAGAAAACCUUUAGCAAACUUAGGAAUGAGCAAAACAUUCUUGAUUCUCGGAAUUUUGAUUGAAGCAUUGCACAUAUAGCUCAUUUAUAUACCUUUGAUCAUAUCUCUUUCAUGUUGGUACAAAUGCAUAUUUCUUAUGUACCAAGGCUAUGACUAUGUGUUUCCAAGUACAUUUCUAUACUAAGUCAUAAAUUGAAAGGGAAAUGGAGUACUCGACGAAGACAAGGCUUCCACUCCACUCUACUGGUAUUUUUAUCCUUCGUCGUCACUCCCCAUCACUCUCCAAAUGGUAUAAUCUCUCACUCAUAUUUACUUGUACCAAUGGGAGAGAAAGUAAAAAGAGGGUUCUCAAAGUCUCCGUUUUUGGCGAUUAAUGCCAAAGGGGGAGAAAGUAUUCGCCCAAAGCAAAAGGACCGCACCACCAACUUCAAAAUUUUAAUUUAUUUACAAAAGUUUGUUUUCCAAUUGGUAUCUUGUGAUAAGCAAUUUCUUCAAUUGGUAUGAUAUUUUCAAUUGGUAUAUUUAAGGAUAGAUUUUCAAAAUUGGCAUACUUCCAAUUGGUAUCUAUCAAAACCCUCUUGAAAGCUAAGAGGAGAAUUUCAUUGGGGGGAGUUUGGUUUAAGUCAAAGGAAAAGCAUUUGAAAAAGGGGGAGAAAAUUUCAAAUCUUGAAAAUGCCUCUUGCAGUCUUACUCAUAUACCUUUGACUAUUUGCAAAAGACUUUGAAAAAGAUUUUCCAAAAAGAUUUGCAAAAACAAAACAUGUGGUGCAAAUGUGGUCCAAAAUGUUAAAUAAAAGAAAGCAAUCCAUGCAUAUCUAAUGAAAUUAUAAAUUGGUUUAAUUCUAAGCAACAUAUUCACUUACCUUAUGCAAACUAAUUCAUUUCUGCACUUAUAUAUUUGCUUUGGUUUGUGUUGGCAUCAAUCACCAAAAAGGGGGAGACUGAAAGGGAAAUAGGGGUUAACCUUUUUCCUAUAAAUAAUUUUGGUGGUUGAAUGUCCAACACAAAUAAUGGACUAACUAGUUUGCUCUAGAAUAUAUGUUCUACAUGUGCAUAAAGGUUCAACACAAACAAAUAAAAGACUGAAGAAACGGUUCAAAAACAAAGGAGCAAAGAAACCGAGUGUGCCCUGGUCUGGCGCACCGGACAGUGUCCGGUGCACCAGGACUGUACAGCGCCCAACUCUCCACUCUUGGGUUUCUCAGGGCGCGCUCCGUUAUAAUUCACUGGACUGUCCGGUGUGGCACCGGACUGUCGGUGCACCAGCGGAGCAACGGCUACUCGCGCAACGGUCGACUACAAAAGCCACGCUGACCGCUGAACAGUGAAGAACAGUGCACGCAAAGUCAGAGCGCAGAAGUCAGAGGCGCACCGGAUAGUGAACAGUACCUGUCCGGUGCAGCACCGGACUGUCCAGUGCCACUAGAAGACAAAGCCUCCAACGCUCACAAGCUCCCGAAACCUAACGGUUGGGUGACAUGGCUGGUGCACCAGACUGCCCGGUGCGCCAAUCAGUAGCCUGCCCCAACGGUUGUUUGGUGGUUGAGGGCUAUAAAUACCCCCAACCACCACCACUCCAACCACCCAAGCAUUCCUCACAUUGCAUUCAAUACAAGAGCAAUAGACUUCACUCCAAGACACAAAUCGAAGUGAUCGAUCCACUCAAAGUCCCAAAUUUAACUCUAGCACAUUAGGGCUUGUGAGAGGAUCACUUGUGUUUCUUGUUGCUCUUGUUUUGCUUGGUUGGCUUUCUUUUCUUUUCCUUGUUACUCUCAAGUGCUUUGUAAGCAAGGCAAGAGACACCAAUUGUGUGGUGGUCCUUGCGGGGUCUAAGUGACCUGUGAGAAGUAAAGAAGAAAGCUCACUCGGUCUAGGUGACCGUUUGAGAGAGGGAAAGGGUUGAAAGAGACCCGGUCUUUGUGACCACCUCAACGGGGACUAGGUUCCUUAGAACCAAACCUCGGUAAAACAAAUCACCGUGUUCAUCCGCUUUACUUCUUGGUUGAUUUGUUUUCCCCUCUCUCUCGGACUCGAAUUCAUUUCUAACGCUAACCCCGUCUUGUAGUGUGUGCUUAAGUUUAUAAUUUUCAGAUUCCACCUAUUCACCCCCCUCUAGGCGACUUUCAAGCUUGCCAUCAGAUCAGGAUGUACAUGGUCUUGUACAUAAUUUUUAUCUUGGAUUCAAGAUCCAUUUACUGAGGCCUGGAGCCUCAAAUUCCGGCCAUGUUCAGCACAUGUUCCAUCCUCGCCACCCAGCAUGCUGGCUAAGCCGCGCGCGUCUCGACCCCUUUCGGUGUUGGUUCCAACUCCCAUGCCGAGCUCUGGAUAACCUUUCGGUGUUGGCUAAGCCGCGUGGCUACCGGCACCGCCUCCGCCGUCUCCGCCGACAUCGCCGCCUCAAUCCCGCCCCGACCCGUGAGUGUGGCCAUCCGUUUUACUUUCUUUGUUUAUGCUGGUUAGCCAUGUUAGGGCCGUACACGCAUCAAUCUUGGCGGCGUACAUUGGUUUAGCCAUUUAGGGAAGGUUGUUGAUUCGAUUGCGUUUUUGUGUCAUUUAUCAUUUUUCUCUAUUGAUUGCCCUUUACUUGGGUAAAUUACUGUGGAAAUUUACAAAUUAUAUUAGAGGAAACUGUCAUAUUAACUGUACAAAUUGAGUGCUGCCACCUGUUAAUAAGCUGUAUAUUUCUGUUAUGUUGUGAUCUCAGGAGAGCAAUGGAGCGCUAGGGGUUCACCAGCAGCAGAAGAGGCUGCUCUUAGUGCUUAGCGCCCAUGGUUGCAGGAACCAGCAAUGUUGUGUCCCUCAAGCUGAUGGGUGGUGCCCUUAUUGGGAGAUGCUAUGAAUCGUGUGCGGCAGCAGUUGACUCCACGGACCCGCCAGCUGAGAAGCAUGAGUACCAGGCUGAGGUACUUGUGGGGUGAAUUGGUCUAACUCUGUGUUAUCUUCUUCUGUGGUUUGGUUAUAAGAUGUCAUGGUGUUUUCGCAAUGUUCUAUGUAGGUCAACAGGCUCAUGGAUUUGAUCGUACAUAGCUUGUAUAGUAACAAGGAAGUUUUCCUUCGAGAACUGGUCAGGUGGGUCACAGUUACGCACACAAUAUUUUUUUCAGUUAAUGUAGCUUCUUUAUAGAGACUCCGGGUUCCUUGUUAAUGUAUUUGGUUGAAACUUGUGAAAUGCUAUGUAAUGAUUGUAUCACAUUUUUUAUUUUAAUCCCUAAAUUAGUUUGCUGUUUCAUUUCCUCUUCAUCUGCUUCUGCACUGUUCUUCCUCUUGCUUCAUAUGUCAUGUGCUGACCAACUGUUUUGUGGCUUCAUCUGCUUAUGCACAAUUCUCUUUUUUGUUUUCAUUAGAUGUGUGGUAACGGGUUCUGUUGCAUUGCUCGGUUUAUGGAAGAACAUGAAAAUAUGUUGGGGACAAUUAGGUAAUGCAUUGCAGCAUGAUUGUAAAACAAUUAAAAUGAUUUACACAAAAAUUGCACUUGAGGCCUUGCUAUUCUCUGCCUAAUUUGGUUUUGUGGGGAAUCUGAGUCUAAUAUUUCUUUUCGGGCUUCUUUCGGGUUAGUACGUUUUCUAAUAUGGGGGUUGCAGGUCCCACUCUAUAACUCUACUAUGUACACAACUUUGGAGAAACUUCAAUACUAUUUGUUGCAAUUGUUAUGGACAUCCAUAAGUUUAGCUCAUUGUUCCAUUUUCUUAGAAGAAUCAGAUAGGAGGUUCUGAUUUAAAUUAGUAAUAAGAGUAGCAUAUCUGAAGUUUGUUUUUUUAGAAUAAUCCAAUAUGUGGUUAUGGUAAUACUAUGUCCAUAUGCUGAUCCUGACUGAUGUUGUUGUGAUGCUAACAGGUAUGACUCUGGUGAAACCGGUGGGUUGUUACUCAUUUGUAUUUUAUUCCGGAAUGACCAUUCUUUUGAUGGCAAUGUCUUUGUUAGCUUGUAGCUUGCACAUGCUGCAUGAUGCUUUUCAGCUACUUUCAGCUAAUUUAUGCAACUUGGGCUACUUCCAUUUUUAUGCGGUGUGUUCACUUGUAGAAAUCUGGUCUGGAAAAAAGAGGUACCAAUCCAAUUGUCGGCGUUUCGAACCCAGGGGGUCCCUAGACCGACGAGUAAAAAUUGUCGCUGCGUGUCCCAGCCCAGAUGGGUCGGCGCGAGAUGGAACACAAGGGGGGGAGAACCGCAGCUCGUGUUAUCCUGCACCCAGGGCGGAUGCGCUUGCAGUAGGGGUUACAAGCGUUCGCGAGGGAGAGAGAGAGCCUAUUCGUCGGCCCGUCCUCCCGCGCGACCACCCUCUCGUAUGAGGGCCCUGGACCUUCCUUUUAUAGACGCAAGGAGAGGGUCCAGGUGUAUAAUGGGGGUGUAGCAAUAUGCUAACGCGUCCGGCAGAGAGGAGCCAGAGCCCUAUGUACAUGCCAACGUGGCUGUCGGAGAGGUGCUAGAGCCCUGUGCAUGCGGUGUCGUGGCCGUCGGAGGAGCGCUUGAGCCCUGUAGAAGCACAGCUGUCGGGGCUGCCCGGACCUUGCUGACAUCUCCUUGCUUCCGUAGGGGGCUGAGAAACUGUCAUCGUCUUGGAUGCACGCGGGGUGCCAUCAUUACUUGUUUACAGGGGCGAGCCAGAUGGGACGCCGGUCUUGUUCCCCGUAGCCUGAGCUAGCUAGGGGUAGGGUAAUGAUGUACCCCCUGUGGCGUGGUCGGUCCGAGCCCAAGGUCGGGUGAGGCGAAGACUCCUCCUGAGGCCGAGGCCGGGGUGGGGUGAGGACGCGAUUCCUUCUGAGGUCGAGGUUGAGGCUGAGCCCUGGGGUCGGGCGAGGUGGAGACCAUCCUCCGAGGUCGAGGUUGAGGCCGAGCCCUGGGGUCGGGCGAGGCGGAGACCACCUUCCGAGGCCGAGGCGGGGGCCGAGCCCUGAGGUCGAGCGAGGCGGAGCUUCCUGUUGCGCCUGAGGCUGGACUUAGCUGUUGUCAGCCUCACCCUUGCGGGUGGCACAUCAGUCGGAGCGGGGCAGGCGACGCUGUUUUCCUGUCAGGUCGGUCAGUGGAAGGGUGAAGUGACUGCGGUCAUUUCGGCCCUGCCGACUGAGGAACGUGCGUCAGGAUAAGGUGUCAGGCGAUCCUUGCAUUGAAUGCUCCUGUGAUACGGUCGGUUGGCGAGGCGAUCUGGCCAAGGUUGCUUCACUGCGAAACCUGCCCGAGCUGGGCCUCGGGCGAGUCGAGGGUGCGCCCGUUGCUUGAGGAGGCCCUCGGGCGAGGCGUGAAUUCGCCUGGGACUACUGUUCCUGCCUGAGGCUGGGCUCGGGCGAGGCGAGAUCGUGUCCCUUGAGUAGUCGGAGCCUUGGCCUUAAUUGCGCCCAUCAGUCUCUACAGCUUGUGCUGAUGGUGAUUACCAGCUGAGUUUAGGAGUGUUGGGGUACCCCUAAUUAGGGUACCCGAUAGUAGCCCCCGAGCCUCAAAGGGAGUGUUGGUACUCGCUUGGAGGCUUUGUCACACUUUUUUGCAAGGGGACCGGCCUUUCUUGGUUACAUUUUGUUCCGUUGGGUGCGCGCGAGCGCACCCGCCGGGUGUAGCCCCCGAGGCCUCGGAGGAGUUGUUUGACUCCUCUGAGGUCUUAAUGCCUUUUGCGAUGCCUUGGCCGGUCUGGUUGUUCCCUCAUGCGAUCUGAUGGUAGCCCGGGUGCAUGGUCGGGUUCCGAGUUUUCAGGCUGGUCUCUUGACGCUGUCAACAGUUUGGCCGUAGCCGGGUUUGCGAGAGCAGCCCCCGAGCCUCUGCAUGGAGCGAGAGGACGAUCAAGGACUGACUCGACUUUUAUCAUACACCCCUUCGUCACUUUUCGCAAGGAGGAGGGGGGAAGCGCCAUGUUGCCCUCGGAGGGCGCCGAACAUGGUGUCUCUAGCGAGUUGCUAACGGGUGAUCCGAGUGGACGCCCGUGCCCCAUUCGAUAAGGGUCGGCUAGUGGCCCAGAGGCGCGCUCCAAAAGUACCUGCAGGUGAUUUGCCGGACCCGGUCCCGUUUGAUAGGGUCCGAGGGCUCGAUGCCUCCCUCUGGUGGGAUUCCGUUACAAAAUCGCUCCUGCUGGUCUCGGAAAUGUCCUAGGGUACCUCGGGAGCGUAGCCCGAGCCUCGGCCAUGUAUUGGACGUACCCAGAGUCAUUCCUCGCUCUGCGUGCUCUGGGGCGGCUGUCAAACCCUUCGAGGGGCCAGCCUUCGAACCCCUGAUCAGUAGUGGGCGCAGAGCCCGAGUGCUUUGAGGCGGCUGUCGAACCCUUCCGAGGGGCCAGCCUUCGAACCUCUGAUCAGUAAUGAGCAUGAGGCCCGAAUGCUCUGGGGCGGCUGUCGAACCCUUCCGAGGGGCCAGCCUUCGAACCCCUGAUCAGUAGGAGGGCUCGGGGCCCGCUUCCUUCGUGGAGAAGGAUCCCUUUCGGAGUAUCCCCUUUCCCGGUCCCUGUAGCAAGAGAGACAAAGGGAAGAAGGAAAAGGAUAUGAAUUUAAAUGGCAUGGCGCACCUUUUUUGACGCGGUCAUCAUGGCGGAGGUGAAACAUCGCCCGCUUCGCCUGCCAAAGGCGUCGUUUGCCCUGCCGAGGAGUUAAUGCGACGGGACGGGCGAUCCGCGGGCCGGCCGUUGCGCGUGCGCGAGUCAUUCGAGGAAUGGGCAUUUCGCCUUCGAGUUUGAAUUUCGCGGCGGGUUCGGGCGAAGUGUUGAACGGAUCUUGCCCGGGCCUUUAUAUACUCGGAAGAGGGGCCGGCGGUGGUUCUUUACUCUGCUGCUCGCCUUCUGCUUUGGUUUCCGCAACCUAAGAGAAUAGCCAGAGAAAAGAAAACCGCGCACCUUGUUCCCUCCGCCUCCACUCCCUUCAUUUGGUGAUGGCCGACAGGGUGACCGUUGUUUCGCCGCGCGAUCCAUGGCCUCUCUCCACCGUUACGGUGGAUGAUCUGGAGGCCCUCGUCGCCGAUGGCUUGCUCCGUCCCCUCUCCGGUGACCCGCAGCCGGAGUGGGUGGUCCCUGCGAGCAUGGCCGUCCCGACUCUGCCUCCGGGGUAUGUGGUUAGUUUCGUCUCCUUCCACGAGCGGGGGUUCGGAGUGCCAGCGAGCCGUUUCAUGCGGGCGCUCCUGCAUUAUUACGGGGUGGAGCUGCACAACUUCAACCCCAACUCCAUUGCGCAAGCGACCAUCUUCGCGGCGGUUUGCGAGGGUUUUCUGGGGGUUGACCCCCACUGGGAUCUGUGGACCCAUCUCUUCUCCGCGGAGCUUUUCGUCUUGACGACGGGGGAAAAGAAGGUCCGCAUGGCGGUGCGGGCCGGUGGCUGCACCCUCCAGUUGAGGCAGGCGCGCGCGCAGCAGUACAUCCCCGCCAUCCUUGUGUCUUCGAACAAGGGGUGGCAGCGCCGGUGGUUUUACCUCCGGAAUGACGACAGAAGGCUUCUGUCGUUUUCUCAACGAGUGGUGACCGCCGCCGGCAGCAACUGGCGUUGGGGGGCCACGCCCGAGAGACAAGAGAAUCUCCAGCCUCUUUUGGAGGCCUUGCAGAGGUUGUGAGAUGCGGGGCUCACCGCUACGGGGGUAGUCGCCACCAUCCAUCGCCGGAGGGUGCUCCCUUUGGUUGAGCGGCGGUUGCCGCUCUCGGAGAUGAAGCCGGGGGUUGAUUUGGAGGGCUCGCAGAUGUCCUCGGCUCCCCUUUCCACCGAUGACCUCCGCAGACGGGUAGCGGGCACGGUAGGGAGGCUGGAUGCCGGCGCCCUUACCCAGCCCGUGAUGCGUCCCGAGUGUGGGUAUGUGUCCCUGGUGAGUGUCCGCUCCUUCUUCUACCUUGCGCCGGGUCACCUUUGAUUCUUACCGUCGAGAUUUCCGUUCGUCUCCAGGAGUUGGGGUUUUUCAAGCCCUCCCUGCCACCGGUCCCGGAGGACGCGGUGGACCGAGCCGCGCGGAGGGUCGCCGUGGAGAAGAAGAAGGAGAAGAAGGACGCGGAGAAGGCCCGGGCUCGCAAGCGGAUGCAGGCUCGGCACGCCUUGGAGAGGCGCCGUUGGAGGCAGGAGAGGGACGGGCUCCCGAGGGAGCCGUCGCCGGAGACGCUUGACGACGAUGAUGAUGAUGACGAGGACGACAACAUGGUGGCCCGCCUUGGCCUUAGCCCGGAUCUGAGGCUGGGCCAGGGGUCGUCGAGCCAGCCUCCAAGUGGGCUGGAGCCGUCGUCAUCUAGGGCCGGGCCAUCUAGGUCCCGGUCCGAGGAGCAGGGGCAGGCCGAGGGGGUACUUGACUCCUUGGCCGAGGUAGUUGAGGUGACCCCGGGGAGUCAGGCCGACCCGCCUGUCCCCCAAGAGCAGUCGCCCGUGCCGGCCGUACAGGAGGUUGAUCCUCAGGCCGUCGUGACUGCGCCUGGGCGGACCGUCCCUUCGGCGCUCUGGGCGCCCGAGGUGGGAACGGUGCCGAAGCCGGCAGCGGGGCAAACCUCGGCAGCGCCUGUGGGGACCGAGGCCCGAGGGGCCUCCACGCAGGCACGAUUGGCCUUGGUCUGGAGCGGGUAAGUAUCUGAGGAGACCUCUAUUUUGGCUCCUUCUUCGUGUGUCCUGAUCCCGCUUUAUCUUUUCCUCUUAGCAAACGGAGGCAAGGUUCGGCCGGUCUGGCUCCCCGGAAGGCCCUUAAGACGGUGCCGGCUUCUGCAGCCAGUGCUGCACCGCGCCACGCCGGUUGGCUGGCCUCCGCACAAGAUGCCCUCAAGCGGGGGGCCCUGGCGGCAUGAGUUGCCAUGGGGCAAGCUCCCCAGGCUGACCCCUCCAUCGAGGCGGCCAUCGUGCCGGGGGAGGCUGCUGGUGCGGCCGCGGCCUUGAGCCCACCUGACGUGUUGCCGGCGCCGGCACCAGCUCCUACCGAGGCCGUUGUUGUUUUGCUCGUGGAGCCACCCGUCGCCGCCGAUGCUGGGAUGGCUGAGGUGCCGCUGCUUGAGGUCGUCUCCGACCUUCCCAGUUUUGGCCAUAAGGAGGGGGCGGCCAUUGUUGUUGAGGUCGGUGAUCGGAAGCCCGCCUCCUUAGCUGAGGGGGUACCCGAUGCGUCGACUGCUGGGGGUCCCAACACCUUGGAGGAGGGGGCAUAGAACCGCGGCCCGUCUUGGGGAGCGGCGUCGUCAUCCCCGCGCGGCGCGAUCCCAAUGAGUGGCGUGGGCAGGCGCUCCGGUUCUGGACCCGCGGCGCCUCGAAACCCCUCUUCGUCCUCGACGAUGAGCGGGAGGAGCAGUCUCGGGAUGAGCUCCGUGAGUAUGCCGAGGCAGCGAUGGGGUCGCUUCGGUUGACCCUGGAGAUCAUUUCCAAGGAUGUUCCCAGGGUCCUCCAGGUAAGGAUUUCAGGCAUACCUUUCGCGUGACUAGGGCAUUCUUUGUGACACCCUGCUUCCCUUCCUCAGGAUCUAACGGAUCUGAGCACCGCCAAGUCGUUGUUCAUCCGCCGCGAGACCGACGUCUGGGGUUCGCUGCGGUUCCUAAGGGCCGCGCUUACCGAGGCUACCUAACGCCUCGCACAACGGAGCGCCGAGGCGGCGGACCUUCGGUUGCUCUGUGAUGAGCUAGAGGUGGAGGCAGCGGCGGCACGGGUAGAGGCGGCGUUGGCACGGACGGAGGCGCAGCAGCGGCAGCUAGAGCUUGGCCGGGUCAUCGGCGAGCGGGACCAACCUCGGAACCAGGCUGCCGAGGCUGUAGGUCGGGCUGAGGCCCUUGGGGGCCAGCUAGCCGAGGUGUCUGCUCGGGCCGGAGCCCUUGAGGAGGACCUGGCCGUGGCCAUCGGGUCUGCCCAGUCCGCCCAAGCCGCAGCCUCGAAGCAGCGUGCCCGAGCUGAAGGUAUGUUUUGGCCGCUUUGUGACUUCAAUUCAGCUUCAUUCUUCAACUCGUGUCUGAAGAAUUCUGUUUGGCUGUUUGCAGAGUUCGAGUCAGCUCUCAACGAGUCCGCCAAGGCACUUGCCCAGGUGGCUGAGCAGAAGGAGGUCGACCGUGUGGCCAUGUCCGAAGCUAUCUCGGCCUUCUGUCGGGUCUUUGGUAUUGACGACGUCCCCUCGGGAAGCUCCCCCUAGAGUCGUCUACGGGCCUUUGGUGGCCAUGUGCGCGGCAGACUCCGCGAGGCGCUGCAUCACGGCGUUAGGCGAGCCUUCGCCGUGCUCGCUUCCCACUACGACGUGGACCUAGAGCGGGUCAGCGAGGGGUACUGUCUACCCGACGAAGAUGAAGCUAACUUAGCCGAGGUUCAGAGGCUUGACGCGGUCGUCGUGGGCCCAAGUGUGGUGCUGGCGUCCUCCUUCGAGGUGGAGAUCCUUCGCUCACGUCACCGUCCGAGGCCGGGGCGGAUCUCGCCGAGGGUGGAGACGACGCUGAGGGUGGAGACGAAUCCGAGGGUGCCUCACCUCCCCCGGGCGAUGCCUGAUUCUGCCGGAGCGGUUUGUUUGGAACAUGCAUGUGUCUUUCAUGGCCGCCGAGGCCUAAACACUUUGUCGUCGUGUUAUAAAGUUGCGUUUCUUUUCCCCUUGUUUCGAGUAUCCAGACUUGUUUGUCAGUAGCAGAAUCGCUUAUCCGAGUAAGAGUUACUUUUCGCGGAAGGUGACUAGUGAGGUAUCCGUAUCCCGGAGGCGUAGGAGUCCCUCGGCUCGGUCGGCCUUGCCGCUUACGUGUGUUCUUACUCGUUUUGAAGAAUUCUGAUAUCGAUAUAGUCGGAAAGUACGAAAGUCGUUUUGGUGGAAAAGUUUUUCUAAGGAAAAUUUUGACGCAGAGGGGGUUCCCCCCUUCUAGCCCCCGAGGGAGGGUCAGGCUUUGCCGAGGCAAGGCUGACCCUUCCUUGACGGUUAAACUCUAUUUGUGUACGUAUAGAGAACGAGGUAUAUGAACAAAUUGAAAACAUCUUAAGGGUAAAAGCGACAUAGCUGUCAGAUGUUCCAAGCGUUGCUGUAGACCUCGCCUUGACUGUUGGCCAGCUUGUAUGUUCUGGGCUUCAAAAUCUUGGCGAUGAUGAAUGACCCUUCCCAAGGAGGAGUGAGCUUGUGGCGCCCUCGGGCGUCUUGCCGCAGCCGAAGUACCAAGUCUCCCCCCUGGAGGUCUCGGGGCUGAACCCCUCGGGCGUUGUAGCGUCGCAGAGACUGCUGAUACCAUGCCGAGUGUAGUAAGGCCAUGUCCCAAGCCUCUUCCAGCUGGUCCAGUGAGUCUUCUCGGCUGGUCUGGUUGCUUCGGUCGUCGUACGCCUUCGUCCUCGGGGAACCGUAUUCUAAGUCUGUGGGCAGGAUAGCCUCGGCCCCAUAGACUAGAAAGAACGGCAAAAAGCCCGUGGCUCGGCUUGGCGUCGUCCUCAGACUCCAGACCACCGAGGGUAGUUCCUUCAUCCAUCGCUUGCCGAACUUGUUGAGGUCAUUGUAGAUCCUUGGUUUUAGUCCCUGCAGAAGCAUACCGUUGGCACGCUCUACCUGCCCAUUCGUCAUGGGGUGAGCUACGGCGGCCCAGUCCACACGGAUGUGGUGGUCCUCGUAGAAGUCCAGGAACUUCUCGCCAGUGAACUGGGUGCCAUUCUCGGUGAUGAUGGAGUUCGGGACCCCAAAGCGAUGGAUGAUGUUGGUGAAGAAUGCCACCACCUGCUCGGACCGGAUGCUAGUUAGGGGUCGGACCUCGAUCCACUUGGAGAAUUUGUCGAUGGCGACCAGCAGGUGCGUGAAGCCCCCGGGUGCCUUCUGCAAGGGACCAACGAGGUCCAGACCCCACACAACAAACGGCCAGGUGAUGGGUAUUGUUUGCAGGGCCUGAGCGGGCAGGUGCGUCUGCCUUGCGUAGAAUUGACACCCUUGGCAGGAGCGUACAAUCCUAGUGGCGUCAGCCACCGCGGUCGGCCAGUAGAAACCUUGUCGGAAGGUGUUCCCAACGAGGGCUCGAGGUGCUGCGUGGUGACCGCAAGCCCCCAAGUGUAUUUCUUGCAAUAGCUUCUGACCUUCGGCGAUGGAUAUGCAUCGUUGGAGGAUGCCUGAGGGGCUGCGGUGGUAGAGCUCCUUUUCGUCACCCAGUAAGACGAACGACUUGGCGCGCCGCUCCAGUCGCCGAGCUUCGGCUUUAUCGAGGGGUAGCUCUCCUCGGUGGAGAUAUUGCAGGUACAGGGUCUACCAGUUUCGAUUAGGCGUGACCCCAUUCCGCUCUUCCUCGACGUGCAGUGCCUCACCCUCGACGGCUGAGGAUGCCUCGGGCUGGGCCGAGGCCUCCUCGGGCUCGACCGACGCUUCCUCGGGCUCGGGCGUGUCGUCGGUCUUGACGGAGGGUUGAUGUAUGUCUCGGGAAAAGACGUCCGGGGAACCGUUGUCCGCCCCGAGGCUAUUUUAGCCAGCUCAUCCGCAGUCUCGUUGUACCAUCGAGCGACGUGGUUGAGCUCGAGCCCGUAGAACUAGUCUUCCAGGCGCCGAACCUCGUCGCAGUAGGCCUCCAUCUUCGGGUCGUGGCAGUGGGAGUUCUUCAUGACUUGGUCAAUGACAAGCUGCGAGUCGCCACGAGCGUCAAGGCGCUGAACCCCUAGCUCGAUGGCAAUGCGCAACCCGUUAACCAGAGCCUCGUACUCGGCCACGUUGUUUGACGCCGGGAAAUGGAGGCGCAACACGUAGCGGAGGUGCUUCCCGAGGGGUGAGAUGAAGAGCAGGCCCGCACCUGCUCCUGUUUUUAAGAGCGACCCAUCGAAAUACAUGGUCCAGAGUUCCGGUUGGAUCGGAGCUGUUGGUAGCUGGGUGUCGACCCAUUCAGCCAUGAAGUCGCCAAGACUUGGGACUUGAUGGCCUUCCGAGGAGCGAACGAGAUUGCCUCGCCCAUGAUCUCCAAUGCGCACUUUGCUAUCCUACCCGAGGCCUCUCGGCACUGGAUGAUCUCCCCAGGGGGAAGGAUGACACCACAGUCACCGGAUGAGACUCGAAGUAGUGUCGCAACUUUCGUCGCGUCAGAAUUACCGCGUACAGUAGCUUCUGAAUUUGCGGGUAGCGGAUCUUGGUCUCGGAUAGCACUUCACUGAUGAAGUAGACCGGCCUCUAGACGAGCAAUGUGAAAGUCGCCUAGAGGGGGGGUGAAUAGGGCGAAACUGAAAUUCUCAAAAAUAAUCACAACUACGAGCCGGGUUAGCGUUAGAAAUAUAAUAGAGUCCGCGAGAGAGGGUGCAAAACAAAUCGCAAGCGGAUAAUAAAGCGAGACACGCAGAUUUGUUUUACCGAGGUUCGGUUCUCUCAAACCUACUCCCCGUUGAGGAGGCCACAAAGGCCGGGUCUCUUUCAACCCUUACCCUCUCUCAAACGGUCCCUCGGACCGAGUGAGCUUCUCUUCUCAAAUCACUUGGGAAUCAAACUUCCCGCAAGGACCACCACACAAUUGGUGUCUCUUGCCUCAAUUACAAGUGAGUGUUUGAUCAUAAGAAAGAAUGCCAAAGAAAAGAAGCGGUCCAAGCGCAAGAGCUCAAAUGAACACUACAAAUCACUCUCUCUAGUCACUAAGGCUUUGUGUGGAGUUGGGAGAGGAUUUGAUCUCUUUUGGUGUGCUUUGUAAUGAAUGCUAGCUCUUGUAUAGUGGUUGGAAGCUGGAAAACUUGGAUACAAUGAAUGGUGGGGUGGUUGGGGUAUUUAUAGCCCCAACCACCAAACUAGCCGUUUGGUGGGGCUGUCUGUCGCAUGGUGCACCGGACAGUCCGGUGCACACCGGACAUGUCCGGUGCGCCAGCCACGUCACCAAAGCCGUUGGGUUCUGACCGUUGGAGUUCUGACUUCUGGGCCCGCCUGGAUGUCCGGUGGCGCACCGGACAUGUACUGUAGAGUGUCCGGUGCGCCAGCAUGGGCGUGCCUGACGCCUGCGUGCUCUGGCGCGCAUUAAUUGCUGUUGCAGGCGACCGUUGGCGCGAAGUAGUUGUUGCUCCGCAGUUGCACCGGACAGUCCGGUGUACACCGGACAUGUCCGGUGAAUUAUAGCGGAGCAGCCGUUAUGAUUUCCCGAGGCUGCCAAGUUCCGGAGCCGCGUCUUCUUGGAGCACCGGACACUGUCCGGUGUACACCGGACAGUCCGGUGAAUUAUAGCGCGCCGGCUUCUGAAAAUUCCCGAGGCUGAGGAGUUCUGUGCGAGGUCCCUUGGUGCACCGGACACUGUCCGGUGCGCCACCGGACAGUCCGAUGCGCCAGACCAGGGAGCCUUUCGGGAUGCCUUUAGCUCUCUAUUUUGAACCCAACUUUGGUCUUUUUAAUUGGCUUGUUGUGAACCUUUGACACCUGUAUAACUUAGACACUAGAGCAAACUAGUUAGUCCAAUUAUUUGUGUUGGGCAAUUCAACCACCAAAAUUAUUUAGGAACUAGGUGUAAGCCUAAUUCCCUUUCAAUCUCCCCCUUUUUGGUGAUUGAUGCCAACACAAACCAAAGCAAAUAUAGAAGUGCAUAAUUGAACUAGUUUGCAUAAUGUAAAUGCAAAGGUUGCUUGGAAUUGAGCCAAUAUGAAUACUUACAAGAUAUGCAUGGAUUGUUUCUUUGUCUUUAACAUUUUGGACCACGCUUGCACCACAUGUUUUGUUUUUGCAAACUCUUUUGUAAAUCCUUUACAAAGUUCUUUUGCAAAUAGUCAAAGAUGAAUGAAUAAGAUUUUGCAAAGCAUUUUCAAGAUUUGAAAUUUUCUCCCCCUGUUUCAAAUGCUUUUCCUUUGACUAAACAAAACUCCCCCUAAAUGAGAUCCUCCUCUUAGUGUUCAAGAGGGUUUUGAUAUAUUAUUUUUGAAAUACUACUUUCUCCCCCUUUUUACCACAAUAAGAUACCAAUUUGAAAUUUACCAAUUGAAAAUCUCUCCAAUUUUAAAAUAGGUGGUGGUGCGGUCCUUUUGCUUUGGACUCAUACUUUCUCCCCCUUUGGCAUGAAUCGCCAAAAACGGAAUCAUUAGAGCCCUCGAAGUACUUUCUUCCCCUUUGGUCAUAAAUAAAUGAGUUAAGAUUAUACCAAAGACGAAGUCCUUUUGCUCUCUCCCCCAAAGAUGGAGAGUGACACGGAGCGACGGCGAAGGAUGAGUUACGGAGUGGAAGCCUUUGUCUUCGCCGAACACUCCAAUUCCCUUUCAAUAUACCUAUGACUUGGUUUGAAAUAGACUUGAAAAGCACAUUAGUCAUAGCAUAUGAAAGAGACAUGAUCAAAGGUAUACAAAUGAGCUAUGUGUGCAAGUUAGCAAAAGAAAUUGCGCGAAUCAAGAAUAUUGAGCUCAUGCCUAAGUUUGUUAAAAGUUUGUUCAUCAAGUGGCUUGGUAAAGAUAUCGGCUAAUUGAUCUUUAGUGUUAAUGUAAGAAAUCUCGAUAUCUCCCUUUUGUUGGUGAUCCCUAAGAAAAUGAUACCGAAUGGCUAUGUGUUUAGUGCGGCUAUGCUCGACGGGAUUAUCCGCCAUUUUGAUUGCACUCUCAUUGUCACAUAGCAAAGGGACUUCGGUUAAUUUGUAACCGUAGUCCCGCAGGGUUUGCCUCAUCCAAAGCAAUUGCGCGCAACAAUGGCCUGCGGCAAUGUACUCGGCUUCGGCGGUGGAAAGAGCGACCGAAUUUUGCUUCUUUGAAGCCCAAGACACCAAGGAUCUUCCCAAGAACUGGCAAGUCCCCGAUGUGAUCUUUCUAUUGAUUUUACACCCCGCCCAAUCGGCAUCCGAAUAACCAAUCAAAUCAAAUGUGGAUCCCCUAGGAUACCAAAGCCCAAACUUAGGAGUGUAAGCCAAAUAUCUCAAGAUUCGUUUUACGGCCGUAAGGUGAGCUUCCUUAGGGUCGUCUUGGAAUCUUGCACACAUGCAUACGGAAAGCAUAAUAUCCGGUCGAGAUGCACAUAGAUAUAGCAAAGAACCUAUCAUCGACCGAUAUACCUUUUGAUCCACGGACUUACCUCCCGUGUCGAGGUCGAGAUGCCCAUUAGUUCCCAUGGGUGUCUUGAUGGGCUUGGCAUCCUUCAUCCCAAACUUGUUUAGAAUGUCUUGAGUAUACUUCGUUUGGCUAAUGAAGGUGCCCUCUUGGAGUUGCUUGACUUGGAAUCCUAGAAAGUACUUCAACUCCCCCAUCAUAGACAUCUCGAAUUUCUGUGUCAUGAUCCUACUAAAUUCUCCACAUGUAGAUUCGUUAGUAGACCCAAAUAUGAUAUCAUCAACAUAAAUUUGGCAUACAAACAAAUCAUUGUCAAGAGUUUUAGUGAAUAAAGUAGGAUCGGCCUUGCCGACUUUGAAGCCAUUUGCAAUAAGGAAAUCUCUAAGGCAUUCAUACCAUGCUCUUGGGGCUUGCUUGAGCCCAUAAAGCGCCUUAGAGAGCUUAUAGACAUGGUUAGGAUACUCACUGUCUUCAAAGCCGGGAGGUUGCUCAACAUAGACUUCUUCCUUGAUUGGUCCAUUGAGGAAGGCACUCUUCACGUCCAUUUGAUAAAGCUUGAAGCCAUGGUAAGUAGCAUAGGCCAAUAAUAUACGAAUCGACUCAAGCCUAGCUACGGGUGCAUAGGUUUCACCAAAAUCCAAACCUUCGACUUGUGAAUACCCCUUGGCCACGAGUCGAGCUUUGUUCCUUGUCACCACACCAUGCUCAUCUUGCUUGUUGCGGAAUACCCACUUGGUUCCUACAACAUUUUGGUUAGGACGUGGAACUAAAUGCCAUACCUCAUUCCUAGUGAAGUUGUUGAGCUCCUCUUGCAUCGCCACCACCCAAUCCGAAUCUUGUAGUGCUUCCUCUACCCUGUGUGGCUCAAUAGAGGAAACAAAAGAGUAAUGCUCACAAAAAUGUGCAACACGAGAUCUAGUGGUUACCCCCUUAUGAAUGUCGCCUAGGAUGGUGUCGACGGGGUGAUCUCGUUGGAUUGCUUGGUGAACUCUUGGGUGUGGCGGUCUUGGUUGUUCAUCCUCCUUGUCUUCAUCAUUUGCAUCUCUCCCUUGAUCAUUGCCGUCAUCUUGAGGUGGCUCAUCUCUUGGAUCUUCUCCUUCAUCAACUUGAGCCUUGUCCUCAUUUUGGGUUGGUGGAGAUGCUUGAGUGGAGGAGGAGGGUUGAUCUUGUGCAUGUGGAGGCUCUUCGGAUUCCUUAGGACACACAUCCCCAAUGGACAUGUUCCUUAGCGCUAUGCAUGGAGCCUGUUCUUCACCUAUCUCAUCAAGAUCAACUUGCUCUACUUGAGAGCCGUUAGUCUCAUCAAACACAACGUCACAAGAAACUUCAACAAGUCCUGAGGACUUGUUAAAGACUCUAUAUGCCCUUGUGUUUGAGUCAUAUCCUAGUAAAAAGCCUUCUACAGUUUUAGGAGCAAAUUUAGAUUUUCUACCUCUUUUGACAAGAAUAAAACAUUUGCUACCAAAAACUCUAAAAUAUGAAAUAUUUGGCUUUUUACCGGUUAGGAGUUCAUAGGAUGUCUUCUUGAGGAUUCGGUGUAGAUAUAACCGGUUGAUGGCGUAGCAGGCGGUGUUGACCGCCUCGGCCCAAAACCGAUCUGGUGUCUUGUACUCAUCAAGCAUGGUUCUUGCCAUGUCCAAUAGAGUUCGAUUCUUCCUCUCCACUACACCAUUUUGUUGUGGGGUGUAGGGAGAAGAGAACUCAUGCUUGAUGCCCUCCUCCUCAAGGAAGCCUUCUAUUUGUGAGUUCUUGAACUCCGUUCCGUUGUCGCUUCUAAUUUUCUUGAUCCUUAAGCCGAACUCAUUUUGAGCUCGUCUCAAGAAUCCCUUUAAGGUUUCUUGGGUAUGAGAUUUUUCCUGCAAAAAGAACACCCAAGUGAAGCGAGAAUAAUCAUCCACUAUUACAAGACAAUACUUACUCCCGCCGAUGCUUAUGUAAGCAAUCGGGCCGAAUAGAUCCAUGUGGAGUAGCUCAAGCGGCCUGUCGGUCGUCAUGAUGUUCUUGUGUGGAUGAUGGGUUCCAACCUGCUUUCCUGCUUGGCAUGCGCUACAAACCCUGUCUUUUUCAAAAUGAACAUUGGUUAAUCCUAAAAUGUGCUCUCCCUUUAGAAGCUUAUGAAGAUUCUUCAUCCCAACGUGGGCUAGUUGGCGAUGCCAGAGCCAACCCAUGUUAGUCUUAGCAAUUAAGCAUGUGUCGAGUUCAGCUCUAUCAAAAUCUACCAAGUAUAGCUGACCCUCUAACACACCCUUAAAUGCUAUUGAAUCAUCACUUCUUCUAAAGACAGUGACACCUACAUCAGUAAAGAGACAGUUGUAGCCCAUUUGACAUAAUUGAGAUACAGAAAGCAAAUUGUAAUCUAAAGAAUCUACAAGAAAAACAUUGGAAAUAGUAUGGUCAGGUGAUAUAGCAAUUUUACCCAAUCCUUUGACCAAACCUUGAUUUCCAUCCCCGAAUGUGAUAGCUCGUUGGGGAUCUUGGUUUUUCUCAUAUGAGGAGAACAUCUUCUUCUCCCCUGUCAUGUGGUUUGUGCACCCGCUGUCGAGUAUCCAACUUGAGCCCCCGGAUGCAUAAACCUACAAAACAAUUUUAGUUCUUGAUUUUAGGUACCCAAACGGUUUUGGGUCCUUUGGCAUUAGAAACAAGAACUUUGGGUACCCAAACACAAGUCUUUGAGCCCUUGUGUUUGCCCCCAACAAACUUGGCAACUACCUUGCCGGAUUUGUUAGUCAAAACAUAUGAUGCAUCAAAAGUUUUGAAUGAAAUGUCAUGAUCAUUUGAUGCAUUAGGAGUUCUCCUUUUAGGCAAUUUAGCACGGGUUGGUUGCCUAGAGCUAGAUGUCUCACCCUUAUACAUAAAUGCAAGAUUAGGGCCAGAGUGAGACUUCCUAGAAUGAAUUCUCCUAAUCUUGCUCUUGGGAUAACCGCAGGGUAUAAAAUGUAACCCUCGUUAUCCUGAGGCAUGGGAGCCUUGCCCUUAACAAAGUUUGACAAUUUCUUAGGAGGGGCAUUAAUUUUGACAUUGUCUCCCCUUUGGAAGCCAAUGUCGUCCUUAAUGCCAGGGCGUCUCCCACUAUAGAGCAUACUUCUAGCAAAUUUAAAUUUUUCAUUUUCUAAGUUAUGCUCGGCAAUUUUAGCAUCUAAUUUUUCUAUAUGAUCAUUUUGUUGUUUAAUUAAAGCCAUGUGAUCAUGAAUAGCAUCAAUAUCAACAUUUCUACAUCUAGUGCAAAUAGAAACAUGCUCAAUAGUAGAUGUAGAGGGUUUGCAAGAUUUUAAUUCUACAACCUUAGCAUGCAAUAUAUCAUUCUUAGUUCUAAGGUCGGAAAUAGUAGCAUUGCAAACAUCAAAAUCUUUAGCCUUAGCAAGCAAAUUUUCAUUCUCAAUUCUAAGGCUAGCAAGUGAAACAUUCAAUUCUUCAAUCCUAACAAGUAAAUCAUCAUUAUUAUCUCUAGGAUUGGAAAUUGAAACAUUACAAACAUCUAAGUAUUUAGCCUUAGCAAUCAAUUUUUCAUUUUCAUUUCUAAGGCUAGCAAGAGAAAUAUUCAAUUCAUCAAUCCUAGCAAGUAAAUCAACAUUAUCAUCUCUAGGGUUGGAAAUUGAAUCAAUACAAACAUGAGAAUCAACCUUAGCAAUUAAUGUAGCAUUUUCAUUUCUAAGGUUGUCAAUGGUCUCAUGGCAAGUGCUUAGCUCACUAGACAAUUUUUGAUAUUUUUCUAUUUCUAGAGCAUAAGCAUUUUUAACCUUAACAUGUUUCUUGUUUUCCUUAAUUAGGAAGUCCUCUUGGGAAUCCAAAAGGUCAUCCUUUUCAUGAAUAACACUAAUCAAUUCAUUUAAUUUUUCCUUUUGUUCCAUGUUAAGGUUGGCAAAAAUGGUUCGCAAGUUAUCCUCCUCAUCACUAGCAUUUUCAUCACUAGAAGAUUCAUAUUUAGUGGAGGAUUUAGAUUUAACCUUCUUCUUUUUGUCGUCCUUUGCCAUGAGGCACUUGUGGCCGACGUUUGGGAAGAGGAGUCCCUUGGUGACAGCGAUGUUGGCGGCGUCCUCGUCGGAGGAGGACUCGGUUGAGCUCUCGUCGGAGUCCCACUCGCGGCAUACGUGGGCAUCGCCUCCCCUCUUCUUGUGGUACCUCUUCUUUUCUCUCCUCUUGCCCUUCUUGUCGUUAUCCCUGUCACUGUCACUUGAUAAUGGACAUUUAGCAAUAAAGUGACCGGGCUUACCACACUUGUAGCAAACCUUCUUGGAACAGGAUUUGUAAUCCUUCCCCUUCCGUUGCUUGAGGAUUUGGCGAAAGCUUUUGAUGAUUAAAGCCAUCUCCUCAUUAUCGAGCUUGGAGGCGUCAAUUGGUUGUCUACUCGGUGCAGACUCCUCCUUCUUCUCCUCCGUCGCCUUGAAUGCCACCGGUUGUGCUUCGGACGUGGAUGGUUCAUCAAGCUCGUUGAUCUUCUUUGAGCCUUUAAUCAUACACUCAAAGCUCACAAAAUUCCCGAUUACUUCCUCGGGAGUCAUUAGUGUGUAUCUAGGAUUACCACGAAUUAAUUGAACUUGAGUGGGGUUAAGGAAAAUGAGAGAUCUUAGAAUAACCUUAACCACCUCGUGGUCGUCCCACUUCUUGCUCCCGAGGUUGCGCACUUGAUUCACCAAGGUUUUGAGCCGGUUGUACAUAUCUUGUGGCUCCUCCCCUUGGCGAAGACGAAAGCGACCGAGCUCCCCCUCGAUCUUUUCCCGCUUGGUGAUCUUGGUGAGUUCAUCACCCUCGUGUGCGGUCUUGAGUAGGUCCCAAAUCUCUUUCGCAUUCUUCAACCCUUGAACCUUGUUAUAUUCCUCCUUACUUAGAGAUGCCAGGAGUAUGGUUGUAGCUUGGGAGUUGAAGUGCUCGAUUUGGGCCACCUCGUCCUCAUCAUAAUUUUCAUCCCCUACGGAUGGUACCUGUGCACCAAACUCAACAACAUCCCAUAUACUUUUGUGGAGCGAGGUUAGAUGAAAUCGCAUUAAAUCACUCCACCUAGCAUAAUCUUCACCAUCAAACAUUGGUGGUUUGCCUAAUGGGACGGAAAGUAAAGGUGUAUGUUUAGGAAUGCGAGGGUAGCGUAGGGGAAUCUUACUAUACUUCUUGCGCUCUUGGCGCUUAGAAGUGAUGGAUGCCGCGUCGGAGCCGGAGGUGGAUGUUGAUGAAGAAUCGGUCUCGUAGUAGACCACCUUCCUCAUCCUCUUAUUCUUGUCCCCACUCCGAUGCGGCUUGUGGGAAGAAGAUUUUUCCUUCUUCUCUUUGUGGUGAGAAGAGGAUUUCUUCUCCUUCCCUUUGGAGUGUGAAGAAGACUUCUUCCCUUUCGAGGAGUCCUUCCUCUUCUCCUUCCUCUUGCUGCGGGACUCUUCCGAUGAAGUGCUCCCGUGACUCGUAGUGGGCUUGUCGCCGGUCUCCAUCUCCUUCUUGGCGUGAUCUCCCGACAUCACUUCGAGCGGUUAGGCUCUAAUGAAGCACCGGGCUCUGAUACCAAUUGAAAGUCGCCUAGAGGGGGGGUGAAUAGGGCGAAACUGAAAUUCUCAAAAAUAAUCACAACUACGAGCCAGGUUAGCGUUAGAAAUAUAAUAGAGUCCGCGAGAGAGGGUGCAAAACAAAUCGCAAGCGGAUAAUAAAGCGAGACACGCGGAUUUGUUUUACCGAGGUUCGGUUCUCUCAAACCUACUCCCCGUUGAGGAGGCCACAAUGGCCGGGUCUCUUUCAACCCUUAUCCUCUCUCAAACGAUCCCUCGGACCGAGUGAGCUUCUCUUCUCAAAUCACUUGGGAAUCAAACUUCCCGCAAGGACCACCACACAAUUGGUGUCUCUUGCCUCAAUUACAAGUGAGUGUUUGAUCACAAGAAAGAAUGCCAAAGAAAAGAAGCGAUCCAAGCGCAAGAGCUCAAAUGAACACUACAAAUCACUCUCUCUAGUCACUAAGGCUUUGUGUGGAGUUGGGAGAGGAUUUGAUCUCUUUUGGUGUGCUUUGCAAUGAAUGCUAGCUCUUGUAUAGUGGUUGGAAGCUGGAAAACUUGGAUACAAUGAAUGGUGGGGUGGUUGGGGUAUUUAUAGCCACAACCACCAAACUAGCCGUUUGGUGGGGCUGUCUGUCGCAUGGUGCACCGGACAGUCCGGUGCACACCGGACAUGUCCGGUGCGCCAGCCACGUCACCAAAGCCGUUGGGUUAUGACCGUUGGAGUUCUGACUUCUGGGCCCGCCUGGAUGUCCGGUGGCGCACCGGACAUGUACUUUAGAGUGUCUGGUGCGCCAGCAUGGGCGUGCCUGACGCCUGCGUGCUCUGGCGCGCAUUAAUUGCUGUUGCAGGCGACCGUUGGCGCGAAGUAGCCGUUGCUCCGCAGUUGCACCGGACAGUCCGGUGUACACCGGACAUGUCCGGUGAAUUAUAGCGGAGCAGCCGUUAUGAUUUCCCGAGGCUGCCAAGUUCCAAUGCCGCGUCUUCUUGGAGCACCGGACAGUCCGGUGAAUUAUAGCGCGUCGGCUUCUGAAAAUUCCCGAGGCUGAGGAGUUCUGCGCGAGGUCCCCUGGUGCACCGGACACUGUUCGGUGCGCCACCGGACAGUCCGGUGCGCCAGACCAGGGAGCCUUUCGGGAUGCCUUUAGCUCUCUAUUUUGAACCCAACUUUGGUCUUUUUAAUUGGCUUGUUGUGAACCUUUGACACCUGUAUAACUUAGACACUAGAGCAAACUAGUUAGUCCAAUUAUUUGUGUUGGGCAAUUCAACCACCAAAAUUAUUUAGGAACUAGGUGUAAGCCUAAUUCCCUUUCACAAUGCAUGCCCUUCUUCUUGUCUCUCGACCACGAUCGCGGCGCUGACCACCUGAGUGGUUGCGGCUACGUAGAUCAAGAGGGCUUCUCCCGCAGCGGGGGGCACCAAGAUGGGCGCGCUUGUAAGGAGCGCCUUUAAGUUUCUGAGGGCUUCCUCGGCCUCGGGGGUCCAAGCAAAGCGCUCGGUCUUCCUUAAGAGGUGGUACAAGGGUAGGCCUCUUUCGCCGAGGCACGAGAUGAAGCGGCUCAGAGCCGCAAGGCAUCCCAUGACCCUCUGUACUCCUUUCAAGUCUUUGAUAGGCCCCAUGUUGGUGAUGGCCGUGAUUUUCUCUGGGUUGGCCUCGAUGCCCCGCUCGGAGACGAUGAACCCCAGGAGCAUGCCUCGAGGGACUCCGAAGACACACUUCUCGGGAUUGAGUUUUACGCCCUUCGCCUUCAGACACUUGAAUGUCGUUUCAAGGUCAGAGAGGAGGUCGGAGGCUUUCCUCGUCUUGACUACGAUGUCAUCGACGUAAGCCUCGACCGUUCAGCCGAUGUGCUCUCCGAACAUGUGGUUCAUGCACCUUUGGUAUGUCGCACCUGCAUUCCUCAAACCAAAUGGCAUAGUAAUAUAGCAGUACAUGCCAAAAGGUGUGAUGAAAGAAGUCACAAGCUGGUCGGACUCUUUCAUCUUGAUUUGGUGAUAACCUGAGUAGGCAUCGAGGAAUGACAGGGUUUCGCACCCAGCAGUGGAAUCCACGAUUUGAUCGAUGCGAGGCAGAGGGUAGGGAACCUUCAGACAUGCUUUGUUUAGACCAGUGUAGUCUACACACAUCCUCCAUUUCCCACCUUUCUUUUUCACAAGCACAGGGUUGGCUAGCCAUUCGGGAUGGAAUACCUCUUUGAUGAACCCUGCAGCCAUCAGCUUGUGGAUCUCCUCGCCUAUGGCUCUGCGCUUUUCUUCGUCGAAUCGGCGCAGAGGCUGCUUCACGGGUCGGGCUCCAGCUCGGAUAUCCAGCGAGUGCUCGGCGACAUCCCUCAGUAUGCCGGGCAUGUCCGAGGGACUCCAUGCAAACACCUCGGCGUUUGCACGGAGAAAGUCGACGAGCACUGCUUCCUAUUUGGGGUCGAUCUCAGAGCCAAUCCGGACUUGCUUGCAGGCGUCGUUGCUGGGGUCGAGGGGGACGGACUUAACCACCUCCGCUGGCUCGAAGUUGCCGGCAUGGCGCUUCGCAUCGGGCACCUCCUUGGAGAGGCACUCUAGGUCGGCGAUGAGGGCCUCAGAUUCGGCGAGGGCCUCAGCGUACUCCACGCACUCCACAUCGCAUUCGUACGCGUGUCGGUACGUGGAUCCGAUGGUGAUGACCCCAUUGGGGCCCGACAUCUUGAGCUUGAGGUAGGUGUAGUUGGGGACGGCCAUGAACUUGGCGUAGCAUGGUCUCCCCAGCACUGCAUGGUAGGUUCCUCGGAACCCAACCACCUCGAACGUGAGGGUUUCCUUUCGGAAGUUGGAGGGAGUCCCAAAGCAGACAGGCAGAUCGAGUUGUCCAAGGGGCUGGACGCGCUUCCCGAGGAUGAUCCCGUGAAAGGGCGCCGCACCGACCCGGAUCGUGGACGGAUCGAUUUGCAAGAGCCCGAGGGUCUCGGCGUAGAUGAUGUUGAGGUUGCUGCCUCCGUCCAUGAGGACCUUGGUGAGCCUAACGUUGCCGAUGACGGGGUCGACGACGAGCGGGUACCUUCCUGGGCUCGGCACGCAGUCGGGGUGGUCGCCCUAGUCGAAGGUGAUGGGCUUGUCGGACCAGUCUAGGUAGACUGGGUGCCGCCACCUUUACUGAGCAGACUUCCUGGCGCUCCUGCUUGCGGUGCCGAGCCGAGGCGUUCGCCACUUGCCCACCGUAGAUCAUGAAAUAGUUGUGGACCUCGGGGAACUCUUCUGCCUUGUCGCCCUCGUUCUUGUCGUUGUCUUGGCCUUUGCCACCUUCUUCCGGGGGCCCGGCCUUAUGGAAGUAGCACCGAAGCAUGACGCAUUCCUCAAGGGUGUGCUUGAUGGGACCCUGGUGAUAGGGACACGACUCCUUGAGCAUCUUGUCGAACAGGUUGGCCCCUCCGGGAGGCUUCCGAGGGUUCCUGUGCUCGGCGGCAGCGACAAGAUCUGCGUCGUCGGCGUCGCGUUUCGCUUGCGACUUCUUCUUGGCCUUCUUCUUCGUGCCGCGCUGGGUGGACGCCUCGGGGAUGUCUUCCUGCUGGCGUUCCUGAGGCUGCUUGUCCUUAUGGAAGAUGGCUUCGACCGCCUCCUGACCAGAGGUGAACUUGGUGGCGAUGUCCAUCAACUCGCUCGCCUUGGUGGGAGUCUUGCGACCCAGCUUGCUCACCAGGUCACGGCAAGUGGUGCCGGUGAGGAACGCCCUGAUGACAUCUGAGUCGGUGAUGUUGGGCAGCUCGGUGCGCUGCUUUGAAAAUCGCCGAAUGUAGUCCCGUAGGGAUUCCCCCGGCUGCUAGCGGCAGCUUCGGAGAUCCCAAGAGUUCCCAGGGCGCACGUAUGUGCCCUGGAAGUUUCCAGCGAAGGCUUUGACCAGGUCGUCCCAGUUGGAGAUCUGCGCGGGAGGCAGAUGCUCCAGCCAGGCCCGGGCGGCGUCGGAGAGGAACAGGGGGAGGUUGCGGAUAAUGAGGUUGUCAUCGUCCGUUCCACCCAGCUGGCAGGCCAGCCGGUAGUCCGCAAGCCACAGUUCCGGCCUUGUUUCCCCCGAGUACUUAGUGAUAGUAGUCGGGGCUCGAAACUGGGUUGGGAACGGCGCCCGUCGUAUGGCCCGGCUGAAAGCUUGCGGACCGGGUGGUUCGGGUGAGGGGCUCCGAUCCUCCCCGCUGUCGUAGCGUCCCCACGCCUGGGGUGGUAGCCUUGGCGCACCUUCUCGUCGAGGCGGGCUCGACAGUCGCGGUGGUGGUGCUCGUUGCCGAGGCGACCCGGGGCUGCAGGCGUUGCGUCCCGCGUGCGCCCGGUGUGGAUCGAGGCUUCCCGCAUGAAUCGGGAAGUCGCUGCGCGAUGCUCCGGGGGCACCCUUGCCUUCGAGAGGCAGAGCUCUCGGCCCGUCGUACCGCGACAUCCUCCAGGAGAUUCUUAAGUUCUCCCUGGAUACGCCGCCCCUCAGUGGUGGAUGGCUCCGGCAUCGCUCGGAGUAGUAUUGCCGCUGCAGCCAGAUUCUGGCCGACCCCGCUGGAGGCCGGGGGCAGCCUUGCCCUGGCAUCGUCAGCGAUGCGGUGCUAGACAUCUCGGGUCUGAUGACGCGCUUCUCCAGCGAGUGCUCGACCUGCCCACUCCUGCUUGAUGUUUUGUCGGAGCUGCACAAGUUGUCCUGCUUCCUCAUCGAGCUUGGCCUGCUCGAGCUGUGUGUCCUGACCCCCCACGGAGGAUGUCAACGCGAGGCGUAGGCCUAGGGGGAUCGUCAUCCUCCGGCAUACCAAGGUGGUUGCCUUCGUCGAGACCCCCUAGAUCGACGUGGAAACAUUCGCGACUUGGGCCACAACCCUUGUUGUCAAGGUUGUGGCCAUCAUCGGAGCAAUCAGAGAGGCAGUGGUCACAUGCGGCCAUGAAGUAUCGCAAGGCACUAGGAUUACCGAGCCCGGAGAAAUCCCAACCAGAGUCGGGCUCGUCUUCUUCCUCGGAACCCGGGGGCCCGUAGGUCGAGACGGUCGUCAGUCGGUCCCAGGUUGACCACAUAUGGUACCCCGGAAGGUUAGGAUAUGCCUUUAUGAAAGCGUCCACCAAAGCGGGGUCGCUUGGUGGAUCGAAGCUGAAUCUAAAAGGCACAGGGUGGAAAACGGACGGUACCUCUUGAUCGACGGACGGUGACGAAGUCGCGUAGGGGACAGACUGCACCGUUAUCUUAGGUACGAGGCUAACGCCCAGCAAGUCCUCCACGAGAGUGCUGGCGUCAUCUGUCCGCUUGGGGUUGGCACGUUGCGGGGAAACGACACUCGCCGUUGUCUCGGGCGCGAGGUCAACACCUGACACGUCCCCGGCUGGGGUGCCGGCGUCGUCGACUGGCUCGACAGCCGACGAGGUGCCGCCUCCUGCUUGGCCACAGUUGUCAUGCCUCCUCCUCCAGCAGCGAGGAAGGUGGCGGGAUAAACCCGGAUGCUGCUCUUCCGCCACGGGGGGAAGACGUCGUCGAGUCCGCCGCCGUCGGGCGGGCUGACGGCCGUCGUUGUCGCUGUCGUGCUGCGGAGGAAGGAGUACCAUGUCGUAGCUGCCGUCGAGGGACAUGAACUCGAGACUCCCGAAACAGAGCAGUGUCCCGGGCUAAAGAGGUUGCUGGGGACUACCCAUCUGGAGCUCGACGGGAAGUUGUUCGUCAACACGCAGCAGGCCCCUACCUGGCGUGCCAAUUAUCGGCGUUUCGAUCCCGGGGGGUCCCUGGACCGACGAGUAAAAAUUGUCGCUGCGUGUCCCAGCCCAGAUGGGUCGGCGUGAGAUGGAACACAAGGGGGGGAGAACCGCGACUCGUGUUAUCCUGCGCCCAGGGCGGAUGCGCUUGCAGUAGGGGUUACAAGCGUUCGUGAGGGAGAGAGAGAGAGAGAGCCUGUUCGGUGGCCCGUCCUACCGCGCGACCACCCACUCGUAUGAGGGCCCUGGACCUUCCUUUUAUAGACGCAAGGAGAAGGUCCAGGUGUACAAUGGGGGUGUAGCAAUAUGCUAACGCGUCCGGCAGAGAGGAGCCAGAGCCCUAUGUACAUGCCAACGUGGUUGUCAGAGAGGUGCUAGAGCCUUGUGCAUGCGGUGUCGUGGCCGUCGGAGGAGCGCUUGAGCCCUAUAGAAGCACAGCUGUCGGGGCUGCCGGGACAUUGCUGACGUCUCCUUGCUUCCGUAGGGGGCUGAGAACCACCGUCGUCAUGGACGCACGCGGGGUGCCAUCAUUACUUGUUUACCAGGGCGAGCCAGAUGGGACGCCGGUCUUGUUCCCCGUAGCCUGAGCUAGCUGGGGUAGGGUAAUGAUGUACCCCCUAUGGUGUGGUCGGUCCGAGCCCAAGGUCGGGCGAGGCGGAGACUCCUCCUGAGGCCGAGGCCGGGGUGGGGUGAGGACGCGAUUCCUUCUGAGGUCGAGGUUGAGGCCGAGCCCUGGGGUCGGGCGAGGCGGAGACCAUCCUCCGAGGUUGAGGUUGAGGCCGAGCCCUAGGGUCGGGUGAGGCGGAGACCACCUUCCGAGCCCGAGGCAGGGGCCGAGCCCUGAGGUCGGGCGAGGCGGAGCUUCCUGUUGCGCCUGAGGCUGGACUUAGCUGUUGUCAGCCUCACCCUGGCGGGUGGCACAACAGUUGGAGCGAGGCAGGCGGUGCUGUUUUCCUAUCAGGUCGGUCAGUGGAAGGGUGAAGUGACUGCGGUCACUUCGACCCUGCCGACUGAGGAACGUGCGUCAGGAUAAGGUGUCAGGCGAUCCUUGCAUUGAAUGCUCCUGCGAUACGGUCGGUUGGCGAGGCGAUCUGGCCAAGGUUGCUUCACUGCGAAACCUGCCCGAGCUGGGCCUCGGGCGAGUCGAGGGUGCGCCCGUUGCUUGAGGAGGCCCUCGGGCGAGGCGUGAAUUCGCCUGGGACUAUUGUUCCUGCUCGAGGCUGGGCUCGGGCGAGGCGAGAUCGCGUCCCUUGAGUAGACGGAGCCUUGACCUGAAUUGCGCCCAUCAGUCUCUACAGCUUGUGUUGAUGGUGAUUACCAGCUGAGUUUAGGAGUGUUGGGGGUACCCCUAAUUAUGGUACCCGACACCAAUCUAUGCUACUUUUUAUGCUUAUAUAUGCAAUGGUAUCAAAUUUCGUCAAGGUGUUGGUAUAACUGUUUAGUACUAAGGAGUGCUAUCAUGACAUGCUGAUCCCCUCUCUGAUAUAAAGAUUUGACCCAAACCGUUAUAUUGAAUUCCAGCAAUGUACAUCUUCUAUAUUUCGUCAAGGUGUUGGUAUAACUGUUUAGUACUAAGGAGUGCUAUCAUGACAUGCCUUCUCAUGUUUCAUUUUCCAGCAGAUAAUUUUGAGCCACAAAAGAUUUAUCUCAUCCUCCGAACCUAGGGUGAACUGCAGAUAGUAGGCCAAAGCUUGUUGCCAGUUCCCAUGAAGGAUUUCCUGGUCCUGUUGAUGCGAAGCUGUGUGAGGCGAGGAUGAACCAUCCGAAGGGAUCUACAGUGGAUGACAAGGGUAACAUCUAUGUGGCUGAUGCCAUGAACAUGGCUAUUAGGAAGAACAAUACAUGUGGUGCCACUCGGCGUGCGGGGCUGUGGUUUCGCUACACUUGGUUCUGCUGUUUUUUCUGGUUAUUCUUGCCCAUUGGGGUAAACAGAGUGAACGAGUUAGCCAGUUUUUGGUGGAGAUUUAUUGUGUGUUUUAGCUGAAUUUUUAGAUUCACGAGACUCUUAGUACAACUAGGAUAGCAUGACAAUUAGGAGAUUUAUCCUUAGUUGCCUGAUGUAGUGAUACAUGAAGUUGUUGUGGUUCUGUUCUCUGUAACUAGGCCCAAAACAGAUUGUGCGUCUUAUAUGCUACAUUUUUAUGUUCAUCCUAUCUGAUUUAUUGCAGUGCGGCAUGGGACCCAGUGAGCUAGCUUGCAAAGGAGGAGGUGGCUGCGACUACGUACAUGCAGCAAGAGGAAGAGAGAGUCGGCACUGUCCUAGACGACCUCUUGGAAUUCUACCAAAGUCAAAAGGUUGAAAACAUGCUCCCUUUCCAGAUCUCGUGUCUUUUUGUUGAUGGUCGCCUUGUGUGCAUAUCCGCUAUGCUUUUUGCGUUCUUAUCAAUUGGUGUAAAAUAGCUAAACAUGUAAAAUAAGAAGUAUCAACCAUUUCAUUGCAUAGUUUGGAGGUAUAAAAAUAGAACAAUUGGUCACCUCAUGUGUAUCUCUGCUUAAGCGCCGGGGAUGGGAUGUGUGACAGAGGUGGACGUUGCCUUCCAGUGGGACUCCUUUGGUUCACAUGUUUACAAAACCUAAUAGCAUUGCAAUAAUGUUCUAAACAUAGUGUUGCAAUAAUGUACUAAACAUCUGUGCUCAGUCUUCGUAGAAAUGAAUGUUGAUGUGUCAUUUAAGGAUCCAUAUGUUGCAUUCUACAGAGUGGCGUAAUCAGAAUUUAAUAGUUGUGUAUUCACUAUGUUUUUUAUUUUUCCAAUACAAUGCAUAUAAAAAAUAUCAAUAUGAAACCGAAGAAAAUUUACUGUGGCUUUAAUUUGUGUGCUUUGGAGAGUCCACCCAUUUUGUUCAAUGUGAAACUUUCGUCUAUUGGUCUGUUUUUGUCCCCUUUUUCCUUUCUUUUUGCAAUAUAGCUAUUAACAUGUUAAAUGCUAAUUACAGGUUGCCACUGGGGAAUAACUUGCCCAGUCACUUCAUUCAAAGGUUAUAGUAACAGUCUAAGAUUGAGAUUUGAUUUUGUCCAUGUCAUUAUGAAAUUUGGAAACCAUUUUUCAUUGUAAGCAAGUUUAAAUCAGGUUCCCAUUGAGUAAAUAAUUUAUAAUUAUCUUGUGCCUUUAACUUCAUCAUUAGAUUAGUGAUGGAUGUAUUGUCUAUCCCAUCAACCGAUGAUGAACAAAUAGUUGUUGGAGGUGGUCAUUCAGCAGGCAUAUCUAUCUGUGCAGCUAGUAAGGACCUUAUAAUACACCCAAAAUUAGUUCAUAAUUUCAUCUUCGAAUACUGUUGAUUUCCUCUUAUGAUAUGUUUGCUGGAUUUGGGGGAGUGGAGUAGUUGGGUAGUUUUUCUGAAUAAGGCUGAUGAGGAGCUUGAUAGAUAGGUUUCAGGGGAAAAUAUGUUUGUGAUGCAGUCUUUGAUUUUUUUUAUCGCCCACAUACUAGCAGUCAUAUGCUUUAAAAUUGUUAUAUAGUCUCUUGCCACUACAUCUAUGCUUGUUACUGGUUACCCCCUGCACCCAAACACAUACACACUGAAAGUAAUAAUAGAGCCUCUUCUAAAUUUAAGUAAGAGCAUAUCCCUGCAUAUCCUUCUGCUUUGCUUUUCUAUUAUUGCAUAAAACUCUUGUCCAUCUCCAAAGAAGAAGUUAACUUAACAUGGGAAAAUCAUUUGGUUCUAAUUAAACUAGCUGCCAAAUCAUCUCUGCUGAAUGAGCUAGCCAAGUUUUCAAAAGCUAUUAUUUAUGUACAACACUGCCUUUUGUCCUUCACCCUACCCCAUGCGUGCACACACAUACACACUGAAAGUAAACCUCUUCUGAAGUUAUGUUAGAGCAUAUCGGAGACACCAUAUACCCCACAACUCGGAUUUGAACAUGGACUGCUUUGGGACAAGAUCAAGUAAAUAUCAUCAAUGUUCAUAAUAGUAGUAAACUAAACUGGAAAGCAAAGAACUAUUUCACAACAAUGAUUUUGCAGUCAUCCGAAUAGAUAUAUAGAUAGUGUUUCCACAUUCCCUCACCAAACAAAUGCUUAGAUAAAAUCAAUGCAUGCAGUGACUCACGAUGAAACGGUGCGUCCAACCAAUUAGAUGGAUAGUGAUGUUUGUCGUUUCUUAUAUAUGUUUCAUACUAAUUUUUUACUCCCGUAGCAACGCACGGGCAUAGACCUAGUAGACCUAGUAAUAGUAUAGUGGAGUAAGGUUCAUCAGAGUCCAUCUGAAGCUAGCUAAGGUUUCCGCUCACAGAACAGAACCCGACCAUUCUCAGUUUCUCACCUGUUUCCCUUCCUGCUUGCGCCGCGCAUGCAUGCACAGUCACGGCUACGUCAUAGCAGCGUCACAGCACAACACACCGUGUUCUUCUUCCUUGUUCCUGGAAUCCUGGCUGCAAUGCAUGCAGCCGUAGCACGUUUCUGCCACCAUUGUCAAACCUCUGCUAUGGCAAGUUUAAUCCACUCCUGUCGACGUCGUGGUGCGCAGAUUAGAUUCACUCAUCAGCUAGUGCAGGUGCACCACCGCGGUUAUUUAUUUAUAGAUAAAAGUGCUGGUAGCUAGGCAUGGUCUGUCCUUCCUAAUUUGUCAACGUUAUUAACGGUGGGUUUUUUUGUGCCCUGGACGGAUGCGAAUAUACUGCUACCUCUGUUCUCGAAUACUCGUCAUCUACUAGUUUAUUUUUUAAAGGGAAAAGCAAAAGAUUUGCCGUUCCAAUAUAUUAGAAGAGAUGAAAAACCUUACAAACUGACGCAACCCAAACAACUUAACAACCUUGACCUAGUUAGAACACUGGCGCUUAAAGAUAAAGACCCAAACCCUCCUGACCAGGCCCCCAGCCGCUACAGACAAGCUAAACCUCCACUAACGAGCUCUUUCACCACCUGCACCACUUGCUCUGUCGUUCUCUAUUGACCCUUUAAAAUUCUGUUGUUUCUUUCCAACCAUAAGCUCCACCAGAAAUAAAUUAGGAGGCCAUCGAAACUUUUUCUAGAUUGCUUACAACAGAGCAUCCUCAGUCUAAACCACCACGUGUGCAGUGAUCCGGUCUUAAAAAUACCGUCCAGGAAUCGCAAAUCAGCCCAAGUCAGGAUCAUACUCCACGCUUCCUCGGCGAAGGGGCAAUCCUUACAAAGGUAUGCCGCUGUCUCCGGAGACACAUUACAAAACAAACAAUUUUGAUUGCAAGGCCAUCCCCGUUUUUGCAGAUUGUCUGAAGUUAAUAUUUUGUUGUUCAACAAUGUCCAAGCAAAGAAACGACAUUUUGGUUCAGUUUUUGCUUUCCAAAUGGGAUUGAUGUGAAUUUUACAGAAGUUUGUUGUGAACUGAAUUUUGUAGGCGCUACUUGAACUGUAUUCCCCAUCUGUCGACCAUCUCCAAGAAAUGGUGUCUUCGAGGUCAUUGAGACCUUGUUUGCUGCUGAUUGAUAGCCAAAGUAAGAUGAAUUCUCUCACUUCCUCCUCCCGAGUGAAAGGCGCACAGAACUGCAUCCAGUAAUUGUUUUGAAGAGCCUUGAAAACCGAGAUGUUCUUUCUUCUUGCUUUCUUGUAUAGCUUAGGUGCAAUAUUCUUAGGUGCCUGUCCUUCAAUCCAACUAGAUCCCUAGAAAUCCGCCAUCUUCCCGUUACCGAUAGUCACAGUUGUUGAUGCGUUAAAGAGAUCUACAUCCACCUUGUCACAUAGUAAAUGCAUGCCAACCCAUGCUUUUUCUUUAACCUUCCACCUUAGCCACAACCAUCUUAGCCUUAGCGUUCUUGCAAAACGCUCCAGGUCUAGAACUCCCAGACCCCUCUAUUCUUUGGUAGGCAAGUUGUGGACCAGUUAAUCAAGCAACGACCCUCGUUGCAAAAUUCUGGACUAUUUCCUUUCCAAAGAAAGCUUCUUCUUAACUUGUCAAUUCUUUUAAGUAGCCAUUUCUGCGCCGGAAAGACCGUCAGAUGGUAGAUAGGCUGAGCAGACAACACCGCUUUAACCAAGGUUUCCCUACCUGCUUUUGAGAGUAGCCUACCUUUCCAUCCUGCUAGCCUUUUAUUAAUUUUAUCAAUUAGUGGUUGGACGUCAAUUCUCCUAACAUUCCUGAAAUGUAGAGGUAGACCAAGAUACUUCCCCGGAAAUUUUGAGUAUUUGCCAGGGAACACAUCCAUCAGAUCUGACCAAAGAGUUUGGGGGUAACGAAUGGGAAAAUUUUAGUUUUAACGAAAUUGAUCUUCAGCCCUGAACACCCUUCAAAAACUUCCAGAAUCAUUUUCAAAACCUUUAGAUCCUCUUUAUCUGCUCUAACAAACACACCUGCAUCAUCUGCAUAAAGAGAACAGCGCAGUUUAGUCUUAUUUGGCAGAACCCGCCCCAGAAGCCCAGCAUCUGUCGCCAUCUCAAUCAUCCUCUGCAGAGGGUCCAUUGCUAGAAUAAACAGAAACGGGGAUAACGGAUCACCCUGACGAACGCCACGCAUGUGCUUAAUUGCAUUUGUUUGUUGACCGUUGAUGAUGAUUUUUGAAGAGGAAGAUCCUAUUAUUGUUGCGACCCAAUUCCUCCAUUUCUGGGAAAACCUAGAGCUCUCAGUACCUCUAACAGAUAUGCCCAGUUGAUGGAGUCGAAAACUUUUGAUAUGUCAAGCUUGACAAAAAGGGCUGGCUGAUUGUUCCUAUGAAGUUUCUGAAUAACUUUUUGGACGUAGAGAAAAUUAUCAUGAAUUGAACGUUUUUGAAUGAACGUGUUUUGGACAGUGGAGACGAUCUCAUUCAUUCUUGGCGCAAGCCUAUUUGCUAAAAUCUUGGUCAAUAUUUUCAUGAAGCUAUUGAUGAGACUGAUCGUUCUAAACAUGUCAAUCCUAUCAGCACCCUCCCUUUUUUGUAAAAACGUGAUAUUUGCCUCAUUUACGAGGUUCAGGUUUUUGCAUCUAUGGUGAUAGAAAUCAUGAAUUGCACUGGAUAGAGCAUCUUUAAUCAGCUCAAAACAACUCUUAUAGAAGAUCCCUAUGAAACCAUCUGGACCCGGCGCCUUUUCAGAGCGCAUCCCCAUAACCACAUUUUUAAUCUCAUCAUCGUUGAACAUAAAAUCCAGAUCUGAUAAUUCAAAUGGACUAUAGCCUAAGUUACCCCACCGAACAACCCUUUGUCUAGCACCCCUUCUGCCAAUAGCUUCCGUGAAAUGAUGGUGGGCCUCAUGCAGUUUAUCUUCCUGACUGGUGAGCAACCUGUCGUCACGAACCAGCGAUCUGAUGAAAUUUUUUUCCUUCUUCUAUUAUUUGCCAUCAGGUGAAAUUUUUUUGUGUUUGCAUCUCCCAGACGCAUCCAGACAAGUCUAGAAUGUUGUCUAGCUCUUGCCUUUUGGACUGUCACUAGCCCUAGGAUUUUCAUUUUUAGACUUCUUCUGAACUCUAGCUCGUCCCCGGAGAGUUGCCUGGAUUCCUGUGCUUUCUCAAGGAGGGUAAGGACGGUAUGAAUGAUUGCUAAUUGCACUUUAAAAUUGCCUAUUGUCUUUCGUCUCUAGAUCAAUAGAGCUUUAGUCGUGCGGGUCAUCUUCACAUGCAGCCGAAGAAUGGCAUCGGAAGAACGAACACUAGAUGUCCACGCUUGUUGAACCACGUCAUUGAACCCAUCAAUUUUUGUCCAAAAAGCUUCAAAUCUAAACCCCUAUAGAAACUAAAGGCAGACAAACCUUGCAUAACUAAGGGGCAAUGAUCCGAGGUCAUGGACCCAAUGGCCUGCAGAUCAGCCUAGGGGAAGAUAUCAUGCCACUCUGUAGUCGCCAAGAAUCUGUCAAUCCUAGACAUCAUAGGGUCGUCCUGUUCAUUUGACCAAGUGUAUAAUUUACCAUUGAGGUCAAGUUCUAAAAGCUAAAGGUAAUCGAUUGUGUGGUUGAAUUGUCUCAUCACUCUUCUAUUAAUCAAUCCUUUGUUUUUCUCCCUUGCUCUCCUUAUCAUGUUAAAAUCACCUAAAAUCAGCCAUUACGGCUUCAUCAGAUUAUGUAUAAGUCGCAGCUCUGCCAGAAAAUUCAUUUUCUCACUUUCAGGUUGAGGGCCAUAAACCCCUGUGAGGUCCCACACCACGUCGCUUAGACAGGAGCUGAUACUGACAGAUAACGAGUAUACUGAUGGAUAGGGAAUAGCAAUUAUGUCAAAAAAAAUCAGCAUCGCAUGCAAUUAGAAUCCCACCUGAGGCUCCAAGAGAUGGUAAAUGAACCGUUUGAGCUGCUAACUUGCAUCUCAGUGUUUCCUUCAGUAAGUUAUUAUUCCAACUUAUUAUCUUUGUCUCUUGAAGACAAACAAUAGUUGCCCCAGAAGAGAGAAUCGUAUGUUUCACACUUGCCCCUUUAGCUGGGUCAUUUAGCCCCCCUCACAUUCCAUGACAGAAUACAACAGUUGGCAUUCAUUAAUCAAAAGUAGUUCUCCUACUUAACCAGAUAGUGCCACACAUGUGGAACACAGUUGAAGAAACAAGACCCGACCAGCCAACCAGCGUCAACAGCACGCUUCCAGCCGGGGACAGCAUGCGACUCACAACUAAAAUUACGACAGACCGAAACACAUACAAAGUAAGCCAAAUGAAAAAACACCGCUACCAAGCCCACCACCUGCUACCCAAGGCAGUCACCAAAAGCAGUUGGACGACCCAUAUACUAGUACACAUGUGAGAUAACAUUCUGCACUAGACCUACCCACACAUCUCCUAAAAACAACUCAGAUCCUCACAUCAGCCUCUAUGAUAGGUGACUUGAGAGGUGUCACCUUGCUGCCCUUCUUCUUGGUCCCUUCCUUUUCCUUUCCCUGAAUUGCCAGCUCCAUAAUUGCCUCCAUUUGUUCCUUAGUAAGAGGCCUCGUGAAAUGCCUUGCAAGCUGCUCAACCAAAUCCAUCUGGUCAUUAGAAAUUAAUGCCUUAGAGCUUUGAAACUGAUUUGAAGUAGAGUUAUUUAACUUAGCAACUAGAAUUUCUUGAGCUUUGACUAUGGCAUUUCUAUUUCUUUCGAAUUUUAAUUUUUUUCUUUGCAGCCAGCCUAGCACUAGAUCUCUUGCCAAUAGGAGUUGGGCUCACACACACACAUCUACAGGAGGCUGAAUUGGACUCCCCUCAACCAUGAUAUUUGCAGCUAAGCUAGAAAUGGGUGGUGAUCGGAUUAGCGGUGAUUCAGGUGCUUCAGAGAUAGAUGCAACAAAUUCAUCUAGAUUAUUGCUUGUGGGUUCUGGGAUGCCACAUGACAGAGAGGAAGUGAAAAAUUCUGAAUUUAUGUUGUUGUACGACAUGAUAGAUGCACAAUUAAGGUUUGAAUGUGAAAGUGCUUGAGGUUCUACAUUGUCGACGUUUCGACCCCGGGGGGUCCCUGGACCGACGAGUAAAUUGUUGCUGCGUGUCCCAGCCCAGAUGGGUCGGCGCGAGACGGAACACAAGGUGGGAGAAGAACCGCGGCUCGUGUUAUCCUGCGCUUAGGGCGGAUGCGCUUGCAGUAGGGGGUUACAAGCGUUCACGAGGGAGAGAGAGAGAGCAUGUUCGUCAUCCCGUCCUUCCGCGCGACCACCCUCUCGUAUGAGGGCCCUGGACCUUCCUUUUAUAGAUGUAAGGAGAGGGUCCAGGUGUACAAUGGGGGUGUAGCAAUAUGCUAACGUGUCCGGCAGAGAGGAACCAGAGCCCUAUGUACAUGCCAACGUGGCUAUCGGGGAGGUGCUAGAGCCCUGUGCAUGCGAUGUCGUGGCCGUCGGAGGAGCGCUUGAGCCCUGUAGAAGCACAGCUGUCGGGGCUGCUGGGACCUUGCUGACGUCUCCUUGCUUCCGUAGGCGGCUGAGAACCGCCGUCGUCAUGGGCGCACGCGGGGUGCCAUCAUUACUUGUUUAUUGGGGCGAGCCAAAUGGGACGCCGGUCUUGUUCCCCGUAGCCUGAGCUAGCUAGGAGUAGGGUAAUGAUGAUCCCCCUAUGGCGUGGUCGGUCCGAGCCCAAGGUCGGGCGAGGCGGUGACUCCUCAUGAGGCCGAGGCUGAGGUCGAGCCCUGGGGUCGGGCGAGGCGGAGACCAUCCUCCAAGGUCGAGGUCGAGGCCGAGCCCUGGGGUCGGGCGAGGCGGAGACCGUCUUCCGAGGUCGAGGUUGAGGCUGAGCCCUGGGGUCGGGCGAGGCGGAGACCGUCUUCUGAUGUCGAGGUUGAGGUCGAGCCCUGGGGUCGGGCGAGGCGGAGACCGUCUUCCGAUGUCGAGGUUGAGGCCGAGCCCUAGGGUCGGGCGAGGCGGAGACCGUCUUCCGAGGCCGGGUUUGAGGCCGAGCCCUGGGGUCGGGCAAGGCGGAGACCGUCUUUCGAGGUCGGGGUUGAGGCCGAGCCCUGGGGUCGGGCGAGGCGGAGCUUCCUAUUGCGCCUGAGGCUAGACUUAGCUGUUGUCAGCCUUGCCCUGACGGGUGGCACAGUAGUCGGAGCGGGGCAGGCGACACUGUUUUCCGGUCAGGUUAGUCAGUGGAGGGGCGAAGUGACUGCGGUCACUUCGGCCCUGCCGACUGAGGAACGUGCGUCAGGAUAAGGUGUCGGGCGAUCCUCGCAUUGAAUGCUCCUGCGAUACGGUCGGUUAGCGAGGCAAUCUGGCCAAGGUUGCUUCACUGCGAAGCCUGCCCGAGCUGGGCCUCGGGCGAGUCGAGGGUGCGCCCGUUGCUUGAGGAGACCCUCAGGCGAGGCGUGAAUCCGCCUGGGUCUUCUGUUCCUGCCUGGGUCUUCUGAGAAUUUGUCGAUAGCGACCAGGCAUAGUGAUCGACAAAUUCUCAGAAGACCCAGGCAGGAACAGAAGACCCAGGCGGAUUCACGCCUCGCCCGAGGGUCUCCUCAAGCAACGGGCGCACCCUCGACUCGCCCGAGGUCCAGCUCGGGCAGGCUUCGUAGUGAAGCAACCUUGGCCAGAUCGCCUCGCCAACCGACCGUAUCACAGGAGCAUUCAAUGCGAGGAUCGCCCGACACCUUAUCCUGACGCACGUUCCUCAGUCGGCAGGGCCGAAGUGACCGCAGUCACUUCGCCCCUCCACUGACUGACCUGACAGGAAAACAGUGUCGCCUGCCCCGCUCCGACUGCUGUGCCACCCGUCAGGGCAAGGCUGACAACAGCUAAGUCUAGCCUCAGGCGCAACAGGAAGCUCCGCCUCGCCCGACCCCAGGGCUCGGCCUCAACUCCGGCCUCGGAAGACGGUCUCCGCCUCGCCCGACCCUAGGGCUCGGCCUCAACUCUGGCCUCGGAAGACGGUCUCCGCCUCGCCCGACCCCAGGGCUCGGCCUCAACCUCGACCUCGAAAGACGGUCUCCGCCUCGCCCGACCCCAGGGCUCGGCCUCAACCUCGACCUCAGAAGACAGUCUCCACCUCGCCCGACCCCAGGGCUCGGCCUCAACCUCGACCUCGAAAGACGGUCUCCGCCUCGCCCGACCCCAGGGCUCGGCCUCGACCUCGACCUCGGAGGAUGGUCUCCGCCUCGCCCGACCCAGGGCUCGACCUCGGCCUCGGCCUCAGGAGGAGUCACGGCCUCGCCCGACCUUGGGCUCGGACCGACCAUGCCACAGGGGGGAUCAUCAUUACCCUACCCCUAGCUAGCUCAAGCUACAGGGAACAAGACCGGUGUCCCAUCUGGCUCGCCCCGGUAAACAAGUAAUGAUGGCACCCCGCGUGCGCCCAUGACGAUGGCGGUUCUCAGCCCCCUACGGAAGCAAGGAGACGUCAGCAAGGUCCCGGCAGCCCCGACAACUAUGCUUCUACAGGGCUCAAGUGCUCCUCCGACGGCCACAACAUCGCAUGCACAGGGCUCUAGCACCUCUCCGACAGCCACGUUGGCAUGUACAUAGGGCUCUGGCUCCUCUAUGCCGGACAUGUUAGCAUAUUGCUACACCCCCAUUGUACACCUGGACCCUCUCCUUACAUCUAUAAAAGGAAGGUCCAGGGCCCUCAUAUGAGAGGGUGGUCGCGCGGGAGGACGGGUUGACGAACAGGCUCUCUCUCUCUCUCCCUCGUGAACGCUUGUAACCCCCUACUGCAAGCGCAUCCGCCCUGGGCGCAGGAUAACACGAGCCGCGGUUCUUCUCCCCCCUUGUGUUCCGUCUCGCGCCGACCCAUCUGGGCUGGGACACGCAGCGACAAUUUACUCGUCGGUCCAGGGACCCCCGGGUCGAAACGCCGACAAUGUAGAACCUCAAGCACUUUCACAUUCAAACCUUAAUUGUGCAUCUAUCAUGUCGUACAACAACAUAAAUUCAGAAUUUUUCACUUCCUCUCUGUCAUGUGGCAUCCCAGAACCCACAAGCAAUAAUCUAGAUGAAUUUGUUGCAUCUAUCUCUGAAGCACCUGAAUCACCGCUAAUCUGAUCGCCACCCAUUUCUAGCUUAGCUGCAAAUAUCAUGGUUGAGGGGAGUCCAAUUCAGCCUCCUGUAGAUGUGUGUGUGUGUGUGUGAGCCCAACUCCUAUUGGCAAGAGAUCUAGUGCUAGGCUGGCUGCAAAGAAAAAAAUUAAAAUUCGGAAGAAAUAGAAAUGCCAUAGUCAAAGCCUCUGCGAUCCUCUGAUCUCUCUCUUUUUUCUCUGACAGAGUUUGGCACGCCGUAGCUCCACACAAAUUCUCUGCGAGGCCUGCGGCAAGUGGGGCCCCCUCUAACAUCCCUCCCACGGAUGAAUGAGAGGUCUUCAACAACUUCAAUGUGGUUGUGAAUGGUGUACACAUGGCCUUCCUUCAGAUCAGUUGGUAAGUUAUGAUGAGCCCCAACCAGAGGCAAAGGGGCACUAGGAGGAGGGAACUCUCUAUUAGGUUUUAUGACAGAUAAACAGACCUCCUUGGGGAUAUCACAAGGGUCCGAGCACCAAGCCCAAAGAUCAAAGGACCUUGUGUGCACCCUGCGCCUCGAGCGCUCUUGGACAUAGUGAAUAGCAUAGCUCCUGCCCAAAGCCCUAGCAGCCACAUCUUCUCCCCAGCAGUGAACCGGAAUCCCCUCCACUCUGACCUUCACUCUGAACUCAAAGCUGGUCUUCCUGGCAUAGCACUCCUCUGACCAAUCCCCAAAGUGAAACACCCGACCACGAUAGGAGACCGACCUCCUAUCCAGUGCCCAUUGCUUGGUUCUUGAAUCAGAGAAGAUGAUAAAGAACUGCUUUGGAAAGUGUUUGACAAGUUGAUACUGACCAUGGUGAAGAUGAAAAGUCUCCCUCAGCAUAUCCCCUGCUGCCAGCACGUCCACCUCAUGACUGUUUCCAUCAAAAGAGCAAACCACCGCCUUACUGAUUAACUCAUCUCUACAACGAUGGAUCAAUCCGGUCGCCGAGAUAGCACAGACAGCUCUUGCAGGUCAUGCCCGAGGGUCUUCGGGAUAGCGAGCUUCCAUGACCUGGCCUCCCUGGACAUCUUGGAGGUAAGAUUUCCUUGACUAGAAUGAUGAAGUGGGGAGUGCCUGCCUAGGAUGCCUCUCCUGUCCCAUUUGAAGAGAGCCAAGGUGAGGUCUCUGCUGCUGGUAGCUCGAGGAGACAAUACUGCCUCUCUGGAGUGAAUGCUUGAGUGACCCAGGUAGAUCUUGAAUUGAAUGGGAUCUCCCAUGGUAGAUAUUGCCAGGACAUGACCUAGCCCUAUGGCCUGCUUGUAGACAUUGCCAGCAACGAACAGGUGUUGAACAAAGAUAGGCAUAGUGAUCUGUCGCUAGGCAGUUGAAGCAUUUGCCUCUGAGCUGCUUCUUGAAAAAAUCGGUGCCCUUCAUCUCAUUUUGCUGCUUGAAAGGGACAUCCCCAAGGAAAUCUAAGUUUUUCCGCCACCAGAAUUUAGGCUUCACAACAGACCAACCUUCAUCGUCUACCACCAAGGCGUCUAACUUCCCCUUCCUGUCGCACGACCUAAGGAUAGGGCGGAGCGACCUGUCACUUGGCGUCAAUCCGUCGAUCUCCCCACUCCAAUGAGACAAGUCACAACACGCAUUCAAGUCCCCCGGCGCAUUGAAGUCCUACAGAAGACUCGGCGACCCAUCCCGCCUCCAUUUCAUCUUCUCCGAUGCGGGGAUCCUUUUCUGCGCUAUCUGCUUUACAAGAUCUGCCUCUAAGUCUUGCUCAGUACGUUCCCCCUCACUGCAAUCUUUGUCUGAAUCCAAUCCCACUGACAUCGCCGAACUGACACAGAAGGACUGGGCAGGACGAACACCACUGGGCGGCAAGACGUGAACCGGCCCGACAGAACCCGCCUUAAACUGCUCGAGCAAAUCCGAAUCAAAUGUAGAACUUACCGUCGUCGGGAUGCCAGGUACCGCCCCGGCGUCAGAUCUCGCAAGCGCCAAGUUCCCAUCCGGAACGACAGAGACACUUCCAUUGAGGUGAAGCCCCCCGCAGAAGAGCCCAAAACCGGGGACCUGAGCACAAUCUGAUGGACAUUUUCCUCUGGAUCUAGGGUUUGGCGGCAGGUUCGGGCGACUGGGUUAGGGGAGAGGGAGGGGACCAUCCCGCUAAAAGCUAUCGUAAUCUUGCUAGUUUAUUUUUCAGCGACAAAUAAAAAUGAACGGAUGGAAAUAUCUCAGUAAGAGCACGUACGACAACAGUAGCGGUCGGCAUUAUUGCUGGUAGAUCAUUGUUAGAGCGCAAGUAGCUUUCACAUGUUAGAAUUAUAGGCAUUUUCCAUAUCAUUUUAAUUCCAUAAAUUAACAUUAUGAUGAUGACAUAUAAAAGGUAAUUAAUCAUAGAAAUUGUGAUCUCAAAUAUAUCCAUAACAAUAUGGAUCAUGAGAACACAAAGCAUAUGAAUCAUAUAAAUCAUAUAAAUAUGAUAAGCAUAUAAACUGAUUGAACAAAUAAAAAUAAACAGAUAACAAUAUAAACAAGAUGACGGUAAAAUUAAAACAGACAGAUAUAACAUAUUAUAAUAUGACUGAACAGAUGAGAUAAAAUCAUUGCUACAUAUGAAACGACACAGAUGAAUAUAUGAAACAUAUAUAAUCUGCAGAACGUAAAACAGUAAGAAACUGAAUUGAUCAUACCCUCCCAUGCGCUCUGAGGAUCUAGAUCCUUGUCCAGCUUCUCUUGUCAUGUCGUUAGGAAGAAGAUGUUUUGGGUAGUCGCGUAGACGCUCCCCAAAAACCUAAUUGCCGGUCCCCCGUGCAAGGUCUCGAACGGCAAGGGCUUCAGAGGCACCUGCCCUCUCGCUGCUCUGUGUGUGCAGAGUCACGAGAUGGGAAUACUCUCACUUGCGGCUGGGCUGUGACUUUGAAAUGGUUCUAUUCUCGUGUACCAAGUGUCAGGGGUUCUCCUCUACUUAACCUCUCACAGAGGGAAGCUGAAGGAGAAGGGUUGCAUGCGGCACGCCAAGAGACGGGCAGCUGAAGGACAAGGGUCUUGCAUGCAGCUGACGAAGAGACAGGCAACUGAAAGGUUUAACCCGGAGUUGAAACUCCCGCGGUUAAUGAGUGCUAAAAAUUAACACAACCACACCACGCCCGCUCGCUGCCUGCCUGCCUCGCCACGCCACGCCCGAGCCCAGCCCGGCCGGCGGCGGCGCGCGCACGUGUGGCACACCCUUGUAUGUUUCUUGACUUCUCAAAUUAAGUGGAAUAAUUCCCACCAUAUAAGUCAAGCCAACGAUCCUUGGACUUCCAAUAUGGUACUAUUGGUAUUCUCCACCAUUACACACCAUAGAGUUUAUUGAAUAAAUGGGCCAAGCCCAUAAAAGAUCCAACAAUCCCCACCAAACUCUAGGGUUUGUAAUGAUGAAGUAUCAGAAUCACAAUCCUUUGAUAUACCAGUGUUUUGAUGGAGACUGUUAAGUUAAACAUCCAUCUAGAAUAAGAGUUUCACUCAUUCACAACUGAAUAAUGGACUAAGCCUUGAAUUGACAGUUUUGUGCGAAAUAAGAUUCACUCAAAUCCUUUGCUGAUACUAGAUUGCAAAAGGGCAUUCCUGCUGUUUAGAAGCAUAUAAGUCACACUUCAGUGCCUUUCACGAGUAUUUAGGGAUUACCCAAGUCCCAUAGACUGUGACCAGCAGUCUGACUCAUAUAGGUGUAUUCCUCAGAAGAUGUUCUGUAGGACAACAUCUUAUCUUUAUAAGACUCUUGGAAUACAUUAAGGUAAAUACCAUCCUGCCUUACAGAUAGGAAAGAUGUGCAUCAGAAAUGAGUUAAGGAAGGGUUCUUUCCUCACAAUCUACUCCUAGCUUGUUUCUGCACUCUACUUCACGGGAUCUCCGAUCACAUAGAGCAGGUUACCACUAGAGUAGAUUUCACAUGGGUCUCAUACCCAUUUCUCUCGAUGCACUUUCUAUCACAUUGCGUGACAGACCCUUAGUGAAUUGAUCUGCCAGAUUACUCGAUGUGUGGACAUAAUCCACCGUUAUAACUCCGGAGUUUUUCAGCUUUCUGACAGAUUUCAAUCUCCUCUUAACAUGCCUUGUAGACUUCAUGUUAUUCCUAGAACUGUUAUCUUUUGUAAUCACAUUUUAGUUGUCACAGUUCAUGGAAAUAGCCGGUAUCAGUUUUUCAACUACCGGUAAAUCCAAUAGGAAAUCACGAAGCCACUCGGCCUCAGCCCCAGCAGUGUCUAAUGCUGCGAGUUCUGCUUCCAUUGUAGACUUCGUUAAGAUAGUCUGCUUGCAAGACUUCCAGGAAACAGCGCCACCUCCAAACAGAAACACAUAUCUGCUUGUGGCAUAAAGCUCAUUAGCAUCAGAAAUCCAGUUGGCAUCACAAUAGCAUUCCAGCACUUUUGGGUUUUAGUAUAAUGAAUAUUGUAUGUCAUAGUACCUUUCAAAUACCGCAACACUCUCUCAAGAGCACGCCAGUGAUCAUCUCCUGGUUUCGACACAAACCAACUCAGCUUACUCACAGCAUAAGAGAUGUCUGGCCUUGUUGCACUUGAAAGGUACAUGAGCGAGCCAAUGAUCUGGGAGUAUGUCAAUUGAUCCCUUGCUAUUCUCCGAUUCUUUCUCAAUAGCACACUAGGGUCAUAAGGUGUUGGAGCAGGAUCACAGUCACUAAAACCAAAGCGACUCAAUACCUUUUCCACAUAAUGGGAUUGUAACAAAGUUACCCCACCAUCAGCUUCUCUAACAAGCUUGAUGUUUAGAAUGACAUCAGCUUCUUCCAAAUCUUUCAUUUCGAAAUUUCUCGAUAGAAGAUUUUUAACUUCCUCAAUCACAUUGAGAUUUGAUCCAAAGAUCAAGAUGUCAUCAACAUAAAGGUACAGCAUAACAGACUCACCCCCACCAUACCGAUAGUAUACACACGUGUCAGAUUCAUUUACAGCAAAACCAGCAGCUGUAAGAGUAUUAUCAAACUUUUUAUGCCAUCGCUUAGGUGCUUGUUUUAGGCCAUACAAUGAUUUUAUCAACCUACACACCUUGUUCUCUUGACCAUCCGCAAUGAACCCUUCUGGCUGAUCCAUAUAGAUCUCCUCAUCCAACUCUCCAUUUAGGAAAGCUGUCUUAACAUCCAUCUGAUGAAUGAUAAGACCAUAAGAGGCUGCCACGGCUAUUAAUGUGCGAAUUGUAGUCAAUCGAGCCACUGGUGAGUAGGUAUCAAAUAAAUCUUCACCCUCCUUUUGGGUAUAUCCUUUGGCCACAAGCCUUGCCUUAUACCUCUCGAUUGUACCAUCAGGCCUAAGCUUUUUCUUGAAGAUCCAUUUGCAGCCUAUAGGUUACAACCAUAAGGACGGUCAACGACCUCCCAAGUUCCAUUAGACAUAAUAGAUUCCAUCUCACUCCUUACUGCUUCCUUCCAUAAGUCAGCAUCAGGAGAGGAAUAUGCCUCACUAAUGGUAGUUGGUGUGUCUUCCACAAGGUACACUAUAAAGUCAUUACCAAAGGAUUUGGCAACCCUCUGUCUCUUGCUCUUUCGAGUGACUAUAGUGUCAUCCUCCUCAGGGAUGUGUAUGUGAGGAUCCUCAGCAUGAUCUAUAUGAAUAGACAGUUCGUGCUCAUGGGGAAUUAUAGUCUCAUGACUUGUAUCACUAGGUGUAUUCUUCAUGGGAAACUCAUUCUCAAAAAAUGUUGCGUCUCUUGAUUCCAUGAUAGUAUCAACAUAUAUAUCAGGCACAUCAGAUUUUAUAAUUAAGAACCUAUACCCAGUGCUGUGAAAAGAGUAACCAAGGAAUAUACAAUCAACAGUUUUAGGCCCAAGUUUACGCUUUUUGUUGAUUGGCACAUUCACUUUAGCCAAGCAACCCCAAGUGCGCAAAUAUGAGAGAUUUAAUCUUCUCUUUUCCCGUUCCUCAAAUGGUGUGAUCUCUUUGUUCUUUGUUGGAACUCUAUACAGGACAUGACACGCUGUCAAAAUCGCCUCACCCCACCAUGCCUUGGAUAAUCCCGCUGUACUCAACAUGGCAUUCACCAAAUCUGUUAGAGUGCGAUUUUCCCUUUCAGCAAUCCCAUUGGAUUGAGGUGAGAAUGGCGGUGUCCUCUCAUGAAUAAUACCAUGUUCCACGCAGAACUCAUCGAACACAUUAGAGAAAUAUUCUCCACCUCGGUCGGACCUUAACCGUUUUAUUUUCCUUUCAAGUUGGUUCUCAACUUCAGCUUUAUAGGCCUUAAAAUAAUUAAACGCUUCAUCUUUUGUUUUUAAGAGAUACACAUAGCAAAAUCUAGUGGAGUCAUCUAUAAAAGUGAGAAAGUAUCUUUUACCACCUUUGGUCAAAAUUCCAUUCAUCUCGCACAGAUCAGAAUGAACAAGUUCUAGAGGUGCUAGAUUCCUCGCCUCAGCAGCCUUGUGAGGCUUGCAGGGUUGUUUUGAUUCAACACACACAUGGCACUUAGACUUUUUGACCAAGUUAAAUUUAGGAAUUAGAUUUAGAUUUGCUAACUGCAUAAGACAGCCAAAGCUAGCAUGACAAAAACGUGAAUGCCAUAAAUCUGACUCAUCAGAAAAAUGAACAGAAUUCACCAUUUUAUUACACACAGCAUGCAGUGAUAAGCGGAACAAGCCUCCGCAGUCAUAUCCUUUACCAACAAAAGUACCAUGUUUCGACACAACACAUUUAUUAGACUCAAGAACAACUUUGUAUCCAUCUCAACACAGCAUAGAAGCACUAACGAGAUUCUUCUUGAUAGAGUGCACAUGCUGCACGCUCUUUUCAAUGGCACUGUCUUUCCCGAAGUAAACUUCAGAAUGACCGUACCAACACCAAGAACAUGAGCACGCGACCCAUUUCCCAUUAACAAGGCGCCAGACCUCCCGACCUGGUAGGAAGUGAACAUAGAGGCAUCAGCACACACAUGAAUGUUUGCACCACUAUCCAUCCACCACUCAGGUGAAUUACAAACUGAAAGAACAAAUGGUAAAGAAUUACCAUACCCAAAUGUUCCAUCUCCAGUUUCAGUGGUUACAAUAUUAGCUGAUUUCUUGUCCUGUGUGAACUUGCGAUCAGGGCACUCUCUAGCCCAAUGUUGAUCACUGCCACAGACAAAGCAUCCUCCUUUUCCCUUGUUAUUGUUGUUGUUCUUCUUUUUAAACUGUGUUGUUUGAACAGGUUUAUUUGUAUUCUCUUGUUUGUUCUGGUUUUUCUUUUUGUUGAACUUGCGGAAGUUUCUCUUCUGCGCCACAUUAGCAGUAGAGGUCUCAACAACUUUUCCAUUGUCCUUUGUCUAGCCCUUUCCUCAACAUCAAGAGUACCAAUGAGCUCUUCCAUAUUGAACUCUUGUCUCUUAUGUUUGAGAGAGGUAGCAAAGUCAUUCCAAGAAGGUGGCAACUUGGCGAUUAUACCGCCAGCCACAAACUUGUCAGGCAAAGGACAAGGAAAAAGUUUGAGUUCCUUAGCCAGUGCCUGAAACUCAUGAGCCUGUUCCAUUACAGAUUGGUUCUCAACCAUCUUGUAGUCAUACAGCUGCUCCAUGAGAUACAGCUCGCUACCAGCGUCAGUUACUCCAAACUUUCUAACAAGUGCAUCUCACAGCUCUUUCCCUGUAGGAAGGAUGAUAUAGCUUUUUUGGAAUUUUGUAUCAAGUGCGCUAAUUACUGCUCCUCGAAAGAGGUUGUCUUCAGCCUUAAACUUAGCCUCAUCCUCAGGAGGUAAGUUGACAUGCUUGCCCUCAGCGGCAUGAAAACAAAACAUUGCAGUAAGCCACAAUUCCAUCUUAGCUUUCCAUAUCAAGAAGUUUUUACCAUCAAAAGGAUCAGGCUUUAGCACAGCAGCAAAACCUCUGACAGAAAAAUGCCUAACAUUAGGUUUUUGGAUUGUUAGAAUUAUAGGCAUUUUCCAUAUCAUUUUAAUUCCAUAAAUUAACAUUAUGAUGAUGACAUAUAAAAGGUAAUUAAUCAUAGAAAUCAUGAUCUCAAAUAUAUACAUAACAAUAUGGAUCAUGAGAACACAAAGCAUAUGAAUCAUAUAAAUCAUAUAAAUAUGAUAAACAUAUAAACUGACUGAACAAUUGAAAAUAAACAGAUAGCAAUAUAAACAAGAUGACGGUAAAAUUAAAACAGACAGAUAUAACAUAUUAUAAUAUGACUGAACAGAUGAGAUAAAAUCAUUGCUACAUAUGAAACAGCACAGAUGAAUAUAUGAAAUAUAUAUAAUCUGCAGAACGUAAAACAGUAAGAAACUUGUCGACGUUUCGACCCGGGGGGUCCCUGGACCGACGAGUAAAUUGUCGCUGCGUGUCCCAGCCCAGAUGCGUCGGCGCGAGAUGGAACACAAGGGGGAAAAAGGGAAUCGCGGCUCGUGUUAUCCUGCGCCCAGGGCGGAUGCGCUUGCAGUAGGGGGUUACAAGCGUUCGCGAGAGAGGAGAGCCUGCUCGUCAGCCCGUCCUCCCGCGCGGCCACCUUCUCGUACGAGGGCCCUGGACCUUCCUUUUAUAGAUGUAAGGAGAGGGUCCAGGUGUACAAUGGGGGGUGUAUCAAUAUGCUAACGUGUCCAGCAGAGAGGAGCCAGAGCCCUAUGUACAUGUCCACGUGGCUGUCGGAGAGGUGCUAGUGCCCUGUGCAUGUGGCGUCGUGGCCGUCGGAUUAGCGCUUAAGUCCUGUAGAAGCACAGCUGUCGGGGCUGAAGGGACCUUGCUGACGUCUCCUUGCUUCCGUAGGGGGCUGAGAACCGCCGUCGUCAUGGGAGCACACGGGGUGUCAUCAUUACUUGUUUACCGGGGCGAGCCAGAUGGGAUGCCGGUCUUGUUCCCCGUAGCCUGAGCUAGCUAGGGGUAGGGUAAUGAUGUACCCCCUAUGACGUGGUCAGUCUGAGCCUAAGGUCGGGCGAGGUGGUGACUCCUCCGAGGUCGAGGUCGAGGCCGAGCCCUGGGGUCGGGCGAGACGGAGUCCAUCUUCCGAGGUCGAGGCGGAGGCCGAGCCCCGGGGUCGGGCGAGGCGGAGACUUCUCCCGAGGCCGAGGCGGGGGCCGAGCCCCUGGGUCGGGCGAGGCGGAGAUUUCUGUGGCGCCUGAGGCGGGACUUAGCUGUUGUCAGCCUCACCCUGGCGGGUGGCACAGCAGUCGGAGCAGGGCAGGCGGCGCUGUUUUCCUGUCGGGUCAGUAAGUGGAGGGGCGAAGUGACUGCGGUCACUUCGGCCCUGCCGACUGAGGAACGCGCGUCAGGAUAAAGUGUCAGGUGAUCCUUGCAUUGAAUGCUCCUGCGAUACAGUCGGUUGGCGAGGCGAUCUGGCCAAGGUUGCUUCACUGCGAAGCCUGCCCGGGCUGGGCCUCGGGUGAGUCGAGGGUGUGCCAGUUGCUUGAGGUGGCCCUCGGGCGAGGCGUGAAUCCGCCCUGGUCUACUGUUCCUGCCUAGGGCUAGGCUCGGGCGAGGUGAGAUCGUGUCCCUUGAGUGGACGGAGCCUUGACCUGAAUUGCGCCCAUCAGGCCUUUGCAGCUUGUGCUGAUGGUGAUUACCAGCCGAGUUUAGGAUUCUUGGGGGUACCCCUAAUUAUGGUCCCCGAUAGUAGCCCCCGAGCCUCAAAGGGAGUGUUGGUACUCGCUUGGAGGCUUUGUCGCACUUUUUUGCAAGGGGACCGGCCUUUCUCGGUUACAUUUUGUUUCGGUGGGUGCGCGCGAGCGCACCCACCGGGUGUAGCCCCCGAGGCCUCGGAGGAGUGGUUUGACUCCUCUGAGGUCUUAAUGCCUUUCGUGAUGCCUCGGCCGGUCUAAUUGUUCCCUCAUGCGAUCUGAUCGUAGCCCGGGUGCAUGGUCAGGUUCCGAGUUCUCGGGCUGGUAUGUUGACGCUGUCAACGGUUUGGCCGGAGCCGGGUUUGCGAGAGCAGCCCCCGAGCCUCUGCACGGAGCGAGAGGACGGUCAAGGACUGACUCGGCUUUUAUCAUACGCCCCUUCGUCACCUUUCCGCAAGGAGGAGGGGGGGAAAGCGCCAUGUUGCCCUCGGAGGGCGCCGAACAUGGUGUCUCCAGUGAGUUGCUAAUGGGUGAUCCGAGUGGACGGUCGUGCCUUGUUCGAUAAGGGUCGGCUAGUGGCCCAAAGGCGCGCUCCAAAAGUACCUGCAGGUGAUUUGCCGGACCCGGUCCCGUUUGAUAGGGUUCAAGGGCUCGAUGCCUCCCUCUGAUGGGAUUCUGUUAUAGAAUCGCUCCUGCUGGUCUCGGAAAUGUCCUAGGGUACCUCGAGAGCGUAGCUCGAGCCUCGGCCAUGUAUCGGACGUACCCAGAGUCAUCCCUCGCUCUGCGUGUUCUGGGGCGGCUGUCGAACCCUUCGGGGGGCCAGCCUUCGAACCCCUGAUCAGUAGUGGGCGUGGAGCCCGAGUGGUCUGAGGCGACUGUCGAACCCUUCCGAGGGGCCAGCCUUCGAACCUCUGAUCAGUAAUGAGCCUGAAGCCCGAGUGCUCUGGGGCGGCUGUCGAACCCUUCCGAGGGGCCAGCCUUCGAACCCCUGAUCAGUAGGAGGGCUCGGGGCCCACUUCAUUCGCGGAGAAGGAUCCCUUUCGGAGUAUCCCCUUUCCCGGUCCCUGUAGCAAGAGAGAGGAAGGGGAGAAGGAAAAGGAUAUGAAUUUAAACGGCGUGGCACACCUUUUUUGACGCGGUCAUCAUGGCGGAGGUGAAACGUUGCCCGCUUCGCCUGCCAAAGGUGUCGCGUGCCCUGCCGCGAAGUUAAUGCGAUGGGACGGGUGGUUCGCGCGGCAGCCGCUGUGCGUGCCGUUCGAGGAACGGGUGUUGCGCCUUCACACCGUGGGAGAGGGCUCUCCUGCUACUCCAGGAGGGGACGUGAGCCUGCGAACGAUUUGACCGCCGCUUCCGCUCGCCUGCUGCCGCCAUUACUGCCGGCCCACUUUUAGCCAUAUCGACCGUCGCGCCUUCUCCCGCGGCUAACUGACCCAUGACCGAUGUGCUCGGUUGGCACUGUUGGGCCAUGCGCGCGGUUGCCUCGAGUCGCAGCACCGGUUCCGCAGUCGAGAAGGCGCGGCAUUGUCGUAAGUGGCGGUGCAGUUUUCCGCACGUAGUAACCGGUGCGCCGGUUACAUGACGUGUGGGCCUGGGACUCCAUGCUGGAUGUGUCGAAGUCGAAGGGGUGCAUCUCCGUGGUGCAGUUGCAUGCCACCUGCAUGGCGGUCCGCCCUUUCAUCCGCUGGUUUAGGCGAAAGUGGAGGAGUGCUUGUAACCGCUGGGCGGUUACACGCUCCGCGUGCGGCGGUCUGGCUUCUUCUGUCCCGGACCAGCUUGCAUGACGUGUGGGACCCAGCCCCGUGUCGUGGGGGGAGGACCCUGGAGCGCGUUGGUGAAGACUUAGUCUGCGACACCUGAGGAUGCGAGUGGGGAGAGUCGCCUUUAAAAAGGGGUCGACCUCCUGGGUGGUAGCCACGCCUUCGCACUCCCCUCAUGCAUUGCGCCCUUCCUCCUUCGAGCCCCUAGAUGGGGAGCAUCCGAGUUGCUUUCGUCUUGCUGUUGUUGGAGGAGCGCAACUUCGCGGAGGUUGGCACCUUUCAGCCAUCGCUUGGCUUCAAGGAUUUUCAUCAAGUAGUCUGGCUGCAUCCCCUCACCAAUGGUCACGCAGGAGGGUGACCACCGGUUCAAUGGUGGGGAGAAGCGAGCCGGGCUGCAACCUCUGCCCCACCCUCAGCUUCAAGGAUCUUCAUCAUCCUUGCUGGGGAGGAGGGCGAGCUGAGCCGGAGCUCUACCUCCCGUAUGGGCCAGCGGACCAUCUCUUCCUUCAGCAUUCAGAGGAGAGGGCUCUCACCGGCCUAGCGGAGGGGCAGACUUUGACAACACGGGGUCGGUCGGCCGCAAGCGUUGUCAGCUCCAGCGUGUUUGGCUCGCUGGCUCAGCUGGCUCUGGCGCAGCUUUCGGUGCCCCCUCCCACCGCUGGAGUGGAGUGUGGCUGUCUGCCCUCUGUACGGGUGGUUGUUGCGUCGUGCGCACCGAGGGACCGUCCAGGACAUCGUACGCCGCUAGGGCGACGUUCGUGUUCUUGGAUUGUCUUGUCCUCGCUCCGGCACGACGCCUCCGCGUGGGGGUCGGUGCCCGUCCAUCCGGGAGGACUUGAGUGGGGAUCUGCCGGUGGGCAGGUGACUGCUUGUCGUCGGCGCUGAGGCGGCGGCAGCCGGAGAAGGUUUCUCCACCGACGAGACCCCCCCCCCCCCCGCGGACUAACCUCCGCUCUUCGGCUUUGAUAGCUUGUCCUCGCCCCUCGAGUGGGGACGCGGGCGAGGGCCUUGUCGCAGCAGCGUCUGCCCUAAGGUCAUCACUGCUGCUGUUUAGCCACCCGGAGCGGAGGUCGUUGUCGCUCCUAACGGAGCGGGCAGCGGCGAGCCACCUGGAAUUUGUCAUCCCACAGGCCCUCCGAUGUGGGGGGUUGUUCGUACCCGCGGGAGUGGAACCGGAGUUCCGUUUGUAAUGGCACCUUGAGUGCCGGUGUAUGUUCAUUGCGGCUGUCGGGGCCUGAACAUCUGUGUAUUUGGGCGUGAAGCCGUGUUUUCUGUAACACCCCUGGUGUUACUGUAACUAAAACUUGAGCAUGACAUCAUAAACAUUGGCAUUGCAUAUGAUUGACACACCUAGAAUGCAUUCACUAGGUAAAAAUUUCAAACAAGUUGUAUUGUUGUAGCAUUUUGCAAAUAGAACCCUGGAUAGGGAACUUAACCCUAAAUAGGGACUAUAGGGGUAAAACAUAACCCAAAUUGAGAAAACCUAAAAGCUUUAGGGGAAUAGUCAUAAAAUGUUCCCAAGAAUGAACUUAAAUCACAUUUAUACCCCUGAGAUACCAAAAACCCCAUGGGAACCCUGGAAAACCAUAAGUCCAAACCCUAGGGGCCUAUGUGCAAAAAUUGUGCACAUUUGGACUAAUGUGUAAAAACUAUAAUGUUAAAGCAUAUAAAGUCACAUGGUUCACAUUUGGGAAGAUUUACAAGCCAAACCCUAAGUUUUGGAUUCAUUUGCAAAAAGGACCCCAAUUGAGAUUUCACUCUAAGUCUGAAUUUCAGAUUUGUGAGCUUAACUUUGGAGCUUUGCAUCUUUCAAAUUCUAGGGUUUUCGCCCUAAGGCACCACAUCAAAGUUGUAGACCAAUCAUAGGAGAACAACUUUGCUUAAGUGUAUGAGCUCAAUUGUUGAGGAAAAUCUAGAGAUAGUUGAGCCCAAAGUUGGACUGUCAGACUACUUAAAGCCUGAAAUCAGAUUGACAGUGGACUGACAUCAACUUCAAGCCCAAUUUCAAGCAUGAUCCAUUGGCUUUUUGUGGUAACACCAUAUAGCAAUGUUGUAGAUGGUAUAUUGCUCUACAAUUUUGCUACAAUGUGUUGAUCAUAUUGCCAUAGGAAUCUGGGAGAAAAUCAAGCUCCAAGAUGCUCUGUCAGGUCGACUGAAUGGGGAUUGCCAUGGUACAGUAAGUUCUAAACUGAAGAAGAUCCCGACUCAACCCCUGCUUGUCGCCGGUGGUCCGUCGCCGUUGAUCGAUUGCUCACCGUGAUUCGUGUGCCGUGGCCAUCAGAUAAGCACAGCCCAGUAAAAAUCUCAGCGUCUGAUCCACUUGCGCUCGGUUGCGGCUAAGCUUGUCGUACUCCCCCAGCUCGUCGGUUGCUCGGAUAACUCUCACCGUCGUCGUGCUGUCGCUGUUGCGCACCAAGUGCCUUAGCACUGGACUUCAUCGCGGUGACUCACUGGAUUGCAUGUCCGGCGAUCACCGGAGUAAGCGCCACGGUGAAAGCCACCCACCCCUUGCUCCAGUAUUCUUGUUUCCCUCCGGCCGCCGCGCGUCAUCGCCUAAAUUCGCGGCCACCGCUCGAGGGCUCUAUAAAUUGACCUCGCCCGUAGCUCCUCAGAUAGUCAAGCAACUCCUACAUCAAUCCGUGCCCUGAAUUAUCCACCCGAGAGCCUCAGUUUAGGAUUUUCCCCCAAAUCCACCAAGAACACCGUGCGAUGUGUGCUCCCCGUGGUUAGCCUAUUCCAGGUGAAUUCAUACUCCUCUAUUGAUUGUUCUAGCAUCCCUAGGCUCUCCUAAAACACCUCGAACCCUUUAAUUGUACUGGACUGCCAUGAAUCACCGAGAACGCGCUCAUCGGUCCGCAAUGUCCACGGUCGCCGUGGCCAUGGUAAACCAUUUGGCCAUAGAUGAAAUUGUGUUGGGGGAAAUCGUCAGGGUAGGUCCAAUUUCGUGUCCGUUGCUCGGGGCCGCCAGUCUUGGCUCCCUUCAGCCGGUACAGGUGCUCGCCGGAGCUCCACAGCGUGCGCCGUUGUCGGGGACCUCCCCCUGCAAAGAAAUAGAACGUGGAGGGUUUUUUGCGCAAACUGUCAGUGACACAGAUAAAUAGUAACUAAACUCGUUUCCAAUUAGCCAGAACUCCGAGGAUCCUUCUGCAAAAUCGCCAGCGCGGACGCGCGCAUGGGCACACUUCUGCCCUAACUGGGCCGACGCAGGCCAGUUUGAGCCCAGUACUGUUUAGAAUUUCCCUUUUCUUUUUCAGUGGAACUUUAGAAAUAUGUAGAAAAUUAUAGAAAAUUCAUAAAAUUGUCAAACUAAUUUUGUUAGACUUCUUGUUUUCCAUAGGAUUUAAUAAAAUUAGUUUCAUGAUUUUUAUAUUAAAUAAGGAAUUUUAAGGCAUUUAAAGUAGAUUAAAACAUUAGUUCUGGAUUUUUAGAAAAUAAAUGGUUAUCCCAAAAAUGCCCAAACUUUUUAUAUGAGCUCUACACAUUAGUUAGUAGCCAUGGGUAGAAUUUGGUUUGAUUUGAACCUUGUUUGAUAACUAGAACCCAAAACCCCACCCCUGCCCUUUGAACUCCUUUACUGACUCUGGAAACCCUAAGUUCUCGGAGUUCCGUGAACGAAAGUUGUAUUCAAGACUUAGAUAAUAAAUCCUUAUUAUCUUUGCACUCUCAUGAGCAUUACAUAGCAUUCAAUCUUAUAUACACAUAUGUAUGGUUAUGAUUAGAAAACGAAGAAGAGAUCGAAGUGACCGAAGAGAAGACACCACCACCUUCAGAAUCUCAGGCCGGAAAUUGUUUCUAAUUUGAUAUCUACGGGUCCGAGCCUGACUCACCUACUAAUGAAGGCAAGCCCCGGUGCAUUUGCCACCCUCCUUGAUGUUUUUAAAAUCUUUCUCACUUGCUUGAUGCAUUAGGUGAUAGGAGUUGAUUGAUUAAACAAUUCUUGCAUUACCUUUCUUGAAUUUGAUUACCUUCCUUGAUCACCCGUUUUACAAAAGAUUUUGAUGCUUAGCCUUGCUUUAGAAAAACAAAAUGUUUUGUUUUACAAAAGAUGAUAUGGCAAAAGUGGGUGGGAUGUUUUCGAAAAUAAAACUUGAUGGUGGAUCCAUCACGGCCGUGAUGGGUUCAACAUCGGAAAAGAUGUACCUCUGCCAGGUACCAAACUUUGGGUUUGAAAUAAUUAAGCUGAGACCGGGCGGGUGACUUGCACGAGAAAGGAGUCUCGGUGUAGUGUCUCUGUCUGAGUCGAUUAAGGACCGUGUCGAUGUAGGCCUGCUGACCGAGGACCCUUUAACUGGUCACAUGCCUCGUCAUGGGUAAGCCUUGCCUCGGGCAGACUAAGGCCAGAAUAAGAUAACACGAAAUGGGCGUGGAGCGGUGGCGGGAGUAGUGUGUACCCUCCGUAGCAAGAGGCUGGACGGUGGUGUAUCUGUGCUCUCGGUUUGCGUGAACCUGAUCUGGUCUUAAGAACCCCGGUGGCGGGUUGACAUAUGCAAGGGUUAAGUGCUACAUAUGUCGUGUGAUUGGAGAUCCUCAGCUGAGUAUAAUCGAUUCGGAUCGCCGUACCUUCGCGGUUAUGAAGACUUGGUCACUGACUUAUACGUAGCAAUCCAGUAAAGAUGAUGGGUUUGUUAAGAAAUUGGCUAGUGUAGGUCAAGUGAUUGAACUAGGGUAGAAAGAACUCUAGUUGUAGGUAAUUCUACUUAACUUGGCAAAUAAAACUGGAUUUUUAAGGAUCCACUUUAGUAAGCAUUUCUGCAAAACAGAGUCUUUGAUUAUUGAGAAGCCUUACCUUGACUCCCUUAAGCCAGCAUACCCUUGAGAGUCUUUUCUUUAGUCGGGUAAGACUUGCUGAGUAAUUCCAUACUCAGGGUUUAUUCCCCCGUUGUUUUUAGGUGAGGAAGCGACAAAUUUUUGUUGCUUUUGCUCCAAGGUGGUUCCAAAGGAAGAAAAACAAGAAUGAAGUGCGGGAGGAAAGGAUCCUCCAUUAGGACUUUUGUUUAAAAACUAUCGGGAGGAGUUUUUGCCUCCCUUGGUAUUGUAAUAAUACUAAUCAGCACUCGUUUUAUAGCUCUGGUCUGUAAUAAAUAACUUGAUCUUACUUUCUAAAUAAAUGUAAGUUAUGUAAUCGCUUCCGCAUUUCUAUAUCUCCGAUGUUCUGUAAUGUCUGCAAGACGGGUGAAACGUUCCUGGAAAGGUAAGAAAGAAGAUACCGAACUUGUCGAGUGAUUCAGGAACAUCUACAGGGUUGUCUGAUGUCUGUUGGACAAGGACAACUGUAGGUGGGCCUAAUUACUUGGGAGGUUCCGUCACAGCUGGUAUCAGAGCGAAGCCCUUCUCUGCAGAUAUUAUGAGGCAUCUUCAAAAGGAAUUUCUAAAGACUUACCUAGAAAAUCUCUUCUCUUCUUACCUAAGUAUUCUGAAGAGUUUAUCUUAAAGACCAGGUAGUAAGAGUGCAACAUAUAGAAGGUGUGAAUCAACUACGGUUGAUUCUGUAAUUAUACAUGCAUCAUGCUAAGAACUAUACUAAUCAAAUUUUCCCCCUUAGAAAAUGCUGUCGUGCACCAGAAAGACCGCGCGCCAAUCUACUAGACCCAUUGGCGUACCCCACCAUUAACUUGCCCCAAGACAUGAAGAAAGUAGUAGUGGUAGCAACGAUCCUAUCUGGGAUCUGGAAGUGCAAGUCGAACUGCUUCAAUCAGAACUCCGUCACAGGAAUGAUUUAUGGGUUGCGGAUGCAGCCAUCCGCUACUUGCAAGACCAACUCGCGAAACGAGAUCUAGCGCUCGAUUGGGCGGUUAACUCUCGUCCACUCACCUGGGCUAAGGAAGCCAAAGCUCGAGCCCGCGUGGAGGAGCUUAGCUCAGCCAUGGAUAACUUACAGGUCUAUUAUAAUACACUACAUGAAGAAGUUCAUGUGUUGUAUUCACAACUGCACCCGAAUGUCCCUGUGGAUCCUGUCGGGAUGGAAGCCGGACCUUUUCAUAUAGCUGGAGAAGCACUUGGUGGUGAACCGAACAUUUUCAGGACCCCCUCCCUCUAUGAAGUUGGUUGACGAAUGGUCUCCUACGCCCGACAGUAAAGCUACCAAAAGUGAAAAGAAGUGGCUUGUCAAGUGCCCGUAACAUUGGCUGGACGGGACUUUCCUACAAAUAUGAUUGUUCCAAAAGGCCAAGACAUAGAUGUCAUCUUGGACAUGAACUGGUUAGCCCAGCAUAAAGCAAUUCUCAACCCUGAUCUGAGAACCAUCAGGUUGAGUUAUGGCCAAUAGAGAGUUGGUAACUUGAUUUCCUAAACCCAAGAUUAGGCUAUAUUCGUAUUUAGUGAACCAUGACCCGACCCAAAGUUGAAUUUUUCGUUAUCACUCCAUGACCACACCCAUACAGAUAAAUGCCUAGAUAAUUUCUUUGUCGGACCUAAAGUGUACCUGGACUUCAAACAAGGAUCUCAAGUCAUGUCUCCUUUUAGCACCAUUCUCAUGUUCAGCUGAUGCAGGUUGAGGUCUCCAUUGUAUUUGGCCUCUCCUUGCGGAUCGCCAUGAUGCUUUAUUAACCCAACCUAGGAAAGACAUGUCCGACCAUUUUCUUGAAUUUGAUGCCUUUGGUUUCUUCAUAUCUAUCAAAGGCAUACCAACUUAAUCCUUGACCUUGUGCUCUUUGCAAUGGGCAUAGAAAUAUGCUUGGGGCUGAAUUAACAGUCUCCCAUCGUACUUCUUCAUCAAGUUUAGGUUAUGGCCAUUUCAACGGGCCAUAAACUAUUUGGCGCUCUACUUGUAACCAUCUUUACUAGUGGAGUAUCUCUUUGCAUAUUGUCACCCUUGCCCAAUCCAUUAGUGUCAUGCGAGAUUUCUUAUUGGUUACGUCUAGCAAUGGCGUUAUGACUAAAACCGAUGGCGCCGCGAUGAAACCGAGGGCCUCCUAUGGAUGCACACACAUGGUUGCGCUACUUGGCAUCCGCUGGUAUCACCGUUAGUAGUCAUAAUCCAUUAUUAGACUAUAUCGAUAUGUUGUCUUUGCGUAAAUUGUUCUUACCUCGUGAGAUUCAUUAUUGGUGCCAGUUUUGUAAUGGUGUCAUGGUUAAGAACUUAUGGUACCGCGACGAAACUGAGAGCCUCCUGUGAAUGUGCACACAGGAUUUUGCUGCUUAGCGCAUGUCGGUAUCGAGGUCUCUAGUCAUGAUCCAUUAUGGAAUUACACUGAUGUGUUAUCUUCCAUUGACCUUUCUCUUGAAACAAUUUCUAUGUUGUUUGUGAUAGAGAUCAAGCAACAUCUGUCAUUUUCGUUGGAUCAAAAGGGCAUACCACUUUCAUGUGUGGUCUUAUUUCUUUUGAUCUUGGUAGUGACUACUCAUACAAGUUCCCUUUACAUCCUUUGUGUAAAGGUGAAGCCUUGGAGCUUUUUAGUGUAAGAAAACAACUGAUUAGCUCUCAAAAUAGAGAUAUGUUUCCCCUGCUGCUGAAAUGCAGGAGUUUGUUCAUUCGCUCUCUUAUUUAAUCCAUGUAUUCCCUAACCAAGUGGAUAAUUCAUCUCGCAUGAGAAAAACGGAUGAACAACUUGACCAAAUAAAAUUUUUACCCACAUACAUAACCUCUUAUUAACAAAGAGUGAACUCUCAACCCUUGGCUUACCAAUGGUAUUGAGAGGAUUUGCUUAAUGUCAAAAGUAGUUCAACAAGUUGGUUUUGACUAACUUGUAACUGCCCGAUGAACGAAGGCUGAGUUUAGAGAUCGUUUUAUCGAGUUGUCUAAACUCACUUUGGUUCAACCCACCCUAAAGAAAGUACGUACCAAAAUCAAAUUAAGUCGACCAUUAAAUUAUCGCUCUAGUCGCGCUUCGACCGCCUCACGCGUGCUUUUCCUGUGUGUGUGAUCAUGCCGAUCCAUGACUAGUGCUGGAUAAAAUGGACUGGUUGCAAAGUCCGCAUUUACAGAUCCCUCCGCUGGUGAUUUUUCCUGAAUCUAUAUCACCUUUCGUGGUCUUGGAUUCCCUGGCUAACACGAGUUGACCGUGAUGUUAUUCGACAUUCACACCCGCCUCGUGUGCUAUGAACUUACUAUAACCACUUGUUGGUAAACCUCUUUCUGUGUGUUUUACCCAAGAUGGUGCAUCUGAUUCUGUUUGGGUAAAAUCGCGUAAUUGCUGCUCGCCCAACAGACUCAGAUAGUACAGUGUCAUCAGAAGAAGCAAACAUGGAACCUUAUGUGUUCUUCUGGCUGACAUCGUCUCUAUUAGUGGGCAAAGAUGAAAAUUGAAAUUGCACGCUAUGUGGCUAGAUGUGACACUUGUAAACGUGUCAAGGCCAAACACAUGAAGGCUGCUGGUCCAUUACAAUCUUUGCCGAUCCCAACAUGGAAAUGGGAAGAUAUUAGUAUGGACUUCAUUGUGGGAUUACCCAGGACUACAAAAGGGUAUGAUUCUAUCUGGGUUAUAAUUGAUCGGCUUACGAAAAUUUCUCAUUUUCUGCCAGUCAAGACAGAUCACCCGGUUACUAUCUAUGCCCAAUUGUAUAUUGCUCGUAUUCUUAGUCUGCAUGGUGUUCCAAAAACCAUAGUGUCGGAUCGUGGACCUCAAUUUGUAGCCAAGUUUUGGGAAGCACUUCACAAAUCCUUGGGUACUAAGUUGCUCCAUAGUUCGGCCUACCAUCCUCAAACCAGUGGGCAGACUGAGAGGGUAAAUCAGAUACUGGAAGAUAUGCUGCGAGCGUGUGUUCUGGAAUUUCCACAAAAAUGGGAUGAAUGUUUGCCGUUAGCGGAAUUCUCAUAUAAUAAUAGCUAUCAAGAAAGCAUCAAGAUGGCACCCUUUGAAGCUUUAUAUGGACGACGAUGUCGUACUCCGCUAAACUGGUCUGAACCUGGUGAAAGGUACUUCUUCAGGCCUGAUAUGGUGAAAGAGACCGAAGAAAGAGUUCAAAGAAUAAUUCAUAAUUUGAAGAAAGCUCAAGCUCGUCAAAAGAGUUAUGCAGACAAACGGUGAAUGCCCUUAUACUUCCUUGUGGGAGACUAUGUCUACCUAAAGGUUUCGCCAAUAAAGGGUGUAUCACGUUUCAGGGUUAAAGGGAAGCUUGCACCCAGGUACAUUGGUCCAUUCCCUAUACUUGAGCAAUGUGGACCAGUGGCAUACCGACUUCAACUACCCGAAAUUUUGUCUGCUAUACAUAAUGUGUUCCACGUGUCACAAUUGAAGAAGUGUCUUCGGGUUCCCGAUUGAACCAUUGAAGUAACAAAUGUUGUCCUUGAACCGGACUUGACAUCUUCUGAGCACCCUAUUCGAGUCUUGGAUCAAAAGGACAGGAUUACCCGAAGAAAAACUCUCAAGUUCUACAAGAUACAGUGGAACCAACAUUCCGAAGAUGAGGCUACAUGGGAAACUCAAGACUUUUAGAUAAGAAUUUCCCAGGCUUUUUAGCCUCUUGUAAUUUGUAAAGCAUGUGUAGCUGUUAUAAUAAAGGAGUGAGUUCCCAACCACCCCUGCCUUGUACCAAGAAUAAGGAAAUAAAAACGUGAUGUGUUUCCUUUACCAUUACUUACCCUAGGACUUUUAAUCUCGCGACGAGAUUCUUUUAUGGGGGGAAGGAUGUAACACCCCUGGUGUUACUGUAACUAAAACUUGAGCAUGACAUCAUAAACAUUGGCAUUGCAUAUGAUUGACACACCUAGAAUGCAUUCACUAGGUAAAAAUUUCAAACAAGUUGUAUUGUUAUAGCAUUUUGCAAAUAGAACCCUGGAUAGGGAACUUAACCCUAAAUAGGGACUAUAGGGGUAAAACAUAACCCAAAUUGAGAAAACCUAAAAGCUUUAGGGGAAUAGUCAUAAAAUGUUCCCAAGAAUGAACUUAAAUCACAUUUAUACCCCUGAGAUACCAAAAACCCCAUGGGAACCCUGGAAAACCAUAAGUCCAAACCCUAGGGGCCUAUGUGCAAAAAUUGUGCACAUUUGGACUAAUGUGUAAAAACUAUAAUGUUAAAGCAUAUAAAGUCACAUGGUUCACAUUUGGGAAGAUUUACAAGCCAAACCCUAAGUUUUGGAUUCAUUUGCAAAAAGGACCCCAAUUGAGAUUUCACUCUAAGUCUGAAUUUCAUAUUUGUGAGCUUAACUUUGGAGCUUUGCAUCUUUCAAAUUCUAGGGUUUUUGCCCUAAGGCACCACAUCAAAGUUGUAGACCAAUCAUAGGAGAACAACUUUGCUUAAGUGUGUGAGCUCAGUUGUUGAGGAAAAUCUAGAGAUAGUUGAGCCCAAAGUUGGACUGUCAGACUACUUAAAGCCUGAAAUCAGACUGACAGUGGACUGACAUCAACUUCAAGCCCAAUUUCAAGCAUGAUCCAUUGGCUUUUUGUGGUAACACCAUAUAGCAAAGUUGUAGAUGGUAUAUUGCUCUACAAUUUUGCUACAAUGUGUUGAUCAUAUUGCCAUAGGAAUCUGGGAGAAAAUCAAGCUCCAAGAUGCUCUGUCAGGUCGACUGAAUGGGGAUCGCCAUGGUACAGUAAGUUCUAAACUGAAGAAGAUCCCGACUCAACCCCUGCUUGUCGCCGGUGGUCCGUCACCGUUGAUCGAUUGCUCGCCGUGAUUCGUGCGUUGUGGCCAUCAGAUAAGCCACCCACCCCUUGCUCCAGUAUUCUUGUUUCCCUCCGGCCGCCGCGCGUCAUCGCCUAAAUUCGUGGCCACUGCUCGAGGGCUCUAUAAAUUGACCUCGCCCAUAGCUCCGUCAGGUAGUCAAGCAACUCCUACAUCAAUUCGUGCCCUGAAUUAUCCACCCGAGAGCCUCAGUUUAGGAUUUUCCCCCAAAUCCACCAAGAACACCGUGCGGUGUGUGCUCCCCGUGGUCAGCCUAUUCCAGGUGAAUUCAUACUCCUCUGUUGAUUGUUCUAGCAUCCCUAGGUCUCCUAAAACUCCUCGAACCCUUUAAUUGUACUGGACUACCAUGAAUCACCGAGAACGCGCUCAUCGGUCUGCAAUGUCCACGGUCGCCGUGGCUAGGGCAAACCAUUUGGCCAUAGAUGAAAUUGUGUUGGGGGAAAUCGUCAGGGUAGGUCCAAUUUCGUGUCUGCCGCUCGAGGCCGCCAGUCUUGGCUCCCUCUAGCCGGUACAGGUGCUCGCCGGAGCUCCACAGCACGCGCCGUUGUCGGGGACCUCCCCCUGCGAAGAAAUAGAACGUGGAGGGUUUUUGCGCAAACUGUCAGUGACACAGAUAAAUAGUAACUAAACCCGUUUCCAAUUAGCCAGAACUCCGAGGAUCCUUCUGCAAAAUCGCCAGUGCGGACGCGCGCAUGGGCGCACUUCUGCCCUAACUGGGCCGACGCAGGCCAGUUUGAGCCCAGUACUGUUUAGAAUUUCCCUUUUCUUUUUCAGUGGAACUUUAGAAAUAUGUAGAAAAUUAUAGAAAAUUCAUAAAAUUGUCAAACUAAUUUUGUUAGACUUCUUGUUUUCCAUAGGAUUUAAUAAAAUUAGUUUCAUGAUUUUUAUAUUAAAUAAGGAAUUUUAAGGCAUUUAAAGUAGAUUAAAACAUUAGUUCUGGAUUUUUAGAAAAUAAAUGGUUAUCCCAAAAAUGCCCAAACUUUUUAUAUGAGCUCUACACAUUAGUUAGUAGCCAUGGGUAGAAUUUGGUUUGAUUUGAACCUUGUUUGAUAACUAGAACCCAAAACCCCACCCCUGCCCUUUGAACUCCUUUACUGACUCUGGAAACCCUAAGUUCUCGGAGUUCCGUGAAGGAAAGUUGUAUUCAAGACUUAGAUAAUAAAUCCUUAUUAUCUUUGCACUCUCAUGAGCAUUACAUAGCAUUCAAUCUUAUAUACACAUAUGUAUGGUUAUGAUUAGAAAACGAAGAAGAGAUCGAAGUGACCGAAGAGAAGACACCACCACCUUCGGAAUCUCAAGCCGGAAAUUGUUUCAACUUUGAUAUCUGCGGGUCCGAGCCUGACUCACCUACUAACGAAGGCAAGCCCUGGUGCAUUUGCCACCCUCCUUGAUGUUUUUAAAAUCUUUCUCACUUGCUUGAUGCAUUAGGUGAUAGGAGUUGAUUGAUUAAACAAUUCCUGCAUUACCUUCCUUGAAUUUGAUUACCUUCCUUGAUCACCCAUUUUACAAAAGAUUUUGAUGCUUAGCCUUGCUUUAGAAAAACAAAAUGUUUUGUUUUACAAAAGAUGAUAUGGCAAAAGUGGGUGGGAUGUUUUCGAAAAUAAAACUUGAUGGUGGAUCCAUCACGGCCGUGAUGGGUUCAACAUCGGAAAAGGUGUACCUCUGCCAGGUACCAAACUUUGGGUUUGAAAUAAUUAAGCUGAGACCGGCGGGUGACUUGCACGAGAAAGGAGUCUCGGUGUAGUGUCUCCGUCUGAGUCGAUUAAGGACCGUGUCGAUGUAGGCCUGCUGACCGAGGACCCUUUAACUGGUCACAUGCCUCGUCAUGGGUAAGCCUUGCCUCGGGCAGACUAAGGCCAGAAUAAGAUAACACGAAAUGGGCGUGGAGCGGUGGUGGGAGUAGCGUGUACCCUCUGUAGCAAGAGGCUGGACGGUGGUGUAUAUGUGCUCUCGGUUUGCGUGAACCUGAUCUGGUCUUAAGAACCCCGGUGGUGGGUUGACAUAUGCAAGGGUUAAGUGCUACAUAUGUCGUGUGAUUGGAGAUCCUCAGCUGAGUAUAAUCGAUUCGGAUCGCCGUACCUUCGCGGUUAUGAAGACUUGGUCACUGACUUAUACGUAGCAAUCCAGUAAAGAUGAUGGGUUUGUUAAGAAAUUGGCUAGUGUAGGUCAAGUGAUUGAACUAGGCUAGAAAGAACUCUAGUUGUAGGUAAUUCUACUUAACUUGACAAAUAAAACUGGAUUUUUAAGGAUCCACUUUAGUAAGCAUUUCUGCAAAACAGAGUCUUUGAUUAUUGAGAAGCCUUACCUUGACUCCUUAAGCUAGCAUACCCUUGAGAGUCUUUUCUUUAGUCGGGUAAGACUUGCUGAGUAAUUUCAUACUCAGGGUUUAUUCCCCCGUUGUUUUUAGGUGAGGAAGCGACAAAUUUUUGUUGCUUUUGCUCCAAGGUGGUUCCAAAGGAAGAAAAACAAGAAUGAAGUGCAGGAGGAAAGGAUCCUCCAUUAGGACUUUUGUUUAAAAACUAUCGGGAGGAGUUUUUGCCUCCCUUGGUAUUGUAAUAAUACUAAUCAGCACUCGUUUUAUAGCUCUGGUCUGUAAUAAAUAACUUGAUCUUACUUUCUAAAUAAAUGUAAGUUAUGUAAUCGCUUCCGCAUUUCUAUAUCUCCGAUGUUCUGUAAUGUCUGCAAGACGGGUGAAACGUUCCUAGAAAGGUAAGAAAGAAGUUACCGAACUUGUCGAGUGAUUCAGGAACAUCUACAGGGUUGUCUGAUGUCUGUUGGACAAGGACAACUAUAGGUGGGCCUAAUUACUUGGGAGGUUCCGUCACAUUUUCCCCUUGUUUCGAGUAUUGGGACUCGCCUGUCGACUAGCUGAGGCGCUUAACCGAGUGUGAGUUGCUUUGCGCGGAAGGUGACGAGUGAGGUAUCCGUACCCCGGAGGCGUAGGAGUCCCUCGGCUCGGUCGGCCUUGCCGCUCAAGGCUUCUCUUGCUCAGUUAAGAAACCCUCGGCUGCUCUGCGAUGAGCCGGAGCCGGAGGCAGCGGUGUCAGCAUGGACAGAGGCAGAGUCGGCUCGAAAAAGGGGCUUCGUCGGCCCAGGAGCAGGCGGCUUCCCAGGCCGAGGAGGUGCAGCGGCGGCGACCGGAGCCUGGCCGGGUCAUCCGUGAGCGAGAACAUCUUCGGAGUUAUGCUGCCAAGGCCAUGAGCCGGGCUGAUGUCCUCGGGGGACAGCUGGCUGAGGUUACGGAGCAGCCGGUCGAGGUGUUUGCCCGGGCCAGGACCCUGGAGGAGACCCUAGCGGCGAUGGCCCAGGCGCGGUGCCGACAUCUUCCUUCGAGGUGGAGGUCCUUCCGCCCGUGUCGCCGUCCGAGGCCGGGCCAGAUCCCGCCGAAGGUGGAAACAACACCGAGGGCGCUGCUGUUCCCUCUGUUGAUGUCUGAACCUGUAGGAACAGUUUGUCUGUAGCAUGCGUAUGUCUUUUGCGGCCGCCGAGGCCCAAACAUAUCAUUGUCGUGUUAUAAAGUUGUGUUUCUUUCCCUCUUGUUUCGAGUAUCAGGACUUGUUUGUCGGUAGCAGAAUUACUUGUCCGAGCGAGAGUGAGGUAUCCGUAUCCCGGAGGCGUAGGAGUCCCUCGGCUCGGUCGGCCUCGCCGCUUACGUGUACUCUUACUCGUCCGCAGGAUUCUGUUAUCGAUAUAGUCGAGAAGGCACGAAAAAUCGUUCUGGCAGAAAAGUUUUCGAGCGUUAAGACUUGUUCGGCCAGCAGAAUUGUUUAUCCGAGCGUGAGUUACUUAUCACAGAAGCUGAUGAGUGAGGUAUCCGUAUCCCGGAGGCGUAGGAGUCCCUCGGCUCGGUCGGCCUUGCCGCUUACGUGUACCCUGUCGUUUUCAGGAUCCCGCUAUCGAAGCAGUCGAAAAGCGCGAAAAGAUGUUCUGGCAGAAAGACUUUUUCCGAGGAAAAUUUUAACGCAGAGGGGGUUCCCCCCUUCUAGCCCCUGAGGGAGGGUCGGGCUUUGCCAAGGCAAGGCUGACCCUUCCUUGAUGGUUAGACUCUUUUUGUGUAUGUAAAGAGAACGAGGUAUAUGAACGACUUGAAAACAUCUUAAGGGUAAAAGCGACGUAGCUGUUGGAUGUUCCAAGCGUUGUUGUAGACCUCGCCUUGACUUUUGCCCAGCUUGUAUGUUCUGGACUUCAAAAUCUUGGCGAUGAUGAACGGCCCUUCCAGGGAGGAGUGAGCUUGUGGCGCCCUCGGGCGUCUUGCCGCAGCCGAAGUACCAAGUCCCCCACCUGGAGGUCUCGGGACCGAACCCCUCGGGCGUGAUAGCGUCACAGAGACUGCUGAUACCGCGCCGAGUGUAGUAAGGCCACGUCCCGAGCCUCCUCUAGCUGGUCCAAUGAGUCUUCUCGGCUGGCCUGGUUGCCUCGGUCGUCGUACGCCCUCGUCCUCGGGGAACCAUAUUCUAAGUCUGUGGGCAAGAUAGCCUCGGCCCCAUAGACUAGAAAAAACAGCGUGAAGCCCGUGGCUCGGCUUGGCGUCGUCCUCAGACUCCAGACCACCGAGGGGAGUUCCUUCAUCCAUCGCUUGCCGAACUUGUUGAGGUCGUUGUAGAUCCUCGGCUUAAGUCCCUGCAGAAUCAUGCCGUUGGCACGCUCCACCUGCCCAUUCGUCAUGGGGUGAGCUACGGCAGCCCAGUCCACAUGGAUGUGGUGGUCCUCGCGGGAGUCCAGGAACUUCCUGCCACUGAACUGGGUGCCGUUGUCGGUGAUGAUCGAGUUUGGGACCCAUAAGCGAUGGAUGAUGUUGGUGAAGAAUUCCACCGCCUGCUCGGACCUAAUGCUGUUUAGGGGUCGGACUUCAAUCCACUUGGAGAAUUUGUCGAUAGCGACCAGCAGGUGCGUGAAGCCCCCGGGUGCCUUCUGCAAGGGACCGAUGAGGUCCAAACCCCAGACAGCAAACGUCCAGGUGAUGGGUAUUGUUUGCAGGGCCUGAGCGGACAGGUGUGUCUAUCUUGCGUAGAAUUGACACCCCCGGCAGGAGCGUACAAUCCUAGUUGUGUCGGCCACCGCGGUGGGCCAGUAGAAACCAUGUCGGAAAGUGUUUCAACGAGGGCUCGAGGUGCCGCGUGGUGACCGCAAGCCCCCGAGUGUAUUUAUUGCAAUAGCUCCUGACCUUCGGUGAUGGAUAUGCAUCGUUGGAGGAUGCCUGAGGGGCUGCGGUGGUAGAGCUCCCUUUCAUCACCCAGUAAAACGAACGACUUGGCACGCCGCGCCAGUCGCCGAGCUUCGGUUCUGUCGAGGGGUAGCUCUCCUUGGUGGAGAUAUUGCAGGUACGGGGUCUGCCAGUUUCGAUUAGGCGCGACCCCAUUCCGCUCUUCCUCGACGCGCAGUGCCUCACCCUCAGGGGGCGAGGGUGCCUCGGGCUGGGCCGAGGCCUCCUCAGGCUCGGGCGUGUCGUUUGUCUUGACGGAGGGUUGAUGUAGGUCUCGGGAGAAGACGUCCGGGGGAACCGUUGUCCGCCCCGAGGCUAUUUUAGCCAGCUCAUACGCAGUAUCGUUGUACCGUCGGGCGACGUGGUUGAGCUCGAGCCCGUAGAACUUGUCUUCCAGGCGCCGAACCUCGUCGCAGUAGGCCUCCAUCUUCGGGUCACGGUAGUGGGAGUUCUUCAUGACUUGGUCGAUGACAAGCUAUGAGUCGCCACGAGCGUCGAGGCGCCGAACCCCUAGCUCGAUGGCGAUGCGCAACCCAUUAACCAGAGCCUCGUACUCGGCCACAUUGUUUGACGCCGGGAAAUGGAGGCGCAACACGUAGCGUAGGUGCUUUCCGAGGGGUGAGAUGAAGAGCAGGCCCGCACCCGCUCUUGUUUUCAUCAGCGACCCAUCGAAAUACAUGGUCCAGAGUUCCGGUUGGAUCGGAGCUGCUGGAAGCCGGGUGUCGACCCAUUCAGCCACAAAGUCCACCAAGACUUGGGACUUGAUGGCCUUCCGAGGAGCGAACGAGAUUGCCUCGCCCAUGAUCUCCACCGCCCACUUUGCGAUCCUACCCGAGGCCUCUCGGCACUGGAUGAUCUCCCCCAGGGGGAAGGAUAACACCACAGUCACCGGAUGAGACUCGAAGUAGUGCCGCAACUUUCGUCGCGUCAGAAUUACUGCGUACAGUAGCUUCUGAAUUUGCGGGUAGCGGAUCUUGGUCUCGGAUAGCACUUCACUGAUGAAGUAAACUGGCCUCUGGACGAGCAAUGUAUGCCCUUCUUCUCGUCUCUCGACUAUGAUCGCGGCGCUGACCACCUGAGUGGUUGCGGCUACGUAGAUCAAGAGGGCUUCUCCCGUAGCGGGGGGUACCAAGAUGGGUGCGCUUGUAAGGAGCGCCUUUAAGUUCCCGAGGGCUUCCUCGGCCUCGGGGGUCCAAGUGAAGCGCUCGGUCUUCCUUAAGAGGCGGUACAAGGGUAGGCCUCUUUUGCCGAGGCGCGAGAUGAAGCGGCUCAGAGCCGCAAGGCAUCCCAUGACCCUCUACACUCCUUUCAAGUCCUUGAUAGGCCCCAUGUUGGUGAUGGCCGCGAUUUUCUCCGGGUUGGCCUCGAUGCCCCGCUCGGAGACGAUGAACCCCAGGAGCAUGCCUAGGGGGACUCCAAAGACACACUUCUCGGGAUUGAGUUUCACGCCCUUCGCUCUCAGACACUUGAAUGUCGUUUCAAGGUCAGAGAGGAGGUCAGAGGCUUUCCUCGUCUUGACUACGAUGUCAUCGAUGUAAGCCUCGACCGUUCGGCCGAUGUGCUCUCCGAACACGUGGUUCAUGCACCUUUGGUAUGUCGCGCCUGCAUUCCUCAAACCAAAUGGCAUAGUAAUAUAGCAGUACAUGCCAAAAGGUGUGAUGAAAGAAGUCGCGAGCUGAUCGGACUCUUUCAUCCUGAUUUGGUGAUACCCUGAAUAGGCAUCGAGGAAUGACAGGGUUUCGCACCCAGCGGUGGAAUCCACGAUUUGAUCGAUGCGAGGCAGAGGGUAGGGAACCUUUGGACAUGCCUUGUUUAGACCAGUGUAGUCUACACACAUCCUCCAUUUCCCACCUUUCUUUCUCACAAGCACAGGGUUGGCUAGCCAUUCGGGAUGGAAUACCUCUUUGAUGAACCCUGCAGCCAUCAGCUUGUGGAUCUCCUCGCCUAUGGCCCUGCGCUUUUCUUCGUUGAAUCGGCGCAGAGGCUGCUUCAUGGGUCGGGCUUCAGCUCGGAUAUCCAGCGAGUGCUCGGCAACAUCCCUCGAUAUCCCGGGCAUGUCCGAGGGACUCCAUGCAAACACCUCGGCGUUCGCGCGGAGAAAGUCGACGAGCACUGCUUCCUAUUUGGGGUCGAGCUCGGAGCCGAUCUGGACUUGCUUGCAGGCGCCGUUGCUGGGGUCGAGAGGGACGAACUUAACCGCCCCUACUGGCUCGAAGUUGCCGGCGUGGCGCUUCGCGUCUGGCACCUCCUUGGAGAGGCUCUCCAGGUCGGUGAAGGGCCUCAGCGUACUCCACACACUCCACGUCGCAUUUGUAUGCGUGUCGGUAUGUGGAGCCGACGGUGAUGACCCCGUUGGGGCCCGACAUCUUGAACUUGAGGUAGGUGUAGUUGGAGACGACCAUGGACUUGGCGUAGCAUGGUCUCCCCAGUACGGCGCGGUAGGUUCCUCGGAACCCGACUACCUCGAACGUGAGGGUUUCCUUUCGGAAGUUGGAGGGAGUCCCGAAGCAGACGGACAGAUUGAGUUGUCCAAGGGGCUGGACGCGCUUCCCGGGGAUGAUCCCGUGAAAGGGCACCACACCGGCCUGGAUCGUGGACAGAUCGAUCUGCAAGAGCCGAGGGUCUCGGCGUAGAUGAUGUUGAGGCUGCUGCCUCCGUCCAUGAGGACCUUGGUGAGCCUGACGUUGCCGAUGACGGGGUCGACAACAAGCGGGUACUUUCCUGGGCUCGGCACGCGGUCGGGGUGGUCGCCUUGGUCGAAGGUGAUGGGCUUGUCGAACCAGUCUAGGUAGACUGGCGCCGCCACCUUCACCGAGCAGACCUCCCGGCACUCCUGCUUGCGGUGUCGAGUCGAGGCGUUCGCCACCUGCCCACCGUAGAUCAUGAAGCAGUCAUGGACCUCGGGGAACUCUUCUGCCUUGUUGUCUUCCUUCUUGUCAUUGUCGUGGGCUCUGCCACCUUCCGCCGAGAGCCCGGCCUUAUGGAAGUAGCGCCGAAGCAUGACGCACUCCUCAAGGGUGUGCUUGACGGGACCCUGAUGAUAGGGGCACGACUCCUUGAGCAUUUUGUCGAACAGGUUGGCCCCUCUAGGAGGCUUCCGAGGGUUCCUGCGCUCGGUGGUGGCGACAAGAUCUGCGUCGGCGGCGUCGCGUUUCGCUUGCGACUUCUUCUUGGCCUUCUUCUUCAUGCCACGCUGGGCGGGCGCCUCGGGGACGUCCUCCUGUUGGCGUCCCUAAGGCUGCUUGUCCUUCCGGAAGAUGGCCUCGACCGCCUCCUGACCAGAGGCGAACUUGGUGGCGAUGUCCAUCAGCUCGCUCGCCCUGGUGGGAGUCUUGCGACCCAGUUUGCUCACCAGGUCGCGGUAAGUGGUACCGGCGAGGAACACGCCGAUGACAUCUGAGUCGGUGAUGUUGGGCAGCUCGGUGCGCUGCUUCGAAAACCACCGGAUGUAGUCCCGCAAAGAUUCCCCUGGCUGCUGGCGGCAGCUUCGGAGAUCCCAGGAGUUCCCAGGGCACACGUAUGUGCCCUGGAAGGUUCCAGUGAAGGCUUUGACCAGAUCGUCCCAGUUGGAGAUCUGCGCAGGAGGCAGAUGCUCCAGCCAGGCCCGGGCGGCGUCGGAGAGGAACAGGGGGAGGUUGCGGAUGAUGAGGUUGUCAUCGUCCGUUCCACCCAGCUGACAGGCUAGCCGGUAGUCCGCAGCCACAGUUUCGGCCUUGUUUCCCCCGAGUACUUAGUGAUGGUAGUCGGGGCCCGGAACCGGGUCAGGAACGGUGCCCGUCGUAUGGCCCAGCUGAAAGCUUGCGGACCGGGUGGUUCGGGCGAGGGGCUCCGAUCCUCCCUGCUGUCGUAGCGUCCCCCACGCCUGGGGUGGUAGCCUCAGUGCACCCUCUCGUCGAGGUGGGCUCGACGGUUGCGGCGGUGGUGCUUGUUGCCGAGGCGACCCGGGGCUGCAGGCGUUGCGUCCCGCGUGCGCCCGGUGUGGACCGAGGCUUCCCGCAUGAAUCGAGAAGUCGCGGCGCGAUGCUCCGGGGGGUACCCUUGCCGUUGGGAGGCAGAGCUCUCGGCCCGUCGGACCGCGGCAUCCUCCAGGAGAUUCCUGAGUUCUCCCUGGAUACGCCGCCCCUCAGUGGUGGAUGGCUCCGGCAUCGCUCGGAGUAGUAUUGCCGCUGCAGCCAGGUUCUGGCCGACCCCACUGGAAGCCGGGGGCAGCCUUGCCCUGGCAUCGUCGGCGAUGCGGUGCUGGACGUCCUGGGCCUGAUGACGCGCUACUCCGGCAAGCGCUCGGCCUGCUCGCUCCUGCCCGAUGUUUUGCCGGAGCUGCACAAGUUGUCCUGCUUCCUCGUCGAGCUUGGCCUGCAUCUCGCGGAUUUGCUCGAGUUGUGUGUCCUGACCCCCCCGUAGGGACUGGGACCACAGCUAGCUCCCGAAGGAUGUCAACGCAAGGCGUAGGCCUAGAGGGAUCGUCGUCCUCCGGCAUACCAAGGUGGUUGCCUUCGUCGAGACCCCCUAGAUCGACGUGGAAGCAUUCGCGACUUGGGCCACAGCCCUCGUCGUCAAGGCUGUGGCCAUCAUCGGAGCAAUCGGAGAGGCAGUAGUCACAUGCGGUCAUAAAGUCCCGCAUGGCACUAGGAGCACGGAGCCCGGAGAAAUCCCAACCGGAGUCGGGCUCGUCAUCUUCCUCGGAACCCGGGGGCCCGUAGGUCGAGACGACCGUCAGUCGGUCCCAGGUUGACCACAUAUGGUACCCCAGAAGGUUAGGAUAUGCCUUUAUGAAAGCGUCCACCAAAGCGGGGUCGCUUGGUGGGUCGAAGCUAAAUCUAAAAGGCACAGGGUGGAAAACGGACGGUACCUCCCGAUCGAUGGACGAUGACGAAGUCGCGUUGGAGACGUAUUGCACCGUUAUCUCAGGUACGAGGCUAACGCCCAGCAAGUCCUCCGCGAGAGUGCUGGCGUCAUCUGUCCGCUUGGGGUUGGCGUGUUGCGGGGAAACGGCGCUCGUCGUCGUCUUAGGCGCGAGGUCGACGCCAGACGUGUCCCCCGCGGGGGCGCCGGCGCCGUCGGCUCGCUCGACGGCCGACGAGGUGCCGCCUCUUGCUUGGCCACGGUUGCCCUGCCUCCUUCUCCUGCGGCGAGGAAGGUGGCGGGACAGACCCAGAUGUUGCUCUUCCGCCAUGGGGGGAAGACGUCGUCGAGUCCGCCGCCGCCGGGCAGGUUGACAGCCGCCAUUGUCGCUGUCGCGCGGCGGAGGAAGGAGUACCAUGUCGUAGCUGCCGUCGAGGGACAUGAACUCGAGACUCCUGAAACGGAGCAGCGUCCCGGGCUGAAGAGGUUGCUGGAGACUACCCAUCUGGAGCUUGACGGGAAGUUGUUCGUCAACACGCAGCAGGCCCCUACCUGGCGCGCCAACUGCCGGCGUUUCGACCACGGGGGGUCCCUGGACCGACGAGUAAAUUGUCGCUGCGUGUCCCAGCCUAGAUGGGUCGGCGUGAGAUGGAACACAAGGGGGAAAAGGGAAUCGCGACUCGUGUUAUCCUGCGCACAGGGCGGAUGCGCUUGCAGUAGGGGGUUACAAGCGUUCGCGAGAGAGGGGGAGAGCCUGCUCGUCAGCCCGUCCUCCCGCACGGCCACCUUCUCGUACGAGGGCCCUGGACCUUCCUUUUAUAGAUGUAAGGAGAGGGUCCAGGUGUACAAUGGGGGUGUAGCAAUAUGUUAACGUGUCCAGCAGAGAGGAGCCAGAGCCCUAUGUACAUGCCGACGUGGCUGUCGGAGAGGUGCUAGUGCCCUGUGCAUGUGGCGUCGUGGCCGUCGGAGGAGCGCUUGAGCCCUGUAGAAGCACAGCUGUCGGGGCUGAUGGGACCUUGCUGACGUCUCCUUGCUUCCGUAGGGGGCUGAGAACCGCCGUCGUCAUGGGAGCACGCGGGGUGUCAUCAUUACUUGUUUACCGGGGCGAGCCAGAUGGGACGCCGGUCUUGUUCCCCGUAGCCUGAGCUAGCUAGGGGUAGGAUAAUGAUGUACCCCCCUGUGACGUGGUCAGUCCGAGCCCAAGGUCGGGCGAGGUGGUGACUCCUCCGAGGUCGAGGUCGAGGCCGAGCCUUGGGGUCGGGCGAGGCUGGGACCGUCUUCCGAGGUCAAGGUCGAGGCCGAGCCCUAAGGUCGGGCGAGACGGAGUCCAUCUUCCGAGGUCGAGGCGGAGGCCGAGCCCGGGGUCAGGCGAGGCGGAGACUUCUCCCGAGGUCGAGGCGGGGGCCGAGCCCCUAGGUCGGGCGAGGCGGAGAUUUCUGUGGCGCCUGAGGCGGGACUUAGCUGUUGUCAGCCUCACCCUGGCGGGUGGCACAGCAGUCGGAGCGGGGCAGGCGGCGCUGUUUUACUGUCAGGUCAGUUAGUGGAGGGGCGAAGUGACUGCGGUCACUUCGGCCCUGCCAACUGAGGAACACGUGUCAGGAUAAGGUGUCAGGUGAUCCUUGCAUUGAAUGCUCCUACGAUACGAUCGGUUGGCGAGGCGAUCUGGCCAAGGUUGCUUCACUGCGAAGCCUGCCCAGGCUGGGCCUCGGGUGAGUCGAGGGUGUGCCAGUUGCUUGAGGAGGCCCUCGGGCGAGGCGUGAAUCCGCCCUGGUCUACUGUUCCUGCCCGGGGCUGGGCUCGGGCGAGGUGAGAUCGUGUACCUUGAGUGGACGGAGCCUUGACCUGAAUUGCGCCCAUCAGGCCUUUGCAGCUUGUGCUGAUGGUGAUUACCAGCCGAGUUUAGGAGUCUUGGGGGUACCCCUAAUUAUGGUCCCCGACAAAACUGAAUUGAUCAUACCCUCUCAUGCGCUCUGAGGAUCAAGAUCCUUGUCCAGCUUCUCUUGUUAUGUCGUCAGGAAGAAGAUGUUUUGGGCAGUCGCGUAGACGCUCCCCAAAAAUCUAAUUACCGAUCCUCCGUGCAAGGUCUCGAAUGGCAAGGGCUUCGGAGGCACCUGCCCUCUCGCUGCUCUGUGCGCGCAGAGUCACGAGAUGGGAAUACUUUCACUUGCGGCUGGGCUGUGACUCUGAAAUGGUUCUAUUCUCGUGUACCAAGUGCCAGGGGUUCUCCUCUACUUAACCUCUGGGUUCUCCUCUACUUAACCUCUCACAGAGGGAAGCUGAAGGAGAAGGGUUGCAUGCGGCACGCCAAGAGACGGCAGCUGAAGGACAAGGGUCUUGCAUGCAGCUGACGAAGAGACAGACAACUGAAAGGUUUAACCCGGAGUUGAAACUCUCGCGGUUAAUGAGUGCUAAAAAUUAACACAACCACACCACGCCCGCUCUCCGCCUGCCACUCCACGCCACGCCCGGCCCGAGCCCGGCCGGCAGCGCGCGCGUGUGGCACGCCCUUGUAUGUUUUUUGACUUCUCAAAUUAAGUGGAAUAAUUCCCACCAUAUAAGUCAAGCCAACGACCUUUGGACUUCCAAUAUGUUAUUAUUGGUAUUCUCUACUAUUACACACCAUAGAGUUUAUUGAAUAAAUGGGAAAAGACCAUAAAAAAUCCAACAUGACAGCCUUAAGAGCCAAGGGACUGGAAGGAAAAGGAGAGAUAACGACUAAAACAGGAGAAAAGUGCACACGGACAGUGUUCGAGCUUUCCUGCGAGCGAGUGUCCGGGGUGCAGUGGUCGUCGUUCCAAACAGUCACGCAUGAUGCUCUCAGGGCGACUAGCUACAUCCACAUGUACAUAUAUAUGGCUACUGAAAAAUCAAAAGGCGAAGAGAAGAAAAGACGACAAACGGACAGAACAGUCAAAUGAGGAUAUAUGUCUCUGAGAAUCGCUUAGCUGAGCCACUAUAUGUUUUUUGUGAUAAUAUGCUCCACCACCACCACUACUAGCAGCUGGUAAGUCGUGCUGGCGAUUGACUUACGACCCUCGGCAGCUUGCGUGCGCCUCGCCGACGUACGUAUGCAGCAGGUCGUCCGGCGCACAGAACAGUACGUGCGUGCCGACUGCCGAAUUGCCGACCUCACAGUUCACACCGGGGCUGAGACCUGAGAGAGAUGAGAGUCGGCGUAGACUCGACGUCUGUUAGGGUCUAUUCGGUUGCUUCCGAAUGACGCUAUAGAGCUAUUCCCGUUGAUAGUAUUCACACAUUUGUAUAAUUUUAAUAAACCGGAACAGUUUCUGGGUCUAAUCUGAACUAAACGAAUGGACCCUUGUCCGAAUUCAAAUCGUUCGAUUUCCUUCUUUGCAGCGGUGAGGUCUAUUUUUCGGUUUAAGAUUCCCUCUUACUGACAUGAAUAAAAGAGCCAAUAGAUAUUUUCGGCAUAUACUAGAAAUGCAUGCUAGGGUUAUCAACAUAUAAGUUCAUUAUAUACCGGACCAAGAACUAACAUUGGUUUUAGACCCUGAGAUUUGACGCCAUGACCUUGGCACCAAUGCAAGGUUAAACGUCCCGAUGUAAGGUAUCAGGCUACCGGUGGCAUAUAUGUUGUCAUGGCCUCUUGUCAUUGAGCCAUGGCGUGAGAGAGCCAGUUCGCCUUCCACUCAUGAUUUACGAGUAUUAGGUCUGAACCUUACUCAUGAUCUACGGGCCCUAGGUCUAAGCCCCACUCAUAACCUACGGGCUCUAGGUCCAAGUCCUCUUACGUCAUACGAAGCACGCAAGGCGACAAAGGGAAGACACAAGGUUAGGCUACAAAAACCGAGGGUCGACGUAGGCAGAGACAGACAGACGGAGUAAUGAUGACGCUCGGACUCCCGUCGUCGGCACACUUCACCAACGGUCUUGAAGAGGCACGAUGAUAGAAUUAUAUGGGACGGAUAACGACACACGAGGAGACAUUUACCGAGGGAUAACUAUUUUGUUUUGCAACGCAACAAUCACUUCCAAGAGAAGCGAUUCGUAACCGAUCCCCCAGUCUAUCAAAGGAGGAGGGUCGACCCGACGAGAAUGGGAGACCAACCCGAGAACCAACACUCGAUACGUAGAUCCUCUAGUAGAGCAACCCUUAAAGACCCAAAAUCUUUUCCUCUUUCGCCCGCGUGUAACCCUACUACGAGCAAUCAAGUGCUGGUAGCGCAUGCCACCAAGGACUGAAAGUAGAGACGUUCAACCUUAACCUAUCCAGAUCCAAACGCUCAUACACAAAUUUACUCAUUGGUGCUAGUUCGAAACACCAACACUAACCAUAUUUUAGGGUAGAUUAAAAUCAUUCGAGUGCUAAAACGUACAAAACGCCCUAGCACUACUUAGGAGGUGUUAGUCAGAUGAUAUUUUUUAAUAUUAAUUAUAGGUAUUAAACAUAGUCUAAUUAUAAAACUAAUUACAAAGAAAAAGACUAAACAAUAAGAUGUUUACUAUAACAUCGCAUAGUGAAUCAUGGACUAAUUAUUUUUAGUAGGUUCGUCUUGUCAUUUUACUCUCAUCUAUGUAAUUAAUUUUAUAAUUGGACCAUUAUUUAGGUUAUAUUUGAAUGCACUAGAGCUAAUAGUUAGUUGAUAAAAUAGUUAAAGACGUACAAUCAAUAUAACUAAUAGUUUAACUAUUAGCUACUUUUAGUUCGAGACAUCCAAAUUAAACCUAACUAAUAGUCUAGCUUAGCUACACUCUCCUACUCAUUAGUUAUAACGGUCUCAACCCAGCUAAAAUUAACUAAUAAUUAGCCAGCUAUUUGUUAGUUAGCUAAUCCUACUGGCAACUUUUCAGUUAGGUAACUAUUAGCUUUAAUACAUUCAAACGAGACCUUAAUAGUUCUGACUAGCAUCAACCACCCGAUGUAAUAAAAACUAAACUUUAGUCAGCAAACUAAGCAUGUCGCUGUCUUUCUGAAAGUUGGAAUAUAGAAAUUGUAUAGGAAUUUCACAAUAGAACUCAGGAAAAAUAUUUUGUUAAAAAAAUCUCUAAGAAUUUAUUCGAUUUGAAGUGAAUUGAGAGGAAUUAAAUUCUCUCAUAGAUAAUUUUAUAUAGAAGGUGAUUUAAUACCUUUAGAGCUCGUUUGGUUGACACGGAACGGAAGACCGAAAAUGUUCUUGUCCAGAUUGUUUCUUUAAUUUAUAUAAGUUUUGAUUAUCAGGAACAAUUUUUGGUCUAUUCCUGCAGAAAGGAACGGGCCCUUCAACAAAUCUAUACUACCUAUUAAGGCUCUAAGGGGUAGACUGCCUCCCCUGGUUCUGCCUUCAGCCAAUCUGCACCGUCCACUCGCUUCCGUAAAUCUACACCGUCCGCCCGCCCACCCCACGUUCGUCCCCCCGCCUCCCACUCCCCCACCCCACGUGAGCCGCCGCCGCCCUGCCUCCCCCUCCAGUCCGCCGCUCUCCAUCGUUCACCUCCACUCCAUUCCGAGGAUCUCAUCAGCACGCUCUCCGGCGCGGCGGCGGCCCUUCCUCCGAGACCAGGAGCUCGCCGCCGGAGUCAUCCCCUUCCCCAAUCCCCGCGUCACGUCUCCCAUCAAUGUCGCACCUUCACCGUGCCCCGCCCGCAUCUGCCCGUGUCGCCAGAGCCCCCUCCCCCACCCCCAUGGCGCUCGCCGCGACAGGCGCCCCCCGUGCAGACAUCGUGAGCGGGUCGCCCAACAAAGCCCUGUCGCCCUCACCCGCCUCGAACCCUAAAACUCCUCAACCGCCAAUGCUGUCGUGCUCUACUUCCGGCGAGACGGCCUGCCUCGGCACCCCCGCCCCUCCUCCCCGGAUCCGGUGCCCCUGUUCGUCGUACGGUCUCCACCCCCGACAGGCACCAGGCGUUGCUCCACCCCGCCCCAACCCUAAAACUCCUCCCAGCCGCCGCCCCAACCCUAAAACUCCUCCCAGCCAACGCCUCACGCACGAGGGAGAAGACUGGAUCCGCAGCACGAUGGCGAUGGGUGAUAGGUUGCGUGCCAUUGAUCUGUACGAGAUCCUCCUCUUCGCGACACGGCUGGCUCGUAGGGCGACGACAUCCUCAAUCUAUCGCGUGGCCAGGUUACUGAUUUUAUAGACAUGCAAAUACUUGAACAUAAUUGAUCAGAAGUAAAUGCUUAAAGUAAAGUAAGGAUAAAAAUGUUUCAAUAUUUUCCCAAGAUAUCAAAGAGUCAAACUAACCAAAACCAAUUGCACAAAAUAUGAAAAUUAAGCUCUCUACUUCUAUAGCAUUGCUCGGGAAUUUGCAGUGGUUUAAGCUUUCUACUUCUGAAAAUUAAGCUCUCUACUUCUGAAAAUUAAUGCUUCCUACCAUAUGGAGUGGUUUGUUUGGUUAAAGGUUUACAUAAUGCCACCAAUGGGAAGCUACUGAAAUGUUUUUUGGCAGAGAGCUUAGAUGAUGAUUUGAUAUGUUCAUGUGUAAGCAGAGGCGGAAACCUCAUUGGAGUUGUAGAUGGUUAAGUUUGGAAUUAAUAUUCUUUAUGGUACCAGGAAAUUUUUGGCGAGUGAAAUCUUGACCAGAGUCAUCGGAUAGGACGGGGAUGAUUAGGUUGGUUGAGCAUGAGCUGGUGAAAGUCGGUACCAUUUGUAUAGUGUGAUGAAAUCUUUGUAGACAUUUUGCUUGUGUAAUAAUAAUACUUGUUCGCACAGCGAAGGACAAACAAAUGUAUGCUGACUUGUGACGUCCUGUUCAUUGCAAUUUCAGUGUAGGAUGAGAAGAAACCUGAAGAUGCACCACAGUCUGAGGUUGAGAAGGACAAGGAGGGCGCGGAGAAUGAAGAAGAAGAAAAGGAACCUGAGGAUAAGGUAUAUUUCUGGUUUGUACUAAGAUGAUCUUGCUACCAUAUUCCGCGUUGCAAUGUGUAUGGUUGUAGUAUGCCUAGCACAUUAUGUAAGGGUGAUGGUAGCACCCUUUAACUUGCCUAGCAAGUCUUGUGAUUUUGGGUACUGUGACACUUACAAUGUUCUUAACAUUUGUUUAUAUAUAUGGAAAAAUGUGUAGUAGACUGGUGGAAAUAUUUUGUGAUUCUUUUAGUUUCAUUCAUGUCAAUCCUUGCUCGGUAGUAUAGUUAUUUAUUCUAGAACCUUUUGCUUUAAAAUCAGUGCUGUUGUGCCACAGUGCCAACAUGGGGCGCUUCUUGGUGAUUGCAUUAUUUUUGUAUUUAGAGUCUCUUCUGCUUUUCGAUCCAUUACUUUUUGCUCUUCUCUGCCGAAUGCAAUGGCCAUAUAUUAGAGUGUAUGCUUUCACGUCAGUUUUCCAGUUAUGCGAGAUUCAUGUUGUAUCUCAGAUAUUGUACUAGCACCUAACUUUGACUAUGGUGAGCCAUUGAUUCGCUGUUUUCAAUGUUUCUAGAUAUGACCAACUGUAGCACACACAAAAGAAAUGGAUUGUUGAUAUUCAUUUUCACUCAUACCAGUUCAUGAUUUGAUGCAUCAGAUGUGAUGUGAUGCCACUUAAUAUUGAAUGAAUUGUUUUUGUUGCACAGUUGAUAUAUCUAGAGAAAAAAUGAUGCUUUGAUCAAUCCAGAACCUGCAUACUUGCUGGAAUUAAGUUGGGAUGUUUUUUUGGCAUCAAAAUAAAGUAGUCUAUGGAAUGAUGUUUGCUCCGACCAUGAGCAGGAGAUGACUCUGGAGGAAUAUGAAAAGGUACUGGAGGAAAAACGAAAAGCUUUACUCUCCCUUAAGGCUGAGUAGAGAAAAGUUGAAAUUGACAAGGAGUACAGGCCAUGCAACAACUGCCAGUUAAAAAGGAUGGCGAUGAAGUGUUUAUCAAGCUGGUACGCUACGUGUGUGCAUACUGCUCUUUCCUCUCUUUUUUACCCCUGUUGGUCAAAGCCGGUUUUGAACGAUUGUAGGGCUCUGACAAGGACUUGAAAAAGAAAGAAAGUGCUGAAAGAGAAGAACGGGGCAAGAAGGUAUAUAUCUGAUAUUUUUCACCUGCUUCAGUCUGAUAUAAUCAGAGUCACUGUUGUUUCCCUGACCGUCAUGUCUGUUUUAUGUUUUCCUUCCUCUCUCAAGUCCCUGUGCAUUUUGCAGAAGAUACUUCUAGGUUUGAUACUAUAAAUUAAAUGACUACGCAUAAUAUGAAAAAACAGAAGUUCUUUAAACUAUCUUCCCAAUAAUGGAGUAUACGCUAGGUUGUUCACUGUCUGUUGUGGCUGCCAGUUACUCCCUCUGUUUGUAAGCCAGUUUAAUUUUGGUACGUUGUCUAAAUAACCAUGCUUUAUAUUCCUAGGUACACAAGUGGUCUUUUUGUGGAUUCUAUUGUUGAUUGAGUUGCAACAUCAGUUGUAGGCUUGCCUCGGAUCUGUUACUACUCAAAGGAGAAAUUGGUGAGCCUUAUGAUUAGCUCUUCUUAAUUUAUUCUAUAUCGAUGUGUUCUCUCUAAAUUUUCGAAAUUAGUAAUUUGAAGGCGUGUUGCCAUGGAUGUAAUUUUUAGUUCUUUUGUCUAUCAGAUAUCUAGAGUGGUUCUGCUUAUUCAAUAGCAGCGCAUAGUACCUUUAAAUAUUGUUGUUCAUUUUUUAGUAAAAAGGAUGGGAAAGUUGAGAUUAAUGAUGUCUGAUUUGCACAUCCUUCUCGCACUUCUCAUAUGAUAGUACUAUGCAUAUGACAUGUCUAUUUACCAAAUUUGACAUUUUCGUUAUAUAUCUCUAUCUCUACUACUUAUUAAGGCUGCAAGGGUAGUCUGCCUCCUUUUGGUUCUGCCUUCCGAUAAUCUCUACUGUCCGUGUUUGCUGCCCACCUCCGCGUGCACCUCGCACCCUCUGAGCGUCCACCGCGCGAACAACCCUACCUGUUGUCUCUCGUUACUCCCUUUGCAGCCCCCGCAGCACCGCCUCCCCACGCGCGAGUCGUAGCCGCUCCUCCAUCCGCCGCGCGUGGGUCGUAGCCCCCUAAGGGUUCGUUCGCAACCAGACGCCGCUGCCACCACCUCCAGGUUCGUCAGCCGGAUGGCGACCCUUGCUGAUGGCUCCCUAAGGCGUUCAGGAAUCCAUGCGGCUUGGCUCGGCGGCGACCAAGCCUGAUGGUCAGCCGAAGCGUGGGGUUCUCAACCUGCAUUGCCUAAUGCUGUCAUGCUGAGGUGCAUGGGGAUUUGGGACCAUGGUGAGCAGAGGUGAAUUUCCCUCCAAUCGCUUAGUUCUGUGCAACUCUUUGGUUAUUAAGAAUUGGGGAACUUGUUUUGGACGUGGGGGAUGACUUUGCAGCGGCACUCAAGGCCCUUCCUUUUUCUCAAAUCUCAACUCAUUUCCUCCUCUUCUAGCUUAUCAUCUGGGAGGCGAAGGGGUGACUUGUCGAAGAGCAUUUUAUGUCAAAGAUGCCCUGCUUUACUCACAGAGAUAGAAAUUAUUGAAGACAGAGAUAGACCACCAUACAACCACCUUCGAUGGACGCGGGGGAUAACUUUGCUUGACAAUGGCUUAGGUUUAUACCAAAUAGGCAUCUUGGGUUCUUUCUUGGUUUUGCUGAAAACAAGGUGUGUAAUUACUUUAAAUGCCAAGUGCUGGUUCAAUAGUUGAACGAGAACACUAUUGCCUUGGCUUAAACAUAUUAAUUUAACAUGAAUUACCAUAUGAAUACCCUAAAAAUUUUAGUUUAAAUUACAUUACUUGAGUUGUUUGUAGUAUUUAUGCAGAUUAUAUUAUUACAACAUGAGGGCAGGAUUAAGGUCCUUUCAAUGAAUUGCAGGCCCAACUCUUAUUGGUAUUCAUCCAUAUGAAGGCUUAAAGUUCUAAUUAUAUGUGUUUAGUUACUUUAAAUGCAAGUGUUGGUUCAAUAGUUGAACAUAAACACUAUUGCCUGGGUUUAACAUAUUAAUUUAACAUGAGUUACCAUAUGAAUAUCCUGAAAAUUUUAGUUUAAAUUACAUUACUUAGAUGUUUGUAGUAUUUAUUUAGAUUAUAUUAUUACAACAUGAUGGUAGGAUUAAAGAUCCUUUAAAUGAAUUGCAGGCCCAACUCUUAUUGGUAUUCUUCCAUAUGCUGGCUUAAAGUUCUACAUAUAUGAAGAUCUGAAAUCUUAAGUUCCAUAGGAUUAACAAGGAUUCUGUUAUAUUGAAGCUCUCUUGCGGAGCUUUAGCCGCUGGUCUAUUUGGACAAACCCUCACUUAUCCAGUAGAUGUUGGUCGGAGACAAAUGCAUGUGCAAUUCUUGUAUUCCAUGCACUGAUAAUCUAUUAAAUUUUAUUUUGACUAUGAUUCCUGUUUGUUCACCACUCAUAAGACUUUGUCCCUUCAGGUUCAAAGCAAGCAGUCUCAAAAUCAAGUGAUGGCUUCCGUAUAAGAGGGACUUUUCAGGGUCUCUUGCUCAUCAUUUAGCAUGCUUGUUAUAUUUUGAGUCGAAACACGUGAUCUCCAAGAACCAGGUCUGUCUCUACCUUACCUGCAUUUAGCAUGCUUGUUAUAUUUUGACAGAAAUAAUGGACGAAUCAGUGCUAAAAAGAAUAAAGGGCUACAUUUACAAGGUAGUGAAUGUUUGCCAUCACCAUAAUUGUUUCUUUAUAUUCUUGUUCCCUUUCAGUUUGUUCACUGUCAGAUUCGAUUAUUUGCUUUAGUUUAUUCUGUUGUUGUUUUCAUAAUCGGAUUUUUUCUGUUUCUGUCAGUAGGCAUGAUUUAGUCCUUAGUCUCUGUAAGUUAGCGAGGCUAGCUUAACUGUUGCUUGAUUUUACUGCCUUACUGAUUUAGUCAUCAGAUGUUUGAAUACUGACCUUCAAGGGGAAUGCUCCAAACCUUGUAAGUACUCUUUAUGACAAUAUAUCCCUGCUUCCUCUAAUUUUCUUUCCAAAACUCAGUGCUCAAUCUGUGUGUAUUUAUUUGAACACACAAUUGAGCAAACCACUUAUGUUUAAUGCUCAUUCAGAUAUAAGAAGUGUUUGUUAUCCUUUUUUUGCAAGUAAUACAAGUGAAAGAAUAAUGUUACCACACUUGGUUCGAUGUUUGACAAUACUAGGAUGCAAAUUUUGGCAAUCCAGUAUCCGGACCAUAAAUUGUAAGUAACAACUGGUGUUAAUCGGAUUGACCUCUCCACAUUCACAUUACAUGCCCCAAGUGUGGUAACAUGCUGCAUAACUGUUGAGAUCAUUAGCAUUUUAGAUGUUGAAUUCCUUGCUUGCAAGGAGUGUCAUGAAUACUGAGACUGUUCUCGCACAUGCUGAAUCGUAUCACAUUCCUAUUCCACUGUCUAUUUCAACCCUUGUAUUUUUGUUUCCUGGCAGUGUUGUUGUCAUAGUAAUAGUGUAAAUAUCUCUUGCUUUGUGUAUCAGUGUAAAUAUCUCCCGCUAACAAAUCCUGAAUGCAACACACAUUUAGGCCAAAAUUCUUAAACUGCUUCAGACCAAAAAUCAGCCCUGGGGAGAAAUAAUCGGAGGAUUUGUGAUGAGGUGCCUUACCGAUCCGUUCCCGUAAAAAAACAUUAGUCAUGAGUGCAACCAAAGCUAUAUAUAUGUCUGGUCUGGUGUGAUCUUUUGCUCACUAUCCAAACAAUCCUAAUAAAUUAUUACAUUCUUGAAUUCAUCACUCAUAUAUAACACUAACCUGGCAUCUGCCAUUCCAGUAUCAUCAUCAUCAUCUAAUAACAAUAUGCCGAGUUAUAGUCAAAACAGUUAGCUACAAUUAUUUAUGGCAUUUUGCAGCCAGUGGUUGCCGGCUAAUCCGGCCGGUCACAAACAACCAAGUAGAGUUGCCUCGUACUUCAUCUCGCCUGGCUAUUUUUAGUAGCAUGGUACUGACCGCUGAAGCAGGCAGAUCUGGAUCUGUCCUGGCUGGCCGCUAAAGAAAGGUUGUUUACAAGGCAGCAGAGGCGAUGGCUCUUUGUCUUUGUGCAAUGGUGACUGGUGCGAGGUGUCUGGUUUGGUUGCGCACAAGAACCACACCAACAGAAGUUGCCUGCACUGCAUGCACACCAUGACACCAAUGGCCUCUCAUGACUUUUUGAUGGACCCUCCAUUGUCUCUGCAAGGAAGUUGGAGUGCGACCUGGGCCUUUUGUCUAGAUGCAAGAAGGGCUCGUGAUAGCUCAUUUCGUUCUAGGCUUUGGCUCAUGGCGCCUGCUAUUCCAAGGAUGCCAUACAUGGACCGCUAGCUAGAUUUGAGGUUAAAGAACUCUGGUGUUGUUCUAGCCUGUAGACAUCAUCGCUGAUCAAAGAUCUUACAGUUUGUUUCGGAGUGAAGUUGUGAGUAAAAAGUGGCGCAAUAUAUAAAAUGCCCUGUUGAUUGGGGGUGACCAAUUCAUGCCAAUGCUAAUGGAGAGUUGGAGACUAAUAUCCAACAUCUCCUCUUACAGAUAACUUUGAGACAAAUGGAAGCUAACCGACAAAUCGACUAAGUAAAGUAAUUAUUAUGCCCUUCUGAUCCACAGUGGUGUUCUGAAAUUUAUUUUCUGCAAGCACCACCAGCAUGCAGACUCUUGCUUGAAGCAGAUCAGCCUGGGUCUGCACUAUGCAGAAUCAAAGCCAGACUUCUCGCCGAUUGGCUCUGCUCUGCUAUAUAGUGGAGUAACUGUGGUCAAAAUGAGGCCAUGACCCAAUCUUUCGCGCCAUAAAGAAAAGAGACGCCUUGCUUGACCUAUGGGUUGCCAGCGUCGAGAGUUCCACCCAAUAGGAUAGAUAGGAUGGGGAAGAAGUCGUGGUCCCAUCCAUCCGAUUGGCGCCCAUAAAAAGAGGUGCUUGUGCUUGGAGAUUUCCAUCGCACCUGCUUCUCGGGGACCCGUAACCAUCGAGCAUCACAAGAACUGUAACAAAAUCCAUAUGGAUUGGAGAAGAUUGGGUGGUUUUCAAUCCAUAGCAAGUUAAAAUUCUUCAUAAUUUUUUUUCCAAUUCCUUCCAAUUCAUAAGACAUAGAAAUAUGGUAGGGUUGUUCGCUUCUGAUUUCAUUGUGUUUUUUCUUCAGGAGUUUGGGGAUCAAGGAGAGGACUCCAUUAUCUUGUCACCGUGGCUGAAGGAGAUUAGUACUCCUGACCGCCCCGCUGCCCUCCGUUUCCUAGGUACACGCAACUGUCAUACACAUGCUUUGCUUAAGCAUUUGAAGCAUUUUGAUUCCUAUUAUUAUCUGUUGUAUUUUGUCAUUUGUUCGUGUGUAGGGGAGAAGUAUAAUAACCUCAUGGAGAGGUACAAGAAGCAGGUAGUCAAGUGUUCCGAGGAGUGUGAACCAAGAUAUAAUGGCCUGAAGAAGAAGUACACAGACGAGUGUGCAGAGAGGCGGCGUCUGUACAAUGAGCUUAUUGAGCUAAGAGGUAACAUUAGGGUGUUCUGCAGAUGCAGACCUCUGAGCUCUGAUGAGGUCAACCAUGGGUGUUUAUCUGUUGUUGAGAUUGACCCAUCACACGAGACUGAGCUGCAGUUUGUCCCCAGUGAAAAAGAAAGGAAGCCCUUUAAGUUCGAUCACGUUUCUGGGCCAGAGGAUGACCAAGGUAUAUUUGACUGAAACUGAAUGGUUCUUAAAAAUGUCAUUCCGGUUAAUAUAGUUUGCCUUAUGUCAAUUUUCUGUUUGUUUUGUCAUGGGUUCUGUUUUCCUAAUUUUGAGUAUGGGAAGGUGUUCAAUUUGCUAUUGGAACACUGGCAACUUCUGUGAACUGCAAAACAGUAUCUCAAAGGUUCUUAAUUUAGUUGUUAUAAUUCUUGUUGUGUAUUAGAAGGGAGCUUAGACUAGAAGGUCCUUUUACAUGUAUAUGUUUUCUUUGUUCUUACCAGAAUUUGUGUCCUGUUCUCGUUGUGUCACCAGGUUCUCGUGGUGAGGGUGGUAUCCUUAGAAAUAGUGAAGGUAUGUAUUCUUGCUAGGUGCCUGUUUUUUUUCUUCCUCUGUUUGGAACUUAUCUUUUGAUCUGAUUACUACAGGGCCAUUGAAGGACCACAUUUAUUUGCAUCAAAACCAUCUGCCGCCUGAGGUACUCAAAGAAAGGCUCCCUGGUAUUUCUGAAACUGCUGCUAUUUUUGCUGGUGUUGACGUCACCAAGGAGCCCAUUCCAGUUUUGCCUACUGUGCACUACAAUAUGGGUGGUAUCCCAACGAACUACCAUAAGGAGGUUUGUAUUGAGCAUGUAGUAAACAAAUAUGGGUCAAAACCUAUGUAUUGUAAUAGAAAUAUAUUCUGCUAUUCUGCAUAACAGGUAGUGGAUAUCAAGGGUGAUAAUCCAGAUGCUGUUAUCCCUGGUCUAAUGGCUGCUGGUGAAGCAGCCUGUGCAGCACCGCGUUGGUGGAUGAUUGAUCGUCCAGUUGUAUGUGACUAAAACGCCAUGCCUUGUGCAUUAGAGAAGAUACAGAAUCGUCAUGUCCUGUACAGGACAGUGAGCCAAAUUCUUGUUCAUUUUGCACUAUGAUACAGAUUGAUUCAUUAGGCCCUAGGUUGGAGGUUGUGACUGAUGAGUUGGGAAGAGAUUACUUGAUUGGUGGUGUACAAUUCUUGGAUAGGAUACAGGUUUCAGUUUUUGGUCCAUUAGUUCAGGAAUUGUUUCAUUUACAUGUAUAUUCAGUACACUCGUAUAAUGGAAACACGCAAAUCUCUAUCUCAUUCUUUGGUCAUCGUGUUAUUAUACGGUUUCGUUGCAACGCACGAGCACUCACCUAGUAAGCUUUGAAGGGACAAAAAUAGAUUUUUGUGUAGCGUGGAACAAGUGAAUAGGGUUGGGCAUUCGGUCUAUUAGGGUAAUUCGGUUCGGUCUAUUCGGGUUUGUGAAAUUUCGGGUUCUGAAAAAUGAGAACCGAAAUUUCCAAAAAUAUUUUAGGAACCGAACCCGAAUAGACUCACAAUUUCGGUUCGGUCUAUUCGGUCCACCGAAUAGACCCGAAUUGUAGAGAGACUAGUAUAUUUUGUUAAAAUAUAUACAAUGAAUAAUUAAUUGAAAGUACUAUUACUACAACAAGUGACUAUAAAAAUUAGCAUACAAAGAUAUAUAUACUAUUGUUAAGAUGAUAUCAUUAUUUCUAGCUAAUAAGUUCAUAAAUCAUAUAAUAAUACCAUCACAUAUUAAGAGUUUUUUUAUAUUUCGGGUUAUUAGGUCUAUUCGGGUUUUAAAGGUUAGGAACCGAACCCGAACCCAUAACUCGAAAUAUAGCACAUAUAGGAACCGAACCCGAACCCGAAAACCCGAAUAGACUCACAAUUCGGUCUAUUCGGGUUCGGUUCGGGUUCGGGUUCGGUUUUCGGUUUUAAAAUGCCCACCCCUACAAGUGAAGGUUCCCAUCUCGUUCCAACGAGGAAUCGGCCACCACUCUGCGAUCCACUACCACCAUAUAACGCACGUCGCGACGGCGGACUUCAGUGCUGCUAUCAGCGCGGCGCAGGUCGCGUAGCUGCGGGAGUCGCUCUUCCCGCGGGAGCGGGAGCUGAAGUAAGCAAGGAGGCAAGGAGCAACGCCGCCUUCUCAGUUUCUCACUCGCGUCCCUCUCCUGUUCCUCAGCUUCGUCCAGAACUUGCCUUCCUCCGCCGCCCUUUAUUCCAGGCUUCCUGAGAAGAAGAGCUUUUCAAUUGAUUAUUUCAGGUGAAUUCUCGCCAAAUCCCGUUCAUCUGGUCACUAUCUGCUUGCGUCGUGUCUAGGGUAUGUAUUGUUUGAUAUCCUCCUUCUCGAACAAUUAUGUUUUACGAAUGUUCGCGUCAGCUCAGUUUUUGUUACUUCCGCAGUUCCCUUCUCGGGCAGAUUCGAUUCUGUUCUGAGAGGAAAUAGUUUGUGUCUUCGUCAGUUUUUAAACAUCAACUAGCUGAAUGUCUGUGCGUUGCAACGGGAAUAUAUAAUACCGGUAUAUUACGAUAACUUAUAUACAAAAUGUGUGUUAUACCGUUAUGAAAAAAUGUUUUUCAUAAUCAAUUUGUGAUUCUGGCCAUAUAUAAAUUUUGUUAUUUAUAGUCUAUCUGUUUCACUACUAUAUUACAACCAUCAGUAUCAUGCAGACUUCGAUAUAUGUCACGAUUUAAAUGGUCUCAUCAUUAGAGAGCGCGUUCCACACAUACCGGAAGAAAUUCCCCCGUACGUCGUUAGUCAUCAGACACGUACCACCAUACGCUUUUGCUUAAACAAAAAAGCAAUUGUGUGUUUGCGAAGAGAAUUAAAGACAAGCCGGAAUAAAAACUACCCCAACGGUGACGAGGAUAGCGAACUGGUCAUUGUUGUCGGUCCUCCUCUGCGUCACCUCUAGCGCCAAGAUGACGCCACAGUUCUCGAUAUAGUAGUCGUCGAAAGCGCACGACAUACAGAGUACUGAUGACUCUUGGCUGGGAUGUAAAACGAAGUGCACCCCGGGCUUAUCAGCAAAGUAGUUGAAAGUCGCCUAGAGGGGGGGUGAAUAGGGCGAAACUAAAAUUUACAAAUAUAAACACAACUACAAGCCGGGUUAGCGUUAGAAAUAUAAUAGAGUCCGCGAGAGAUGGUGCAAAACAAAUCGCAAGCGAAUAAUGAAGUGAGACACGCGGAUUUGUUUUACCGAGAUUCGGUUCUUUCAAACCUACUCCCCGUUGAGGAGGCCACAAAGGCCGGGUCUCUUUCAACCCUUACCCUCUCUCAAACGGUCCCUCGGACUGAGUGAGCUUUCUCUUCUCAAUCACUUGGAACACAAAGUUCCUACAAGGACCACCACAAGAUUGGUGUCUCUUGCCUCAAUUACAAGUGACUUUGAUCGCAAGAAAGAAUCAAGAAGGAAGAAAGCAAUCCAAGCGCAAGAGCUCGAAAGAACACAAGCAAAUCUCUCUCACUAGUCACUAGGGCGUUGUGUGGAGUGUGGAGAGGAUUUGAUCACUUUGGUAUGUCUAGAAUUGAAUGCUAGAGCUCUUGUAAGUAGUUGAGAAGUGGAAAACUUGGAUGACUUGAAUGUGGGGUGGUUGGGGGUAUUUAUAGCCCCAACCACCAAACUAGCCGUUUGGUGGAGGCUGUCUGUCGUAUGGUGCACCGGACAGUCCGGUGCGACAGCCACGUCACCAAAGCCGUUGGGUUCCGACCGUUGGAGCUCUGACUUCUGGGCCCGCCUAGAUGUCCGGUGGCGCACCGGACAUGUACUGUAGGGUGUCCGAUGCACCAGCAUGGGCGUGCCUGACCUCUGUGUGCGCUGGCGCGCAUUAAAUGCGCCGCAGGUAGCCGUUGGCGCCAAAAGUAGCCGUUGCCCCGCUGUUACACCGGACAGUCCGGUGAAUUAUAGCGGAGCAGCUGAAAUGAAUUCCCGAGGCUGGCGAGUUCUGGAGGCCGCUCUUCCUUGGAGCACCGGACAUGUCCGGUGUACACCGGACAGUCCGGUGAAUUAUAGCGGAGUUGCCUCUGGAAUUUCCCGAAGGUGACGAGUUUGAGUUGGAGUCCUCUGGUGCACCGGACAUGUCCGGUGGUGCACCGGACAUGUCCGGUGCGCCAGACCAGAGGUGCCUUCGGUUGUCUCUUUGCUCUUUUGUUGAACCCAAUACUUGGUCUUUUUAUUGGCUAAGUGUGAACCUUUGGCACCUGUAUAGCUUAUACAUUAGAGCAAACUAGUUAGUCCAAAUAUUUGUGUUGGGCAAUUCAACCACCAAAAUUAAUUAGGGAUUAGGUGUAAGCCUAAUUCCCUUUCAAUCUCCCCCUUUUUGGUGAUUGAUGUCAACACAAACCAAAGCAAAUAUAAAAGUGCAUAAUUGAACUAGCUUGCAUAAUGUAAGUGCAAAGGUUGCUUGGAAUUGAGCCAAUAAAUGUUACUUACUAGAUGUGCAUGGAUUGUUUUUUUAUUUUUAAUAUUUUGGACCACGCUUGCACCACAUGUUUUGUUUUUGCAAAUUCUUUUUUUUGUAAAUCCUUUUCAAAGACUUUUGCAAAUAGUCAAAGGUAAAUAAAUAGGAUUUUGAGAAGCAUUUUUAAGAAAUUUUUUCUUUUUGUUUCAAAUGCUUUUCCUUUUGACUAAACAAAACUCCCCCUCAAAUAAAUUCUCCUCUUAGUGUUCAACAGAGUUUUAAGAUAUCAAGUUUUGAAAGUACUACUUGCUCCCCCUUUAAAACACAAAGAGAUACCAAUUUGAAAUUUACAAAUUGAAAAUCAUUAAUUUUAAAAUUAGGGUAGUGGUGCGGUCCUUUUGCUUUGGGCUCAUAUUUUCUCCCCCUUUGGCAUGAAUCGCCAAAAACGGAUACUUGGAAUGAAAUAUAGGCCUUCUCUAACCACUAUCUCCCUUUUGGCAAGGAAAACAUAUGAGUGAAGAUUAUACCAAAGACGGAGAGUGAAGCGGAGCGCCGGCGAAGGAUGAGUAGUAAAGUGGAGUGGAAGCCUUUGUCUUCGCCGAAGACUCCAAUUCCCUUUCAAUAUACCUAUGACUUGGUGAAAUACACUUGAAAACACAUUAGUCAUAGCAUAUAUAAAAGAGACAUGAUCAAAGGUAUAUUUAUAAGCUAUGUGUGCAAAUUAGCAAAAGAAGUUCCUGGAAUCAAGAAUAUUGAGCUCAUGCCUAAGUUUGGUAAAAGAUAGUUCAUCAAGUGGCUUGGUAAAGAUAUUGUCGGGGACCAUAAUUAGGGGUACCCUCAAGACGCCUAAUUCUCAGCUGGUAACCCCCAUCAGCAUAAAGCCGCAAAGGCCUGAUGGGUGUGAUUAAGUCAGGGAUCAGUCCAUACGAGCGACUCGAUCAUGCCUCGCCCGAGCCUAGCCUCGGGCAAGGGCAGCCGACCCCGAGGGGUUUCCGUCUCGCCCGAGGCCCCCCCUUUUAACGGCGGACACAUCUCCGGCUCGCCCGAGGCCUUGCCUUCGCUAAGAAGCAACCCUGACUAAAUCGCCGCGCCGACCGACCGAGUCGCAGGAGCAUUUAACGCAAAGGUGGCCUGACACCUUUAUCCUGACACGCGCCCUCCGGCAGAGCCGAAGUGACCGCCGUCACUUCGCCGCUCCACUGAUCGGUCUGACAGGAGGACAGCGUCGCCUGCGCCACUCCGACUGCAGUGCCACUUGACAGAGUGAGACUGACAGGCAGUCAGGCCUUGCCAAAGGCGCCAUAGGAAACUCCGCUCCGCCCGACCCAGGGCUCGGACUCGGGCUAAGCCCCGGAAGACGGCGAACUCCACUCCGCCCGACCCAGGGCUCGGACUCGGGCUAAGGCCCCGGAAGACGGCGAACUCCGCUCCGCCCGACCCAGGGCUCGGACUCGGGCUAAGGCCCCGGAAGACGGCGAACUCCGCUCCGCCCGACCCAGGGCUCGGACUCAGGCUAAGGCCCCGGAAGACGGCGAACUCCGCUCCGCCCGACCCAGGGCUCGGACUCGGGCUAAGGCCCCGGAAGACGGUGAACUCCGCUCCGCCCGACCCAGGGCUCGGACUCGGGCUAAGGCCCCGGAAGACGGCGAAUUCCGCUCUGCCCGACCCAGGGCUCGGACUCGGGCUCAGCCCCAGAAGACGACGAACUCCGCUUCGCCCGACCCCAGGGCUCGGACUCCGCCCUGGCCUCUGCCGAACAACCUCCGCCUCGCCCGACCCAGGAGCUCAGGCUCGGCCUCGGCCAUGGAAGACAGACUCGACCCCGGCUUCGGAGGAGCCUCCACGUCGCCCGACCUAGGGCACAGGCCCGCCACGUCAACAGUAAGCGCCAUCAUCACCCUACCCCGAGCCGACUCGGGCCACAGAGAACAAGACCGGUGUCCCAUCUGGCUAGCUCCGCCAGAUAGGCAAUGAUGGCGCCCCGCUAGCCCAGUGACGAUGGCGGCUCUCAGCUCCCUUACGGAAGUAGGGGGACGUCAGCAAGGACCCAACCGCUCCGACAGCUGUCCCUCCGCAGGCUCCGUUGCUCCUCCGACAGCCACGACACCACACCAGCAGGGUGCCAAGAUCUCUCCGGCUGCCACAUUGGCAUGUACUUAGGGCGCUAGCUCUCCCCCCGCUAGAGACGUAGCACUCUGCUACACCCCCAUUGUACACCUGGAUCCUCUCCUUACGACUAUAAAAGGAAGGACCAGGGCCUUCUUAGAGAAGGUUGGCCGCGCGGGGACGAGGACGGGACAGGCGCUCUCUUGGGGCCGCUCGCUUCCCUCACCCGCGUGGACGCUUGUAACCCCCUACUGCAAGCGCACCCGACCUGGGCGCGGGACGAACACGAAGGCCGCGGGAUUUCCACCUCUCUCACGCCCGUCUCCGGCCACCUCGCUUCCCCCCUUCGCGCUCGCCCACGCGCUCGACCCAUCUGGGCUGGGGCACGCGGCACACUCACUCGUCGGCCUGAGGGAUCCCCCGGUCUCGAGACACCGACAGUUGGCGCGCCAGGUAGGGGCACGCUGCGUGUUGAUGAGCAGUUUCCCGUCAAGUUCCAGAUGGGCAGUCUCCAACAACCUCUCCAACCCGGGACGGUGCUCCGUUUCGGGAGUCUUGAGUUCAUGUCCCACGACGGCAGCUACGACAUGAUACUCCUUCCACUGCCGCGCGACAACGACAAUGGCGGUCGACAACCCGCCCGCCGACGGCGGAAUCGACGACAUCUUCCCAGCGUGGUGGAAGAACGACAUUCGAGCUCGCCCCGUCCUCUCCCCCGCCAACGGAGGAGGAGGCGGGGCAACCAAGGCCAAGCGGAAGGCCGCGCUUCGUCGGCUGUCGAGCGAAUCGACGUCCCCAGCGCCCCAACGGGGGGCGCGUCGGGCGUCGACCUCGCGUUUGAGACGAAGCGAGCGCCGUCCCCCCGCGACACGCCAAUCCCGAGCAAGUGGACGACGCCAGCGCGCUCGCGGAGGGCCUGCAGGACGUCGCCCUCGUACCUAAGACGACGGCACGAUCAGCCCCCGACGUGACUAUGUCGCUCCUCGUCGAUCAAAAGGUACUGACUGAUUCCCAUCCUACGUCAUUUCGACUCGGCCUCAACCCGCCUAGCGACCUCGCUUUGGCGGGCGCUCUCGUUGAGGCGAGUGCAACCCCUCUGGGGUUUCGUAUGCGGUCGCCUUGGGACCGAUUGACGGACGUCUCGACCUACGGGCCCUCUGGGUCCGAGGAAGAUGACGAUCCCAGCAUCUGCUGGGAUUUCUCUGGAUUUGGCAACCCUAGUGCCAUGCGGGACUUUAUGACCGCAUGUGACUACUGCCUCUCCGACUGUUCCGAUGGUAGCCGCAGCCUUGACGACGAGGACUGCGGCCCAAGCCGCGAAUGUUUCCACGUCGAGCUAGGGGAUCCCUCCGAAGGCAACCAUCUCGGCAUGCCGGAGGACGGUGAUCUCCCUAGGCCGGUGCCUCGCGCCGACAUCCCGCGGGAGCUAGCUGUGGUCCCCGUCCCGGCGGGGGGUCACGACCCACAGCUCGAGCAAGUCCGCGGGGCGCAGGCCAGGCUCGACGAGGGAGCAGGAGCGCUCGAGUCGAUCCGCCGGGACGUCGGGCAGGUAUGGGCGGGCCAACCCCCGGUCGGAGAAAUACGUCACCUGCCCCAGGGUUUCCAGCACCGCGUCGCCAACGACGUCAGGGUCAGGCCGCCACCCGCAUCCAGCGGGGUCGGUCAGAACCUGGCAGCCGCAGCGAUGCUCCUCCGCGCGAUGCCGGAGCCAUCAACCACCGAGGGUCGGCGAAUCCAGGGAGAGCUCAAGAAUCUUCUGGAAGGCGCUGCGGCCCGACGCGCCGAGAGCUCUGCCUCCCGAAGGCAGGGAUACCCCUCGGAACCUCAUGCCGCGACUUCCCGAUUCAUGCGGGAAGCCUCGGUCUACACCGGGCGCACGUGCAACACCGCGCCUGCGGCCCCGGGCCACCUCGGCAACGAGCACCAUCGUCGCGACCGUCGGCCCCACCUCGACGAAAGGGUGCGCCGAGGCUACCACCCCAGGCGUAGGGGACGCUACGACAGCGGGGAGGAUCGGAGUCCCUCGCCCGAACCACCCGGUCCGCAGGCCUUCAGUCGGGCCAUCCGACGGGCGCCGUUCCCGGCCCGGUUCCGACCCCCGACUACUAUCACAAAGUACUCGGGGGAAACGAGACCGGAACUGUGGCUCGCAGACUACCGCCUGACCUGCCAACUGGGUGGAACGGACGACGACAACCUCAUCAUCCGCAACCUCCCCCUGUUCCUCUCCGACACUGCUCGCGCCUGGUUGGAGCACCUGCCUCCGGGGCAGAUCUCCAACUGGGAUGAUUUGGUCCAAGCCUUCGCCGGCAAUUUCCAGGGCACGUACGUGCGCCCCGGGAAUUCCUGGGACCUCCGAAGCUGCCGACAACAGCCGGGAGAGUCUCUCCGGGACUACAUCCGGCGGUUCUCGAAGCAGCGCACCGAGCUGCCCAACAUCACCGACUCAGAUGUCAUCGGCGCGUUCCUUGCCGGCACCACCUGCCGCGACCUGGUGAGCAAGUUGGGUCGCAAUACCCCCACCAGGGCGAGCGAGCUGAUGGAUAUCGCCACCAAGUUCGCCUCUGGCCAGGAGGCGGUUGAGGCCAUCUUCCGAAAGGACAAGCAGCCCCAGGGCCGCCCGUCGGAAGAGGCCCCCGAGGCGUCUACUCCGUGCGGCGCCAAGAAGAAAGGCAAGAAGAAGUCGCAAGCGAAACGCGACGCCGCCGACGCGGACCUUGUCGCCGCCGCCGAGUACAAGAACCCUCGGAAGCCCCCCGGAGGUGCUAACCUCUUCGACAAGAUGCUCAAGGAGCCGUGCCCCCACCAUCAGGGGCCCGUCAAGCACACCCUCGAGGAGUGCGUCAUACUUCGGCGCCACUUCCAUAAGGCCGGGCCACCUGCGGAGGGUGGCAGGGCCCGCGACGACGACAAAAAGGAAGAUCACCAAGUAGGAGAGUUCCCCGAGGUCCGCGACUGCUUCAUGAUCUACGGAGGGCACGCGGCGAAUGCCUCGGCUCGGCAUCGCAAGCAAGAGCGCCGGGAGGUCUGCUCGGUGAAGGUGGCGGCGCCAGUCUACCUAGACUGGUCCGACAAGCCCAUCACCUUCGACCAAGCUGACCACCCCGACCACGUGCCGAGCCCGGGGAAAUACCCGCUCGUCGUCGACCCCAUCGUCGGCGACGUCAGGCUCACCAAGGUCCUGAUGGAUGGAGGCAGCUGCCUCAACAUCAUCUACGCCGAGACCCUCAGGCUCCUGCGCGUCGAUCUGUCCUCCGUCCGAGCAGGCGCUGCGCCCUUCCACGGGAUCAUUCCUGGGAAGCGCGUCCAGCCCCUCGGACGGCUCGACCUUCUCGUCUGCUUCGGAACGCCCUCCAACUUCCGAAGGGAGAUUUUGACGUUCGAGGUGGUCGGGUUCCGAGGAACCUACCACGCGGUGCUGGGGAGGCCAUGCUACGCGAAGUUCAUGGUCGUCCCCAACUACACCUACCUGAAGCUCAAGAUGCCGGGCCCCAACGGGGUCAUCACCGUCGGCCCCACGUACAAACACGCGUUCGAAUGCGACGUGGAGUGCGUGGAGUACGCCGAGGCCCUCGCCGAGUCCGAGGCCCUCAUCGCCGACCUGGAGAACCUCUCCAAAGAGGUGCCAGACGUGAAGCGACAUGCCGGCAACUUCGAGCCAGCGGAGACGGUUAAGGCCGUCCCUCUCGACCCCAGUGGCGACACCUCCAAGCAGAUCCGGAUCGGUUCCGGGCUCGACCCCAAAUAGGAAGCAGUGCUCGUCGACUUUCUCCGCGCAAACGCCGACGUCUUUGCGUGGAGUCCCUCGGACAUGCCCGGCAUACCGAGGGAUGUCGCCGAGCACUCGCUGGAUAUUCGGGCCGGAGCCCGACCCGUCAGGCAGCCUCUGCGCCGAUUCGACGAGGAGAAGCGCAGAGUGAUAGGCGAGGAGGUCCACAAGCUAAUGGCAGCAGGGUUCAUCAAAGAGGUAUUCCAUCCCGAAUGGCUUGCCAACCCUGUGCUUGUGAGAAAGAAAGGGGGGAAAUGGCGGAUGUGUGUAGACUACACUGGUCUCAACAAAGCAUGUCCGAAGGUUCCCUACCCUCUACCUCGCAUCGAUCAAAUCGUGGAUUCCACUGCUGGGUGCGAAACCCUGUCCUUCCUCGAUGCCUACUCAGGGUAUCACCAAAUCCGGAUGAAAGAGUCUGACCAGCUCGCGACUUCUUUCAUCACGCCCUUCGGCAUGUACUGCUAUGUCACCAUGCCGUUCGGUUUGAGGAAUGCGGGCGCGACGUACCAGCGGUGCAUGAACCAUGUGUUCGGCGAACACAUCGGUCGCACAGUCGAGGCCUACGUCGAUGACAUCGUAGUCAAGACAAGGAAGGCUUCCAACCUCCUCUCCGACCUUGAAGUGACAUUCCGGUGUCUCAAGGCGAAAGGCGUCAAGCUCAAUCCCGAGAAGUGUGUCUUCGGGGUGCCCCGAGGCAUGCUCUUGGGGUUCAUCGUCUCCGCGCGAGGCAUCGAAGCUAACCCGGAGAAGAUCGCAGCUAUCACCAGCAUGGGGCCCAUCAAGGACUUAAAAGGCGUACAGAGGGUCAUGGGAUGUCUCGCGGCCCUGAGCCGCUUCAUCUCACGCCUCGGCGAAAGAGGCCUGCCUCUGUACCGCCUGUUAAGGAAGGCCGAGUGUUUCGCUUGGACCCCUGAGGCCGAGGAAGCUCUCGGGGACCUGAAGGCGCUCCUCACCAAGGCGCCUAUCUUGGUGCCCCCAGCCGAUGGAGAAGCCCUCUUGGUCUACGUCGCCGCGACCACUCAGGUGGUUAGCGCCGCGAUUGUGGUCGAGAGGCAAGAAGAGGGGUAUGCAUUGCCCGUUCAGAGGCCAGUUUACUUCGUCAGCGAGGUACUGUCCGAAACCAAGAUCCGCUACCCGCAAGUUCAGAAGCUACUGUAUGCGGUGAUCCUGACGAGGCGGAAGUUGCGACACUACUUCGAGUCUCACCCGGUAACUGUGGUGUCAUCCUUCCCCCUGGGGGAGAUCAUCCAGUGUCGAGAGGCCUCGGGCAGGAUUGCAAAGUGGGCGGUGGAAAUCAUGGGCGAGACAAUCUCGUUCGCCCCCCGGAAGGCCAUCAAGUCCCAGGUAUUGGCGGACUUCGUAGCCGAAUGGGUCGACACCCAGCUGCCGACGGCUCCGAUCCAACCGGAGCUCUGGACCAUGUUUUUCGACGGGUCGCUGAUGAAGACGGGAGCCGGCGCGGGCCUACUCUUCGUCUCACCCCUCGGAAAACACCUACGCUACGUGCUACGCCUCCAUUUCCCGGCAUCCAACAAUGUGGCUGAGUACGAAGCUCUGAUCAACGGGUUGCGAAUCGCCAUCGAGCUAGGGGUCCGACGCCUCGACGCUCGCGGCGACUCGCAGCUCGUCAUCAACCAAGUCAUGAAGAACUCCCACUGCCGCGACCCGAAGAUGGAGGCCUACUGCGAUGAGGUUCGGCGCCUGGAAGACAAGUUCUACGGGCUCGAGCUUAACCACAUCGCUCGGCGCUACAACGAGACUGCGGACGAGCUGGCAAAAAUAGCCUCGAGGCGAACGACGGUCCCCCCGGAUGUCUUCUCCCGGGAUCUGCAUCAGCCCUCCGUCAAGAUCAACGACACGCUCGAGCCCGAGGCACCCUCGGUUCAGCCCGAGGUACCCUCGGUCCAGCCCGAGGCACCCUCGGUUCAGCCCGAGGCACCCUCGGUCCAGCCCGAGGCAUCCUCGGUUCAGCCCGAGGUACCCUCGGCCCCCGAGGGUGAGGCGCUGCGCAUCGAGGAGGAGCGGAGCGGGGCCACGCCUGAUCGAGAUUGGCAGACCACGUACCUGCAAUAUCUCCGCCAAGGAGAGCUGCCCCUCGACCGAACUGAGGCUCGGCGGAUAGCGCGACGCGCCAAGUCGUUCGUCCUGCUAGGCGAUGGGAAGGAGCUCUACCACCGCAGUCCCUCGGGCAUCCUCCAGCGAUGCAUCUCCAUCGCCGAAGGUCAGGAACUCCUGCAAGAGAUACACUCGGGGGCUUGCGGCCAUCACGCAGCGCCCCGAGCCCUCGUCGGGAAUGCUUUCCGGCAAGGCUUCUACUGGCCAACGGCGGUGGCCGACGCUACUAGAAUUGUCCGCACCUGCGAAGGGUGUCAAUUCUAUGCGAAGCAGACCCACCUGCCCGCUCAGGCUCUGCAGACGAUACCCAUCACUUGGCCCUUCGUUGUGUGGGGUCUGGACCUCGUCGGCCCUUUGCAGAAGGCGCCCGGGGGCUACACGCACCUGCUGGUCGCCAUCGACAAAUUCUCCAAGUGGAUCGAGGUCCGACCCCUGAACAGCGUCAGGUCCGAGCAGGCGGUGGCGUUCUUCACCAACAUCAUCCAUCGCUUCGGGGUCCCAAACUCCAUCAUCACCGACAACGGCACCCAGUUCACCGGCAGAAAAUUCUUGGAUUUUUGCGAGGAUCACCACAUCCGGGUGGACUGGGCCGCCGUGGCUCAUCCCAUGUCGAAUGGGCAAGUAGAGCGUGCCAACGGCAUGAUUCUACAAGGGCUCAAGCCUCGGAUUUACAACGACCUCAACAAGUUCGGCAAGCGAUGGAUGAAGGAACUCCCCUCGGUGGUCUGGAGCCUGAGGACAACGCCGAGCCGAGCCACGGGUUUCACGCCGUUUUUCCUGGUCUACGGGGUCGAGGCCGUCUUGCCCACUGACCUGGAAUACGGCUCCCCGAGGACGAGGGCCUACGACGAUCAAAGCAACCAAGCUAGCCGAGAAGACUCGCUGGACCAGCUGGAGGAGGCUCGGGACAGGGCCUUACUACACUCGGCGCGGUAUCAGCAGUCCCUGCGGCGCUACCACGCCCGAGGGGUCCGACCCUGGGACCUCCAGGUGGGCGACCUGGUACAUCGGCUGCGGCAAGACGCCCGAGGGAGGCACAAGCUCGCGCCCCCCUGGGAAGGGCCAUUCGUCAUCGCCAAAGUUCUGAAGCCCGGAACGUACAAGCUGGCCAACAGUCAAGGCGAGGUCUACGGCAACGCUUGGAACAUCCAACAGCUACGUCGCUUCUACCCUUAAGAUGUUUCCAAGUUGUUCAUAUACCUCGCACCCACGCAAAGUUUAGUCAACAAGGAAGGGUCGGCCUCGCCUCGGCAAAGCCCGACCCUCCCGCGGGGGCUAAAAGGGGGGAAACCCCCUCUGCGUCAAAAUUUUCCUCGAAAAAAGAUCUCUUUUACCAGAAUAUCUUUCGUGCUUUUUGACUACUUCGAAAAGUGGGUCCUGGAAACGACGGAGUACACGUAAGCAGCCAAGGCUGACCGAGCCGAGGGACUCCUACGCCUCCGGGAUACGGAUACCUCACUCAUCACCUUCUGCGAUAAGUAACUCGCGUUCGGAUAAAGUGGCUCCGCGGAUCGAACAAGUCUUUACGUUCGGAAGCCCUUCUGCCGAAGCGAUCCUUCGAGCCUUCUCGACCGAGUCGGUGACAGGGCCUCACGGACGGGUGAAAGUACGCGUAAGCGGCAAGGCCGACCGAGCCGAGGGACUCCCACGCCUCCGGGAUACGGAUACCUCACUCAUCACCUUCCGCGAGAAGCAACUCUCACUCGCACAAACAUCCCUGUUACCGACAAAAAGUCCAGAUACUCGAAACAAGAGGAAAAGAGACGCAGCUUUACAACGCAGCGAGGUGUGUGUUCUGGCCUCGGCGGCCGCACAAGGCACACGCUACAAGACAAUCUGAUCCUGCAGGCUCGGGUCUUGACGCUGGAAGGGGGCAGCAACACCCUUGGUAUCGAUGACACCUUCGGCGAGGCCCGACCUAGCCGCGGACGGCGACGCGGUCCGAGGUUCUCCGCUCCGAAGGACGACGUCAUCACCACGCCCGGGCAAUCGCUGCCAGGGACUUCUCCGGGAAUCCGGCCCGAGCAGGCGGCUCGGCCGGUUACCCCUGGGGCCUCGGCCAACCAUCUUCCAAGGGCGCCAGCCCGGUCCGAGGCCUCGGCUGAUCAACUCCGACAUCGGUCCUGCUAACGGACAACCCGGCUAGGCUCCGGCCAACCAGGUUUCAUUCUCGAGCCGACUCCGCCUCUGUUCAUACUGAUACCGCUACCCCUGGCCUCGGCUCGUCGAAGAGCGACCGAGGGGUUUCUUUAACUAAGCUAGAGGAGCCUCGGACAGCAAGGCCGACCGAGCCGAGGGACUCCUACGCCUCCGGGAUACGGAUACCUCACUCGUCACCUUGACACGGGGCGACUCAUGCUUGGUGAAGCGAUUCAGAUAAUCAACAGACGAGUCUUAGCGCUCAAAAAUGAGGAAAAAACACGGCUCCGUGCCGACGUUACAUACAUGUUCAGGCCCCGAAAGCCGUAAUGAACAAAAAACACCGGCAUUCGAAGUGCCGUUACAAACGGAACUCCGGUUCCCCCCUCCGCAGGUACGAACAACCCCACUCGACGGGGGAGAGGCCUGCGGAGCAACAGAAGACCGACGAACGGCUUGUCGUCGCCCGCCCCAGCAGCGGCGACGAUGAAGACUUCUGUCCCGGGGGGCUGAACAGCAGCAGCGAUGACCUCAGGGCGGAUGCUGCUGCCAGGAGGCCCCCGCCCAUGCCCAAAACUCGAGAGGCAAGGACGGGCAGAAGGCCGUAGAGUUGGAGGUCGGUCCGCGGGUGGCGUCGGCAAACUCGUCGGCGGCGGAACCUCUUCCAGCUGCCGUGGCGGGAGGCGGCACCGGGAGCGGCUCCGAAGUCGCUCGGCUCAGCGAGCCGGGCACGGUGCAGCUGUCAUCACCACGGACGGCUCCCGCCCUUCCCCCUGAUCAUUGAGGGAAGGAGCGGGCCACCGCCCACGCAGGGGCCGACCCCAACUCGGCACACUCCCCUCCCCAGCACUAGUGAUGAAAAUCCUUGAGGCUGAGGGAGGGGCAGAGGCCGCAGCCCGGCUCGCUUUCCCCCACCAUCAAGCUGGAGGUCACCAUCUUGGGUGACCGCCGGUGGAGGGGUGCAGCCGGGCUGCAUGAUGAAAAUCCUUGAAGCCGAACGAUGGCUGAAAGGUACCAACUCCCACGGAGUUGCGUUCCUCCAACGAUGAGGCGAAAAGACGGCGGGUUCCCCCCAUCCGGGGGCUUGGAAGGUGGAAAGGCGCGGCGCAUAAGGGAGCGAGAAGACAUGGUCGCCUUACGAAAGGGGUCGCCCUCCUUUUAAAGGCAACUCUCCCUGCUUGCGCCCCCAACCGUCACGGGUUGGGUCUUCUCCAACACGCUCCAAAGCCCUCCCCUGCGGCGCGGGGGCUGGGUCCCGCAUGUCAUGCAGACCGGCUCCGAGCAGAAGAAGCCAAACCGCCGCGCGUGGUGCACGCAACCGCCCAGCGGUUACAAGUGACCCUCCACUUUUGCCCAGACCAACGGGCGAAAGAGGCGGGCAGCCAUGCAGGCGGCAUGCAACCGCGCCAAGUGGACGCACUUCUCCGACUCCCGACACGCCAGCAUGGAGGCCCAGGCCCACGCGUCGCGCAACCGGCGCGCCGGAUGCUGCAUGCAAGCAACUGUACCGCCUGUGCCACCACCGCGCCUCCUCGAUUGCGGAACCAAUACCGCGACUCGAGGCGACCCAGCGCGCGACCCAGCAGCGCCAGCCUGACGCAGCGGCCAACGCGACCAAAAGUGGGCCGGCAGUAAUGACGGUGGCAGGCGCGCGGGAGCAGCGGUCACGUCGUCAGCCGAGCUCACGUCCCAUCCGAGGGCAGCAAGAGAACCCCCUCUCAUGGCGUGAAGACAACGCGCCCGUGAUCCGUUCCUCGAACGGCUCGCGCGCGCAACGGCCGCCCCGCCAACUACUCACCCCGUCGCAUUAACUCCGCGGCUGGACAGGCGACGCUUCUGGCAGGAGCAGCAGGUGACGCUUCGCCAAAACAACCGCGCCAAAAAAGGUACGCCGCGUCAUUCGGUUUCGUAUCCUUUUCCCUUUUUCCUCUUUUCUCUAUCUCUUGCGACAGGGACCGGGAAAGGGGGAUACCCCGAAAGGGAUCCUUCCCCGUGAAGGAACCAGGCUCCGAGCCUCCUUACUGAUCAGAGGUUCGAAGGCUGGCCCCCCGAAGGGUUCAACAGCCGCCUCAGAUCGCGUGGGCCCUACACCCACUACUGGUCAGAGGUUCGAAGGCCGGCCCCCCGAAGGGUUCCACGGCCGCCUCAGGCUACUCGGGUCCGCGCCCAUUACUGAUCAGGGGUUCGAAGGCUGGCCCCCGAAGGGUUCACAGUCGCCUCAGACGCCGAGCGAGGGAUGACCAGGGGUACGUUCGAUACAUAACCAAGGCUCGGGCUGCGCUCCCGAGGUACCCUAGGACAUUUCCGAGACCAGCGGGAGCGAUCUUGUAACGGAAUCCCAUCGGAGGGAGGCAUCGAGCCCUCGGACCCCGUCGCCAGGGGACCGGGUCCGGCAGAUCACCCGCAGGUACUUUUGGGCGUGCCUCUGGCCCCUAGCCGACCCCCAACGAACGGGGCACGGACGUCCACUCGGAUUACCCGCUUGCAGCUCACCGGAGACACCAUGUUCGGUGCCCAUCGAGGGUAACAUGGCGCUCUCCCCCCUCCUCCUUGCGGAAAGGCGACGUAGGGGCGUAUGUAAAAAAGCCGAGUCUGUCCCUGAUCGCCCUCUCGCCCUGUGCGGAGGCUCGGGGGCUGCUCUCGCAAACCCGGCUCCGGCCGAACCGUUGACAGCGUCAACAUACCAGCCCGAGAACUUGGGCCCCGACCGUGCACCCGGGCUACGGCCAGUUCGCAUGAGGGAACGACCAGACCAGCCGAAGCAUUACGCAAGGCAUUAAGACCUCGAAGGAGUGAAACCACUCCUCCGAGGCCUUGGGGGCUACACCCGGCGGGUGCGCUCGCGCGCACCCACUGGAACAAAAUGCAACCGAGAAAGGCUGGUCCCCUUGCAAAAAAGUGCGACGAAAGCCUCCAAGCGAGUGUUAACACUCCCUUCGAGGCUCGGGGGCUACUGUCGGGGACCAUAAUUAGGGGUACCCUCAAGACGCCUAAUUCUCAGCUGGUAACCCCCAUCAGCAUAAAGCUACAAAGGCCUGAUGGGUGCGAUUAAGUCAGGGAUCAGUCCAUACGAGCGACUCGAUCACGCCUCGCCCGAGCCUAGCCUCGGGCAAGGGCAGCCGACCCCGAGGGGUUUCCGUCUCGCCCGAGGCCCCCCCUUUUAACGGUGGACACAUCUCCGGCUCGCCCGAGGCCUUGCCUUCGCUAAGAAGCAACCCUGACUAAAUCGCCGCGCCGACCGACCGAGUCGCAGGAGCAUUUAACGCAAAGGUGGCCUGACACCUUUAUCCUGACACGCGCCCUCCGGCAGAGCUGAAGUGACCGCCGUCACUUCGCCGCUCCACUGACCGGUCUGACAGGAGGACAGCGCCGCCUGCGCCACUCCGACUGCAGUGCCACUUGACAGAGUGAGACUGACAGGCAGUCAGGCCUUGCCAAAGGCGCCAUAGGAAACUCCGCUCCGCCCGACCCAGGGCUCGGACUCGGGCUAAGCCCCGGAAGACGGCGAACUCCGCUCCGCCCGACCCAGGGCUCGGACUCGGGCUAAGGCCCCGGAAGACGGCGAACUCCGCUCCGCCCGACCCAGGGCUCGGACUCGGGCUAAGGCCCCGGAAGACGGCGAACUCCGCUCCGCCCGACCCAGGGCUCGGACUCGGGCUAAGGCCCCGGAAGACGGCGAACUCCGCUCCGCCCGACCCAGGGCUCGGACUCGGGCUCAGCCCCAGAAGACGACGAACUCCGCUUCGCCCGACCCCAGGGCUCGGACUCCGCCCUGGCCUCUGCCGAACAACCUCCGCCUCGCCCGACCCAGGAGCUCAGGCUCAGCCUCGGCCAUGGAAGACAGACUCGACCCCGGCUUCGGAGGAGCCUCCACGUCGCCCGACCUAGGGCACAGGCCUGCCACAUCAACAGUAAGCGCCAUCAUCACCCUACCCCGAGCCGACUCGGGCCGCAGAGAACAAGACCGGUGUCCCAUCUGGCUAGCUCCGCCAGAUAGGCAAUGAUGGCGCCCCGCUAGCCCAGUGACGACGGCGGCUCUCAGCUCCCUUACGGAAGCAGGGGGACGUCAGCAAGGACCCAACCGCUCCGACAGCUGUCCCUCCGCCAGGCUCCGUUGCUCCUCCGACAGCCACGACACCACACCAGCAGGGUGCCAAGAUCUCUCCGGCUGCCACAUUGGCAUGUACUUAGGGCGCUAGCUCUCCCCCCGCUAGACACGUAGCACUCUGCUACACCCCCAUUGUACACCUGGAUCCUCUCCUUACGACUAUAAAAGGAAGGACCAGGGCCUUCUUAGAGAAGGUUGGCCGCGCAGGGACGAGGAUGGGACAGGCGCUCUCUUGGGGCCGCUCGCUUCCCUCACCCGCGUGGACGCUUGUAACCCCCUACUGCAAGCGCACCCGACCUGGGCGCGGGACGAACACGAAGGCCGCGGGAUUUCCACCUCUCUCACGCCCGUCUUCGGCCACCUCGCUUCCCCCCUUCGCGCUCGCCCACGCGCUCGACCCAUCUGGGCUGGGGCACGCGGCACACUCACUCGUCGGCCUGAGGGACCCCCCGGUCUCGAGACGCCGACAGAUAUCGGCUAAUUGAUCUUUAGUGUUAAUGUAUGAAAUCUCGAUAUCCCCCUUUUGUUGGUGAUCCCUAAGAAAAUGAUACCGAAUGGCUAUGUGUUUAGUGCGGCUAUGCUCAACGGGAUUAUCCGCCAUGCGGAUUGCACUCUCAUUAUCACAUAGAAGAGGAACUUUGGUUAGUUUGUAACCGUAGUCCUGCAGGGUUUGCCUCAUCCAUAGCAAUUGCGCGCAACAGUGGCCUGCAGCAAUAUACUCGGCUUCGGCGGUAGAAAGAGCUACCGAAUUUUGCUUCUUUGAAGCCCAAGACACCAAGGAUCUUCCCAAGAACUGGCAAGUCCCCGAUGUGCUCUUUCUAUUGAUCUUACACCCCGCCCAAUCGGCAUCCGAAUAACCAAUCAAAUCAAAUGUGGAUCCCCUAGGGUACCAAAGCCCAAACUUAGGAGUAUAAGCCAAAUAUCUCAAGAUUCGUUUUACGGUCGUAAGGUGGGAUUCCUUAGGGUCGGAUUGGAAUCUUGCACACAUGCAAACGGAAAGCAUAAUGUCCGGUCGAGAUGCACAUAAAUAAAGCAAUGAACCAAUCAUCGACCGGUAUACCUUUUGAUCGACGGAUUUACCUCCCGUGUCGAGGUCGAGAUGCCCAUUAGUUCCCAUGGGUGUCUUGAUGGGCUUGGCAUCCUUCAUUCCAAACUUGGUUAGAAUGUCUUGAGUAUACUUUGUUUGACAAAUGAAGGUGCCCUCUUAGAGUUGCUUGACUUGGAAUCCUAGAAAAUACUUCAACUCCCCCAUCAUAGACAUCUCGAUUUUUGUGUCAUGAUCCUACUAAAUUCUUCACAUGUAGAUUCGUUAGUAGACCCAAAUAUAAUAUCAUCAACAUAAAUUUGGCAUACAAACAAAUCAUUGUCAAGAGUUUUAGUGAAUAAAGUAGGAUCGGCCUUGCCGACUUUGAAGCCAUUUGCAAUAAGGAAGUCUCUAAGGCAUUCAUACCAUGCUCUUGGGGCUUGCUUGAGCCCAUAAAGCGCCUUAGAGAGCCUAUAGACAUGGUUAGGAUACUCACUAUCUUCAAAGCCGGGAGGUUGCUCAACAUAGACCUCCUCCUUGAUUGGUCCGUUGAGGAAGGCACUCUUCACGUCCAUUUGGUAAAGCUUGAAGCCAUGGUAAGUAGCAUAGGCUAAUAAUAUGCGAAUUGACUCAAGCCUAGCUACGGGUGCAUAGGUUUCACCGAAAUCCAAACCUUCGACUUGGGAGUAUCCCUUGGCCACAAGUCGAGCUUUGUUCCUAGUCACCACACCAUGCUCGUCUUGCUUGUUGCGGAAGACCCACUUGGUUCCUACAACAUUUUGGUUAGGAUGUGGAACUAAAUGCCAUACCUCAUUCCUAGUGAAGUUGUUGAGCUCCUCUUGCAUCGCCAUCACCCAAUCCGAAUCUUGAAGUGCUUCCUCUACCCUGUGUGGGUCAAUAGAGGAAACAAAAGAGUAAUGUUCACAAAAAUGUGCAACACGAGAUCUAGUGGUUACCCCCUUAUGAAUGUCACCGAGGAUUGUGUCGACGGGGUGAUCUCGUUGUAUUGCUUGGUGGACUCUUGGGUGUGGCGGCCUUGGUUGUUCAUCCUCCUUGUCUUGAUCAUUUGCAUCUCCCCCUUGAUUGUUGCCGUCAUCUUGAGGGGGCUCAUCUCUUUGAUCUUCUCCUUCAUCAAUUUGAGCCUCGUCCUCAUCUUGGGUUGGCGGAGAUGCUUGCGUGGAGGAGGAUGGUUGAUCUUGUGCAUUUGGAGGCUCUUCGGAUUCCUUAGGACACACAUCCCCAAUGGACAUGUUCCUUAGCGCGAUGCAUGGAGCCUGUUCUUCACCUAUCUCAUCAAGAUCAACUUGCUCUACUUGAGAGCCGUUAGUCUCAUCAAACACAACGUCACAAGAAACUUCAACUAGUCCUGAGGACUUGUUAAAGACUCUAUAUGCCCUUGUGUUUGAAUCAUAUCCUAGUAAAAAGCCUUCUACAGUUUUAGGAGCAAAUUUAGAUUUUCUACCUCUUUUAACAAGAAUAAAGCAUUUGCUACCAAAAACUCUAAAAUAUGAAAUAUUGGGCUUUUUACCGGUUAGGAGUUCAUAGGAUGUCUUCUUGAGGAUUCGGUGUAGAUAUAACCGGUUGAUGGCAUAGCAGGCGGUGUUGACUGCCUCGGCCCAAAACCGAUCCGGUGUCUUGUACUCAUCAAGCAUGGUUCUUGCCAUGUCCAAUAGAGUUUGAUUCUUCCUCUCCACUACACCAUUUUGUUGUGGGGUGUAGGGAGAAGAGAACUCAUGCUUGAUGCCCUCUUCCUCAAGAAAGCCUUCAAUUUGUGAGUUCUUGAACUCCGUCCCAUUGUCGCUUCUAAUUUUCUUGAUCCUUAAGCCGAACUCAUUUUGAGCUCGUCUCAAGAAUCCCUUUAAGGUUUCUUGGGUAUGCGAUUUUUCCUGCAAAAAGAACACCCAAGUGAAGCGAGAAUAAUCAUCCACUAUUACAAGACAAUACUUACUCCCGCCGAUGCUUAUGUAAGUAAUCGGGCCGAAUAGAUCCAUGUGGAGUAGCUCAAGUGGCCUGUCGGUCGUCAUGAUGUUCUUGUGUGGAUGAUGGGAUCCAACUUGCUUUCCUGCUUGGCAUGCGCUACAAAUCUUGUCUUUCUCAAAAUGAACAUUUGUUAGUCCUAAAAUGUGCUCUCCCUUUAGAAGCUUAUGAAGAUUCUUCAUCCCAACGUGGGCUAGUCGGCGAUGCCAAAGCCAACCCAUGUUAGUCUUAGCAAUUAAGCAUGUGUCGAGUUCAGCUCUAUCAAAAUCUACCAAGUAUAGCUGACCUUCUAACACACCCUUAAAUGCUAUUGAAUCAUCACUUCUUCUAAAGACAGUGACACCUACAUCAGUAAAGAGACAGUUGUAGCCCAUUUGACAUAAUUGAGAUACAGAAAGCAAAUUGUAAUCUAAAGAAUCUACAAGAAAAACAUUGGAAAUAGUAUGGUCAGGUGAUAUAGCAAUUUUACCCAAUCCUUUGACCAAACCUUGAUUUCCAUCCCCGAAUGUGAUAGCUCGUUGGGGAUCUUGGUUUUUCUCAUAUGAGGAGAACAUCUUCUUCUCCCCUGUCAUGUGGUUUGUGCACCCACUGUCGAGUAUCCAACUUGAGCCCCCGGAUGCAUAAACCUACAAAACAAUUUUAGUUCUUGACUUUAGGUACCCAAACGGUUUUGGGUCCUUUGGCAUUAGAAACAAGAACUUUGGGUACCCAAACACAAGUCUUGGAACCCUUGUGUUUGCCCCCAACAAACUUGGCAACUACCUUGCCGGAUUUGUUAGUAAGCACAUAGGAUGCAUCAAAAGUUUUGAAUGAAAUGUCAUGAUCAUUUGAUGCAUUAGGAGUUUUCCUUUUAGGCAACUUAGCACGGGUUGGUUGCCUAGAACUAGAUGUCUCACCCUUAUACAUAAAAGCAUGGUUAGGGCCAGAGUGAGACUUCCUAGAAUGAGUUCUCCUAAUUUUGCUCUCGGGAUAGCCGGCAGGGUACAAAAUGUAUCCUUCGUUAUCCUGAGGCAUGGGAGCCUUGCCCUUAACAAAGUUAGACAAAUUUUUAGGAGGGGCAUUAAGUUUGACAUUGUCUCCCCUUUGGAAGCCAAUGUCAUCCUUGAUGCCAGGGCGUCUCCCAUUAUAGAGCAUACUUCUAGCAAAUUUAAGCUUUUCAUUUUCUAAGUUAUGCUCGGCAAUUUUAGCAUCUAAAACCGCUAUAUGAUCAUUUUGUUGUUUAAUUAAAGCCAUAUGAUCAUGAAUAGCAUCAAUAUCAAUAUCUCUACAUCUAUCACAAAUAGACACAUGCUCAAUAGUAGAUGUAGAGGGUUUGCAAGAAUUAAGUUCAACAAUCUUAGCACGCAAAAUGUCAUUGUUGUCUCUAAGAUUGGAAAUUGUAACAUUGCAAACAUCUAAUUCUUUAGCCUUAGCAAUCAAUUUCUCAUUCUCAUUUCUAAGGCUAGCAAUAGAGACAUUCAACUCAUCAAUCCUAGCAAGUAAAUCAACAUUAUCAUCUCUAGGAUUGGAAGUUGAAAUAGUACAAACAUGAGAAUCAACCUUAGCAAUUAAUUUAGCAUUUUCAUUUCUAAGGUUGGCAAUAGUGUCAUGGCAAGUGCUUAGCUCACUAGAUAGUUUUUGACAUUUUUCUAUUUCUAGAGCAUAAGCAUUUUUAACCUUAACAUGUUUCUUGUUUUCCUUAAUUAGGAAGUCCUCUUGGGAAUCCAAAAGGUCAUCCUUUUCAUGAAUAGCACUAAUCAAUUCAUUUAAUUUUUCCUUUUGUUCCAUGUUAAGGUUGGCAAAAAGGGUACGCAAGUUAUCCUCCUCAUCACUAGCAUUUUCAUCACUAGAAGAUUCAUAUUUAGUGGAGGAUUUAGAUUUAACCUUCUUCUUUUUGACGUCUUUUGCCAUGAGGCACUUGUGGCCGACGUUUGGGAAGAGGAGUCCCUUGGUGACGGCGAUGUUAGCGGCGUCCUCGUCGGAGGAGGAGUCGGUGGAGCUCUCGUCCGAGUCCCACUCCCGACAAACAUGGACAUCGCCGCCCUUCUUCUUGUAGUAUCUCUUCUUUUCUCUCCUCUUUUCCUUCUUGUCGUUAUCCCUGUCACUGUCACUUGAUAAUGGACAUUUAGCAAUAAAAUGACCGGGCUUAUGUCAUGGGCAUCAUAGGGAGCGAGAGGCAACAGCCAGGCUGGGAUAAGGCUAGAGAAUAAGAUUGAGAUGAGCUGGGAUAAGGCUAGAGAAUAAGAUUGAGAUGAGAGAAUUGUGGAGAGUUGGUUAGCAGCAGAUAAGUCCAAGAAAGUAGGAGUUAGUUGAGAGUUUGUAGGAGAAGUUAGUUAGCCAUAGGGCUAUUUAUAAGCCGCAUGGCAGCAGGAAAUAAAUCAAGCAAGAUCAUUAUCAAACCAAUCUCUCUCCCUUGCAAUGACCCUCUCAAGCGCCUAGGGCUGCUACCCUAGAACCAAGCCUGCGGCAGAGGGGUAUAACCUCGCCGGAGAAGACAACUAUCCCCAUGGACCGGUCCAUGACACCUGGUAUCAGAACCAGGUUAUCCUCACCACCACCAGCCGCCCAUCCCUCACCACCACCAACCGCCGCGCCAUCAGCCGCCGCAACGCCCUCCCACCCGCCCUCUCCAACUCCAGAUGCAUUCACUCGGCUCGAAGAGAGUUUUGGCUGUCUCGCAGAGAAGUGGGAUCAGUUCGUUGUGAUGUUCCAUCGCUACAAGGAGAAGACAGAGAAGGAACUCCAAGCAGCGGUGCGACUUCAGGCGGCAGCGCGAGGGUUCCUGGCACGCCGCCAGGUACAAUCCCUUCGUGGGGAGAAGCACCUUGCUGUGGCCUCCAGGGCCACCCCAUGGCCGUCAUCACAUGAGCAGGCUGUGGUGCGCCUGCAAGCCGCAGUGCGCGGCUUCCUUGUUAGGCGGGCGGUGCGGAAGCUGCACUUGCUGAUCAGCUCAUCGCUGCACCAACUCGCAGCCUGCGCGCCCAACCACCAGGUCUCGUCUAUACUUUUUGAAACCCCUGCAGAAGUCGAGAUCUGGGUAUGCAGCCCCCUGCACGGCCAAAGAGGGUCAUCUCCUUCAUUCGGGCAACUACCUUGGUGCUGGACAGACCCAACAUAAGAACAGGCUGGUUCCUACUUCACCUUUCAUCCAACGUGAAGUCCGCAGUUCAGCUCUUUCCUUGGGAUCCAGGAGGACAGGAGGACAUAGCUGCAGUUCAAAUUUAUAUUUUAGUUCCACAAUUAUUUUGUAUUUUCAUCUUAAAUAAUAAAGGUAAGUCGAGAUGUAAAAGGCUUAACCUUAAGUCGUGUCAGGUAAGUCUAUGGCAGCUCGAGGACGAGCUGGUCCUCAAGGGAGGGGGAGAUGUCAUGGGCAUCAUAGGGAGCGAGAGGCAACAGCCAGGCUGGGAUAAGGCUAGAGAAUAAGAUUGAGAUGAGCUGGGAUAAGCCUAGAGAAUAAGAUUGAGAUGAGAGAAUUGUGGAGAGUUGGUUAGCAGCAGAUAAGUCCAAGAAAGUAGGAGUUAGUUGAGAGUUUGUAGGAGAAGUUGGUUAGCCAUAGGGCUAUUUAUAAGCCGCAUGGCAGCAGGGAAUAAAUCAAGCAAGAUCAUUAUCAAACCAAUCUCUCUCCCUUGCAAUGACCCUCUCAAGCGCCUAGGGCUGCUACCCUAGAACCAAGCCUGCGGCAGAGGGGUAUAACCUCGCCGGAGAAGACAGCUAUCCCCAUGGACCGAAGGUCCAUGACAGCUUACCACACUUGUAGCAAACCUUCUUGGAACGGGAUUUGUAUUCCUUCCCCUUCCGUUGCUUGAGGAUUUGGCGAAAGCUUUUGAUGAUUAAAGCCAUCUCCUCAUUGUCGAGCUUGGAGGCAUCAAUUGGUUGUCUACUCGGUGUAGACUCCUCCUUCUUCUCCUCCGUCGCCUUAAAUGCCACCGGUUGUGUUUCGGACGUGGAGGGUUCAUCAAGCUCGUUGAUCUUCUUUGAGCCUUUAAUCAUACAUUCAAAGCUCACAAAAUUCCCGAUUACUUCCUCGGGAGUCAUUAGUGUGUAUCUAGGAUUACCACGAAUUAAUUGAACUUGAGUGGGGUUAAGGAAAAUGAGAGAUCUUAGAAUAACCUUAACCACCUCGUGGUCGUCCCACUUCUUGCUCCCGAGGUUGCGCACUUGGUUCACCAAGGUUUUGAGCCGGUUGUACAUAUCUUGUGGCUCCUCCCCUUGGCGAAGACGAAAACGACCGAGCUCCCCCUCGAUCGUUUCCCGCUUGGUGAUCUUGGUGAGUUCAUCACCCUUGUGCGCGGUCUUGAGAAGGUCUCAAAUCUCCUUUGCAUUCUUCAACCCUUGCACCUUGUUGUAUUCCUCCUUGCUUGGAGAGGCGAGGAGUAUGGUUGUAGCUUGAGAGUUGAAGUGCUCGAUUUGGGCCACUUCGUCCGUAUCAUAGUCUUCAUCCCCUACGGAUGGUACCUGUGCUCCAAACUCAACAACAUUCCAUAUACUUUUGUGGAGUGAGGUUAGAUGAAAUUUCAUUAAAUCACUCCACCUAGCAUAAUCUUCGCCAUCAAAGGUUGGCGGUUUGCCUAAUGGAACGGAAAGUAAUGGAGUAGGUCAAGAUGUACGAGGAUAGUGUAAGGGAAUCUUACUAAACUUCUUGCGCUCUUGGUGCUUAGAAGUUACGGACGGCGCAUCGGAGUCGGAGGUUGAUGUUGAUGAAGUAUCGGUCUCGUAGUAGACCACUUUUCUCAUCCUCUUGUGCUUGUCGCCUUUCCGAUGCGACUUGUGGAAAGAAGAUUUUUCCUUCUUCUCUUUGUGGUGAGAAGAAGAAGAUCUUUUCUCCUUCCGUUUGGAGGAGUCCUUUUUCUUCUCCUUCCUCUUGGUGCGGGACUCUUCCGAUGAAGUGCUCCCGUGGCUCGUAGUGGGCUUGUCGCCGGUCUCCAUCUCCCUCUUGGUGUGAUCUCCCGACAUCACUUCGAGCGGUUAGGCUCUAAUGAAGUACCGGGCUCUGAUACCAAUUGAAAGUCGCCUAGAGGGGGGGUGAAUAGGGCGAAACUGAAAUUUACAAAUAUAAACACAACUACAAGCCGGGUUAGCGUUAGAAAUAUAAUAGAGUCCGCGAGAGAGAGUGCAAAACAAAUCGCAAGCGAAUAAUGAAGUGAGACACGCGGAUUUGUUUUACCGAGGUUCGGUUCUUUCAAACCUACUCCCCAUUGAGGAGGCCACAAAGGCCGGGUCUCUUUCAACCCUUACCCUCUCUCAAACGGUCCCUCGGACCGAGUGAGCUUUCUCUUCUCAAUCACUUGGAACACAAAGUUCCUACAAGGACCACCACAAGAUUGGUGUCUCUUGCCUCAAUUACAAGUGAGUUUGAUCGCAAGAAAGAAUCAAGAAGGAAGAAAGCAAUCCAAGCGCAAGAGCUCGAAAGAACACAAGCAAAUCUCUCUCACUAGUCACUAGGGCGUUGUGUGGAGUGUGGAGAGGAUUUGAUCACUUUGGUGUGUCUAGAAUUGAAUGCUAGAGCUCUUGUAAGUAGUUGAGAAGUGGAAAACUUGGAUGACUUGAAUGUGGGGUGGUUGGGGGUAUUUAUAGCCCCAACCACCAAACUAGCCGUUUGGUGGAGGCUGUCUGUCGUAUGGUGCACCGGACAGUCCGGUGCACACCGGACAGUCUGGUGCGACAGCCACGUCACCAAAGCCGUUGGGUUCCGACCGUUGGAGCUCUGACUUCUGGGCCCGCCUAGAUGUCCGGUGGCGCACCGGACAUGUACUGUAGGGUGUCCGGUGCACCAGCAUGGGCGUGCCUGACCUCUGCGCGCGCUGGCGCGCAUUAAAUGCGCCACAGGUAGCCGUUGGCGCCAGAAGUAGUCGUUGCCCCGCUGUUACACCGGACAGUCCGGUGUACACCGGACAGUCCGGUGAAUUAUAGCGGAGCAGCUGAAAUGAAUUCCCGAGGCUGGCGAGUUCUAGAGGCCGCUCUUCCUUGGAGCACCGGACAUGUCCGGUGUACACCGGACAGUCCGGUGAAUUAUAGCGGAGUUGCCUCUGGAAUUUCUCGAAGGUGACGAGUUUGAGUUGGAGUCCUCUGGUGCACCGGACAUAUCCGGUGGCACACCGGACAGUCCGGUGCGCCAGACCAGAGGUGCCUUCGGUUGUCCCUUUGCUCUUUUGUUGAACCCAAUACUUGGUCUUUUUAUUGGCUAAGUGUGAACCUUUGGCACCUGUAUAGCUUAUACACUAGAGCAAACUAGUUAGUCCAAAUAUUUGUGUUGGCAAUUCAACCACCAAAAUUAAUUAGGGAUUAGGUGUAAGCCUAAUUCCCUUUCAGUAGUACCCCUGGUUGUUGCACCACCGAAUGCGCUACUCCUCUAGAUACAUCGUGUUCGAGGACACUCAUACAACGUCAGCAAUGGCCAUCGUCUCAGCGCACAAGAAUUCAUGGCCAGUCAGUAGCGACUUACGUGGCAGGUUGGGCUUCAGGUGGACGAUGAGCUGGACGACGUGAUGGCAUCGUCGUCGAAUGCGGUGCCCAGAACAACCCGAGAGUCGCCGACGUUGGCGACGACUAUGAGGUCCCCCUGCUUGACGAUGGACAGCGCGGAGCAGCCGCUCUGCACCGCGUCCAAGCGGCUGCUGCGCCGGAGCUUGUCGUACAUAGCGGCACAUGCGGCCACGUAGGACUGUUUCUAGAGGUCGAACUGGCAGUCGCCAAGUUUCUUCUUGUCGUCGAUGAGCGACCCCAACGCGAGUGUCUCCUGCUAAUGGUGUUUGUUCGGGGUUUAAGUAAGAAACAUGGAUUCAUGUUUGGCGUUGGUUUAUAAAAAUGACUCAUAAGUCAGAUCCAUGGAAAAAAUAUUACAAAGAAUAAAUGUCACGCAUGCAAAAAAGGAAUUUAAGUUGAAAACAUUAUUCAAACAAAAGAAAUUGCAUGCAAGGCUCUUCUUUAAAUACUAUUCCCUCCAUCCAAAAAUAUAAUUCAAGAAUCUCGGUAAUACUUAUUUACUACUACGCAUUGUGCAAGGGUAGCAGUUGAGCUUGGGGAGAGAUGCAGUAGAUGUGUUUUCUGUUAUAGAUGUAGACAUAAACACACAUGUGGUGUAGUGGUAGCUACUGCUAUCAUUUGCUUGAGAGGUCGUGGCUUCGAAUGCCCUUGGGGCUAUGUGUAUUUUUUAAAUUUUAGCUAGGCGUCGGCUGUACGGGGGAAUGAGAAUGAGCUUUGCGGGGAGGGGGAAUGAGAAUGAUAGAUAUAGAAUGGAAAGGCAGAACACGGAAUGAGUAUCUGCUGCCUGUGCUGGUUUAGUUGGCAUGUCGUGAUUCCAAAAGUAGGAAAGUGUUAUCGUCAGUGUAGUUGAAAUAAUUAGCAGUGACGCUGGGCAAUAUAUAUGCUCAACCAAAAAGGGGUUCGGUUUCAUCGCUGUAAGCUAUACAUGCUUCUCCUCCCCGGCCAGUUAUAUAUUUAUUUUGAACAGACUGUUGGGCCAGACAGGUUGUUAGAACAUGGUAGGUGCACUACUGCAUGUGACUAUAUCAUAUUUGCAUAUCUGGCCACUAUUUCCCCGCUCCAUUGAAAAAUAAGCAUGUCAAGAUAAAUAUUUCUUUCCCUGAUCGUACAAAUCCACGACAUGAAGAAUGAUGUUACUACUAAUCAUUGUUUUUAUAUAGGGUCAGGCGAUUCUCUUUUCUUGGAUAUAUAUAUAGCAAAUGAUGUUUUGGAUAUUUGCGCUGUUGGGAUAUGACAAUUUGCUAAUUUUCUAGGAGGGAUGGCUAAGUUUGCAGACGUCCUCUGUGCAGUUACACUACUUGUGUUGCUCCCCUGCUCGGAUGUUGCAUUGGGGCAGACUACUGACCCUUCCGAGGGUAAUUUCUAUCUGCCAUAUGUUAAUUUGUGAGAACGUUUGAAACUCUGCAAGUUAAUGAAUGGUUUAUUCCCAUAAUGUAGUCAAUGGGCUCAGGGCUAUCAAGGGACGAUUAGUUGAUCCUAUGCAAAACCUUAUGAAUUGGAAUAGGGGAGAUCCGUGCAGGUCAAAUUGGACAGGAGUCUUCUGCCACAAAGUGAAUGAUGAUACAUUUCUUCAUGUGACAGAAUUGUACGAUCAGCACUUCUAUUUUAUUUGUUCAUCAUAUUUUGUUUUUUUCUAUCCAUUUGUCUUGGUUACCAUGUUGCUCUUGUUGAAUAAAAAUCAACAGUCACUAUUAUUAUCAAAGGUAGUUUUUACGGUCAAAUGCCAACUUCAUCCGACUCCGCAAGGGAAUUUUUUUCCUGCAUUUACACAUAAAUCCAACUGUAACAUGAACUGCCUUGGUUGACAAUUGUCCAAUCAUAAAAACAUGAAACAUCAGUCCUGUGAGUUGUAUCAGACUAAGUUUACAAAUCCUAGCACCAUUGCUCUCUGGCUUCUUUUCUAAGGCAUUUGUUUUGCUUGAAAUAUUAUUGGUUUUGUAAAGUUUGUUUAUUUUAUUACAUCAGCACGAUAUGGAAUAUAACAACCCAGUAACUCAUUAAGGCCUUGUUUGGUUAUUUUAAUUCCAUGUGAAUUGGAGUGGAUUGGGUGGGAUUGAGACGUAUUUUGACUUGUUAUGCAUUUAAAACGACUUAAUCCCACCCAAUCCACAUGGUUUAGCAUCAAAACAAACAAGCCCUAAGUCGUUUCUGUGUAAGUUAAUGAAUGGUUUAUUCCCAUAGCUGUUCCUAAUACCAUUUUUUUAUCUCUAUACAGGCAGUUAUUUAAGAGGAAUCUCUCAGGAACUCUGGCACCAGAGGUCAGCCUUUUAUCUCAUCUGAAAACACUGUAAGUAUUACUCUAAAAUUCAAACUUCCUCUCUUUUUUUAGUUCUCCUGCAUUUUGUAAAUUUAAACUUUUCUAAUUUCCAUUCACUAUCUUUUCAAUACGUGCAUAAAAUCAUGGUGCUUUGCUAGCAAGUUUUCGAGCACAAUUUUGAUUCCUUAUUUCAUUGUUUUGAGCAGAAUUUUGUUCUUGAUUCCUUUUCUUUGAGGCAACAUUUAUUCUUGAUUCUUAAGCUAUUCAACUAAAUGAUGUGUUUCUUGAAGGGAUUUUAUGUGGAACAACUUAACUGGUAGCAUCCCAAAGGAAAUAGGCAACAUCACUACGCUCAAACUUAUGUAAGUUUUCUUUUUCUAUUAUUUUUCUUACCUCAUUAAAUUAUUCAGCAUGUCUCAACCUCAUAAUGCACACAACAACAUCAGUUCAACAUUACCAGUUCUAAUUUAUGAACAUUUCUCCACAAUAUCUGUGUUAAAUAACAUUGAUAUAGUUAUUUUCAUGCCUUUUGCAGACUUUUGAAUGGCAAUCAACUCUCUGGUAUUUUACCUUAUGAGAUCGGUAACCUUCAAAGUUUAAACAGAUUACAGGUUGACCAAAACCAAUUGUCCGGCCCCAUACCUAAAUCAUUUUCCAAUUUAAGAAGUGUGAAACGUCUGUAAGAAUUGUUUAUUUCCAUUGUCUAUUUGUCUCUCUGUUUUUCAGUUUCAUCUGUACUUAUUUCUAACCUCAACCAUCCUAUUCAUUUUAGUCAUAUGAACAAUAAUUCGUUAAGUGGGGCCAUCCCGUCUGAACUUUCCACAUUGCCUCUUCUUCUUCACCUGUAUGUGGAACUCUACUUGUUUCCCGAUUUUCUUCUUCUGCAAAUAAAAAAAAUGAAAUAUUAAAUUACUCUUCAUUCUCAUACUUUGAUGCAACCUUGCAGGCUUGUUGACAAUAACAACCUAUCUGGACCUCUCCCUCCAGAAUUUGCUGAAGCGCCUGCCAUGAAAAUAUUGUACGUACCUAAAUUUUCUUGCGAUGGGUUUGUAUUUAUCCCACUGAAAUCAGAAUAAAAUUGCUUAUCAUAUAAACGUAUAACUAUUUCUGACAUUCAUAUCAUUCUGUUUCUACUAGUCAGGCUGAUAACAAUAACUUCAGUGGAAGUUCCAUCCCUACUACAUAUAACAACAUAUCCACACUACUAAAGCUGUAAGAAUGGAUUUUUUCUAUUAUUCUUUUGUUUUUUUAUCCUUUCUCCUUUAUUAUAUGAAAAUUAAAAGAUGUGAAUAUCUUUUGUUAAUCAUACAUCAUAUAAAAAAUUAGUUUAGCCUCUACUCAAAAUGUAAUUGCAACCAUCCAUGGUUCCAACAUCCAGCUUCCAUAGCCUAAACUUACUCAGAAUUAAAAGACCUGAGGAGAAUAUUUCUUGUAUUACCAGGAGUCUUAGAAAUUGCAGCUUGCAAGGAGAUAUUCCAGAUUUGAGUAGCAUACCUCAACUUGGCUAUUUGUGAGUACAUCUCAGUUUUAGUUCCCAAUUAAUGUAUUUUAGCAUUAUGACUAUCGAUUGUUGCUAUGAACUUGGCUCUUCGAACAGUUUAAAUUUUUUUAAAAAUAUUAAGAUUAGUGUGGUUUUCAAGAGUGUUUUGGUACAACCUCUUGAGAAAGUUUGGGCUGCACAGCUUAUCCCCUCAGCAAGCGGAGACUUCCUUUUUUGGCUGGUGGGAGAGAUCUCCGGCUCAGGUCCUCAGUCUGGAAAAGAAAGGAUUGGAUUCUCUUAUUGCCUUAGGGGCCUAGAUGAUCUAGAAUCAUAGGAUUGGAUUCUCUUAUCCCCUCAGCAAGCGGUGGUGUUUGAUGGCAGGACCCCUUGUAUCUCCUUCCUCCUUCAGGCUGCUGGUGAGGAAAGGGAGAAAUGGCAGAUGGCUGGUGCCAAAGGUCUUUCCUUCUUGGCCGGCCAAGCUUCCUAGCUCCUAGGGCUGUGGUUUUUUAGUUUUGAUCUUUAUGGAUAGUUUUGUGAAUGCCUGCUUCUGGCCUCCAUAAGGAGUGUGUUGUAUCUGGGUCCUUUCUAACCCCCCCCCUAUCCCCUCUACUUUAAUAUAUGGGUGCACAGUUCUCCUGCGCUCUUUUCGAAAAAAAGAUUAGUGUGGUUUUAUCCCUUUUCAAUAGGCACCCAACUUUUCAGUUCACACAGUUCAGGACAUGUCUUAUGUCUUAAUAACUCUCAGAUUCAUGUUUCAGGGAUAUUAGCUGGAACCAGUUGACAGGAUCUAUACCAACUAAUAAGCUCGCUUCCAAUAUCACUACAAUGUAUGUAAUUAAGAUAACGUUUGUCUAUUUUCGUUAAUCAUCGAUCUCAUUCUAGUUAUGUGGCAGUGAUUUGUCGCACAACAUGCUCAAUGGAACUAUCCCACAGAACUUCUCAGGGCUCCCCAAGCUUCAGAUAUUGUAAGUGUAACUUGGUAAACAGUCUUCAACGGCCUUUUGCAUUGAACAUGGAUAUGAUUUCUUUUGCAUAUGGUUCUGUUUAUUUUCACUGCAAAUAUGUGAACUUUGUUUACGUAAUAUCUAGUGAAGAGAUUACAAAUACUUCUGUUUGUAAUCUCCUUAUAACUGGAUUCAAAUUUGUAAUCAUUUUAUCUAGAUCAGUAUAAAUCGCGAGUCGUAUCAGUUAGCUUAUAAAAAAUUAUUUGAAAAUAAGAAUACAUAUGUAAAGCUUUACAAGCUGUCAUAUAUUUUUAUUAUUUUUCGUUCUUAAAUCACUUAAACUUUAUUUUGCAGGUCACUUGAGGAUAAUUAUCUAAAUGGUUCUGUUCCCUCGACAAUCUGGAAUGGCAUCGAGCUUACUGGAAAUAGAAGCCUUAUUCUGUAUGAAUUUUUUCUGCAGAAGUAACUCUUUUCAGAUCUAAUAACUGUACAUAUGUAAUAAUAUUUUCAUAAUAACACAGAGACUUCCAAAACAAUUCUCUCAAGACAAUUCCGGACACAUUUGAUCCUCCCCCAAAUACCACUGUAAUGUAUGUUCUCAUACAUUUAUGCUAUGCAUUUCAAUAUUCACCUCCACAUCAAUAAUAUAUAUAGUCCCUGUGCAUAUUGAAUUGCGAUUAUGCACCUUUCUUUAAUGGAUGCAGUAUUAAUUGAUAUGUAUAUUCUGUCCUAGAGCUGUACAGACCUCCUUUUUCCCUUUGAGACCAAGCUUUGUAUCUAUGUAACAGUGAGACUAUGUUUUAAGUAUUUGACGACAGGUCUUCAUAUCCUAUACUUGAAUCAUUAUGCAUGUGUGAAAAUCAUAACUAUAAGAUUGCACUUUUCUCAGUGGCAAAUAAAUUUUUUCCAAUUCCCUUUUGAGCAACCUUUUCAUGCAAUGGAUAGUUAUCACCACCGCUGUCAUUUUUGGCAGGCUAUAUGGAAACCCUGUGUGUGGGGGUACGAAUGGAUCUCUGAUAACCAACCUGUGCCAACCCAUGUCAGUAAACAUGCAAACAUCGCAAAAUGAACAUGGCUCUAGUUGUCAACCUUGUCCUGCGGAUAAAAAUUAUGAGUACAAUCCAUCAUCACCACUAACUUGCUUUUGUGCGGUGCCACUUGGAGUCGGACUUCGUCUGAAGAGUCCAGGAAUCACAGAUUUUCGUCCCUAUGAAGAUGACUUUGAGAUCAACUUAACCUCUUUAUUGCAACUGUUUCGGUAUCAGUUAAGUAUUGAACGCUACAUAUGGGAGGUUGGUCCAAGGCUAAAUAUGCACAUGAAGUUAUUUCCAAGUAAUUCAAGUCUAUUCAGUAUAUCUGAGAUUGUGCAACUCAGACAUGUACUUGCUGCCUGGGAAAUUACCCUUUCAGAUGUAUUUGGUCCAUAUGAGCUUCUCAACUUCACACUAGGUUCUUAUGCAGAUGGUAUGUAUUCAUUUUGAAGAUGUUAAUUCUAUUAUUCAAACUAUGUGCUGCUAUUAACUUGUUUUUAGUUUUCCUGCAAUGAAAAAGUACAGUCGUAGGACUUCAGGGGAGUUUCUGUGUUUUAUUUCGUGAAAUUAUUUGGAUCAUUACAAUAGCUUUUUGUAUUGCAUUUCUGUUAGCUUGAUUAGCAGCAUAUAGUAUAACUAGUUAGUUGCCCGUGCGUUGCGAUGGUACACGAACACCGCUGGUAAAAGCAUUAAUAGUAAUUAAUUUUGGAUCAUUUCAUGAGAUGUAAUCUCCCGACAGGAGGAAAAGGAGGAAAGACUCAUUCAUUUUUUAUUCAUCAAUUAGAACAAAGUAGAAGAAGCAACUAAACACCAUACAUGUUCAUAUAUCAAACACAUAUAUUGUCUAAUAGCUACACCUGUGAUCAACAAGAUGUUAUUAAUCAAUUACGAGACUUCCUAUGGAUACGCGAUGUGUCAAUACUAAUACGCUAUUUUUUCCUCAAAAACAAUGAUAACCAACGUCGCCGGUAUGGGGGAGGUGAGGCUGGGGUUGGACUUGAGCAUGAUCUGCUCGAGCGAGGACGACGACGUGAAUAGCGCGGGCGACAGCUCGACGGGGGCCUGGGCGGCACCGAAACAGACGAAGAUGGAGAGCGUCCGGAGGUGCGGUAGGCCGCGCAGCGAGGCAGGGUCGAGCCUGGCCCCGGGCCUGCAGGGCGGGGUGGCGACGUCGGGGCCCAGGUGGAGGCGGGUGGCGCGGAGCACGCGCACGUCGUCGGGCGCAAGCUCGCACUGUAGGCUUGGCCAUGGCGUGUCGGUGCAGGGCCGCGGGUGGAGCUGCGGCCACGCCGGAUCGCCGAGGAGGUCCGCCAUCACCCGGAAGAUGGCCGCCAGCUCCAGCUCCGGGGAUUGCGGGUGACGGGGAUCGCAGUUGGGAGGGUGAGGAGGGCGCGAUGGGGAGCGGAGCAGAGGGGGAGGAUGUCGGGGGUGUGGGGGGAGGGGGCAGAACCGUGCACCGUGAACGUCUACAUUGUAGUCUUAAGUAGUAGUAAAGAUGGUUGGCUGGUUGCAUGCAACAAAACAGCAUAUGUUACUUCCUUCAAAAUUAAAACAUGUAGAAAUCCAAAUGAUAAAUUAUAGCAUUUGCUUUUUAUAGUGAUAGGUUGAUCUUGAUGGCAAUUAAUUUUUCCUUGAAUUAUACUUCAUUGAAUUUAUGUCCACUCACUUGCUCAAUUAAUCAUCUAUUGGUGUGUAAAAAUAUUCUAUUUAUCACAUUUUGCAGAAUUUCCAAAUGCAGUGUCAACAGGUUUAAGUAAGGCUGCACUGGGCAGUAUCUUUGCUAGCACAAUUGCUGGCGCUAUUUUACUUUCUGUGGUAGCUACCACCCUUAUAGUGAGAAGGCGUUCAAGACACAGAGCUGUCUCAAAACGUUCAUGUAAGUCAUUUAUAUUUGGUUGUAUGAGUGACCUUUUAGCUGUGUAGUACAUAGCUCGUCCAAGAGAAAGGGUCUGAAGAUGCAUAUCAUGCUGUUUGCAGUGUCAAGGUUUUCUGUCAAAGUUGAUGGCGUUAGAUGUUUCACAUUUGAAGAAAUGGCUAUAGCAACAAAUAAUUUUGAUCUAUCAGCCCAAGUUGGCCAAGGAGGUUACGGCAAAGUCUACAAGGGAAUUCUAGGCGAUGGAGCACUUGUAGCAAUCAAACGAGCACACCAGGAUUCCCUUCAAGGUUCAAGGGAGUUCUGCACGGAGAUAGAGCUACUAUCAAGAUUGCAUCAUCGCAAUUUGGUUUCAUUGGUUGGCUAUUGCGAUGAAGAGGAUGAGCAGGUGGAACCUUUUGGUUUUAAUUAUAUAUGUAGAAAAUAUAGUUCGUCAGCAUCCCUGAACUGCUCCUCAAAUCUCGUUUUGCAGAUGCUGGUUUAUGAAUUCAUGUCAAAUGGCACUUUACGUGAUCAUCUUUCUGGUAAGUAAUUGGAGAGAUCCAUUCUCAGGUAUUUGGACAUUUUCUCUUUCUUAAAUCUUAUGCUAAUUAAAGCACCUCUUCUUUUUUCCCCGUCAUUUGCCAACCACAGCCAAGUCCAAGAGACCUCUAAGUUUUGGUUUGAGGUUGAAAAUCGCAUUGGGUGCUGCAAAGGGAAUUUUGUAUCUACAUACUGAAGCAGAUCCACCUAUAUUCCACCGUGAUGUUAAGGCCAGCAACAUUCUGUUGGACUCCAAAUUCGUUGCAAAGGUAGCCGAUUUUGGUCUCUCGAGGCUUGCUCCAGUGCCAGAUGUCGAAGGGACAUUGCCAGCUCACGUAUCCACUGUUGUCAAGGGCACCCCAGUAAGUGUCAGACUGCCAAUCACGUCGACAAUGUCAAAAUUACCAUGCUUUCUUUUUUUAGCAGUAAUAUAUCACUGCUGUUUUGGCAGGGCUAUCUUGAUCCGGAAUACUUCCUAACUCACAAACUGACCGACAAGAGUGAUGUUUACAGCCUGGGUGUCGUGUUCCUUGAAAUGUUAACUGGUAUGAAACCAAUUGAGCAUGGUAAAAACAUAGUGAGAGAGGUAUGCACUUCUUCAGCCAUGGAUACAUUACACUUUUAAAGGACGGCCAGUUCUCACAAAAAGUAAAAAAUGACAGCUGAAACUAGUUGAAAAUCCAUAAGCUUAGACUGUGUUAUUAUCGACUUGUGUGCUUGCUAUCAGUAAAAAAACAAAUGUAAUGAAGAACUGCAUGUUCCUAUUCCUGUAGGUAAACUCAGCUUGCCAGUCGGGCGCAGUUUCUGGAAUAAUCGAUGGCCGGAUGGGCUUAUACCCCCCAGAAUGCAUCAAGAGGUUCUUAUCACUAGCAACCAAGUGUUGCCAGCAUGAAACUGAUGACAGGCCUUCCAUGUGGGAGAUUGUCAGAGAACUUGAGCUCAUCUUGAGGAUGAUGCCUGAAGAGGACCUGAUUCUGCUGGAAACCUCAGAGACAGACUCGACCGAUGUCAGUAAGUCGUUGUCAUCUUCAGCGACCGGGACCCUCUUCGUCUCGUCACAGGCCUCUGGGAGUCUUGAUGCGAGCAGCGGCAUGAUCUCCGGAAGAG